CAAUUUGGGUGAAUUGAUUAACACAUACCUUUUCGUCAUAACACUUUUGUAUAGUGGAAUUAAGGUUAUUGCCUUCCCAAUGGUGUAGUUCACCCUCUUCCUUUUCAGUCACUUGCACUUUGCAUGGCUUUGGAAUGGAUAAUAUUCCCUGAGAAAAAGUCUUCAUGUUCGGACAACGUAUCAUAGAAACUCGUUCCAAUGAUGGGAAUUCAAGAGUGUAAUUCUCCAAACAAAAGCCGGUAAGUGUUGGUAAAUAAUCAAGUAUCAAAACUUUUAAUUUGCUAAAAGCAAUACGAUUCUCCUUCACUUCUUCUCCAACAUGUCUUAUGAUUUCUUCUAUCUUAUCACACCACGAUACAUUAAGAUUCACCAGACUACUAGGAAUUCCAACCUGAAAAUAAGCAGAGAGUGUGUGUGUGUGUACGUUAAAAAAGUAAAAAUGUAAGAAUAUCAUUCAACAAGGUUCAAAGUAUGUUUAAAUCAUACAAUUAUACAUUUUAUAAACAUAACAAACCAUGAAAUGUCUACUAGAUAAUUUUUUGUUAAACAAAAAAGGCAACAAGAUAAAUAAAUAAAUAAAAGCCAAAUAAACAAAAGAUAAUAAAAAUGAAUUUACACUAUUUAGUAUUAGGAACAUAGAAAGAAUUUAAUGCAAUUUCUAAAUAUUUUAGACUUAUUUUGCAUCUUGACGCCAGUUUUUAAACAAAAUUUGCAAAUUUCAACUAUUCCUUUUGGGAAAAAAAAAAUCAACCAAAAUGCCGCUUUUUCCCUUUUUCCUUGGUCCCUUUUUUUUUAUGUAUAUUUAAUUUUGGAAACAAAAUUAAAGUGGAUCUUUAUUAAGUACUUCUAGACUCGAGGAAAUUUCUUUACAAUCAAGGAUCAGUUGUAAAUAAUCAUGAAUUUGUGGUUAAUUAAUGGCAUAAUCAGUUCGUAACUAAACAAGAGAUAUUAAUUAAAUUUGAAGACUUUUCUUUUCUUUUUUUCUUUUUCCAAUCGAAAUGUGAAGAAUUAAGGACAAGAGAAAUAUAUAGAUGAAUUUGUGAACCUAUAAGAUGAGUGACUAUCCUUUAAUUUUUGAAAAUUGUACUUAUUAAGAUAUGAGCAUAAACAAUUAAAUUGAAUUAUAUUAUGCUGUUGAAUCGUGAUUAAAAAAAUUACAUUGUUGAUUCUAAUGCUGGCGAACCUAAGAACUGGACUUAAAAUGUAGAUUUGAGAGUGGUGGUUCGAAGUACAAUACUUGAAAUAAAUAAUCAGUGGCUGAAUAUCAUUUGUAAACCCAAAAAUGGUUAAAAUAUUGUUGGAUGUAAUUUGAAAAAAAAAAAAAAAGAUUCGAAAUGAAUACAGCAACCUUACCAAUGGAGGAAAAAUAUUCAUUAGGUUAUCACACCCAAUUAUCUCCAAAUUCUUCAAUUUGCUGAAAGACUCCGAAGCAAGUUGGUGGUGCCAUAUUCUUCUCAAAUUAUCGAUCGACCUAAUAUGUAAUACCUCCAACCUAGGAAGUCGUACCUGGCAGUUAAAGAUUAAAUAACUAAUUAAUCAAUUAAUGGCAUAAUCAAUUGAUAACUAAAUUAGAGGCGGAUAUUAACUAAAUUUGAAGACUUAAGGAAGAGACAAAUAAAAUAUUGUGACUAAAAUAAAUUUAAAAAAAAAAAAAACCUUUUCGUCAAAGAGAGGAGGUUGCAUUUCAAAAUGAAUGGUGUCUUCUGGUGAGCUCGUGGAGAUGAAUCUUAACAUAUUACUGCAACUCUGAAUCUCGAGCUUUAGCAAAGAAGGGAAUUCAACAACUAAAUCUGAAUGAAUAUGUCCCGUAUUGGCAAAGCUUGUUAGCUCUGGAAGCCAAUAGAGCCGCAGGAAGUGUAGUUUAGGAAAAACCUUUAAUUCAAUCAACUUUCCUUCAUCUCUUCCUAACCACCCCGUCGUGUCGACUACCCCUUCCAUUGACUUACAAUCCCAUAUUUGAAGACGUUGGAGUUGCAAAAGACUAUUAACCAUAGAAUACGAAAACAGAUACUUCAUACGAUCACAACCGAACACGUGCAGCUUUGUUAAAUUUUGACAACAGUACAUUCCUUGAUUAUGAUCGGCCCAUAAUUUUUUUAUGUUUCUUAAUCUCGUGAGAUUCAAUUUUUCUAAGCUCGGAAGAAUAACCUGCAAAGAAAACCCGUACAUUUUUGUUCCUUCAAGUACAACCGUCUAGUAUAAUAUUCUUUUCAUGAUCGAAGAUUAAUCGUGAUAAUAAAUUAAUCAAUUAAUUAUUGAACGGAAAAUUAUCACCUUUGGAGCAGGAUCAUCAUCAGCAAUGAUUUCGUUGAAUCCCAAAGAAGUUGUUGGUUUCUCCCUGUCGGGUCCUAUAAACAAACAAAAACAAUACACAUAAUUAAUCUUUGUCGGUUUUUUUUUUUCAAAAUAAUUGAGGCGAAGUCCAUAAAUCCACCAACACUUAAUUUCAACACUUACCAAAAAUCAUUUCCAGAUCAUCGCAAAGACUUAUUAAUACUUUUUGAAGCCGCAGUAGGUUUUUUGCCAUGGAGAAUGAGAAAAGAUGCUUCAAUUUGUGACAGGAUUGUACUCCUAUAAUCCUUAAGUUGCUGAAAGAUUGAUCUUCUGUGAGUUGGCUGUCACAUAUUGUCUCCAAAUUGUUCAAAUAGCUAAGAAACAAUGACUCCAGCAAGGGAAAGACUGUACAAUGAACCCGUCCAACUGAACCGACAAUAUGCAAAAUCUCAGAACAACUUUCUACACGAAGAUGCUUCAAUCGUGGAAAACCUUCCCCAUCAUCUAAUUCAUGAACAACAUUCUGAACACCCUUAAGUUCGUAUAGAUUGAUAUCUUCAGUUUCCUUCAGUAACAUUUUCAUCCCAUAAUUCUCCAAAAGACUGCUAACAUUUUCUAGCCCAUGGAGCUUCAUCAAUCUUGAUGUUUCAGAAUUAACGGGCCAGAUGUCCCACACUUCUCCUAUGCAUAUCCUGUAUCUUGACAAUUCCACAAAGACCAAAUCCUGCAGCAGAAUUUGGGCAUCCCGAACUUGUAUCUCCAAAGUAGUUAGCUUUGACAACCCCUUCAACUCAGCAAGACUGGCGUUACUUCCUCCUUCAACCUUAUCCCACUGCGAAAAGCUGUCACCCAUAUAUAGUUCUUCCAAUCGAGAAAAUUUUGAUAUGACAUUUGGUGCUAUCACCAUAAGGCUGCUACAAUUGCUCAAAUCUAGCAACAAUAACCUCGUCAAUUGUCCAAUUUCAAGGGGUAACUGCUUAAUGUCGGAAUCUCGAAGGCUGAGAAUCUCUAAUUUCUUUAGCUGUCCAACUAUUGCUAUAUCUUCUAGUCCGCAACUAUCUAAACACAAUGUUUGAAGGUUAAUGAGGCGACCAAGUGAUGAAGGUAAUGAAGAGAAAGGAAUUCUAGUAAGACUUAAAACUUUGAGUUCUUCUGUCCCUUCAAAAAAGAGGUCAGAAAUUUGCAUAGAGACGGGCGCCAUGCCCCUUGCUAUUAACAAAAAUAACUUGAGUUGGGGACAUUCCAACCUUUCGGGAAGCUCUUGAAUAUCUUCGUAAGGUAAAGAANNNNNNNNNNNNNNNNNNNNNNNNNNNNNNNNNNNNNNNNNNNNNNNNNNNNNNNNNNNNNNNNNNNNNNNNNNNNNNNNNNNNNNNNNNNNNNNNNNNNGCAUUGAUACAGCAACAUCAUGAAUGAUGUCAUGCAUUUUAACUUCAUCUUCAGUAUCGCCAUCUAACAAUAAGCAUGAAGCUUUGAGAUUGUCGAUCAAUGCAUCCACUCUAUUCCUUGCAUCUUCCAAUGUGUGAACAUUUUUAAACAAACCCAAACCCAUACCAUAUCUCAACAGGGAAACAACUUCUACAGGAUUACCUUCACCAAACAGAGUACAAAGAAGGAACAAAGAUUUUGCUUCAUCACUUUCCAAGAAAUCGUAACUCAAUUUUAUGGAAGAAUACACAUAUGCAUCCAUACCACGAAUUUCUCUUAGAUUGGAACUUCUUAGCUGAUUCAAUGCAUCCUUCCAAAUGUUAAGACUCUUAUUUUUCAGAGCACUUGCAACUGUUCUCAGUGCAACAGGCAAUCCCCCGCAUUUUUCAACGAUCUCAUCUGCAGUGGGUUGAAAAUCAUAUGUUUUUUUUGAAUCACCCACAAUCUUCUCAAAUAACUGCAAUGCUUCAUCUUUGGAUAAAGCAUCGAUCCAGAAAUUUUUCUGAGAAUUCAUAUCAUUGCACAAUAAAUCUCGACUUCGAGACGUCAAUAUUAUUGUGCGUCUACUCCGAUCGUCCUCUCUAUCAUAAGGAAUUCCAACUUUAUCGAACUCAAGUUUUGUCCAAAUAUUAUCCAGUAUAAUGAGGAGCAGCUUCUCUUGCUUCAACCUUUGACACAGUCGAGAAGCUCUUUGAAAUUCAUUCUCAUUCAAGUCAAAUUCCAUGCCUAAAUCAAAAGCAAGUUUGUCUUGAAUUUUAUGAUGAUCUGGUGUCUGUGUUACCUCAGCCAUAACGACCUUAUCGAACAACUUAUCUUCCAUCACUUGCUUUCUAACUUGCUUGACUAGCGUGGUUUUACCCACGCCGCCCAUCCCGUAGACCCCAAUUAUUUUGAAACUAUCAUCCUUCAACGCAUCCAAAACAUCUUGAAAUACUUUCGUUCUUGAAUCGAACUCCUCGUAAUCUUUCACUGGCAUAUAUUCUGUACUCUUUGGAGCAGGACGGUAGGAAACACUAGAGAAGUUGCCUUUUCCCACGAGACUAGCGGCAGCUUCUGCGGCCUUUGCUGCUUGUUUACUAAGCUGGUAACGAGAAAUCAAGUUGGGGAACAACCCUUUGAAGCAGGACUUCUUAGCUCUAUCUUCAUCAUCAAUGAUGGAUUUUGCAACCCCUUCACUGAUGAAUUCAUCAACUUUAUUUAGCCAGUCUAUGACACCCUCAUAAAUCUCAUCCCCUUGUAGUCUAGCAUGAUUAACAGGUUGUUGCACCGUUUCUCUUCUAUAUCCCAGCUGCUUCACUUGAUCUUUCAGGCCAUCUAUGUAGUUCUGGUGCUUGAACACAUAAGAUAUCUGCCGUAUAAUCGGUUUGAACAGUGACUUUGAACCUUCUGAUACAAUGCUGGAAAAAGCAGCCAGACCCACUUCUGCCAUUGCCUGCUGCUUAACAAAUCUAAUAAUAUGUCAAAGAAAGGGGAAAGGAAUAGAAAUAAAUUAAAAUAAACUAGAGAGUGACAAAAAAGGAAAAGACAGCAAACAGAAUCGCAAAAUUGAUCUUGAAUCAACUGAAACAUGAACAGAGCAUUUUUUCUUCUUUCUUAAGGAUCAGAGUUUUUGCUAUUAACAGAAACGUGCUUCAAGUGUCCCAAAAAAAAAAUGAUAAAUGAACAAGCCAUAGAAAUUUUAUCUUGGAAAGUGGAUGGAAAUUAAGAAAGAAAUGGUAUAGAGAUCAAGCAUCAGAGAUUAUAUUAUUAAAAGAAAUUAAUUGAAGGUUGUGGAAAACCUGUUUAAUUAUGGAAAGUUGAUGAGCUUCUGUAAUCGCCUUGAGUAUUUAAGUGCAAUUUUGAUGAGCAAAAAGUUACUGUUACCUGCAGAGGAAUGUAAUUAUAGAGAGCUUAUGAGAGUAAUGACAAUGAUUUGCAAAAGAAGAAGACUCAAUCAUGGAGCCCUUAAUAUUUCUUUUAUGAAUAAACUGCCAGCAGGAAAAAUAAAAAAAAGUGGUAAAUUUACCAAGUCUUAUUUUAUUUUUAAUUUCUUUUAUUUUCAUUCGCCGAAGAGGGAAUCUCUUUUUUUUUCGUAAGGGAAAUAUCCUUUCCUAAUAUGUCAUGAUUAAAGCAAUCUAUAAAUAAUACAAUAAUCAUAUAAUGUAAUAAUUAAAAAGACCCACAUAUUUAUAAUAUUAAUGAUGGGAUCCAUACGUUCCUACUGAUUAAAUUGGUGGACCAGAAUUUAUUUGACCUUACUUGUUUUAUAUUUAAUUAAAAAUUGAAACGACAGAGAAAAAUUGUCGUAAUGAUGGUUUCGAUUGUGGAGUUCAGCUGUGGAUAGCACUUGCAAUACUGAAAAAGAAGCUUUCGUCAACUUUCUCACAUGGACGCGCACCAUCACGCAUAAUUGCAUAUUGCAUUAUUUCUCUAGAAAAGCAAAAGCAAGAUUUAUUCUUUUAAUAAGCAAACGCGUAGGUGGGAAUCCAUUCAUUAAACAAGUGGAACAGCAAUAUAUUAAACCAAUGAUAAGCAUUCUUAAGUGGGAAACCAAUUAUGACGGAUAGUUCAAAAUCUGAAUCCGCCUGAUGGACGGGUUUGACCGCAGAGCUCAAGAUAAUCUGAACCAUUCUCCUUUCGUAACUUAUAGAUAAUUUGAAAACAGGGGAAUGAAAACAGAGGAGCCCUGUUUUUCCUUCCUUUUUUUUUUUUUUUUUUCUUACCCAACUCUUCUUCUUUUGUAUAUUUUCCUUGGAAUUUUAGGUAAACCAAAAAACUUUGAGAAUGAUUUCAAGAGAAUAGGUGGGUAAUAACUAAAAUAUUUAUCUAUAUAUUUAUAUAAAGUUGGGACUACAAGAGAUGAUGUGGCAUCACCAUUUCUAAUUUUUGUAUAUUCUCUAUUAUCUAACAAAUAGAGAAAUUUUCUUUCAGAUUUUAUUUUUCAUCUUUUCAUAAUUAAUUUGACUGUUAUUAUACAAUCAAUAUGUAACAGUUCAUCAAAAGACCCACUAUCUUCUUUAAUUGAAACCUUCUUGAUCAGGACUACAAGAAGUAAUGUGGCACUACCAUUUCUCAUCUUUGUAUAUUCUCUAUUAUCUAACAAAUAGAGAAAAUUUCUUUUAGAUUUGGCUUUUUAUCUUCUCACAAUUAAUUUGACUGUUAUCAUACAAUUAAUAUGUAACAGUUCAUAAAAAAACUCACUAUCUUCUCUAAUUGAAGCCUUCUUGAUCAUAAAUUAAGCAAUAAUUUAUAAAUAUUUUUAAUCACUCUUCUCCUCUGACUCACCUAAAUUUAUAAAUAACAACAAAAAAUAUGAUAUCUCAUGUAAAUAUAAAAGAAUAGAAAAUAGCAAUAGCUCUAAAACAUUUUUUUUUUCAUUUUGGCCCUCACUUGCCUGAUCAUGGCAAAUAUUACAAAUGCAACCAGUAGGAAUGAUUGCCUCAACAACAAUAUGAAACCAGGCUACAAUCUUGCAACAAGACUUGAAGUUAGUGGAGGCCAAAUGGAGUGUUGGAACGUGUUAAUGGAGCUGAAAUCAUGCUCAAAUGAGAUUGUUAUAUUCUUCAUUAAUAGUCAGGCUGAUAUUGGCCCUGACUGUUGUCGCACUGGCCUGCAAUGCUCACCUCUCUCGGAUUCACGGCUGAAGAAGGGAACAUACUGAGAGACUACUGUGAUGCAUCUUCUGCUCCUUCUCCAGGUGGCCUCGCGGUGAUAUAUCAGCUUCAGGUUUCCAAGGUUUUUUGGCUUAGACAGGGUGCAUCUAUGGUACUUCAUAAUUAAAAAAAGUCUUUUUGGUUUUAUCUUUUCUUUAUUUUUUUAUUUUUUUUUUGGAAGUCUUGCCUCUUAAUCGAAUAGAAUAAAUUGUUAAAAUUAGAAUAAGAAAAAAAGGAUAAUAUUAUUUUUUUUCAAAGCCGCGCAAAGGGCGGUUCUAUUUCCUAGUUUUUAUAUAUUUGAUAAGCACGCUCACUAUUAAUAAAACCCAUUAAAUGCUAUAACUUAAAUAACUUCUUGUAGUUGAUUGAGAGUAUGUUUGGAAUUUCUUUUACUUCCCAAUAAUUAAUUUUUACCUUGAUUAUCAGAAAAUUAAUUUUAUGAAUAAUUUAGCCGGGUGUUUGGUAAAUGAUGAUUAUUUGACAAUCAGUUUUUAAAUAAUCUAUUAUAUAAAUAUAGUAAGUGAAAAUUAGAAGUAUAAUGUUCAUGUAGAAAUGACAAAAAUGUACUCAUUUACUUAUUUGUAAUUUAUUUAGAAUAUUAUUAUUUAAAUAAUUUUUCUUAUUCAUUGGAUUUUUUAAGAGCAUAUUCUAUUUUCUUGAUUACACAUUUAAAUAACUUUUUAUUAACUAUUUUAAUCUGCAAUAAAAAUUAACUAUAUUAUAUUUAACUAAAAAAUUUGUUAUGUAGUCCGUAAUAUACACAAAUACUUGAAUUUAUUAAUAAACUUAACUGCAAAAAAGAAAAUGCAUUACAUAUAUCUAAUUUCUUAUUUUCAACGAUUGAAAGAUGUUAUUUAGGAAACUUGUACGAGAUAAUUUAAUUUUGGACUAUUGACAUUAUAUUUACUUAGAAGUGGAAAUAGUGGGUGGAUAAAUUUAAUUUUUCAUUAAUUGCUCAAGAAGCAAGAGGAUUAGUGAUGGAUGGAGAGUUAGUGUAGAAUUGUGAGGCCAUUUGAUUACUGCAAGCAUUAUAAAUUUCUUGUUGCUGAGAUUAAUCUAAUUGAAUUAAUGACUCCAUGAUAGACUUAACAAAGGAUUCUUGUGGCAAGAUUUCUAUUUAUGAGGCCAUUUGAUUACUGUAAGCAUUAUAAAUUUCUUGUGGCAAGAUUUCUAUUUAUGACUCCAUGAUAGACUUAAGUUUUAGUGAGACAAUUGCUGCCUGUUGCAGACAUGAUACCUCUAGUACUUCAGAAGAUAGCAUAUCACGAAACACAUCCAGACUAUACUGAGGUUACAUCGAAAAUUCCUUGGCCCAUCGUGCGAGUGUGUGACAUCCCGCAACAAAAAUUAGGGUAUGUACUAUAUAUAUAAUGUGUUUUGAACAUAAUAAUAAGAAUGCUGAUUUUUAACAAUUAAUUUAUUUUACUUUUUUUAGUGGUGAUUGUGGAGAAUUUUUGUUGCGGUACUUGGAGGUCCUAACCCAUGGACUUGAUGUCAAUUCAUAUUGCAAACAAGAUCAUGUUAUACAAUUUCGAAAAGCCUUGGUUGUCAAAUUAUUUGGGCAUAGGUCAUGGAAAAAAACUUUGUAGUGUACUACCCUUAAAAACUUUGUUGGUGUGUCAUUUUUGGACCAUGAGAUGUGAUAGUUAUAAUGAGGAUGUUGUUGAUAUUUGAUGUCAUUAAAGAUAACUUGACAUCAUUAAUAUGUUUUAUUUCUUUGUUAACUAUAUUAAUGAUAGUGAAGAUAGUUUGUACAAUCUAUGUAAUGUAACAGGAUUGCCAUAUAUGCUCAGGGAAUACUCUGUAAGAAAAUACACGACUGCUGUUAGCUAUUUGCACGGAUACAUGACUGCAGUCGAGUAUUUACAAAUAUACAUGACUAGCUCUCUGUAAGAAAAUACUCGACUGCAAUUGGGUAUUUACACAGAUACACGACUGCAGUCAAGUAUUUAUAAUUGUACAUAACCAGCUCUCUAUAAGAAAAUACUCGACUGCAUUCGGGUAUUUACACAGAUACACGACUGCAAUCGAGUAUUUAUAAUUAUAUUUGACCAGCUCUCUGUAAGAAAAUACUCGACUGUAGUCGGGUAUUUGCACAGAUACACGACUACAGCCGAGUAUUUACAAUUAAAUAUGACUAGCUCUCUAUAAGAAAAUACACGACUGCAGUCGGGUAUUUGCACAGAUACACGACUGCAGUCGAGUAUUUGUAAAUAAACAUGACCAGUUCUGUAACAGCCAAAAUACACGAUUGUACUCGGGUAUGUGGACACGGAAUAAAAAAUCAACUAAAACAUUCAUUAUAUUGAUGACACAAUCAAUAUAAACUUUAACAUAUUAAAUUUCAAAUAAAUGAAACUAACUGUAGUCUGGUUGCCUAUCAAACAACAUAAAUCCAAUACUUAUUCGAAUCGUAAAUAAGUCAUAAUACAAUAAAAGUUGUUUAACAAUCAUCAUAAUUUUUUUGCAUUUUCAACCCAAACACUCGGUCCAUAUUUUAUAAGCCUCUAGUAAUUUGGUUGCCUAUUAAAUAACCCGAGAUACUAUUUCUAUCAAUUGUGCAUACGUUGUAGAAUAGGGCACUAUGAUCCCUCUUGCCUUUGUACCAUUAAAUCUAUAAUGGCCGUUUUGCUCAAUCCAUUCACCACAAAACAUAAUUGGCACACGUACUGAAGUCAUUUCCUGUAAUAAUACAACGGUUGAUUAUACAACAAAUACAAAAAUAAAAAUCAAGCAAUGUAUAUAACGAAGUGUGGAUCUGUCUGCCUAUUUACAUGACUCACGUCGUGUAAUUGGUAGUUUACACGACAAUAGUUAUGUAACUUGCUAAAAUACACAACUAUAGUUCUAUAAACAGUCAGAUGAUAUAUUUAGUAAAAAAAGCUGUAAUCUUUGUACUAAUCGAAUGGUAGGUGUCAUAACAGCUACUAUAUCUUCCAAACUUGCACGAUUGUUGUCGUGUAAAUUCAUACAUACAUGACAAAAGUCGUGUAAGUUGCAAAAAUAUAUGACUCAAUAAAUAAUCAGAGGACAUAUUUCUUCUUAAAAAAAUAUUGGGAUCUGAUAACAAUUGGAACAUUUUACAUAUAUACACAAUUAUAGUAUGUAAGUUCAUACGUACACGAUAGUAGUCGUGUAACUUAUUAACACACACGACUAUAGUCCAGUAAUAGUAAAAGGAUAUAUAUAGUGAAAAAAAAAAUAUUUUUUGCACCAAUAGAAUGAUAAAGUGUCAUGAUAAUUGGAAUCUUUUGCACAUUUGCACGACUACAGUUAUGUAAAUCCAUACAUACAAGACUGAUGUCGUGUAUGUCGGGUGCAGAAAAAAAUUUUGGCAACAACUUCAGGUUUUAACGAAUGUAGUUAUAAAAUCCAUCAAAUAACAGUCAUAUGAUGCAAAUGUAAUGAAAUAUGAGUUGCUUUAGUGUUUAUCACAAACCAAACAAAACCCUAAAAAUAAUAUAAUGUCAAUUAAAUGAAUAAAUAACACAAAAUAAAAAAAAAUUUCAAAUACCUUAUUCAUGGGAUGAAUAAUGCACCCAGCUGCAAAUUAAAAUCUCAAUGCAUUAGCUGUUUGUGAGUGAUUUUGAGUAUGGAGUGAGUUUUCGUUGUGUGGAGUUAAAAAAAGUGAGAAGUAAAGAGUGUUAGAGACGAGUUGUGUGUGUUUUAUAUAUUUUUUUAAGGAUAUUUUAAACAAUGUAUCACAUAAAAAGGUAUAUCUAGAUAAUUUUCAAGCAUGUGAUAUAUUUAACUAAAUACCCUACUUUUAAGGUAUCUUUAAUUAAAAACCCUCUUAUAGUUGAUUGAGGGUAUGUUUGGAAUUUCUUUUACUUCCCAAUUAUUAAUUUUUACCUUGAUUAUCAGAAAAUUAAUUUUAUGAAUAAUUUAGCCGGGUGUUUGGUAAAUGAUGAUUAUUUGACAAUCAGUUUUUAAAUAAUCUACUAUAUAAAUCUGGUAAGUGAAAAUUAAAAGUAUAAUGUUCAUGUGCAAAUGACAAAAAUGUACUCAUUUACUUAUUUGUAAUUUAUUUAGAAUAUUAUUAUUAAAUAAUUUUUCUUAUUCAUUGGAUUUUUGAAGAGCAUAUUCUAUUUUCUUGAUUACAUAUUUAAAUAAUUUUUUAUUAACUAUUUUAAUUUGCAAUAAAAAUUAACUAUAAUAUAUUUAACUAAAAAAUUUGUUAUGUAGUCCGUAAUAUACACAAAUACUUGAAUUGAUUAAUAAGCUUAACUGCAAAAAAGAAAAUGCAAAAAUUUAAUCUCUAUAUAAACUUUUAUGUACACAAAACUAUUGUAAUAAAGUAAUUCAUAGAAAUAUAAUAUUAUAUACAUGUGUAAAGAAAUAUAUAACUAUAAUAUUAUCCACUUGUAGCACUAUUAUUUUUCAAUCUCUCCAUCUCUUGAUCUUCAAGAACGUUAGUACCAUGAUCUGCUUCUUGAGUUCGACCUCCAUUUCCACAGCAUCAACAAGGCAAUCAAUUUGCCGUGAAAGCCUUACAGCUCCUCCCACUUUCCUCCUUUUUGUAGCCACUCUUUUUCCCUUUCUUUAUUUAGUAGCUUCUAUGGAAAUGUUGUGAAAAUUUUAAUAUACUCGCAAGCGCACGAAUCUAGAAAUAGAAUAGUAGUAACGAGGUCGAUCCCACAGGGAUUGUUAUAAAUUAAAAAGUCUAAUUUAAAUCUAAAAUUAAUAUUAAUUCUAACCUAGUUGAGCAAAUUGAGUUUUUAAGAAAAUUAAACCAAUAAAACUAAGGAAGCAAUUAAAAUAAAGGAGAAUUCAAUAAGAUAAGAAUUACCAAGGUUUUAGAAUCCACCACUAUUCAACUAGUAAUUAUCUAAUUAUUAAUUAAUCCCCAAUUUUGGAGUGACAACUCGAAAUCAAUCUAUGUCAUCUCAUGGAUAUAACAAUUAAGCCCAAGUAAUUAAAUCUAAUGUAAGUUCUUUUUCUGCUUAAUAAUAUGACAUCUAAGAAUCUCAUGUAAACAUAUUGAAUAACAAAGAGUCAAAGUUUUCCUAAGCACUCUAUGUAAACAAUUUAAUGAAAGACAUAGAAUCAAAGAUAAUCAUGUAUAAACUUUAUAAAUUCAAGCAUAGAUUUAAUUGAAUAUUAAUCCUAACAAUCAAUAAUGCAUGACAGAAUUGAUGAAAAGAUUUUAUUAAUAUCUAAUUAAUCAUGUGAAAUAAAAACCAUAAUCAUCAAAGAACAUAUAUAGGGAAUUAAUUAAAUAAAAAGAUAAUUAUUUCAUUGAAUAGGGUUUCAUCCUUAACCUCAGUAUAAGAAAAUUAGUUAGACAUACUUGAAUUGAGAGCAACAAAAUAAAUAAAUUCAGCCAUGGGGAAGCCGAAUUGCUGCAGAUUUUCUUCUCUGUCUUGAAUCCUUGCGUCUCCAGUUCUCCCUUCUGACGGCUCUCUUGCCUUUAUAUAAUGUUACUAACUUGCUUAAUCCUUAUUGGAUUCUAAUUGCAUUAAUUCUUCUCCACCGACUUAUAAAGCCCACUCACCAAGGCCUUUUAAAAUUAUUUCCUUACUAAACUUUGAAAGCAAAGCACACGUUUGACCACAAAAGCAAAAGGCCAAUUAAUGAUUUCUUCUUUUAAUGCCCAGCACAUGCAUUCCAAAUUGCCAAAUCUUUGCUUUCCAAAUGCAUGCCCACCGUUCAUCCUUUGAAGAGAUUGACUUCCAAUUUUGGUCUUCUUGACUUCCAUUAAUUCUUGGUUGCAUUUUUGUCUUCCAAUUUAAUCUUUAUUCCUUCUCAAUUUGAAGUGUUUUCAUGCCCUUUUUAUCAACAAUCUCCAAUUAAUUCCCUAUUCAAUAAAACAAUUCAAUUAAUUAAAAAUAACAAAUAAAUAUAACUAGCAAUUAUAUUAUUAAGGGUAAAAUAUGUAUAUAAAUUAUGCUCAUCAGGAAACAAACUCAUCGAACUACCAGUACAUUUUUCAAUUAGAUAGGACUGAUAGUAGAUAUUCAGUACUCUCAGAUGGUGUGCAAACAUGAUCAUCAGUGAUUGUUGUCUUAAAAAGCAUUCUAUUUAAUUGUUCCUCUGACUCUGGCAUGCAAAAUUUCUUGAUUCACGAAUUUCCUACGUAUGUUGAUAUCAUAUUAAAAUGAAUUCAAUAUCACAUNNNNNNNNNNNNNNNNNNNNNNNNNNNNNNNNNNNNNNNNNNNNNNNNNNNNNNNNNNNNNNNNNNNNNNNNNNNNNNNNNNNNNNNNNNNNNNNNNNNNGCAUGUUGUGAGCUUAUUACCAAAAAUGAGACUAUAUAUUUAAGCCGAAUGGUAAAAAACUUCGGAUGGAGGAUGUGCCAUCUUUUUAUUUUAGAUGCUUUCGGAUGGAGGAUGUGCCAUUUUUUUAUUUUACAUGCUUUGUAAGACUUUUAAUGAUCGAGUGCAGUCAAUUAACAAAAGCUUACAUAUUAUUUGUUGAAAAUUGAUUUUAAAAAAAGAAGUCAAAAUGAUGGGUGGUUGAGCCUGUUGGGGAAAAAUCAGGUUUUUAAAUUUUUAUAAAACCUUUUGAAGAUCGCUCUCAUAUAAUAUAUAAGAAUUCGUAUUCUAGAAAUCGUACCUUGUAAAUCUGAGUUUGCUUUUUCCGCUGAAGUGAUUUAGGCUCCUAGAUCACGAUCCGCCACCACCACUCCUGUUAGAUCACGAUCCGUCACCACCACGCUUGUUAGAUCACGAACUGUCUCCAAUGAUCUUCCAGGUUAUGACUCAGGUUCGAUCUGCACUUGACGUGUGGGCGCCUUUAUCACUACCAAAGCAACUAGCACGAGAAAAUUUUUCUCUCAAAAAUGGAGAGAAAAAUCUUAUUCUCUGAUUUGUAUAAAGUGGCUUCUCCACUUUUUCUUUAGAGAAAAAUAAGCCUUUUAUAUCACUCUUUAGUGAAAACCCUAGGCUCCAAAUAAAAUAAAAUCAAAACCCACGUUAUUUACUUUUUCAAUAGGGGACCCACCUUGUAAAAUAACAUAAGGCCCGUUAUACAAAAGCUAAUUAAAUGGAGCCUCCCACUAAAUGAUAUAUUUAGGCUUUUGACCCAAAUUGCUAGUUAUCUUACUUAUUAGUCCAGUAGUGGUGCAAUCAAUUAAAUGAGCUAACCCGGGGAUCAUUUGGGAACAUACAAUAGUGGCUACAAUAAUUAGGCAUGUAAUUAAACUAGCCCAAUUAUUUAAUUCCAAAUCUACUCCACUAAAAGAUUGGAACUGACUUCCAUAAUUGUAUGCUCGAAUAAUAAUUCGUCCCAAGCCACAUUGAUUUCUUUACUGCACAAUCCUUUGUACCACAUCGUUAAUUAAAUUGAUAUCUCAACUGUCCAAUCAAUUUAAUAACAUCUUAUUCCUUGAUCCUUACUGGUUUUCUCUAAUGAUCAUUUUCAACAUACUAAAUAUGUUGACACACUCUGGCCAGAGAAUUCUAUGAUCAAGUACCGAAAACCUAUCAAGAGAUGUGUUGUACAAAUUCUAUAUUGUUAAUCCAUAACUCCAAUACUCAUAAUUGCUCCCACCAAGAUACCGGGUAAUCUUGACCACAAGGAUGUGUCGUGCCCAUUGGUAACUCAAAUGGAAUAACAAUCACAAUCAUGAAAUCAUAAUUAACUCAAGAUUAAGAUUACAGUAAAAUCAAUGCCUAUGAGAUUUAAUAAGUCUGACAGUUAUUACAAAGUUAAUUAAAUCUCAUAUGUGAUCCUGUUCAAUGUAGUCGUACUACAUCAAUAAAUUCAUACAUGAUUAAGACAAAUCAUUCAAUGAAUUUAUUACAGUCUAUACCUAAAUAAAGUGCCCAACUUUAUUUAUCAACUGCGAACUAAAUUUAUUUAAUCAUAAGAUAACUUGUAUUUAUGUCUUCUGUGAAUCCACAUGGUGAUCACAUAAAUACAUAUAAUAUGAUUAAAUGGACUUUAAUACAAAUAUUAAUGCAAUUAAGAUAUUUGAAUAAAAUACCUCAUUAAUUUUAUUAAUCAGAAAAAAUGUUUAUUACAAUUAAAUAAACACAUAUGCUUUUAAAGAGCAUAUUUUCCCAACAGAGCCAUCAUCUUUGAAUUCAAAGAUGGUGGGUGGCCAAGUUAGCCACCAUCAUUGAACAAGAAAAAAUGGGUGGGUGCCGCCCAUGCAAUGAAGAAAAGGGAGAAAAUGAAGCCAAAGUUUGGCUAUAAAUAGAGGGGUUCUCCCUCUCAUUUUUGUAUCCCAGAGAAGAAAUCCCAAAAUUUGAGAAGCAAGAAUAUGUAAGAGAAGCAUUGAGAGCUUCCAACAUGGGAGAGAAAUAUUCUUAAGCAUGUAUUUAUAUUGAAAGAGCAUUUGGCUCCUCAAUAUGGGUAUUACGGGUUUGAUUUGUUAAGGAAUAUUUCUCGCAAUUAUGUAUUUGGGGCUUGGGUGAGAGAAAAUUAUUUAUGAGAGUGUGGUUGUAAUAAUUUUCCACAUAGUGAAAUUUUUUUUUUCUGGUUGUCUCUUGACAACGGCUAUGGUUUUUCUCCGGAUUUGGAGUUUUCCACGUAAAUCUUGUGUUGUGUGAUUGUUGUAUUCUCCAUUUAAAUUUUUUGUUAAUUUGUUGCUUGACAAAUUGCUUGGAGUGAUCUUGGAAGGAAACUCAAUUUCCUAACAGUGGUAUCAGAGCCAUUGAUUGAAGUUUUGAUGUCGAGGUACUGUUCACGUAGACAUUACUAUUUCACGUAUACGAUAUUGUUCAUGUAUACGGUAUUGUUCAUGUGAAGCAGUGGGAGCCAAUCUAAAUUGUCCGUGGUGAAGAGUAUAGGGUCAUUAUAAAGCAAAUAUGUCAGUAGCUGGUAUUUUUCAAACUUGGUGGAGUUUGAUGUUGUUCAAAAAUUAAUGGGAGAAUGAUUUUUUGUUGGCUUGUGGAGAAUUCAAGUCAAAGGUGUAUCCAAUCUGGUAUGCACAAAGAUUUGAAGGUGUGGACAAUUUUGGCACCUCAAGAAAAUUGUCAAGAAGGUGGAGCGGGCUCGACAAAUUACUCCAGAAUCAGUAAAAGAAAUACUGAUAUUUCUCGCAGAUGGUGAAUUUGUUUUUGAUAAGAGAUUGGAUUAGUUCUUUUGGCAUGUAGAUCUCCAAGUUACCAUAAAAGAGAACAUGUUAUUAUCAGUGGGGUCCACAAGUUUGCACGAGGGCAUUGGCUUGGUAUAAAUGCAAGGUGUGUGGUGGAAAAGUUAUGUCAUGGCUGAAGAAUUCUCAGUGAAACCAAGCAUGAGAAUUGCACUAUAAAUUUCAGCAGGAUAUUUUGAUAUGUGCCGAGAAAAAUCUUAGAAUAGUUGAUUCUAAGUGGUAUACUCAUUAUGGUGUAGUGUGAUAAUUCUUUAUAUUGAGAAUUAUAACUAUUGGUGAAGACAAUGUUUUGUAGUAGUGACUAUGAAAUUCUUUUUUUUAAUCAUGGUAGAGAUUGUUGAAAAUUGAUUUUAAAAAAAGAAGUCAAAAGGAUGGGUGGUUGAGCCAUCAUCUUUGAAUUCAAAGAUGGUGGGUGGCCAAGUUAGCCACCAUCAUUGAACAAGAAAAAAUGGGUGGGUGCCGCCCAUGCAAAGAAGAAAAGGGAGAAAAUGAAGCCAAAGUUUGGCUAUAAAUAGAGGGGUUCUCCCUCUCAUUUUUGUAUCCCAUAGAAGAAAUCCCAAAAUUUGAGAAGCAAGAAUAUGUAAGAGAAGCAUUGAGAGCUUCCAACAUGGGAGAGAAAUAUUCUUAAGCAUGUAUUUAUAUUGAAGGAGCAUUUGGCUCCUCAAUAUGGGUAUUACGGGUUUGCUUUGUUAAGGAAUAUUUCUCGCAAUUAUGUAUUUGGGGCUUGGGUGAGAGAAAAUUAUUUAUGAGAGUGUGGUUGUAAUAAUUUUCCAAAUAGUGAAUAUUUUUUCUUUGGUUGUCUCUUGACAACGACUGUGGUUUUUCUCCGGAUUUAGAGUUUUCCAUGUAAAUCUUGUGUUGUGUGAUUGUUGUAUUCUCCAUUUAAAUUUUUUGUUAAUUUGUUGCUUGACAAAUUGCUUGAAGUGAUCUUGGGGUGAAACUUAAUUUCCUAACAUUAUUUAGGUGCUGAGAUGUCUGUUCUUGAUAAAGUAGAUUUAUUUACACCCAAGCCAACGUAACAAAAGCCUAAUAUACACAAUAAUUAUUUUUGUUAGACUGAUUUCUAGCUAAUGAGAUCUUUGAAAGCAUUCAAAGAAGCCACAGAACUCAUAGGAAAGCCCUGAUAAAAUAUACGGCGAAGCAUGUGAGCUCGUUUUUUAAUCUCUUGAUCACUCAUAAGCUUUUCUAUACCAAUGACUAUAUCAUUCUUUUGAAUCGAUUUUGAUUGAUCAUUAGAAAUCAUGUACCCCACCUUUAGAUGAUUGAUCACCAAUUUGGCAUUGUAAUGUUGAUCAUCUCUAAUUGGCCAUGCUAAAAUUGGAACCCCACACCAAUGGCUUCUACCAUUGAAUUCCAUCCACAAUGAGAUAAAAAUUCACCCAUUGAUUGAUGAUUCAAUAUCAAUAAUUGUGGCGCCCAUCCAUCUAUUAUCAAUCCCUUUUUACUGGCUUUACUACCCAAACCACUAUGAAAAUAAUUGCCUUCUGCUGGUCUGUCUAAACCAGUUAAAUGACACGGAGGAUCCAAUCUACCAGCACCAGUUUGAAUUACCCAAAUAAAUGGUUCAUUUGAUACUUCUAAAGCAUUGGCUAGUACUAAAUACUCAUCUAACUUGGACCCACUUCGAUACCAAAUGACACAUAUAACACAGAUCCUCAUGAUUUCAAAUCCAACCAUUGAAUGAUCUCAUCUUCGUUCAUGUUAGAACUCCACCGAUUGGUUCUCAUCUCACGAUCACGAAGCACUGAACCCGCCCCAUUUGUAAAAUUGUUCAAGUAAUAAUGGGCCUACUCCCCACAUUGGCUUUCCCAUUCGAUUGACUAAAUAAUGGGAGAUUGCCAAUUUUCCCCUACUAUAAUCAAUAUAUAUCAUUUAUUCAUUUACUAUUUUUAUAAUGGUCAAAAAUCCCCUUGACAGUAUAAGUUUAUAAUAUUACUUUUAUUUUUAAUUGCUCUUUUAUUUAUAUUUAUUAUAAAUAAAAUAAAUCACAUGAAUAAAAAAUAAAUAAAUAAUUAAGUAUUAAAAACAAGAAAUAUAUGUUUUAAUAUGAGCAAAAAAUUUAAUAAUAAAUUUUUCUUGUAAUUAUUUAUUUUGUGAAUAUUUUCUUAUAAUAAACAUUUAUAAUAUUUUAAAAUUAAAUGUAAAAAGAAUAGGCAAAAUAUUUUAUUAUUUAUCUUAUAAUAAAUUUUUAUUUGUCAUUCAAGUUUUCUUAUAAUAGUUUUUUAUCAUUUUAUAAUAAUUUUCUUAUAUAUUUAUUAUAAGAAAAUUUUCAAAAAAUAAAUAAGUACAAGAAAAAAUUACAUUAUUGAUUUUUUUGCUCAUAUCAAAACAUAUAUUUGUUAUUUUUAAUGCUUAAUUUUUUAUUUAAUUUAUAUUCAUGUGAUUUAUUUAAUUUAUAAUAAAUAUAAAUAAAAGAGUAGUUGAAAAUAAGGAUAAUAUUAUAAACUUAUGUUAUCAGGAAGAGUUUUUGGUCAUUAUAAAAACAGGAAGGAGGUAAAUGGUAUAUAUUGAUUACAAUAGGGGGAAAAUUGGUAAUCUCCCCUAAAUGAUUAAUAAAUGGUCCCUCAAGAUCAUCACAGGUGUUGAACAUCAAAGCCAUCCAUUCCUCCACUUCCUUCAUCCAGUGUGGUUGAUCACGGGGUUCGAUGGACUCAUUUUCUCUGAACCGGGCGCACCUCGCAAAGGUAGUGGACCACGAGGAAGGGGCCCGUGAGGCCCGUAUUUAAGCUACGAUUCGAAUAAAGCCAUAUCCUUGGGUAACCCAGGAAGUAAAUGGGCCUCUCCCGGUUUGACAUCUUGGAUGCGAGCCUGCUACAUGGCACACUCCACGCUGCUGAGCAAGCACCAGAAGUGAAGAACCCAACAAUGGGACCUUCAAAAUUCUUGAAAACAUCAGCCGUCCAGCCCAUCAUAACGUCGAUGACUGCACAAAUGGGUCGGGUUUCGGGUUCCCGGGUUGAAAGGGGUUUUGAAGGCCUUGAAGCAUUUGACUGUGCAUGACAACAUGGUGGUGGUGGUGGCAGUGGUGGAGAUGAGGAGAGUAUUUCAGUAAUUUCGAAUAGAGGGUAUUGGUGAAGAGGGGAAGGGAUGAUGCCGGUGCCGGAAAUGUGAGAGGGAACGAAUAUUUUAACAGGGACGGAGCCAGCGUGGGACGAGGUGGGGCACAGGCCCCAGCUGGCUUUUAAUUUUUUUUUAUAAUUAUACUAAAAUAUGUAUUUUAUUUGUUAUUUAUGAAAAAUGUCUCAGCUGAAUUGUAAAAUUUAAAAUUGACUCCAGUAAUUUUAAAAUAUUUCAUACUGUCCCUAAUUUAUAUUUUUAAUUAUAAAUUAUUUAAUUAGUUAUUAACAUUUCAUGAAACUUUAUUAAAGACACGAGAACAAAUAUUAAAAUAAAAAAUAAUCAUAACAAAAUGUUAGUAUAAUGGUUAAUGGACUAGUUUUUAAUCUUUUUAUUUUUUAUUCAAGUAAAAUUAAUUAUUUAGUCUUUCAACACUGACCAUAAGUUGUAAGUCUUCCUAAUUCUAAUUUAUAAUUUUCUAAUUAAUCUUUUAUCUAGUUUUAAAAUUUAUAAUUUUAUCAUGCAUUUCAUAUUUGUUCUGUGUGUUGCAAUAUUUGAAUAUUUUUGUUAUUAUUAAAAGAUUUUAAGAGCAAAUUAAGUAAUAACCUAGUCUUGUAUAUUGAAAAAUAUAUUUUUGCUUAUAUUGAUAAUUCAUUAUUUUCAACUCAUAAAAUCCCAUUGAGGAGAUUUCGCGGAGAACCAUUGUAAUAAGUAAAUUUAUUAUCAAUGAAUAUUAUAGUUGUAAUGCUAUUUAUUGAUAUCUAAAUUUUUAAAAAUGUAUUAUACUUUAAAUAUGCUUUCAAUUAGAUGCAUACAGACGCACUCUAUAAGAAGUACAAUUGUACAUGUAGCAAGCUCCCAUUUAGAGUUUAUAGGGCCCACAAUACAGUUUCUCAAAUGACGACUUAUCACACGAGCAAUCGUACAUUCGAGUCAUCUUUAAUUUUAAAUGUGCCCCAGCUCUAUCAAAAUCCUGGCUACGUCCCUGGGAACGAUGAGGGUAGAUUUGUAAUUACGUGAAGCGAUUUACUUGCAUAAUUCAAUGCAUGGAAAUAGAUGUCCCUGACCGAAGAAUGAGACAAUCCAAAUCUCAGCCUCAGCAGCAUUAACGACAGAGCUUGACAUAUUUUAUUAAUCAUUUGAUACUUAAUUAUUACUGACUGCUUUUGCCACCUUUCGUAAAACAUUCUUGGUUAUAUAUAAAAGAGAUGAUUUGAUGGCGAAGUGUGUGUUUUACUUUUACAGUUUUACUAGUCGGUGAGCUAUGAUUUUGAUAAUUUGAUUGUUAGUUUCAGUUGGUUAGUUAUGAGAAAGCAUCUUUCAAAAAAUUCAUUACAGUUUCAACUAAAAUUAACAAUACUAUUCAAAUUAAUUACUCGAUAAAUAAAUAGUCACAGAUAAAUCUAUCCCUAAUCACACAUUUAUAAAAUAAGGAUUGAAAUGAGUUUCUGUGGCUUCGAACCCACGCCCUCAAGCCCAGCGGCUGGAUCUUGACUACUUUGACAUAAUUAUUAUUAGUUUUUGUCCAUCUUUCACCAGGCAUCUUUUGUUAUAUAAUGAAGAAGAUAAGUUGACGGAGAAGAGUUCUACUUUUACUAGUAGAUGAGCAUUGAAGGUUAGUUUUAGUUAGUUAAAUAUCUACCAUCCAAACCAAAGUUCCUUAGACUAUUAUUCAAGUGAGAUGUUUGAGUAACAUAUGCUUGAGUUAGUCGGUGCCUAACAAUUCAUGUGAUACAUGAAACCAACCAAAUGAAGUUGGUAGGAUUAGAUUAAUUUAAAUGAAAAUAAAAAUUAGUUUAUGCUAUUUAUUUAUCUUAUAAUGUUGAAACUUGAAAGUUAACUCUUCAACCUGUCAAUUGGUUCAUGACAUGAUCAAAUAUUCAAGUAAAUAAAUUUAUCGGUUAAAAUUAAUUUUUCAUGUGGUAAAAGCAAUACUAAAUAUGGAGUGGAGAGAAUCAUUUGUAGGUUAUACCCCCACCUUUUAUUUCAUUUCAUUUAAAAAAAAAAACAACAACAACAACAAAGGCUUGGUCAACAUCCAAGUAAAAUUAACAAUUCCAUGAUAAAAUUGCCUGAGAAUAAAAAUUAAAAAAAAAAAAAAACAGCAACUCGAAAACGAGAUACAAAUACCGCACAGAAGUUUUUCGUCACGAGAUAUUUUUGGGUUGAGACAACGCUUGUAUAACAGAGCAUACAGCUUGGAUGACGGUGAGAAUAAGAAGGAAAACGGCACCGCAGACCGAAAUUCCAGCCCAUGGAGUAUUGAAGUAAUUUUGUUUCAAGUUUGCCCUCCAUUUGUAGCACGUUCUUUUGCAGUGAUCAUUCAAUCCUUUGCAUAGCCCAGAAAAAUAGAAGCUAUCAGACAGCAGAGUAGUACCUCUAGAAAGGUUAUUUAUAAGCGUUGACGCUGCCUCUUUAUCCGGCAACCAGUUCUCAAUGAUUCCGUUCUGAACAAGCAACUCGACGUCCUUCGCUGUGUUCACGAGAUUAUGAAUAAGGAACACGUAAUCAUUUAUGUAAUUCUCUGAGUAAUGCCGUUGUUCAAAGGCAAUGAGAUUACGAAAUAAGGAUUCCGUUUCCAGCUGUAGCUUCAGUUUCGGAAUAUGCAAUGUCCUGUUUUUGAAUUCUAUGGCGAACAAAUCAUUGCUCUUGCUCAAACUGAAGUGGACUCCAGCUUGGUGGAGAUCAGUCACACUUGGUGCGGUUUUACCUUUGUGGUAUUGCUGACCUUCUUGUUUUUCCUGAUUCCUUGAUGAUGGUAGAUGACAAAUCCUUAGAAAAUCAAGGAAAUGCUCUACCCUAGCCUCAGUGUAAGGAGGGAAUUUUUGCCGAUUACCUUGUACUGCCUCUAAACCCUUGAAAUACUCGUAUGUGACUGUGAUGAUGGUUGGAUUUUCAUGUUGGUCGGGGAUUUCAAUUGCCGCUAGAGCAAAAAGAUCCUCAAGAGUGAAGAAAGGAAGCUGAUUCUCAAGCAACCACAUAUCAUACCAUAUAUCCUCUAUUAAAUAGGGUUUUAUGAAAUAUAUGAUCAUCCUUUUUUUGAAGUUGACGGAAAUGAUACCUCAAUAAGAGUUCAAUGAUGAAGGCAGCAUCCAGCAGAAUCAUUUCAACAAAUUUAUCACUACUUAGUUCGACUUUUCUGCAUAAGAACCUCGUAAUUCUGCUUCUCUGAACUUUAUAAUUUGAACAAACUCGUCAAAGCUUAUUUUGGUCCGUUGAAGAAAGUAAUGCAGGUACCGCUGUUUAUGUUCUUCCAUUAACUGUAAGUUUGCUUUGCCAUGGUGAAGAGGGCCAAUUGAGACUACCUGAGGUGUGUAUACCUUUUCAUUUAUCUGACGUAAUCGCUCUGGAACUCUGUAGAUGCAGCAGUUUGAGGGCAAUGGUGAUAAUUUUUUCAACUUAACUUGCAAGCAUUCUUCCAUGUUAUAAACUGAAAACAUGGCGCGAAAUUUAAUCAAUUCAACGCUUAAUAAGGCAUAGUAAUUAAAAAAGAAUUAAAAAAAAAAAAUACAAGAGCAUUCUUACAAGUACAGAAGCACCUCAAUCCCUACUAUUUGCAGAGCUGUAGCCAGGAUUCAAUGAUAGACCGGACUGAACUAAAAGGAACAACUUUCUUAGGAAUAUGUUAUCGGCAUUUUCUCUGGCCUCAGGCCAUCAACAAAGCAGUUUCAGUGCUUCUUAUAUAAUUCCAUGGAUUAUUCCUUGCCUUUACAGAUGAUAUAAGUCACAAUUCAUAUAUUAAUUUCUCCAGAUUCCGUACAAGUGGACCAUAACUAUGGAAAAAUUCAAAGAAUGCAACAGCCAUUUGAUUGGUCCAUGUCAGAAGUUAAUCUGGGGAAAGAAGCUUGAUCUAGCUGUAAAAUUCUCUCCUUCAAUCAGUCAGUUUGGGGCAGCAACAAGAUCAAAGCCACCACGCAAACAUUUACUAAAGUUUAUAUAAUAUUCUUGAACCUCAUCUUAAGUAAAGCAACAAAAGCCUUCACUGUUUCUUAACAACUUUAUUGCUCUAACACAUAGCAUAACAUUUUUAAAUUUGCAUAAAGCACAAUAGUACUUCAGUUUGUAACAACAGCACGGAUAAUAAAUAGCAUUUUAUAGCUUUAACAAAAGCAUACAAAAUUCUUAAACCUUGUUUCAAGCAAUCCAUUAAUGCCACAAGGAUAUCUUUUUGCUUCCUACAGUUUUUAUUGAAAUUCAUAUAUUCUUCUUUAUCAAAUUAAGUAAUUUUCCUUUUUCAAAAAAUCAAGAAGGUUUCGACUGCAUGGAAAUACAGCACACAAUUACUACUAUUCCCGGAGUAAGAAAUUCAUAAAUGCAAUAUAAACAUACAUUUUCAUAAGACAUCAGAAUCAAAGAAUCAUCAAUGCAUCAAAUCUGUACACCCAAAAAAGUUGAAAGCAUCAAGAGAAAAUUAUACCGCAUGGACCCUUUACAACCCUUAUAACGAGUUCAGACAGCCUAAUCCAAUUUGAUAGAUUUGAGGACAGCUACAAUGUGCAAUACAAAAUUUCCCAAUACUAUUUAGAACAAAGUCUAGAAAACAAAACUUAUAUAUUGUACAAAAUCAUGAAAACCAGAAAUGACGAAAAACCUGCAAAUGUAAUUUUUGGGUUUCUUCAACAUAUCUUCCAUCCAAAUCAAACAAGAAUCGAUAAAUCAACAACAUUCAUCUUUAAACGACAUAUUACCACAAUAAAAUUGUCAACCAAGCCUCAUAUAAACCUUUUUUGUGUUUUUUGGUAAAUAUGUUUGUUUUUCUCUAAGAAUACUAGGGAAAAAAGAAACCCACUUUCUUAAUCAAGAAUCAAAUAAUAUAUAUGAAUCUAAGCUGAAGUAAGUCUUGGGUUUGAUGAAAUAGCUUGCAUUGCGAUUUAGAUUGGAAAGGAAGUUGAUUUUUACUGGUUGAGAGAGAGAGAUUUGAGACUUAAGAGAGUGUUGCUAAUCUUCAAUCGUGUAAACAAGGGUAACUGGGUCAUAGUUCAAAAUAAGGGUCCAAAAUUUACUAAAGCUAUUAAGGAGCCCAAAACUCAUAAUGGCUUCCCCAAAAUAAAUAAAAUUUUCUAGCAUUAAGUUUUUGUUUCUUCUUGAGAUUUCCUUGUCGUACUUACCCAUAUUUCGAUAUUGCCUCCAAGUAAACUUAUAUAUAUUGAUUAACAAUAUAAACAAGCACUAUGAAGUUUUAGGCCUGAAAGAACAUUAGGAUUGAAAUGAAAACCAUCUAUUUAAGUAACAAAUUCUUCUGAUAAUCUGAUGCUUAAUUUAGAGAAGAGAUGACAUAUCAAUCACGUUAUGAUGUGGAAGUUAUGAUUAUAUUCAUCUUAGAAUAAGAUCUUUCAGGCACUGGCAGAUUAGUAUAAAAAAUACUCAGCAUAAGACCUACAAACUAGAAAUCACGCACCAAUUAUUGAACUCAGCACAUAAGUUGAUCUUUUAUAAGCUAUAAAACAAAUCUGCUAUAACAUAAGAAAGUGGGAUUUAUCACCAGACAAGUAUUUUGGUGAAACUCAAGCUGACGGAAGGAUAUCCAAAGCAACCUCCUUAAGGGAAGGCAUCACUUCCUGCUGAUGCAAACAUAUAUAUUUAUUACUCACUUUCUUGAGGACCUUCUAGGAACCUGGGUAGCACCUAACAGAAAGUGGAAAAGAAUAAAAUGUAAAAUAUAAGUUAAACAGCAGGAAAACAGUGAGUGAUACUAGGCAAGCAUUAAUAUGUUGCCGCAAGAAAAGUGUCAGUAACUAGCUAGCAAACCUGAAAAGGGUUCCUCCAUUACGACCCUUAAAAUUGUGAAUGUAAUAUAUGGUCUCCAUCACAGGAAAAAGUGUUUUGGAUAGUGCAGCCAGCUUAGGGUAGAAGAAUGACGGAUAAUCUUAGCUCAUUUAAGGAAAUCCUCUCUGAUCCUUUCAUUGCACAUUCCAAAACAACUCUACUACAACCAAGUUACCAAUUCUUUUUGUUAAGUCAUUGUUAUUUGUUAAAAAAAAAAAAAAGUCUUCCUUGUAACAUUUUAUUGAAAGAUAUAACAUGAUCAUCCCUAUUAAUUCCCUUUUAGAUUUCUGUGAGUGAAUUUCAAAUUAUUGUAUUAAAAAAUAGAAGCAAAAGACCCACUUUACUUUCAAUUUCUGCAACAAGAUACCAAUUGAAGGACCAAAAAGUUGUAAACAAGCAAUUCAAUGAGUGGACAUCUAGAAACUGCUAUAUAGCAUCAAAAUCAUACUAAAUUUACAGAAAGCACGAUAAGAAUGAAAGAAUGGUGAAGGAUACACCCAGACCUUAUCCGGUCAAGUUCUCCAUUGAAUAUAAUCAGUUUCCGGGCAGUAUUGAAGACAGCUUCUUUGUAAAGCUCUUCAACGACAAGCAUUUCUACAAGACAAAAGAAAAGCAAAAUUAAUUACCUUAAGGAAUGAAUAUCAAUGAGAAGACAAGGUGUAAGACUACCAUUGACAUUAAAAUAUGGAUAGGCGACUAGAAACAAUUCAUCUUCCGGCUUCACACGGUCUGCCAUUUUAACCUUCUCAGUGAAUCCAAAAUCCUCAAAGAAUGAAGGUUUUGUUAGAUAGUCCAACUUAAAUGAUGAUCCUUCAAAGACCGAUUUUCUUGCAAAUUUGACUUCAUUUGCCUCUGGGAAAAACUAAAAACCAAAUGACAGACCAAGAUCACGAAACGAAUCAUGAACGUAGAUAUCAGAUAAUCAGAAAUGGGCAUUAAACAGACUACUAACAAGUAGGAAAUGCAUACAGAAAACAUUAUUCAUACACCUUAUGCACAUGAAAUAUAUAUGCAGAGGGAUCCUCUUGUGAAUUUAGUUUAUAUCCUAAUAUGAGACGAUGAACAAUUGGAUGCCAUCUAAGGGCUAACAUUUGUUUGAUUAUUAUAUGAAAAAAAAAAAAAACAGAGUUGAUUGAUGGCCUUUGAUGGAUUGCCUACACUCCUAAAGUGCAGAGAGCCUGAUUGAUUGCUUUACCUGCCCCCCACACACACUUGAUUUUAUUAUCUCUCUUUUCAAAUAUAUAAUCAUUGCCUGUCUUUCAUCCUGAUCCAGCUCUCCUUCCAGGCACCAGCUGUGUUUUCUUCAAUUCAGUGAAACAUUCACUUUCAGGUAAGAAUAAACUUGUCCUUCCUCAAAAACCAACUUCUCACCAUGAAGCUUUCUUUUUUAAAACAAUUACUAGUCUAGCAUAAUUGAAGACAACUCAGAAUUGAAAAAGCCAUACUUUAAUGUCUGCUGUUGGGACCUCAAGACCAGGAACAAAAAGCUUCUUUCUAACCGUUGGAUUAACAAGUAGAAAUAGCUUUUUUCUGAAGGACCCAACAUUGCAUUGAAAAAUUCAACAAAAUGACUGGCGUCAUAUUUAGUCCUGCUAGAAUUUUGUGCACUUAACACAAUGGCUAAUAAUUGGCCCAGCGGACACUUUGUCGAACUACUGGCAACCUUGACUGUGGAAAUGCAUAUUUCAAAUGUUGGCAGGCUCUAGCUUCUUGAUGUACUGUUGAUAGAAAUGCCUAUUUCAAAAGUUGGCAGGCUCAAACUGCCGAGACUUUGGUUUCUUACAUUUCAAACCCACAAAUAAAACUUUGGCAGAACCCCAGAAAGAGCUACACCUCCCAAAUUUGAUGACAUAUGAGGAGACCAUGCCUAGUGCUUGGUUCGGCAAAUGAGUAAGUUUGAAAGAAAUUGAGGGAAACCUUUCCCACAGAGAGUCAUAUUGAAGGUUACAAUUUGAAGACUUUGUCCCCUGUCGCCCGUAACCUUCUUUGAUCUCUUUUCUUAGUCAUAAAUAAUCAAACAUGUGUUAGUCGUUGGAUGCAAUCCACUCACUGACAUCUCAUGUCCACAAUCAAUCAACCAUAUUUUAAUAGAAAUGAAAACAUUUUAAUUAAAAAAAAUGAGAUAGGAACAAAAUCAAACUUGGCAGACAUGGUCUAUGAGAUUUUAAAGAUGCUUGGUGAAAGUUGUAUUCAAGAGUUCAACAGUCAGUUCUAUCACCUAUGGCAAAGUAACCACCGCAACUAAAGCAAUUACAAAACAUCAAGAAGCUUGAACUUGGCAAGAGGUCUCAUUAACAGUAUACCUCAGAAAUUAAGACAGACUUAAAGUGCAAGCUUUUGGAUUUAUUUAAACACUGAAAAUAAUAUGGGUAGAAGCUCCUAUGGUCACAGCAAACAAUUACAAAGCACAAAACCCAAAAAACAGAUAUGCAAAAAGCUGCAAAAGAACAUUAUUAGCAAUUGACAUCUGCUUUUGCUCAGACAAAGGUUCUCAUAACAAAGGACUUAGUGAUUAUCUGUCAUAUGUUUAUGUUAAGGGGAAAAAGGAAGUUUGUUUUAGUCAAUCUCACGUCUAAUGGCAUUUAUAAGGAGCCCAAAAAUAAAAGAAAAAAUAAAGAGUUAGUAGGUGUUUCUUGCAGCACAAAGAAAAUUUAUCAUUCAUGAAAAACUUAGUAUGGAAAAAGCUAACUCAUUUAUCUGCCAAUGGAGAAAAACUUGUUGUCCACCCACUAAGGACCCACCAUUGGCAGGUCUGAUGGAUCCCAUGGAUGGGAACCGCAAAUAUUUUAUUCUAAAUGACAUGUGUAUUGUACCCAUAUCAUUUAAUUUGUAGAUUCCACUGAUGGAACUCAUCAAACUUGCCAAAUGGCAGGUCCUCCGUGGGUAGGCGCAUCACUUCAGCAUCCUUCUCCACCGAUGACCAAAUUUGGACUCAUUUAAAAAGAAUACAAAGCAAAACUAACUGACAUAAAUUGCAUAGAGAUCUAGGAGCCAAAUCAAUGUUGUUAACUCAUCCAAUUAAUACAUUCUCUUAGAGGCAGGGACGGAGCCAGCGUGGGACGAGGUGGGGCACAGGCCCCAGCUGGCUUUUAAUUUUUUUUUAUAAUUAUACUAAAAUAUGUAUUUUAUUUGUUAUUUAUGAAAAAUGUCUCAGCUGAAUUGUAAAAUUUAAAAUUGACUCCAGUAAUUUUAAAAUAUUUCAUACUGUCCCUAAUUUAUAUUUUUAAUUAUAAAUUAUUUAAUUAGUUAUUAACAUUUCAUGAAACUUUAUUAAAGACACAAGAACAAAUAUUAAAAUAAAAAAUAAUCAUAACAAAAUGUUAGUAUAAUGGUUAAUGGACUAGUUUUUAAUCUUUUUAUUUUUUAUUCAAGUAAAAUUAAUUAUUUAGUCUUUCAACACUGACCAUAAGUUGUAAGUCUUCCUAAUUCUAAUUUAUAAUUUUCUAAUUAAUCUUUUAUCUAGUUUUAAAAUUUAUAAUUUUAUCAUGCAUUUCAUAUUUGUUCUGUGUGUUGCAAUAUAUGAAUAUUUUUGUUAUUAUUAAAAGAUUUUAAGAGCAAAUUAAGUAAUAACCUAGUCUUGUAUAUUGAAAAAUAUAUUUUUGCUUAUAUUGAUAAUUCAUUAUUUUCAACUCAUAAAAUCCCAUUGAGGAGAUUUCGCGGAGAACCAUUGUAAUAAGUAAAUUUAUUAUCAAUGAAUAUUAUAGUUGUAAUGCUAUUUAUUGAUAUCUAAAUUUUUAAAAAUGUAUUAUACUUUAAGUAUGCUUUCAAUUAGAUGCAUACAGACGCACUCUAUAAGAAGUACAAUUGUACAUGUAGCAAGCUCCCAUUUAGAGUUUAUAGGGCCCACAAUACAGUUUCUCAAAUGACGACUUAUCACACGAGCAAUCGUACAUUCGAGUCAUCUUUAAUUUUAAAUGUGCCCCGGCUCUAUCAAAAUCCUGGCUACGUCCCUGCUUAGAGGUCAUACCUUGGUAACUCAUUUGAAAAGAAAUUAAAAGAAAAACGACUGCACAAAUUGUACUGAGCUCAAGAAAACCUGUUCAAGGUGUUCACUUGUCCAACUAAUAAAAGUCAUCAAGGAUUGUAUCGGGGACUUGGGACCAAUCCUGCCUUAACGAGAGAAAGGGAAUUUAGGAGGAAGAAGAUAACCUCUUUUCCUAGAACCCUUGAGAAAAUUAUUGAAGAAAUAUGUAUCUCCUUUUCUUAUUUUUACAAUAGGGUUACACAAUACAUAUAUAUAUAUUCUAAACUACAUAAUGUGCUAGAGUAGGAAAGUAAACAACUAACUGCAGACCAAGAAACUAGGAAACAAACUCUAUCUAAAAAACUGAAAUUCUAUCCCUAUCUUUUUUCUUUUCUAUCCCUAUCUUUUUUCCUUAAAAACAGGAUAGAAAACAAGUGACUUUUCCACACUCCCCCUCAAGCUAGUUCGAAGAUAUCAAUCAUUCCCAGCUUGCUAGUUAGUGACUCAAAGCUUGAUUUAUGAAGUCCUUUAGUAAGAAUAUCAGCUAGCUGCUUUGUUGUUGGAACAAAGGUCAUGCAUAUCAAACCACUUUCUAUUUUCUCCUUGAUAAAAUGACGAUCCACUUUGUUGAGUGUUAGAAAAUGCAUAUUUAUAAAGGAGAAAACCAUCAUUUUACAUUUCAAGUCGUACUAACAACUCUUACUUUUAUGUAUUUAACCUUCUUGUGAUAUAAUUACGUGUGUUUUAUUUUAAUUAAGUAUUUUAUGUAUUUUAGGGGCAUUAUAGUCAUUUCACAAUAAAGGAGAGAUUAGACGGCAAAACGGACAUCACUUUUGAACUCAGGACGGUCGAAAACCUUAGGAGGAGCAUAAAAGGAAAAAUGGCACUAUUCAUAUGUACGGUACUAUUCGCGUGUACGGUAUUAACUACGUUACUGUUCACAACACUGUUCACAACACUGUUCACAUAGACGGAUCGAUGACGUGGCAUUGACCGAUGAUGUGGCAUUGACUGAUGAGGUGUCACGAUCCUGUUGGGCUAAAAUUCUUAUGUACUGUUGAUGGUGACGUGGCAGCAUAUCAGUGGAUGAAAAAUCUCGCGUACGGUACAUGCAUCACACAUGAUUAUUCUCAACCAAACCGUGUUACUGUUUAUCCGAGUCAAACCGUGUUACUGUUCAUCCACGUGGUCAAACCGUGGACUGUUGACUUAUGACGUGGCGCAAUCCUGAGCGUCCAAACUGUUUUUAAUCUGAUGGCCAUGAUUUACUCCAUGUAUCUAUAAAAAGGGGGCCUUCCCCCCCUAAUUUGAUAGCUCUGAAUCCAUUUUUGGGAUCCAUUUUCUGUAAUUCCUUCUCCAUCUUGUAUUUUCUUUGUAUUUUAAUAAAUUCCCAUUUUGCCCCUAGUUCAAUUAUGAGUGGCUAAUUUUCUUUCAAGCUUGGGUUGAAGGUGAAGUCUCAACAUGUGUCAUGGGCUUAAUUUGGUAAAUUUAUUUUCUCUUCCCCUCUAGUUUUUGUGGAUGUUUUGACUUCUCGUCGACAAAUAAUAAUAAUCUUGUCUAGAUACCGCCUUGGUUACACCGGCUCUCUAGUAUAAGGUUAUUAUUAUUUGGCACGAUAAGCCCUUAGCACCAUAUUGAUUAUAGCGUGGUUCAUGAGGUGUGGAUUCCCCCCUCAUGAUUUAAUUGGCAUUAAUAAAGAUUAUUUAGCCCAUGAUGCAUGUUGAUACGGAUCCAGAUACCCAAGUACGUCAUUUUAAUAGAAUUCUCUUCAAUUUAUUCUCGCCAUUUCAAUUCCAAUUUUAGAAUUUAUUCUCGCCAUUUUAAUUUAAGUUUUAGCAUAUCCCAAAUCAUUUCCACCACAAAUCCAAUCACCCAUUUACAAAAUUAAUUCUACACAAUUAAAAUCCACCUCCUCGUGGGAUCGACACUCGUCACCAUUAGUCUAUACUACAAUAGAUUCGUGCGCUUGCGAGUACAUUAAAAUUUGCACAACAAGUUUUUGGCGCCGUUGCCGGGGAGGUAAGUAAUUUUAAUUCAUAGAAUUAAUUUUUGUGAAUAAUUUCUUUUAUUUAUUUUCUUGUAUUUUUUUUUAUUAUUAAAAAAAAAAGUAAAUCUACAUUUAAAGGUUAGUAUUUCUUUUCUUUUUCUCUUCUUUAAAAUUCUGUAAUUUAAUUUUCAAUUUAUUUUUCUUUGUAAUUUUUUUUUGUUUAUUUUAUUAAUUUAUUUUUAGUUAAUUUAUUUCACGUAUUUAUUUUUGUGUAUUUUUAUAGUAAGGUUGUAAUAGCGCAAUAAGGUUAGUAUUGUAAUUUCUCUCUCUUCUUUAUUUUUAUUUGUUUUGUUCCAUCUUUAUUUUUAUUUUAUUUAUUUUGUAUGCAUGGUCGUAGGUCUUUAUUACCUAAUCUUGAACCUAUAGACCUUGAACUUGAGAAAACACUUCGCACACACAAGAACGUUAAAAAUAAAUUUGAAAUGGAUUUACAAGCACCACAGGAGAGGCCAUUUAAGGACUAUUUUAGUCCCUUAGCUAAUUUGAGCACAUCAUGCAUAAGAUACCCAAAUGUAGCUGCUAGGAGUUUUGAAUUAAAACCUAGUGUGCUAAAUUGUCUCCCCACAUUCUAUGGCCUAGAAAAUGAGGACCCAUAUAAUCAUCUGAAUGAUUUUCAUGCCAUUUGUCAAACUUUUAAAUAUGAAAAUUUUUCAGACGAUGAUGUUAAACUUAGAUUAUUCCCAUUUUCUUUAAAGGAUAGAGCUCGUUCAUGGUUAAAUACUUUGCCUGCUAAUAGCAUUGCAUCAUGGGAACAAAUGGUUACAAAAUUUCUAAAUAAAUAUUUCCCAGUGCAUAAAACCAAUUCUAUUCGCAGGGAAAUUUCAGAGUUUACACAAAGAGAGGACGAGCAGUUUUUCGAAACUUUGGGAGUGAUUCAAUGGGCUACUCUUGAAGUGUCCACAUCAUGGGUAUGAGAAAUGGCACCAAUGCCAAUACUUUUUGGAGGGAUUAUUGCCAAAUGUGCAAGAAUGGCUAAUGGCAACAAGUGGAGGAGAGCUAAUGUCAAAAAGCGCAACAGAGAUUUGGGAAUUCUUCCAGCGACAAGCGGAUAAUUCCCAACAACGGAGUCGAUCACUCAGGAAUACUAGAAGAAUUAAGGGAGUAAAUGAGGUUCAAAUUGGCGAGUCAACUUCGGGAAUCAAAGAAGUCAAGGAGAUAGUUGAAGGUCUUGCUCGACAAAUAGCAUCGUUGUCGACUGCUAAAUCAACAGAACCACAUGACCAUGACUCAUACUCCGAUCAAGCCAAUGCCAUAGGUGUAAUGAGAAAACCAUCGAAUUACAACCCAUACUCCAACACAUAUAACCCUGGAUAGAGAGACCACCCCAAUUUUUCAUGGUCUCAAGGAUUCCAACAGAAUGGACCAGCAGCUCCAGCUCCACAAAUUCCUCAAGUUCCUCAAGCCUCUCAGCCCCCAUUUAGACCAUUUAAUCAGAACCAGAACUACUCUCAACCCAGACCAUGGGAGGAUUCAUUCCAGAAUCUCAAGAAUCUUACUCACUCCACGAUUGAGCAGCAGAACCGCACCGUUGAUGGACUACGAAAUGAGUUGAGAGCAGGCUUCAACUCACAAGAUCAAUCAGUUUCAAACCUCGAGAAAAUGGUGGGACAACUUGCUUCUUCAGUUCAGACCUUGGCAAUGACUGUUGAGAAAGGAAAAUUUCCAAGUCAACCAGUGCCUAAUCCUAAAGGAGUGCAUGAAGCAAGUACCAGUUCACCACAGCAGCAUGGGGAGGUCAAAGCAGUCAUGACCUUGCGAAAAGGAAAGGAAGUCGACAACAAAGUGGAGAUGCCGGUGACAAAAGAAAAUCAAAUUGUACCUGUGAAUGUUGAGGACUCACCACCGGAGGAAAAAGAAGAAACCAACCCACGAGAAUAUGUUCCUAAAGCUCCAUUUCCUCAGAGGUUAGCGAAAGGAAAGAAGGGAAAUUCCACAGGUGAGAUUCUCGAAAUCUUCAAACAGGUAAGUGUUAACAUCCCUUUACUUGAUGCUAUAAAGCAAGUUCCAUCUUAUGCUAAGUUUCUUAAAGACCUUUGUACUAAAAAGAGAAAUAUGCAUGUUCAAAAGAAGGCAUUUUUAACAGAAAACGUUAGUUCUAUACUCCAACAUAAAAUUCCUUUAAAAUGCAAAGACCCAGGCUCCCCCACUAUCUCAUGUAGUAUAGGGAACCACACAAUUGAGAAUGCUUUGUUGGAUUUAGGAGCUAGUGUAAAUCUUUUGCCUUACUCUGUAUUCGUGAAACUUGGACUGGGAGAAUUACACCCAACUCCAGUGGUGUUACAGCUUGCAGAUCGGUCCACGAAAAUACCUCGUGGUAUUGUGGAGGACGUGCUUAUCCAGGUAGACAAGUUUUAUUUUCCUGUUGAUUUCAUUGUAAUUGACACUCAACCAAUACAGGAUUCAAGGAAGCACAUCCCCAUUAUUCUAGGCCAACCUUUCUUGGCAACUGCGGAUGCUCACAUUCAAUGCAGGACUGGAAAUAUGCAAUUGUCCCUCGGCAACAUGACUAUGGAGCUGAACAUCUUCAAUAUUGCCAAACAACCUCAUAAUGCAGAUGAUAGAAUUGUAGACGUGGAUUUAAUUGAAGCAUUAGUUGAUGAUACUUUUGUUUCAAACCUUAGUGAUGAUCCUUUACAAACAUGUUUAACUCACUUUGGUUUGGAUUUUGAUAUUGACAGAUCGGUCGAAGAGGUCAACGCCCUGCUUGACUCAGCACCAUACAUGGACACUAAUAAAUGGAAGUUAAGAGUUGAACAACUAGCACCAUCAGAGAAGAAACUCAUCCCAUCAUCAGAAUCACCACCGAAACUCGAGGUCAAACCAUUGCCCAACACAUUGGAAUAUGCAUUUUUGGGAGAAGAAAUUACUUUGCCGGUAAUCAUCUCAUCAUCCCUAAAUGACGAACAAAAAGGUAAGUUGUUGGAUGUUUUAAAAGAGCACAAAGGAGCAUUAUGAUGGACCAUAGCAGACAUAAAAGGUAUAAACCCAGUAGACUGCAUGCAUUACAUUCACCUUGAUGAAAAUGCUAAAUCUACUAGGAAAAUGCAACGUCGGUUAAAUCCUAAUAUGAAAGAAGUUGUUAGAACAGAAGUCCUUAAGCUAUUAGACGCAGGUAUCAUUUACCCAAUUUCUGAUAGUUCAUGGGUCAGUCCUGUACAAGUUGUCCCCAAAAAGUCAGGAGUCACAGUAGUUACGAAUGCUGAUAAUGAAUUGAUACCCACUAGAGUAACUACAGGAUGGCGUGUAUGCAUUGAUUAUAGAAAGUUGAAUUCUGUCACACGUAAAGACCAUUUUCCUUUACCAUUUAUUGAUCAAAUGCUUGAUAGAUUAGUAGGCCAUGAAUUUUAUUGCUUUCUAGAUGGCUACUCAGGAUAUAAUCAGAUUCCCAUAGCACCAAAAGAUCAGGAGAAAACUACUUUCACUUGCCCUUUUGGCACAUUUGCAUAUAGGAGAAUGCCAUUUGGAUUAUGUAAUGCACCUGCUACAUUUCAACGAUGCAUGUUGAGCAUUUUUUCUGAUAUGGUUGAACAAUUCCUUGAAGUCUUUAUGGAUGACUUUUCUGUUUUUGGUAACUCGUUUGAUCAAUGUUUACAUCAUCUAACGCUAGUUCUGCAGAGAUGUAUCGAGAAGAAUUUAGUCUUAAAUUGGGAGAAAUGCCAUUUUAUGGUAAAACAAGGUAUUGUUCUCGGUCACAUCAUUUCGAGCAAAGGUAUUGAGGUUGACAAAGCCAAGGUGGAUCUCAUUUCUAAUCUUCCUCCACCUAAAACAGUCAGAGAAGUACGAUCUUUCCUUGGACAUGCUGGUUUCUAUAGACGUUUCAUUAAAGAUUUUAGCAAAGUUUCUAGACCCUUAUGCAAUUUACUUGCUAAGGAUGUACCUUUUAUCUUUAAUGAUUCAUGUCUCAUGGCGUUUGAAAAAUUAAAGCAAUUGUUGACAUCAUCACCCAUCAUUCAGGCCCCAAACUGGAGCUUACCAUUCGAGCUCAUGUGUGAUGCAUCUGAUUAUGCAGUAGGAGCAGUAUUAGGACAAAGAGUUGAUCGAAUUCCCCAUGUUAUUUACUAUGCUAGUAUGACAUUCAAUGAUGCACAGUUGAAUUAUUCAACUACUGAAAAAGAAAUGCUAGCAGUAGUGUUUGCAUUAGAAAAAUUUCGAUCUUAUCUCAUUGGUUGUAAAAUAAUUAUAUUCACAGAUCAUGCUGCUCUUAAAUAUCUUCUCACAAAGAAAGAUGCAAAAGCUAGACUAAUUCGUUGGGUAUUACUUUUGCAGGAAUUUGACUUGGAAUUCAAAGAUAAGAAAGGCACAGAAAAUGUCGUGGCGGACCAUCUCUCUCGUCUCCAUUUUGACACAAUUACAGAGCCAUUAAUAUUAAAUGAGUCAUUUCCAGAUGAACAAUUAAUGAGUGUGGAAGUAUUACCUUGGUAUGCUGAUAUAGUUAAUUAUCUUGUUACAGGUAAACUUCCAGAGCAUUGGACCAAGCAAGACAAGGCUAAAUUCUUUGCGGAAAUAAAGAAUUUCUUUUGGGAUGACCCAUAUUUGUUCAAGUAUUGUGCAGACCAAAUUGUUAGACGAUGUGUCCCUGAAAAUGAAAUUCAGAAUAUUCUUUCAUUCUGCCAUGAACAAGCUUGUGGAGGCCAUUUCAGUGCUAAGAAAACAACGACUAAAGUUUUACAAUGUGGUUUCUAUUGGCCAACUAUAUUUCGAGACGCUUACACUUUCUGUUCUUCAUGUGAUAGGUGUCAACGAAUGGGGAGCAUUACACGAAGGAACAUGAUGCCACUAAAUCCAAUUUUAGUGGUUGAGAUUUUUGAUGUAUGGGGUAUCGACUUCAUGGGACCCUUUCCCUCUUCUUUUGGCCAUCAAUACAUAUUGGUUGGUGUUGACUACGUCUCAAAAUGGGUAGAAGCAAUUCCAUGUAGAACCAAUGAUCACAAAGUGGUGAUAGGAUUUUUGAAAAGCAACAUUGUCUCACGCUUUGGAUUCCCUCGAGCAAUAAUCAGUGAUGGUGGUGCCCACUUUUGUAACAAAGCAUUCAAAGCUCUUUUGACAAAGUAUUCAAUCACACACAAAGUGGCAACCCCUUAUCAUCCGCAAACCAGUGGCCAAGUUGAGAUCUCCAAUCGAGAAAUAAAGCAUAUAUUAGAAAAGACGGUGAGGCCAGACAGAAAAGAUUGGUCAUUAAGACUUGAUGAUGCAUUAUGGGCAUAUAGAACGGCUUUCAAGACCCCGAUUGGGAUGUCACCCUACAGGCUAGUGUAUGGAAAAGCUUGCCACCUACCUGUGGAACUCGAGCAUCGUGCAUAUUGGGCCAUCAAGAAAUUCAACUUUGACAUGCAGCAAGCCAGCUCAGAAAGAAGAUUACAACUGGCAGAACUUGAAGAAAUUCGCAAUGAUGCAUACGAAAAUGCCAAAAUUUACAAGCAACGAAUGAAAGUCUUUCAUGACAAGCACAUUAUGAGAAAAUCGUUCACUCCAGGUCAGAAAGUGCUUUUAUUCAAUUCUCGCUUGCACCUAUUCCCAGGUAAGUUACGCUCUCGAUGGUCUGGUCCAUUUAUUGUUCAUACUAUUUUUCCACAUGGGGCAAUUGAAAUUAAGGACCCAAAGAACGGUGUCACGUUUAAAGUUAAUGGUCAAAGAUUAAAGCCAUAUCUUGAGUACCAACCACAUGGAGAAGACACCGAAAUAAAUUUGAGUGACCCACCAGAUUUGAAUUGAUUUUUUUUCUUUUUGUUGAUUUGAUUUUUCUUUCUUUUUAUUAUUCUUUUGCUAAUUGAAAUUAUUUUUGCAUAAGUGUGUUUGUUUUACCAUUAAGUUUUCUUUUCUCUUAUCAUUGUUAAUCAUGAGUACCAUACUUAGACCGUUCCUCCUGAACAUUCUUAAACCACUUCAACGUGUCAAAACUCAUCUCAAAAAGCAGAUUCAAUUUUGUAAAACACAACGCAUUUGGGCUCUACAACCACCAGAGUUAGUAGCCUAUGUUGAGGGUUUAGAAUGCCAACUCAGAGACAUUGAGAGAAGUGUUUACGACAUCCAGUUAGAGCUUGAGGUAAAUUCAAUAAGAGGACGAUUUUAAUUUUCUUUGUGUGUUUUAAUUUGUUUUUCUGUUUGUGUGUUUUAGUUUGUUACCCCGGUGAAAUGGCGGAUAACGGUACUCCGUGACAAUCAAGUCGGUUACUUCAGUUUCCCAUAAUAACUGACAUUCUGAGGCGAAAGUAUGGACAGAAAAGAGAUUCUAGCAAAGCUUCACAAGCGAUUCCCUUCACUUCCUCAGAAUGCCCUCCUUACGAUCUAUAAAGCUCGGUCCGAACGCAUGCGAUUACUCAUGAAGAAUAACAUACCUGCUGACAUCCGUUGGUUAAUCGAGGCUAAAGUACGAUCGGCAGGUGAGUUUCCUCCAAAAUUUAUUGCAUACAUGCCUGGUUGUGGUAAAGGAAAUUAUGCAAGAAAACGACGAGCUCGAAGAAUUUCUGUUGCUUGUCAUAAGUGUGCUAGAAUGAGUUGCGAUAGAAACCCAUGUUCUUUAGGAAUGGUGUCUGAUAACAGGGAAGAUAAGAUUUAAUUCAUUAGGGAUGGCUUGAAUAAGGAGUCAUUGGAUGAUAUCCUUUUGUCUCUUGAAACGCAUCCUAGUGGAUAUGUGCAAGGAGCGAUUCUCCAGUUAUGGCCAUUAUUCCAGAAAGAGCAUGCACGAUAUAGUCUCGGGAAUCUGACUAUAAACGACCCUGUUUGCCAGUUUAUAAGAAAACUGGAUAGGAAGCCUAUCCUCGACCCAUAGAGGGCGUUCAAGCCGUUUCUGGACGUAAAACCAGAGGAAGAUGUGAGCCACAGUCGCAACUACGUGUAAAUAUCCUUUUACUUUACUGUUAUUUUAUUUCAUUUCACUGUUGUUUUAUUGUUUGCAUUAUUGUCUUUAAUAAUUUUGUUACUGUUUGCUUUUUCCUUUUUACUGUUUCCUUUUUGACUCACGAGCCACGUGCUUAACGCGUUAUUUGACACUGACAUGCCACCCCAUACACAGUUGUGACCCACUGUCACCAAGAUUCUUAAAUAUGACUUUUUGUUAAGCACUCACAAAUUGUUUCUGAGAAAUAUUCCAAUGGCAGCUACUCCUAAUAGACAAUUCAAGAACAUUUGUGUGCUUUCUGGAUUUACCUAUGGCAAACAUAAAGAGUUCGUGGAGGCAGCCAUAGAUCUUGGUCGAAGCAUAGCAGCGAGAAAAUUACACUUGGUGUAUGGAGGAGGUAACCGAGGGUUAUCAAAAAUGGUCUCAGAAGCAGCUUUUAUCAGAGGAAGUCAAGUGUUAGGCAUCAUCCCAAGAGUCCUAAAACCAUUGGGCAGUUCGUCUGACUCAUCAACUGGAGAAGAGUUAGUCGUCUCAGGUAUGCAAGAAAGAAUAACUGAAAUGCUUAAUCAUGCUGAUGCUUUUAUUUUCCUUCCAGGAGAUCUUGCAACACUAGAGGCACUUAUGACACUAGCAUCUUGAGCCCAUCUACACAUUCACCAGAAACCCAUCGGUUUGUUAAAUGUCAAUAACUUUUAUGAUGGCUUUAUCGCAUUUCUUAACCAUGCAAUAAAAAACUAUUUCAUUCCUUCUAAUGUGAAAAAACUCUUUAUUUGUGCUCACACUGCUAAUGAGCUACUUGAUAUGUUACAAGCUUAUAAACCGGAGCCAGACCCCUGGACCUUUGUGUUGGAGCGACCAAAUAAUGAUGGUAACAGUAGCCGCAGUAAGAAGUACAAAUUAGAUUUAACUCUCCGCCUGUAAAUAUUUUCUUCUGUGUUGCACCACCCAGGUGAUGUCUUCUAAACUCUACUUCUUUCAUUUCAAACAUUGAGGACAAUGUUUCGUUCUGGUUGGGGGGAGGGAAUAGUCGACAGUUGUGGAAUCUUGGUUAAAUUUUUACUGAUUUUUUGUUGUAGAAACUAACUGUUGCUAACUUUUUAUGUUGAAGAUGGCUGAAUAUGGAGUGUAGUGACUCUAGAAACGCAUUUUCAUCGUUUAAAAAAAAUUAAAAAAAAACUAAAAAAAAAUUUCAGACAGUUUCUUUUUUUUUUCUUUCUUUAUUCUGUUUUUAUGUUUAUUUUUCUUCUUUUUAAUUUCUCCUCUAUAAAUAUACAUUUUCCAACUUGUGAGUCGAAGAUGGCUGAAUAUGGAGUGUAGUGCCUCUAGAAACGCAUCUUCUUAAAAAAAAAAAAAAAAAAAACCCAUUUUCUUUUUCUAUCAUUUUACGUGUAACUUUUCUAAUUAGUUUUUAUGCAUCAUUUUCACAUUUCUGCAUGCAUAUUUUCCUUUCAUGUUUAGAAUAGGUUGGGGGGUAGAAUGUUGUUUAAAAAAAAAAAAAUUGUGUUAUUUGUUUUAACAUUGGAUGACAUGAUUAAUUUCAAAUUUUAGUAUUUGUAUUAUCUUUGGUCUUAAGUGAUGUUACGCUAUGUUUGCUACUUUACAUGUUGAUGUCGGAGACAAAUAUGAGUUGCUUGAAGGAAUGAACAUGUCAUAAAUAAGUGCCAAGUGAGUUGUUGAGCCUAUCAUUUUCUUGGAGAGUAACACUUUUGCCCAUUCUCUAUACAGCUUAGCAGUUUAUUAGUUUAUACACGAUCUCUAGAUUUCUUUUGAGUUAACCCUUUAAAAAAAAAUGUGUGUUGCUACAUUGGGAGACCCAUCUAACUAGUAGAUAUGGAUAAUUAUUUAGAGCCCUAAAAGACGAUGGAAAGGCCAUAUUUGAUCCGUUUGAGCCUUUCUAGCCAUCCCUUUUAUUAAAUAUCCAUAGUUACCCCUUUUGAGCCUUUUUUUAAAAAAAAAAGAGAACAAAAACAUUUUCUUUGUCAACUUAUCAUCUUGACCCACUCCGAUUUGGAGUAUUACCCAAUGUCUUUUAAGUUCCAUCACCUAUUUAUGUUUGAGAAAAUGUAAAUAAUGAUGUUGUUCAGUGAAGUUAUGCCAAAUAAAAGCAAAAAAAAAAAAAAAAAAACAAAAGUUGUUGUUUCAAAAGAAUAAAAAUAACAAUAAUAGGUGAAAUCCACCUUGCAACUUCAAAAAAAAAUAUAUAUAUUUCUGCAUUUUUCUCAAACAUACACUUUGUUUUCCUUAUUUCCUUUCUUUGUUAGCCAUAUCCCUAGCCUACGUUAUGUCCUAAUAAAAGUCCUUCUUGAUUUUAGGGAACUAUAGUUUGAAGUAGAAGCUAGUUAUAUGGGCUAAAAAGAUGUAGUGAUGCAUAAUAAAAAAAAAAAAGAUAAAUAAAGUGGGUUGACUAACAUUUUAUUUGACUUGAGAUCGUAUUAUUUCUAAGCUAAGGGCAUAUUUAUUUCAUCUUGGUGAGAGCAUGUGAUAUCACUUCUUCAUUAUUUUCUCUCAAUUACCAUUCAUUGGAGUGACUAUUUUUUUAGGUUUAAUUUCUUUGUGAGAGUGUCACUACUUCCAGUGAGAUUUUGGGUUUUGACAUGUCAUUCUUGAAAGUAGUUAUAACAAAGUCUACUGGCCGAUUCAUGUGGAUGGUUGAUGUGGGUGUGAUGUUGUUUUAGACUGGAGAUAAUACUUAUACUUUUAUUUGAUUGCUAUCAUUAAUCUGAUUGAAUAAACACGAGUGUUUCUAAAAAAAAAAAAAAAAAUUAUUUUGAAUUUGAAUUUUGUUUUCGCUUUAUUUGCUAGGGACUAACAUUAAGCUGGUUGGGGGGUGUGUUGAGUGUUAGAAAAUGCAUAUUUAUAAAGGAGAAAACCAUCAUUUUACAUUUCAAGUCUUACUAACAACUCUUACUUUUAUGUAUUUAACCUUCUUGUAAUAUAAUUACGUGUGUUUUAUUUUAAUUAAGUAUUUUAUGUAUUUUAGGGGCAUUAUAGUCAUUUCACAAUAAAGGAGAGAUCAGGCGGCAAAACGGACAUCACUUUUGAACUCAGGACGGUCGAAAACCUUAGGAGGAGCAUAAAAGGAAAAAUGGCACUAUUCAUAUGUACGGUACUAUUCACGUGUACGGUAUUAACUACGUUACUGUUCACAACACUGUUCACAUAGACGGAUCGAUGACGUGGCAUUGACCGAUGAUGUGGCAUUGACUGAUGAGGUGUCACGAUCCUGUUGAGCUAAAAUUCUUAUGUACUGUUGAUGGUGACGUGGCAGUAUAUCAGUGGAUGAAAAAUCUCGCGUACGGUACAUGCAUCACACAGGAUUAUUUUCAACCAAACCGCGUUACUGUUCAUCCGAGUCAAACCGUGUUACUGUUUAUCCGAGUCAAACCGUGUUACUGUUCAUCCGCGUGGUCAAACCGUGGACUGUUGACUUAUGACGUGGCGCAAUCCUGAGCGUCCAAACUGUUUUUAAUCCGAUGGCCAUGAUUUACUCCAUGUAUCUAUAAAAAGGGGGCCUUCCCCCCCUAAUUUGAUAGCUCUGAAUCCAUUUUUGGGAUCCAUUUUCUGUAAUUCCUUCUCCAUCUUGUAUUUUCUUUGUAUUUUAAUAAAUUCCCAUUUUGCCCCUAGUUCAAUUAUGAGUGGCUAAUUUUCUUUCAAGCUUGGGUUGAAGGUGAAGUCUCAACAUGUGUCAUGGGCUUAAUUUGGUAAAUUUAUUUUCUCUUCCCCUCUAGUUUUUGUGGAUGUUUUGACUUCUCGUCGACAAAUAAUAAUAAUCUUGUCUAGAUACCGCCUUGGUUACACCGGCUCUCUAGUAUAAGGUUAUUAUUAUUUGGCACGAUAAGCCCUUAGCACCAUAUUGAUUAGAGCGUGGUUCAUGAGGUGUGGAUUCCCCCCUCAUGAUUUAAUUGGCAUUAAUAAAGAUUAUUUAGCCCAUGAUGCAUGUUGAUACGGAUCCAGAUACCCAAGUACGUCAUUUUAAUAGAAUUCUCUUCAAUUUAUUCUCGCCAUUUCAAUUCCAAUUUUAGAAUUUAUUCUCGCCAUUUUAAUUUAAGUUUUAGCAUAUCCCAAAUCAUUUCCACCACAAAUCCAAUCACCCAUUUACAAAAUUAAUUCUACACAAUUAAAAUCCACCUCCUCGUGGGAUCGACACUCGUCACCAUUAGUCUAUACUACAAUAGAUUCGUGCGCUUGCGAGUACAUUAAAAUUUGCACAACACACUUCAACAUGUUUAGUUCUGUCAUGAUGAAUAGGGUUAUGAGCAAUGUUUAUUGCUGCCUUGUUGUCACAAUACAACUUCAUAGGAACAUCAAUGAUAAUCUUCAAUUCUUCAAGUAGCUUCUUUAACCACAAAAGUUCACAAAUACCAUAUGCUACUGCUCUAAAUUCAGCUUCAGCACUGCUUCUUGCAACCACUGAUUGCUUCUUACUCCUCCAAGUUACCAAGUUUCCUCCCACAAAUGUGCAAUACCCUGAAGUUGACCUUCUAUCAAUAAUAGAUCCAGCCCAAUCUGCAUCAGUAUAUACUUCAACUUGCAUAUUGUUAUUUUUCUUGAAUAGCAGGCCUUUUCCUGGAGUUUUUUUCAGGUACUUGAGAACCUUGUAAACAGCUUCUAAGUGCUCUUUACAUGGAGAGUGCAUAAAUUGACUAAUAACACUUACUGCAAAGGCUAUGUCUGGCCUAGUAUGAGACAAGUAUAUCAACUUACCAACCAACCUUUGGUAACUUUCUCUAUCCACUGAUUUUCCUUCAAUUGCAUAUCCCAAUUUGUGAUAAGGAUCAAUAGGAGUGUCUCCAGGUUUGCAUCCCAACAUGCCAGUUUCCUUGAGUAAGUCUAAAGUAUAUUUCCUUUGAGAAACAAAAAUGCCUUUACUGGAUCUUGCAAUUUCCAUGCCCAAAAAAUAUCUUAAGGGGCCAAGGUCCUUCAUCUCAAAUUCUCUAGCAAGAACCUUCUUGAGAUUUUCCAUUUCUAUUACAUUGCUUCCAGUCAAGAUGAUAUCGUCUACAUAUACAAUGAGGAUCACAACACUACCAUCAGUGAAGUGUUUAAAAAACAUUGUAUGAUCUGCUUGACUCUGUAAAUAUCCAAAGCUAUGAACAGAUUUGGUAAAUCUGUCAAACCAAGCUCGAGGAGAUUGUUUUAAGCCGUAAAGUGAUCUCUUCAGCUUGCACACUUUUUCAAUACCAUAUUCAUUCUCAAAACCUGGUGGCAGAUCCAUAUAUACCUCUUCUUCAAGCUCUCCAUUAAGAAACGCAUUCUUAACAUCUAAUUGUUGUAGUUGCCAUCCUAAGCUUGCUGCAAGAGACAACAAAACCCGAAUGGAAUUCAUUUUUGCCACGGGAGCAAAUGUUUCUUGGUAGUCAAUGCUAUAUGUUUGUGUAAAACCUUUCGCGACAAGCCUAGCUUUGUACCUCUCAAGUGACCCAUCUGCUCUGUAUUUAACUGUAAAAAUCCACUUGCAACCCACUGGUUUUUUUCCUUCUGGUAAUUUAACUAGUUCCCAAGUUUUGCUUUUUUCUAGAGCUCUCAUCUCUGCAUACCCAGCAUCUCUCCAUUCUGGAAUAGAAAGAGCAUCUUGUACAGAUUUUGGAAUUGCUAUGACAGACAGGUUAGCUGCAAAAGCUCUAAAAGAUGGAGAUAAUCUAUGAUAUGACACAUACUUAGAAAUUGGAUGAAGAGUACAAGACCUAGUUCCUUUUCGUAGUGCAAUUGGAACAUCUAGAUCAUUUGUAGUUUCUAAAACAGAUUCUGAAAUAGGAUUAGAAUGAAUGUUACCUGCAAGUUCCAAGUUGCCUGUGUUUGGAUCCGAGUCUUGGCAGUGAGGAGAGGAAUGAUGAUUUGACCUUUUCGAAUUCCGUCGUGUGUAGACUUGAAGCUAUGGUUCUGGAACUCUCUCUAAUGAUUUUUCAUUAUUCAUAAUUGAUGGCAUUGUAGAAGGAACAUGAGGUACACAAGACAUAAUAGGCAUUGGAAGAGAUAAUUCCCAAAAAUGAUCUUCCGGAGUAUGAUUCUCCCCCUGAAGAGAAGUUUUGGGAAAGAAAGAUCUAUUUUCAAAAAAUGUGACAUCCAUUGUGAUGAAGAAUUUUUUAGACAAUGGAUCAUAACAUUUGUAGCCUUUUUGAGUAGGAGAAUAGCUAAGAAAUACACAUUUUAAAGCUCUAGGAUCAAGUUUGCUCAUGUUCUAUGUAUGAAUGUGAACAAAAGCAAUGCACCCAAAAAUCUUGGGUGGUAAAGAUGUGAAAAACUUAGCGGUAGGAUAGAAUUUUGUGAAAACAUUUAAUGGAGACUGAAAAUUAAAGAUUCGGGUAGGCAUGCGAUUUAUCAAGUAUGAUGCUGUGAGAAUGGCUUCACCCCAAAACUGUUUUGGCACCCUAUUUGUGAACAUAAGAGAGCGUGCAACUUCUAACAAGUGUUGAUUUUUCCGUUCAGCAAUACCAUUUUGCUGAGGAGUAUCUACACAAGAGGAUUGGUGCACAAUGCCAUUUUCCAUGAAAUAAUGACCAAGGGCAGUAGAAAAAUAUGCUCUCCCAUUGUCAGUUCUAAAGACUUGGAUUUUUGCUUGAAAUUGUGUUUGAAUCAUGGUAUGAAAGGUUUUAAAAACUGUUGCAGUUUCUGAUUUUUCUUUAAGCAAGUACACCCAACAAACACGAGUGUGGUCAUCAAUAAAAGUUAUGAACCAUUUAGCCCCCGAAAUGUUUGUAACAUGAGAGGGUCCCCAAAUAUCACUGUGUAUGAGAGAAAAAUGUUCAGAUUUUUUAUACGGCUGUGAAGGAAAAGAUACACGAUGAUGUUUGGACAAUACACAAAUUUCACACUGAAACAAAGAAGGAUUUUUAUUCUUGAACAACAAAGAAAACAAGUGUUGUAAAUAAGAAAAACUAGGAUGACCUAAUCGGAGAUGCCACAACAUUAUUUUAUCUUUAAUAGAGAAAGUUAGUUCAUUAUUUGUUGCCUGAGCUUCUCCACACAAACUAACAUCCUCCUCGAAGUAGUACAAACCAUCUACCUCUCUAGCACUGCCAAUUUUCUUCCCUGAACACAGGUCCUGAAAUUCACAAUAGGAAGGAGAGAAUUUAGCAAUGCAAUGAAGAUCCUUGGUAAUUUUGCUAACAGAUAAAAGAUUACAAGACAAAUUAGGAACAUGAAGAACAGAUGUUAACACCAAAUUUGUAGAGAUAGGAAUAGAUCCUUUUCCUGCUGCAGAAGAUAGUGAACCAUCAGCAAUUUUAAUUUUUUGACUACCAGGACAUGGAAUAUAUGAAUAAAAUAAUUUAGAAUGGCUAGUCAUAUGAUCGGUUGCUCCUGAAUCGAUGAUCCAUGGAUCUUUUUUCUCAUAAACAACUCCUAAAGCACUGAAAUCAUUACCUUUCUGGGCUAAAGAACUAGAAGAUGAAGGAUUUGGGAGAGAUUGUGACUGAUUAAGAAACUUGUACAGUUGCUCUAACUGUUCUUUAGUGAAGAGUUGAGAUUCGGAUUCUCCAGUGUUGAUUGUCGGCUGAUUCUCCCCAAAAACUUGAAAACCUCGACUAUGUUUACCAGAGAAUUUAUUGUUUUUCAAAUUUGGAGGUUUUCCAUGAAGCUUCCAACAUGCAUCUCUGGUAUGUCUUGGCUUGUGACAAUAAUCACACCAAACUCUGUCCUUCUCAUCACUCUUCUUCAGGUUUUUUGUUCCCCCAAUCAGUGGAGCUUCUGGUGUAACAGAGAUCAAGGCUGAGUUCUCUGCUGAAGAACCUCCCAUCAUCACAUUCUUUCUACUUUCCUCUCUUUUUACAUAAGAAAACACUUCCCUGGUAGAAGGAAGAGGUUCCUUGCCAAGUACUCGCCCACGGACUUCAUCAAGGUCUGAACUCAAACCUGCUAAGAAUUCAAAUACACGCUCUUUUUCUAACAUCUUCUUGUAUUUAGCACUAUCAGCAGCACAUUCCCACUCGCCAUCAUAGUACUGAUCUAACUCUUGCCAUAAGCCCUUCAAAAUAUUGUAGUAUUUAGUCACUCCUUGACUACCUUGUUUGGUUUCUCGAAUUCUGGUUUUCAGAUCAUAAAUCUGAGCAGAAUUUCCCAAAUCAGAAUAGGUCUCGGUGACAGCAUCCCACAAAUCCUUUGCUGUUGGCAGAAACAAGUAAGUUUGACCUAUCUCCGAUUCCAUUGAAUUCACUAACCAUGACAUGAUCAUUGAGUUGUCAGCAGCCCAAGUAUGAAACUUUGGGUCUUCUUCAGUUGGUUCUUUAAUUGAACCAGUAAGGUAACCAAUCUUCCCUUUACCUCUGAUAAACAUCUUCACAGAUUGGGACCACUGAAGAAAAUUUUGACCAUUCAAUUUAUGGAUUGUGAUCUAAAGUGAUGGACUAUCAUUAGAAACAUAACUUGAUAGUUGUAGAUGUCGUUGCAAUUGCUCUGAAGAUAACUCAGAAGUUUCUUGCUCGCUAUACUUUGAUAUUGGUAUUCAAAUAGAAUUGAAAACUAAAUCCAAGAAUCAAAGAGCGACUCUGAUACCAUGAGAAAAUUAUUGAAGAAAUAUGUAUCUCCUUUUCUUAUUUUUACAAUAGGGUUACACAAUACAUAUAUAUAUAUUCUAAACUACAUAAUGUGCUAGAGUAGGAAAGUAAACAACUAACUGCAGACCAAGAAACUAGGAAACAAACUCUAUCUAAAAAACUGAAAUUCUAUCCCUAUUUUUUUUCCUUUCUAUCCCUAUCUUUUUUCCUUAAAAAUAGGAUAGAAAACAAGUGACUUUUCCACAGCCCUUUUGGACAAAAAUGAUUUCCUGCUAAUUUUGAGAAUAAAACCAUAGACAUCUAACUUCUGAUAUCUAGUCAAUCUGGUAAAAUCUUGGCAGUUGCACUUGGGGCAUAAAUUAGUUCCACCUUGGUUUAAGGACAGAAAUUCGUCAUAUGCAUGUAUUUAUUUAUGUUUUAUACACACACACAUGCAUGUACACACAAACACUACCUUCACUUUGAAGAAAAGAUUAAAAUAACACUGCUCACAUACACAAUACUUACUAUUCUAGUUCGUGUAACUUUCUCCGGAGUCACAAACAGGUCACAGAAUUCACGUAUUAACCGCAUACUUCUAGUCAUUUCUAUUCCUCCUUCACCAUCACUUGUCCCACAAUUACAAAAAGUGAGAGGUAAUAACCAACAUAUUUGGGUUGCUCUUCGGUAAGGGGUGGGAGGUAAGGGUUAGUUGUGGAGGGCACCUAGUACAGAAUCAAGGCCAGCUGUUGGGAAUUUGAUCUCCUGUAACAUAUACUUGUUCAUCAUAAACUAUAUACUUAUUCUGCAGUCGAUGUGUGCAUAUAGCUCUUCAAUUAUCCAGUAAUAACUCACCAUCAACUUCCUGCCAUCUUUCACGGCUAAUUCAGCAGCCAUUUUUGCCUGCUUAAAGGUCAAAAGCCCAAACUAAGCAGAUGCUCCUACUCCGAUACUUAUUAUCUAACUACUACAGAACAGAUGAUACGCAUCAAGUUGUAUCAAGAGAGACACCAAGUUGUGUUUUCCAAGAGGUUCCAAAGAGGUUUUGUUUCUUUGUGUAAUUUUUAGACUGCUUUGACAACUCAUCUUAAAGGUGCCACUCAUCCAAUAUGAUGUGGUGACAGUAGUUUAGAGUUUUAAACUAAAUGCAGAGCUAAUAGUAUUUUGGAAUAUAAUCAUCCUAAGAUACUAUAACACAGGGAUUCUUACACAAAAACAACAACUUCGAUGUAGAGAGAAGAUGAUUUCACAAAAGCAGAUGUUUUGAUUUAAGUCUCCAAAACCCCCACCAAAGAAAUGUUCAACAGAUAUAGAAAUAUGAUCCACAUAUCUGUAACUUAAACUGUGAAAGUUGUUGAUGUUGUUCUAAAAUUGCCACAAUCUAUCUACCCCAUGAAUGUUUUUGGAUAAAACAACAAGCAGGACCCAAUGCCUGUUUUCUAAUAGCUUCAAAAAGGCCAAAUUGGUUUUGAAAUGUCUCCAGCUUUUCAUUUAAUAAGAGAGAGAGAGAGAGAGAAGAAUCGCUCCCCUUUCAAAUACCGUGCUCUUUUGUACCUGGGAAUUUAACUAAUUCUUGCGAAUAAAAAAAUUUAUAAAUUUGGUAAAUUAUUUAUUAAAAAAUAUUGAGAGGCUGUGCAUUAUUUUAUUAGUAAAGAUAUAGUUAUCAUCAAAUUAGUUAUAUUAAAAUAGUUUUUGACUCACGUAAUUUAUUUUUAUUAUUUUUAUAUAUAUAUUUAAUUAAUAAAUUUAUGUUAUAUUCAUUUGUAUAAAAAUGUACAGUUCUAUCCUCACUCUUAUUUUAUUUUUAUUAUUUUUUCAGAAAAUGGUAUGCGUUAUUAAGGUUAAGGGUGACAACUGGGAUCAAUAUACGGUUUAUUCGAGUGCUUAAAACCUAAUAAAUAUCCACUAACUCAUAUUUAAUUAAAAUAUAAUUAUUUUUAAAUAAAAAAAUUUAAUAUAAACUAAACAAAUUGAUUGGAUUUUGUUUCUAAAGGUACAUCAUUAGAACGUUACCUUUAAUUGAACAAAAGCACACAUAACUAGCACAUUCGCCACAAAAGCCUCAGCUUAGUGGUCGGCUUAUUAAUUAUCUUAAUAAAAUCAUGGUCAUAAAUUUGAGUCCCCGUAGGAAUUAUUAGGUUAGGUAGCUUUUUUAGACUACAAAAGCUUUUUUAGACUACUCAUUCAUUUAAUUUUCCGUUAUAUAUAUUCAUCUUUUUUAGAGGCCAAGAAGUCUUCGACAGAAAUGUGAUCUUUUUCUAGUUGCCUCCCGGUGAUGAGCUUCUCCCAAGUUUCAAUUAAUUCGCUUUGAGUGAGGAUAUUUUCUGGUGGCCUCAAAUACAAUGUCUUGUUCAGCACUCAAGGGUCAUCUAUUGUCUUAAUAGUAUAUGUGGCAACAUCAUCAAGAUGCACUAUAGAAAAAAAGAUAAUCAUUUUGUUUAAUAUGAACAUAAAUUCUUACAGUCUAACUCAUAUUAUAGUGAACGAUGCUGUUAUGUGGUGCGUGCAUGCACUAUCUAUAGUUUUAAUAUUAUUAAUAAAGAGUUAAAAGUCUUGAUUUAAUUUUAAAUUGUCAUUCCUCUAACUUCACCGUCUUCAUAGAUGCAGACUUUAUCUUUUGAAGGGUGAGGGUAGCUAUAUUUGAGAGAGGUGUCUAGGGAACCAACCAGCAAAAAACAGCUAGCAGAAACAUAAAUGACAGGGAUUUGAGCAGCCUUGAUUGCCCUUCUCACACAUGCGCUCUGCGUUCUCCCUCCCGCUCUCACUCACUCACGCCCAAAUCUCACCUCACUCACGCAUCUCUCCUUCUGACCGGUGGUUUUCUCUCUCUCGCCGUGGGUCUCAAGGCUGGCAGGGAUUUCUCGACUUGACUACUAAAACAUAAUCCAAAAACUACUAAGAGAUGUAUAUAUUACUCUGAUAUACACAAUAUGAAGAAACUGCAGUUAUAUUUCAAAUAUUAUAUGAAGGAAGAGGCUGUAUGGAUUAUCUAAAGGUGCUGAAAUUAAGAGACCUAUUGAAAAGUCAUGCAUGUGGUAAUUUUUCAAAGAGCUACCAAACAUUUGAAGAAAAAAUGGAAAGUUGGCAAAUUUGUCAAAUUUGCCAAAUGGACACCAUUGACUAUUGGCUUAGGUUAGGUGGAAUGGUAAAGGGGUUGGUGCAAUAGUGCCAUUAUUUUUCCUAUAAAUAGAUGGCACUUUUUCCAUUCUUUUGCAUCCCAAAAUUGUUAAGCUUAUAAGUUUCUAAGCUUUUGAGAGAAGUGAGAGAAGUGUGUCUGGGGAAUUUAUCUUUCCUGCAGAGUGUGAGAGUACUGGGUAUAUUUUGGGUUUCUGGGAAGUGAGAUUCGUUACUCAAAUAUUGUACUCUAUUAAUUGUUAAAUAAACAAUUAUUCUUUCUUGCCUCCGUGGAUGUAGGUUUAAUUACCGAACCACAUAAUUCUUGUGUCCUUUAUUUUUUCUAUAAUUAUUUGGUGCGCUUGAUUCCGCAUUCCAAGCACAACAAGUGGUAUCAGAGCCGAAGGUUCGUACUUGGGGGGAUACGGUACUGUUCACGUAUACGGUACUAUUCCCAUAUACGGUACUGUUCACGAAUACGGUGGAGACGGCCAUUUGUACUUGGGAGACAGUCUAUUGUAAGUAGUGUGUAUUUUUGCAUGUUUAGGAAAGUUCUGUCAACAAAGGCGAUAAGAGUCUAAGGAUUCUGGUUUUUAAUUGGGACCGAGUUCCCGUCCAGUUUCUUGGGAACUUUCCUGGUGCAUUUAUUCAUGCGAAAUUAACAUCAUAGAGACUGUUUUUCAAGUGGAAAUAGUUCGUUGAGAAAAUGGUAGAAGGUGAAACUUCCAGAAUUGGGGAGAGAUCUACCGAGACUAUUUCAGGAGACACUUCAGGUGGGAGACGAGAUUUGUCAAAUCGCUAUUCAGCACCUGUUAUAGGAGGUCAGAAGAUCGAUGUUGAAAAGUUUGAUGGGAAAAUCAACUUCGGCAUGUGGUGGCGCGAAGUUAUGGAUGCCCUUAUUCAAAUCGAUCUCGAUGUUGUUCUGAAAAAUAAAAGACACUUGUAUGAUGAAGAAAUUUGGGAUCGUAUGAAUGAAAAAGCUUGUGGUUAGAUCAGAUCUUGUUUGACCAAGGAGGUGAAAUACUUGGUGAAAGAUGAGGAGUGUGCGGUAACUUUGUGGCGUACAUUAGAGGAAAAGUACUUGGUGAAAAGUCCUGAAAAUCGCCUUCAUGCAAUGAGCCAAGUAUAUGGUUUUCGAAUGAAGCCUGGGGUGUCAAUGCACGAUCAUGUUUCAAGAUUUGAAAAGUUACUUGCUGAUUUGAAGAAUCUUGAUGAAGAUAUUAAGGAUGAAGUCAAGGCUAUGAUUCUGUUACACUCACUACCAGAGGAAUAUAGCCAUUUUGUGACUACUUUGAUAUAUGGGAAGAGUGUGAUCGUCUUCAAAGAUGUUUGCACAACAUUGACUAGCUUAGAGAUUCGGAAUAAUGAUAAAAAUUCUGAACGAGCAUCGUCUGAAGCUUUAGUGAGCAGAGAUUGGGCGAUGGAGAAACAGAAGAAGCGUGGUGGAAAGAACUCUCGAUCCAAAUCGAGAAGCAGAAAUAUAGCUCGAGAUGAGUGUGCCUUUUGUCAUGAAAAGGGCCAUUAGAAGAAAGAUUAUCCAAAUGCUCAAAAGAGAGAUGGGAAGAAACCAGCAGCAGCAAACAUGGCACGGAAAGAUGAGGGAUCUGAUUAUUCACUAAGUAUUACUCCUGCAGCAUACGUGGCUAGUUCGAGCGAGUGGAUACUUGAUACUGGAGCAACCUAUCAUUUGUGUCCCAUUAAGGAAUGGUUUACGGAUUUCAACGUAUUGGAAUCUGGUGCAGUUGUGAUGGGGAAUGAUCAACCUUGUCGCACAAUGGGGAUAGUAACAAUUCGGCUCAAAAUGUUUGAUGGAAUGGUCAGAGAACUCAAAAAGGUUAGAUUUGUUUCAGCUUUAAAGAAAAAUCUAAUUUCUGUGGGUGCUUUAGAAGCUAAAGGCUACAAGGUUACCAUUGAAGAUGGUAUAAUGAAGUUUACACAUGGGGCUAUGGUGAUUCUGCAAGGGGUUCGGCGUCACAAUCUGUACUAUUUGAAGAGAGGUACAACUGAUGAAGCAAAUGUUGUUGAGGCACACAGUGACACCACCAAGCUAUGGCAUGUACGACUAGGACAUGCUAGAGAGAAGUCUUUGCAAACUCUGAUAAGGCAUGGACUCUUAAAAGGUACCAAAACCUGUAAAUUAAAUUUUUGUGAGCAUUGUGUAGUAGGCAAGAAAACAAGGGUUAAGUUUGGUACAGCUAAUCACGAUACUCGUGAGAUCCUUGAAUAUGUUCAUAGUGAUGUAUGGGGACCAACCAAGACUGCAUCAAUUGGUGGAAGCCAUUAUUUUGUUACAUUUGUUGAUGAUUUCUCUAGAAGUGUGUGGGUGUACACCAUGCGAGCAAAUGAUGAGGUUCUAGAGAUUUUCGUGAAAUGGAAGAAAUUGGUGGAGACUCAAACUGGAAGAAAGAUCAAAGUAUUACGAUAUGAUAAUGGGGGUGAAUAUACUUCUGAUCCAUUCUUGCAAGUAUGCCAGAACGAGGGUAUUAAAAGACAUUUCACAGUGAGACAUACUCCGCAACAGAACGGUGUGGCUGAGCGUAUGAAUCGUACUUUACUGGAGAAGGUAUGGUGUAUGUUAUCUAAUGCUGGUUUAGAUAAAAAGUUUUGGGCUGAAGUUGUGAGCUACGCAAGUCACUUGGUAAACCGGUUGCCUUCUGCUGCAAUUGGAGGUAAAACUCCUAUGGAAAUGUGGUCUGGAAAGCAUGCACAAGACUAUGAUUCCCUUCGUAUAUUCGGGUGUCCAGCUUAUUAUCAUGUCAAAGAUGGUAAACUAGAUCCUCGUGCUAGAAAAGCUAUCUUUGUGGGAUUCAAAGGUGGAGUAAAGGACUUCAAGCUUUGGGAUCUCGAAGAUAAAAAGUUUGUGUGUAGCAGAAAUGUCACAUUUGAUGAAGCUUCAAUGAUGAAAGCUUCAAGUUCUCAGCAGGUGGAGAACAAGACCAAAGAGGUAUUGCUGCGGGUGGAGUUUGAUGCAACUCCAUAUGUACCAGUUAGUUCUACAUCAAAGAAGAGUUCAACUAUAGAGGUGACACCUAGAGUUGAAGAAGAGGUUGUUUCUUCUGAUGUCCCACAAAAUGAAGAAACAAUUGAUAAUGUAGAUAAUGAUGAUUUUAUAGCAACAAGGAGGCUAAGAAGAGAGAUAAAGAAACCCGGAUGGCUUACUAAAGAUAUGGUGGUAGCCUAUGCACUUCCAGUUAUUGAUGAUGACAUCCCCAACACUUUCGGUGAAGCAUUACGCAGCAGUGAAAGUGAUCAGUGGAAGUUAGCCAUGGAGGAAGAGAUGAAAUCUCUCCAUCAAAACCAGACUUGGGAACUUGUAAAGUUACCAAAAGGGAAAAAGGCUAUUGGCAAUAAAUGGGUCUACACCAAAAAGCAAGGAUCUCCGAAUAAAAUAACUCCUCGAUACAAGGCAAGGCUCGUGGCAAAAGGUUUUGCUCAAAAGGAAGGUAUUGACUACAAUUAAGUUUUCUCUCCAGUUGUAAAACAUACUUCCAUUCGUAUCCUACUUGCCUUAGUUGCAGAAUAUGAGUUAGAGUUGGCUCAAUUGGAUGUUAAGACCGCGUUCAUACAUGGAGAUUUGGAGGAGGAAAUCUAUAUGAUUCAGCCUUGUGGUUUCAAAGUUGCUGGAAAAGAGAAUCAUGUGUGUAGGUUGAUUAAAUUUUUGUACGGACUGAAGCAAUCGCCAAGGCAGUGGUAUAAAAGAUUUGAUCAAUUUAUACAAGGGCAGAAAUUCACCAGAAGUGAACACGAUCAUUGUGUUUACUUUAGAAGACUACCAGAUAGAGCUUUCAUCUAUUUGUUACUCUAUGUCGAUGAUAUGCUUAUAGCUUCGAAGAAUAGAGAUGAGAUCGAAAGAUUAAAAAAGCAACUGGCUUCUGAGUUUAAGAUGAAAGACUUGGGUGAUGCACAGAGAAUACUUGGGAUGGAGAUUCGUAGAGACAAGAAGAAUGGGAGCGUAUGGUUGACUCAAAAGUCUUAUUUGAAGAAAGUGCUAGAAAGAUUCGGUAUGGAUGACAAAACUAAACCAGUAUGUACACCUCUAGCUUCUCAUUUCAAAUUAAGCUUUUCUUCAUGUCCUAGAUCUCAAGAGGAGCGUGAUUAUAUGGCUCGUGUUCCAUAUGCUAGUGCUGUGGGUAGUCUUAUGUAUGCUAUGGUAUGCACAAGGCCCGAUAUAUCUCAAGCAGUGAGCAUGGUUAGUAGAUACAUGCAAAAUCCGGGUAAAAAUUAAUGGCUUGCGGUAAAGUGGAUUCUCCGAUAUCUGUAUGGGACAGUUGAUGUUGGGUUAUUGUUCAAGAAGGAUUGUGGUCAACAAUGUGUUGGGUAUUGUGAUUCUGAUUUCGCUGGAGACCUUGACAAGCGAAGAUCAACAACGUGCUACGUAUUCACAUUGGGUGGAGGUCCGGUUAGCUGGAGGUCGAUUCUACAAUCGACAAUUGCUCUGUCCACUGCGGAAGCAGAGUAUAUGGCAGCAACUGAAGCUAUAAAAGAAGCUAUCUGGUUGAAAGGUUUAUUAGGUGAUUUGGGAGUAAUCCAGGAGAACAUUGCGGUCUUAUGUGAUAAUCAAAGUGUGAUAUUCCUUGCGAAGAAUCAAACAUAUCACGCUCGGACGAAGCACAUAGAUGUGAAAUAUCAUUAUGUGAGAGAGAUUAUCGAGAGCGGUGUUGUGUUGUUGAGAAAGAUCGAUACCAAAGAUAAUCCAUUAGAUAUGUUGACGAAGGUAGUUUCUGGAGUUAAGUUUCAACAUUGCUUGAAAUUAAUUCAAAUCCUUCGAUUGUGUUAAGAUAUGUCCUUCGGGAAUUUUGAACUACGGUUGGCUUGAUCCCAAAUUUUGGGUACGUAGGCAGUCAUAGAGAUGCAGCCACUUUGGGGAUGAUGAUUGGUUGGUAGUCGGCUCAGAUUUGGACAAAUUUUCACCGAGGUGGAGAAUUGUUGAAAAGUCAUGCAUGUGGCAAUUUUUCAAAGAGCUACCAAACAUUUGAAGAAAAAAUGGAAAGUUGGCAAAUUUUUCAAAUUUGCCAAAUGGACCCCAUUGACUAUUGGUUUUAUGUUAGGUGGAAUAGUAAAGGGGUUGGUGCAAUAGUGCUAUUAUUUUUCCUAUAAAUAGAUGGCACUUCUUCCAUUCUUUUGCAUCCCAAAAUUGUUAAGCUUAUAAGUUUCUAAGCUUUUGAGAGAAGUGAGAGAAGUGUCUGGGGAAUUUAUCUUUCCUGCAGAGUGUGAAGUACUGGGUAUAUUUUGGGUUUAUGGGAAGUGAGAUUUGUUACUCAAAUAUUGUACUCUAUUAAUUGUUAAAUAAACAAUUAUUCUUUCUUGCCUCCGUGGAUGUAGGUUUAAUUACCGAACCACGUAAUUCUUGUGUCCUUUAUUUUUUCUAUAAUUAUUUGGUGCGCUUGAUUCCGCAUUCCGCGCACAACAAGACCCACACCAACCGACAGACCCCCGGUGAUAGAGAGAAAGUCGACUGUGAGAUGCAUUCAAGACGGGGGAAGAGUGAGAGAGAAAACUGCCCGGUCAGAAGGAGAGAUGCAUGAUUGAGGUGAGAGAUUUGGGCGUGAGUGAGUGAGGAGUGAGGGAGAGGGUGCCGCGUGUGUGGGAUGCGUACAAUGACAAUUUAUACUUACAUCAAAACGCCGCGUUCGGUGCCAUGUGUAGGGCUAACUGUGGUUUGAAUCUCACUUUGGUAAUGGAAAUGACUUUGCAAUUGACAGUUUUUGUCAAAAGUUCGCACUGCAUGAAACUAGUGUUAAUAUAAUUUAAAAAAUUAAUUUCAGUAUUAAUUUUUAAAGUUUUAAUUAUUAUAUUUAUUUUAAUAAUAGAUUUAUAUUUAUUAUAAAAAUUUUAGUUAAAUAUUUGUGUUAAAUGGAAUUUAUAAUUAAUAUAAUAGAUCUUAGGUAUUAAUAUAUUAUAAUUAUUCUAUAUGCUAUUGAAAAUCAUUUAUAUUUUUAGACGUUUAUUUUCAUAUUAAGUUUCUAUUUAUUUUAAAAUUUAGUUUAAUAUAAUAUAAGCAAGUAAAGUAUUAAAAUAUUUUUUAGUAUUAUUUAAAAUAUUAAAAUAAUUUUAAAAUAUAAGUCAAAUUUUUAAGUGAAUAUAACUAAUAUUUACAGCUAUUUGAUGGCCUCAACAAGCUAAAGCAGCAUCAAAAUUUGUGGCUCGUUAAUUUAUUUUUUCCCUUUCAAAAAGGGAAGAGGAUAAGUUUGGAAGAAUGAUUAUAUUUUUAAUAAAUUCUUUUUUAUUAUAAUACUUUUUGUCUUUAUUAAUUUAAAAAUAUUGACUCUUAUAUUUUAAAAAAUAUAAAUAUAAUAUUAUAAUAAAAUAUAACAAUAUAUAUCAAAUAUUUAAAAAAUUUAAUAUUUUAAUAUUUUAUAUUAUAUUAAAAUAAAUUUUUAAUAAAUAAAAAUAAUCUAUUAAAAUAAAGUACAAAAAUUUAAAUUAUUUUCAAUAUCAUCUAAAAUAAUUUUACUAUUAUUAAUGCAUGAAAUAUAUUAUAGUAAUUGUAAAUUUCAUUUAACUCAAAGAUUUAUUUAGAAUGUUCAUAAUAAGUCCAAAUAUAUUAUUAAAAUAAUUAUAAUAAUUUACAUUUUAAAAAUUAAUACUGAUAUUAAUUUUUAAAUUAUAUUACUCUACCAGAAAAAUUAAACUAUUAAAUUAUAUCAAUAUUUAUUAAAAAAUUUUGAAAUUAAUUCUUGUUAUAUUUUUAAUUGGAAUUUUUUCAUGUGAUAUAACCAGAAUUGCUACAAUUUUUUUCCCUAAUUAAAGAUGGAGUUAUAAAUUAUUUGUAUAAGUGUCUGUGUGGAAACUAAUGUGACAUGAAAGUAAUAGCUGAAUAACAAUAAUGGGCCGAUUUCAAUUCUUAAACAGACUUGUCCUUCAUCCCAAUUUAUUUACCCCAUUUGGGCCGGUUAUGACAUAAACAUAUUCUUGUGGAAUGAAAAACAUCAUGAGAAGAAAAUGUUUUAUUAUAAUAGAAAAAAGUGGUCCAUAAGUCUAUUCAUUACUUUUUUUAUUCAAUAUAAAUGGCUAACUUUAAAAAUGGUAAAAAUCACAUAACGCGCAAACAUAUUUUAGAUUUAUAUUUUUUAAUACUCUCCGAGUCUCUCUUUCUCUUUUUCUUUUUUUAAAUAAAUGUCAGUAUAAAAUUUAAAAAAAAUUUAGAUAUAAAAUUUGGCAAUGACCAAACAAAAAUUGCAGAGGAAACCUUGAUAUCAUUGAAAUACUGAUAAUAGACACUACAGUAUAAAUAACUUGUUGUGAUCCACUCAACUUGUAACACUUUAAUCCAUAUUCUAAAAUUUUCAUGUUUGUUAGGAUUUUUAUUAUUGAUACUACUGUAUCAAUAAAAUUAUAAUUUAUUCAUAUGGAAUGAAAACAUCAAGAAAGGACCUCUGAUGUUUAUUGUCAUAGAAAAAAGUGGUCCAUAAGUCUAUUAAUUAUUUUAUUUAUUCAAUACAAAUGGCCAACUUAAAAAAUGGUAAAAAUCACACAAUGCACAAGUAAAAUUUUACAAUUACAUUUUUUAAUUCUCUUUGAGUCUCUCUCUCUCUUUAAAAAAUAAACCUCACUGUAAAAUUAGAAAAAUUUUAGACGUAAAAUUUGACAAUCACCAAAUAGAAAACAUAGGGAAAUGAAAAUGGAGGAGCCCUAUUUUCAUUAGAAUAUUGAUCAUAGAUACUAUAAUGUAAAUGAUUUGUUGCGAUUCCUUCAACUUGUCACACUCUAAGCUAUUUUCUAAAAUUUGUAAGGUUUAUAGGAUUUUUAUUACUGCCAUCAUUGUAUCAAUAAUAUUAUAAAUUAUAUAUUCUAUUGUAAUGAAAAUUUGUGUAAUCUUAGGUAUUUAUUGUAUUAAAUUGUGUGGAUUAAUUAAGAAUAUUUUUGGAGACAAAAGAAGUGUGUGUACGUAGGAUUAAUGAUAAAAAAUUUCUAAAUAAAGGUGAUUGCUUCAUUGACAAGUACAUAUUUAUAUUCCUCUAUUAAUAUUUGGGUUGUAAACUCUAUAAUAAAGUUGGUUGGUGUGAGUGGUUCGGCACUCUCACUCUUUAAGAGAGGUCGGGAGUUCAAGCCUCGCUCUCGUAUGGAGUCACCACUUUGGCCAGCACUUUACCUCUUAUGGGCCGACCCGGUGCGAGUGGGAAUUAGUAUGGGUUGUGGUAUGGGCUUAAAGGUGUCUCCCACAGUUGGGGCCCACUCAGGACCACCUCGUGAUUCAAACAAAAAAAAAAAGUGAAUAUAUUGUGGCAAGUGAUGUGGGCAAUAUCGGAUGCGAAAUAUUGAGAGAUCAUUAACGCAUAUAUUUAUUGAAGAUGCGUAUAGAGGAAAGAGUGUAGAUCCGGCCGUAACAAUUACGAAGCUUUCCCCAAGUAUACUCAUGCUUCCUUAACUGUUUCGAAGUAUUUUUCAUAGUGUGCAGAUUUACUUUAUGGUGUCUUUAAUUCAUCUUAAAUGAUUACUUUAUUGUUUUAGGAUGCAAUGUCAUUUAUUGUGUUAAUUUAAACAAUAGAAAAAAUAAGUAACAGUAACGAAAGACUAAUUUGUGAUAUUGAAGCGUACGGGCUUAACUCAAUCCAAAAAUUAGUAAAUUAGCUCAAGAGUUAAGAGUUGUCCAAAUCUUAUAUGAUGAACCCAAGUUUAAUACACAAUUGAUGCGGGAUGUUAUUCCUAACACCUCCCGUCAUGUGUAGGAUUGGCAAAAAAACUCGGGUCAGUCCCGCCUAAACCUACGAGCUUUAUGCAUGGCUCGCAUGAUGAAGUUACGGAUAUUAACCUAAAAAUUUGAAACUUACUAUGAAUGGCCUUGCUUAAAGACUUUUGCAACUUUAAUUUAUAACAAGUAUGUAUAUCUACACACACAUAAGCUUAGAUUGCAUUUGGAUGGCUUUUUUAAUCAAUUCAAACAAUCUGAAAUUUAUCAGAUUAAUCCAAAUCUUAUAUGUAUCCAAUUUUGCCCGCCCCUACUAUAUAUAAGCCCAAGUGACUCUCUUUUACUAAUUAAUAAGAGAAUUUUUGACCUUAUAUCCUUGUUGUGGCGUUAGACUGUUGGUUAUUUUGAUUGUUUCCUACCUUCCAUUUACGCCAGCUAUAACAUUGUAUUAUCACCAUUUUAGCCAUUUAAAUGAAAUUUUAUUUUUCAUUUUAUUGUGUCAAUACUAUCAUAAUUUAUUCAUUUUAUUGUAAUGAUAAUUUGUCUAGUCUUAGGUACUUACUAUAUUAAAUUAUGUAAAUUAAUUGAGAAUACUUUUAGAGACAAAAGAAACACGUGUAUGUAGGAUUAAUAAGCGAAGAGUUGUAAAUGAAGGUGAUUGCUUCAUUGAGAGGCAUAUUAAAUAAUUAUGGAGAGUUGCUCUAUUUCGGAAGCAUAUAUUUAUACUUCCCUAUCAGGAUUUGGGGUAAGCGAGGUGCUUUAUGUAUUGCAGUAACCAAAUGUGGGCAAUAUCAGAGCCGAAAUAUUGAAAGAUCAUAACGCAUAUAAACGAUUAGUAUAUUGAAGACACAUAUAGAGGAAAGAGUGCAGAUCCGGCCGUAACUAUUAUGAGGAUUUCCUCAAGUAUUCUCAUGCUUCCUCAACUGUUCUGAACUAUAUAUUCCUCAUUGUGGGCAGAUUUACUUAAAUACCAACACAAUGAUUCAAUACUUCAAAGGUCAAGGAAAUGUCAAAAUAUGAAAUGAAAAUACUUAAAUACCCUUCUACCUAACAAAACUUAGUACUUCUAACUGCCUUAGCAGAGAAUCUAUAAAAUUAAAAAAAAAAAUUCAUCCAUGAAAAGCUUCGUAACAGAAAAACCGUCUUUCAAAAAAUAAAAAAUAAAAAAUAAAAACAGAAAAACCGACUCAUUUAUCUGCCAAUGAACCAGUCAGGACUCAUUUAAAAAAGAUUACAAAGCAAAAGUAAAUGACACAAAUUGCAUAGAUAUCUCGGAGCCGCAUCAAAGGACAAUGGUGUUAAUUUGUCCGAGUAAUAAAUUCUCCUUGGUCAAAAGCAAUUAACGAUGAAAACUUUCUUCAUUAAGGUUCUGGCCUACGUAAAAAAAAAAAAAAAAAACCACCCCAAGGUCAAAGCACAACGAUAAGUUUAGAAUUGCAGUUUUUAAUUUUUUUUAAUAAAUCAACGUGUAUAAAAAAUAGAUAAUAAUUUUAAAUAAAUUUUAUUUGAUAAAUAUAGGCAUAAAAUUUUAAAAUCACCAAACAGAAAAACAGGGGAAUUAAAACAGAGUCCCUGUUUAUCCUCUAUUUUGCUUGUUAUUAAACAGGGAAAUGAAAAGAUCACAAGCGGAAAUUUUGUUUCUGCGUUGUCUCUUCUCAAUGCUACAUGCAUUCAAAUUAAACCUUACAUAUGCUAGCAAACUAGCUACCUGCGUUUAAGUGUUAGAGUGCAAUUUAUGCACUAAUUUUGCAUUGUUUACUUCUUUUAAUAUCGAUAUUUUGCACUUAAUAAUAGUGAUUUACUUGUAUUUUAUUUUUGUAAGUGCAAUUCUAUUUAUUGGUGCUAAAAUUGGGCUACAAGAUGAUGUUUGAAGAUGAUUGUUUUCUUGGAAAAAUUAUGAGUUUCAGAAGAACUUUGUUGAUAAGGCGUGGGCGCUGGCUGUCAACUACGGACCUGUAGUUUUUAGUUUAACGUGUUUUGUCUUUUUGGUUAUUUUUGUAAUCACGAAUUUAAUAUUUAGAUAAUAUUUUAGAUAUUAGUAUUUUAUUUUAAAAAGAACUCUAGAAGAGAAUUUAAGAGGGGAAUCUAUGGUCAAAGGAAAAAAAAGAAAGGAAACCCUAGAUCUAAAUUUUUCUCUUCUCUCUAUGAAGAACUAAACCUAUUAUUCUGGUUAAAGGUUAAUGGAGCUUUGAUUCAUCAUUACUGUGAGAUCUUUCUUAUGCUUUAAUUGUUUUAUUGAUUUUUGGGUAUUUGUUUAUUCUCUAAAUUAUUGUCAUGAUUAUGUUUGUUAAUUAGAUAAUUAGCCAUUAUUUAAUUAUCAACUUAAUCUAUUGUCAAUUAAAGGAUUCAUCGUAUGAAGAUUUUAAUGUUUGUGACAAAUAGCAUAGCAGUUCGUUAUGUUAUGAGAAUAAACAAUCUAAUUUAAAUGAACCAUCGUAUGCGUUUGUUGAUUAGGAUUUGGGUCUCUCUGGUUUUUCAGGUUGUCAAUUGAUUAAAUCCUAUGAUCGUAUCUAGGGUUGUCUAUUGAUUAGGGAAAUAACCAAUGGUCGUACCUUGGUUAUCGACUAGUUAAGGAGAGAUUGGCUAUUAGAGGGUCUCAGUAGCUAUAACCGGUCUAUUCAUAAGUAGUAAUGAUUUAUAUUUGAAUCAAUGAUCAAUAGUCGAAUCAAGCUGAGUUAAUUCCUUCAACCAGAGCUUUCCCCAAUUUUAAUUUGCAUUCUUGUUAUUUUAAUUUGAUUUUUAUUAUUGUCAACAAUUCCCCCAUUUUGCAUUUUGCAUUUUAAAAGGAUUUAAAUAAUUACUAAUCUCUGUGGACACAACCCUACUCAAUCACUAUACACAAUUUAUUUAGAGUAUGUAUUUAUUUUUGCUGGCUUCGACAACCAUCAAUAAGUUCUCGAUAAGUCCAAAUAAUAGAAUAAUUGUAAAAUGUUCAAAUUCAGUAAUUAAUUAUACAUAUUUAUUUAUUCAAAAUUAUUAUUAUUAUUAAUUAUUGUCAAUAAUAUAUUAAUAUACUAAUUAAUUGUAAACUUUUUUAUCAUUCAUAACAAUGAUGAUGAUGAUGAUGAUGAUGAUGAUGAUAAAAAAUUCAAAACAUAUUAAUUAAUUAUAAUAAUAUAUUAAAUAUUUAAUUAUUUAAUAAUAAUAAUAAUAAAUGCACAAUGUAUAAAUUGAUUAGAAUAAUUAUAUUAAUUAAUCAUAAUAAUUUUUUAAUUGAGGACAAAAUAGAUAUUUUAUAGUUUGUGAGAGGGGGCAAAAUGGUCAAUCUUGGGAAUGGGGGAUUGAUUCCCACCACCUUCCUUAGGAAUCAAUCUUCCAUUCCUCAUUCCUAAUUUGGGUGGUCCCCAUAGUUCUGAUUCGGAUCCCAGCCUCCAUUUUAUGAAGUAAACAUCAUUAAGAUUUCGAUUCCGGAUUCCGAUUCCCCAAUCCAAGAAGUACAGGCACCAUUAUUGUUGAUUGGUUCAAAUGCACAAAGAGAAUGUACCAUGUAGCUAGGCGUCAAGGUUGUGCUGCACAAGUAACCUUUUUCUUUUCUUUUCUUUUUAUUUUUCUUAUUUUCCUUAAUGUAUCGGAAGAAACUGGUGCCUUUGAGAUACUACCAUGUAAAUAAGUACUUAUGGUUCAUUGAAUCUGUAACACUCGGUACCCUACAAUUGCUUUUGAAAAAGGGCUUUACUCACUUAUCGCUAAUAUUCAAGUAAGUUUGUUUCAUUUCAGAAGGUGCAAAGUUUCAAACUUGUUGUAUUGAGAUGUAACAAACUUUGGCCUUAUAUGCUUGUUGUGACGUUUGACUGUUCAUUUUGACUGUUUCCUACCUUCCACUUACGCCUGUAGCACUGUAUUAUUCACCAUUUUAGUUGUUUAAAUGAAAUUUUAUUUUGUCAAAAAUGAAAUGACACCAUUAAAAUUUAAAAAAAUAGUCAUGGAGAUCCCAAAUUUUUACUAAAGAACACCAAUAUUCCCCUUGACUAUAAUACCCUUAGCAGGUGGUAAUAAAAAAUUGACUUAAAAUUUUUUGCGAAAUGUAAAUAUGAUUUAAAUAAUUUAAAUUUUCCAAUAGACUAAUAUAUAUAAUUUAAAUAAUUAAUUUCAAUAUUAAUUUUUUAAAUGUAAAUUAAUAUAUUUGUAUUUAUAAAAUAUUUGCAAUUAUUAUAAAAAUUUUAAAUAAAUCCUUAGGUUAAUAGAUUUUACAAUAAAUAUAAUAUUUCUCAUGUAUUAAUAAUAUUAAAAUUAUUUUAUAUGAUAUUGAAAAUAACUUAAUUUAUAUAUUUAUUUGAAUAUUAUGUCUCUAUUUAUUAUAAUUUGGUUUAAUAGAAUACGAGAUUGUAAAAUAUUAAAAUAUUUUAGAUAUUGAAAUUUUAAUAUGUAUAUAUUAUUAUAUUUAUUUUAAUAUAUUUAUAUUUAUUAUAAAUUAUUAGAGUCAAUUUUUAGUUAAUAAAUUUAAAAAUAUUAUAAUUAAAAAAAAGAAUUCUUAUUGUCUGUUAUUCACAAUAUGAGGUUCUACAAAAUUAUUUCUCCAGACGGGUGUCCUUUUCUUAUUUGUAAAAGGAAAAAUAAGUUCAGGGAUCUUAAAAAAUUCUAGUCCUAUCGACCACUAUGACUAAUGGGAAACGACAUUGCAAUUGACAUUACUUUUCGCAAUAUGACAAAUUUUUGGAGGGAUACGGGAGAAUCGUCAAACGUUCACACCACACGAGAGCUUUAGGUGGGAUCGGGGAGGAUUGUCAAGAGUUCACACCACGAGAAAUUAAUGAUAGGCCUAAUUUCGCUGUCAGUUCUUUAUUUAUUUAUUUUAUUUAUUUCAUACAUUAUUAUCUUGUUGGUAUUGUUUUGUAAAGGUAUAAAAGUAAAGUAAAAUACUAGGGGUACCAUUAAGUUACAGCUGAUGUAACUUACAGUGUUUUAAAAAAUAAUAUAAAAAAUUUAAUAGCUGGUGGGAUCCACAUAUUUUUGAAGAGACUUAAGUUACAACAGUUGUAACUUAACAAAAUCCAAAUAUUUGACAAUAAUGCAUAUAAUUUGGAUUUGAUUUUUAAAAGAUUAUUUGAGCACCACCUAUCCUUAUGAUAUUAAUGUGAAUAUAUCUUAAUAUUAAAUAAUCAAAAUUUGUUUAAUUAUUAUUUGUAUUUCAUACAUUACCUAUUAGAUUUGUUUGAAUUUUACGUUCUUGCUAAUAAAUAUUUAUGUUGUCAAAGUCAAAUUCUAAUGAUUAAAAGAGCAACUAUCCCUUAAAUUUUAAUGGUGAAUUGUAUAUAGUUUUUAAGAAAGUAAGGAUAAGUUGGAUAAUUGACUUAAAUUCUAAUGAUUAAAAGAGCAACUAUCCUUUAAAUUAAAAUGUCAAUUUCUUUAAUUAUAAUUUUUUUUUCAUGUGAUAUAACCACAAUUGCUAUAGUUUUUUUAAAUAAUAAUGGGAGUUAUAAAUUAUUUAUAUAAAAUUUGUGUAGAAUCUAAUGUAACCUAAAAGUAGUUGCUGAAUAAUAAUAUUUGAAACUCUAGGUAAUUUUCAUAUGAGCCCUUUUUAUAUUCAGCAUCUUGAAUCGGGGGAAAUCCGACUUGAAUUGGCGGCUGAUUUUGGUGAUGUAGCUUUCGGUUUAUGGUUGCCUUACAGUGGCGGACGACUGAUUUACGGUCGCCGACUGCUAGGGAUUAUGGUGGUGGUGUAAAUUGACGGAAAAAGUAGAAGGUUUGGUGGCGGCGCGUGUAGGAACCACUCGUGGGUUGUCGUUUCGUGUGGUGACUGCGGGUGGCGAUCAAGGGCUGACGUUGGUCGGUUUUUGGUCAACGGAGGGCGGCCAGUUUGUUGGUGGAGGUGGCUGGCGGUGAAAGUGGCUGAAUGGUGGUGGAUAUCUUGGUGGAGCUACGGGUUUGGGUUGGUGAUUUGCGGCUGUUCAGGCGGCGGUUGAGGCAGCGAUAGCUGCGGCUUGGUCGGCGGUGGCUAGCGAGGUUUGUUGUGGUGUUGGCUGGCUGAUCGGUGGUGGUGGGCGGCGGCGGUGGAGGUUGAUGCGGCGGGUAGGGUUUUCAAAUCGGUUUUUGAUAUUUUUUUUUUUUUUUAUGAAUUUGGUGUGGAUGGGUAUAGGGUAAGAAACACUAGAUAUCAUUCUAGUACUGGACCAAGCCAACGCAAUUAAUUUACCAUCUAGUCGAAGGGUGAUUAGAUAUCGUUCUAACCCAAACGAUAAAAUGAGAUUUUUAACAACGCGUAAUACAAGAUUAGAUGAUGCUCUAAUCCAAACGACUCUACAACGACUCUAUAAGAGAGAUUUUGAUAGAUAAAUCUAGGGAAAAUUAUAAAAGAUGGGUUUUAUUUAAUAAUUAAACCUAAAGUUUUGAAAACAAUGACAAGAUAUUUUUAUUUAUAAUACAGGAAAUCUGCUUCCCUAAGAUAACCUAAAAAAGAAAAGUAAAUCAUAAUUAUAAUAGAAAUGAAAGAUUAAGAUACACACCAUAAUUGACUCAAACUAAAAUAGAAAAUCUUAAAGUAAUAAAUAUUCUAAAAUUGUAAAUUAUCUAAAAUAACAAUAAUUAACUUCCUAAAUCAUUUCUUUGGUGUAAAUCAUUUUACAUCCAACCUCGCUUUAAAGGUUUGAACCAGCGUUACCAACAACAAUGUAUCAAGUUCCAAUCUAGCUUAAGAUCAUGCUGAUACAUCUACUGAUAUCUUUAUUUGAUUAGACAAUAAUGAGUCUAUCUCAUCACUUGUUACCUCUUUCUUGAAGGCUGCAUCUGUUGAGCGAUAACCUCGUUGAAAGUUUAAAGAUCUUCCUCCAUGUUAAAUUAAAUGGGCAUUUGAUUAAGAACUUUAUCUCUAUCUCCUUCUAUCAAAUAACAACCAUCCAAAGGGAAAAAAAAAUUAAAAAAAUCCAUGGGUCACAAUAAUUUCUGGUCAGCCCACAAACCCCCCAUUAUCUGCCACUAUCAAUCAUGAAAAUGAAAAUAAAUGGCAUAUUCCCAAAAUGACGAAAGAUUUUGGGGGAUAUGGGGGAAUUGUCAAAAGUUCACACAACGCGAAACAAGUGUUACAUCCAAUUUUAUUUCGUCAUAUAAUGAUAAUAUCAAAUAAUGACAACCAUCCAAAAGUAUGAUGGGUCUUCCAAAAUUUUAAAAAUGUCGUCAACAUUUAAUUUUCAAUGCUAAAGAAAAUGAAAUGCCCAAAAAUGACACGCAAGACCCACUCACAAACUAAAUGGCCCUUGACCAUAUGUAACAAACUUUGACCUUAUGUCCCUGCUAUGGCGUUAGACUGUUGGUCAUUUUGAUUGCUUUUUACCUUCCAUUUACACCCACUGAAGCAUUGUACGAUUAACCAUUUUAGCUGUUUAAAUGAAAUUUUUAUUUUUUUCAAAAGUAAAAUGACACGCUUAAAAUUUUAGAAAAUAGCCAUGUAGACCCUAAAAUUUUAAUAAAGAACACCAAUACCCUUUUUGACUAUAGUACUUUUAGUCGAUGGUAACAAAAAAAAAAAAUGACUUCAAAAUUUUUUACUAAAUGUAAAUAUGAUUUAAAUAGUUUAAAUUUUCUAGUAGACUAGUAGGUAUAAUUUAAAUAAUUAAUUUAAAUAUUAAUUUUUAAAAUGUAAUUUAAUAUAUUUAUUUUAAUAAUAUAUUUUUAUUUAUUAUAAAAUUUUAAAUAAAUCCUUAGGUUAAAUAGAUUAUAUAAUUAAUAUAAUAUUUCUCAUGUUUUAAUAAUAUUAAAAUUAUUUUACAUGCUAUUGAAAAUAAUUUAAAGUUUUAUAUAUUUAUUUGAAUAUUAUGUCUCUAUUUAUUAUAACUUGGUUUAAUAGAAUAUGAGAUUGUAAAAUAUUAAAAUAUUUUUAGGUACUGAAAUUAUUUUAAUAGGUAUAUAUUAUUAUAUUUACUUUAAUAUCCUACUUAUAUUUAUUAUAAAAUAUUAAAAUUAAUUUUUUUAGUUAAUGAAUUUAAAAAAUAAUAUAAUUAAAAAAAGAGUCUUAUUGUCCGUUAUUCACGAUAUGAGGUUUUACAAAAUUAUUUUCAAAAGGAAAAAUAAGUUCAGGGGUUUCAAAAAAUUCUAGUCCAAUCGACCACUAUGACUAAUGGGAAACGACAUUGCAAUUGACAUUGUUUUUCGCAAUAUGACAAAAUUUUGGAGGGAUAUGGGAGAAUCGUCAAAAGUUAACACCACACAAGAGUUUUAUUUAUUUAUUUAAUUUAUUUCACACAUAUAUUGUCUUGUUGGUAUUGUUUUGUAAAGAUAUAAAAGCACAAGUAAAAUAUUAGGGGAAGUAAAGUAAAAUAUUGGGGGUGCUGCUAAGUUACAACUGCUAUAACUUACAGUUCCUUCAAAAAUAAUGUAAAACAUUUAACACGUGGUGGGACCCACAUUAUGUUUGAAUAGUCCGUAAGUUAUAGCAGUUAUAAAUUAGUAAAAUCCAAAUAUUAGACAAUAAUACACAUUAACAAUGCAUAUAAUUUGGGUUUAAUUUUUUUUAAAUUAUUUGAGUAUUACCUAUCCUUAAGAUAUUAAUGAGAAUAUAUUUUAAUAUUGUGAAGCUUUCCUCAAUUAUUCUCAUGCACCCAGACCUUAUCUGGUCAAGUUUUCUGAUUCAAUACUGACGACAGCUUCUUUGUAAAGCUCUUCAACCACAAGCAUUUCUACAAGGCAAAGGACAAGGACGUGUUGGAAUGAAUAUCAACAUGGGAAUGUCUUAUGAAUUUAGUUUAUAUUCUAAUAUAAGACAAUCAAUAAAUAUUGGAUGCAAUCUAAGGGCUAACAUUUGAUUGAUUAAUAUAAGAAAAAAAAAGGGUACAAAAAUGCAAAACAGAGCUGAUUGAUGGCCUUUAACAGUCAGUUCUAUGACAAAGUAACCACCAUAACCAAUGGAAUUAUAAGACAUCAAGAAACUUGAACUUGGCAGGAGGUCUCAUUAGCAGUAUACCUCAGAAAUUAAGACAGAGACUUUAAAAUGCAAGCUUAUGGAGCAAUUUAAGCACUGAAACUAAUAACAGUGAUGCCAAAAAAGGUGCAGGAGUACGGUAUUAGCAAUUGACCUCUGCUUUUGCUUGGACAAAGGUUCUCAUCACAAGGGACUCAUUAGUUGCCCUUGCCUCACACGAUUGGAUGCUAAGGGGGAAAAGGAAGUUUGAAUUAGUCAAUCUCAUUUCUAAUGGCAUUCACAGAGAACCUAUAAAACAAAAAAGUAAAUAAAAAUUUUCAUCCAUGAAAAGCUUAGUAACGGAAAAACCGACUCUUUUAUCUGCCACUGACCUAAUCCGGACUCAUUUAAUUAAAAAAGAAUUCAAAGCAAAACUAAAAGACACAAAUUGCAUACAAGUCUAGGAGCCAUAUCAAAGGCGUUAUAUAACUUGUCCAAUUAAUAAAUUCUCUUAGGGACCAUGCCGUGCUCACUCAUUUCCAAAGCAAUUAAUGAUAAGAACUUUCAUCAUUAAUUGAUAUGGCCAGUGUAGAAAAAAAUGAAAAACCCCUCCAAGAUUAAAGCACAAGGAUAAGUUUAGAAUUACACUUCUUAAAUUUUGGUUAAUAAAUAAACGUCUAUAUGAAAAUAGAAAAUCUUUUUGGAAUAAAUAAACGUCAAAUUUUUGUUUCUAUCUUACUACCUUCUAAAUCCGCAAUCCCAAGUACUUAGAAGUAAAUGCUACAUAGUACAUGAGAUGUUUCCCGUUCAAAUAGCUCGUCCGAUACCAUUAACAUGUUCAUCUCUCUGUAAUUGGUGUAAUUACGAGAUUGGUGGUUGACAUGGCUUUCCUUGUACAGGUAUGUAUGAUUGUUUUUUUUUUUUUUGGCACUUCUAAAUGGAUACUGUUGAAAAGCUUAAAAUUGAACUGAUAAUUUUGUUUGGAAGCUCAGAAAAUUCAUGAGAAAGUGAAAUAGAAUAUGCUGGAUUUCUUUUCUUUCCAUAACAUACAAAUGACAAACGUAGCAGUAUUUAUACUCGUUGCUUACAUCAUAAAAACAGAAUUAAAGCAAGGUACACAACUAUAACAGCAUCAAAAGCGUGCUUAACUAAUUGGCUGAGCUGGCAUAUACUUCUUUAACUAACAAUGCUGCUGACUGGACUUUAGCUCACACAUGCUUAUCGUGCAGCUACUCUUAGUUCACACGUGCUCAGUGUGCUUCCUUAACAGACACAAGGGAAAAGACAUGAUUUUGAGAUAUAACGCUUGAAUGUUCUCGGAAUGGCAUAACGCUUCGUGUGUCUCGGAGCGGCUGAUUGGUGCUGUACGUGUUUCUCAUAUAGAACUCAAGUCUGCUGUUGUCCCAAAGUUGGAACCAGAGAUAUCAUGACUCUGGUUUCAUUUCACCUCAACUGUGUUUUUUUUUUUAAUUAAAAAAAUAAUUUUUUUAGGUAUACAUACAUGUAUUUUGAUCCCAUUUUCAUGGGAAUUUUGCAUUAAAAAAUGAAGAAUAGCUAAUAGGGAAUUUCCUGAUUCUUUAGUUACUAUUUUUGGAAUGAGGGUAAUUAGUAGUAAAGUUGGUUUCUACUCGCAAACAAGUGAGCUGCUCGAUUCCCAAGUGGUAUCAACCAGUUUUCAACUUUUUAAUAUACACAAAUUGUUAUUGUUUAAUAGCUACUACUAUUAAAACUCAACAUCUUACAAAAAUACUUAAAAAAAAUGAUUUUUUCUUAUGAUGCUGUAAAAAAAAUUACGGGUUUACUUAUUUCCACGAGAUCUUGUAUAGUGUUCUUGUAUAGUGGAAUUAAGAUUGUCUUCCCGAUGGUGCAAUUCACCCUCUUCCUUUACAGUCACUUGCACUUUGUGCAGCUUUGGUGUGGAUACGAUUCCCAGGGAAAAAGUCUUCAUGUUCGGACAAUGUGUCACAAAUACUCGUUCCAAUGAUGGGAAUUCAAGAGUGUAAUUCUCCAAACAAAAGCUGGUAAGCCUUGGUAAAUCAUCAAGUUCCAAAAGUUUUAAUUCACUGAAAGCAAUACGAUUCUCCUUCACUUCUUCUCCAGCAUGUCCUACGAUUUCUUCUAAUUUUUUGCAGUUCCAUACAUAAAGAUUCACCAGACUAGUAGGAAUUCCAACCUGAAAAUAAGCAGAGAGAGUGUGUGUGUAUAAAUAUUAAAAAAGUAAAAAUGUAAGAGUAUCAUUCAACUAGGCUCAAAGUAUGUUUGAUCAUACAAUUAUACGUUUUAUGAACAUAACAAACUGUGAAAUGUCUACUAGAUAUUUUUUGUUAAACAAAAAAGGUAACAAGAUAAAUAAAUAAAUAAAUAAAAGCCAGAUAAACAAAGAUGAUAAAAAUGUAUUUACACAAUUAGUAUUAGGGACGUAGAAAGAAUUUAAGGCAAUUUCUAAAUAUUUUAGACUUAUUUUGCAUCUUGAUAUAAGUUUUUAAGCAUAAAUUUGCACAUUUCAACUAUUCCUUUAAAAAAAAACUCAACUAAAAUGCCUCUUUUUCCCUUUUCCUUGGUCCCCUUUUUUUUAUGUAUAUAUAAAAAUGGAAAAAAAAAUUUGGAAAAGACUUCCUAGUACUGUCAACAAGGGAUUGCUGUAAAGUGGAUCUUUAUUAAGUACUUCCAGACUCGAGGAAAUUUCUUUACAAUCAAGGGUCAGUUGUAAACAAUCAUGAAUUUAUGGUUAAGUAAUGGCAUAAUCAAUUCUUAACUAAACUGGAGAUAUUAAUUAAAUUUGAAGACUUUUUUUUUUUCCCAAUCGAAAUGUGAAGAACUAAGGAAAAGAGAAAUAUAUAGAUGAAUUUGUGAACUUAUAAGAUGAGUGACUAUCCUUUAAUUUUUGAAAAUCGUACUUAUUAAGAUAUGAGCAAAAACAAUUAAAUUGAAUUAUAUUAUGCUGUUGAAUCUGUUUAAAAAAAUUAUAUUGUUGAUUCUAAUGCUGGUGAACCUAAAAACUAGACUUAAAACGUAGAUUUCAGAGUGGUGGUUUGAAGUACAAUAUUUGAAAUAAAUAAUUAGUGGCUGAAUAUCAUUUGUAAACACAGAAAUGAUUAAAAAAUUGUUGAAUGUUAUUUGAAAAAAAAAAUCGAAAUGAAUACAGAAACCUUACCAAUGGAGGAAAAAUAUUCAUUAGCUUAUCACACUCUUCUAUCUCCAAAUUCUUCAAUUUCCUGAAAGACUCCGAAGCAAGCUGGUGGUGCCAUAUUGUUCUUAGGUUAUCCAUCCACACAAUAUAUAAUACCUCCAACCUAGGAAGUCGUACCUGGCAAUUAAAGAUUAAAUAACUAAUUAAUCAAUUAAUGGCAUAAUCAAUUGAUAACUAAAUUAGAGGCGGAUAUUAACUAAAUUUGAAGACUCAAGGAAAAGACAAAUCAAGUAUUGUGACUAAAAUUAUUUUUUUAAUUAAAAAAAAAAAACUUUUCAUCAAAGAGAGGAGGAGGUUGCAUUUCAGAAUGAAUAGUGUCUUCUGGUGAGCUCGUAGAGAUGAAUCUUAACAUAUUACUGCAACAACCAAUCAUGAGGUUUAGCAAAGAAGGGAAUUCAACAACUAAAUCUGAAUGAAUAUGUCCCAUAUUGGCAAAACCUUUAAUUCAAUCAACUUUCCUUCAUCUCUUUCUGACCAUCCCGUGGUGUCGACUACCCCUUCCAUUGACUCACAAUAGCUUAUCUCAAGAUGUUGGAGUUGCAAAAGGCUAUUAACCAUAGAAUAUGAAAACAGAUACUUUAGACGAUAACACCUUUCCACAGUCACUUUUGUUAAAUUUUGACGAAAGUACAUUCCUUGAUUAUGAUCGGCCCAUAAUUUUUUCAUGUUUCUUAAGUCCCUGAGAUUCAAUUCCUCUAAGCUCGGAAGAAUAACCUGCAAAGAAAACCCGUACAUUUUUGUUCCUUCAAGUACAACCGUCUAGUAUAAUAUUCUUUUGAUGAUCAAAGAUUAAUUGUGAUAAUAAAUUAAUCAAUUAAUUAUUGAACAGAAAAUUAUCACCUUUGGAGCAGGAUCAUCAUCAGCAAUGAUUUCGUUGAAUCCCAAAGAAGUUGUUGGUUUGCUAAUUGUUGCACCAAAGAAGUAAGAUUUGAAACUUGUUUUUCUAGAGAAGUAGUACUUACCUCAUUGACUCGCUUAGGUGGCGGCAGUAGAUCGUUCCUAGUGUUGAACUGUUGGGAAUUAGCAGCCAUGUUAGCAAUGAGAUUUCGGGCUGCUUCUGGUGUCUUAUCCACGAGUGCUCCUCCACUAGCGGCAUCAAUCAUACUCCUAUCCAUAGGUAGUAGAACCUCAUAAAAGUAUUGAAUAAGAAGUUGAUCACUUAUCUGAUGGUGAGGGCAACUAGCACAUAGCUUUUUGAAUCGUUCCCAAUAGUCGUAGAGCGACUCUCCAUUAUACUGUCGGAUUCCACAAAUUUCUUUUCGAAUGCUGCCAGCUUUUGAUGCUGGGAAAUAUUUCUCCAAAAAUAGCUGACGCAUCUCAUUCCAUGUAGUGACAGUACCGGAGGGAAGAUAGUACAACCAUUCCUUGGCUGAAUCCGCCAAAGAGAAUGGGAAGGCCAUUAGCUUAACUUGCUCUUCAGAAACUCCGGCUGGUUUCAUUGUGGAGCAGACCACAUGGAACUCCUUCAAGUGGUUAUUUGGAUCCUCUCCUGCAAGACCAUGAAAAGUAGGAAGAAGAUGAAUCAUCCCAGAUUUGAGUUCAAAGUUUACUUGAGGGUUUGGAUUCUCAAUGCAUAAGGGUUGUUGGUCCAAGUUAGGAGCUGCCAACUCUUUAAGUGUUCGGUUGUUAUUCUGAGCCAUUGGUUGGGGUUCUGGGCUGCUUGGNNNNNNNNNNNNNNNNNNNNNNNNNNNNNNNNNNNNNNNNNNNNNNNNNNNNNNNNNNNNNNNNNNNNNNNNNNNNNNNNNNNNNNNNNNNNNNNNNNNNNNNNNNNNNNNNNNNNNNNNNNNNNNNNNNNNNNNNNNNNNNNNNNNNNNNNNNNNNNNNNNNNNNNNNNNNNNNNNNNNNNNNNNNNNNNNNNNNNNNNNNNNNNNNNNNNNNNNNNNNNNNNNNNNNNNNNNNNNNNNNNNNNNNNNNNNNNNNNNNNNNNNNNNNNNNNNNNNNNNNNNNNNNNNNNNNNNNNNNNNNNNNNNNNNNNNNNNNNNNNNNNNNNNNNNNNNNNNNNNNNNNNNNNNNNNNNNNNNNNNNNNNNNNNNNNNNNNNNNNNNNNNNNNNNNNNNNNNNNNNNNNNNNNNNNNNNNNNNNNNGCUAGUCCCCGGCAACGGCGCCAAAAAUUUGGUAGUGUCGUUAAGGUGCACCAAAUUUAAAACCUUACCACUAAUAUAAAUAAUUAGUACAGAGCGAGUAAGGAUCGAUCCCAUAGAGACUAUGCUAGUUAUAUUUAUUAUUAACUCCAAAGCAAGAUUUAAAAUAAAAUAAUAGUAAUAGUAAUAAUAAUAUAAAUUAAUCUAACUAAAGAAAAUGCCAAUUAAAAAUAAAAGGGGGGUUUAUGAAUUUUUAACUAAAUAGUAAGAAAUAAAGAAAUUAAAAUUACGAACAAGAAUUUAAUAAAAACUCUAAUUAAAGGAGAAAGAAAUAAUAAUGAUGAAAACUUUGGUUAAAGGAUCAUUCGCCACCACCAAACAUGCACAUAAUAAAUCAAUUCUAUUAUCAAUUUAUAUUGAAACUAUCAACCAUAGACAACAAUAAGCUCUGUUAGUCUCAAUCUUUCCUUAGUGUGUCGUUAGGUAAAAUAAGCUCUUCACCUAAUCUAUAACCAUUAAAUAAUUUAAAACAAGCUCUUUAAAUUUAAGAUAAUGGAAGCAUUAAACAAAGAAAGAAAUUAGGUUGAUCUAGGCAAUAAACACACAAGCUCAGAUUAUUUAACCUAGGUUAUGUUCUCCAAUUGAAAUCAUUAAUUCCAACCUGCUACUAAUGAUUAAAAUAUCAAGACAAUUACGGAUCAAGAAUUUUAAUCUAGCAAUAAAAUUUAUUCAAGUCCUAUCUAAUUGGCCACUCAAACAAAACAAGAAUAAACCAUGAACAUUAAUUAUAGAAGAACAUAAACAAUCUCAAUUAAAUAAAUUGAAUGAUAGAAUUUAAAUUUAAUUGCAUAGCAUGUUUAGGGUUUUGAAUUCACCCUCAACCAAAUAAAAAUCUAGCCUAACAUAAUUGAAUUGGGAAUAAGAGAAUUGACAAAACCAAUCAUAGAGAUUAAUUCAAGCGGCUGCCUUUUUCUUCAAUUGAAUUCCGGCUGCUGAUUUUUUCUUCUUCUUGCGGCUAUUGAUUUUCCUCUUGCUGCCGAAUUGGAUUUGCCCUCCCAAAGUCUCUUGCUGCCCGAAUUCUUUUCCCUCUAUUGCUUCCGCUUGAUCCUAUUUAUAAUGCUUCAAUUGUGGCUUUUUUUAAAUCCUUGCCUGGAAAGAAUUAAAUUCAAAGCUCAAAACCGCCACCUCAUGCUUCAAUUAAUAAGCCAAUAAUGAUUUCCUAAAGCCAAAAGGCUUUAUUCUCUUUCCUUUCACGUGGCAACUUUUGGUUUGCAUCUUUGUUUUCCAAUUUUGCUUUCAUGUGAUGGCUUGGCUUGUUAAUUGGCUUGGCUUCCUUUUUGACUUCCAUUUUCUAAUUUUAGCUCCAUGUGCAACAUUAAUUUUGCUCGGCCCAUACAAGCUUUAAUUAAAUUUAUUUUCUAAUUCCUUCCAAUUCUUGAUCUCUUGUGCACUUUUGUCUCUCAAUCUUCAAUCAAAUUUUUUUUCUUGAAUGCUCCGAUUUAAUUUCUCUUUAAUUCCAGAAUAUACCUAAAAUAACAAAAUAAAUAAAACUAAGAUAAAAAUUAACAAAAUAAAAUAUAAUUUACUAAAUUAAAAAUUAACUAAAAUAACUAGAAUAUUUAAGACCAAAACAAGAAAAAGAUAGAGAAAUUAAUAGCAAAAUAUAUGAAAAAUAUGCACUUAUCACAAGCCUCUCAUUUUUCAAAGCUUUUGCAAGGGUAAUAAGUGCAACAGGCAAUCCUCCGCAUUUUUCAACGAUCUCAUCUGCUAAAGGUUGAAAAGCAGAUGCUUUUGCAGAAUUACACACUAUCUUUCCAAACAAUUGCAAUGCUUCUUCCUUUGAUAAAACUUCAAUUGAGAAAUCCUUCUGAGAUUUCAUAUCAUUGCGCAAUAAAUCUCGACUUCUAGACGUCAAUAUUAUUGUGCGUCUUCUCCGAUCGUCCUCUCUAUCUUUCUCAUCAACAUCCCCAUAAGGAAUUCCAACUGUAUCGAACUCAAGUUUUGUCCAAAUAUUAUCCAGUAUAAUGAGGAGCCGCUUCUCUUGCUUCAACCUUUGACACAGUCGAGAAGCUCUUUGAAAUUCAUUCUCAUUCAAGUCAAAUUCCAUGCCUAAAUCAAAAGCAAGUUUGUCUUGAAUUUUAUGAUGAUCUGGGGUCUGUGUUAUCUCAGCCAUAACGAACUUAUCGAACAACUUAUCUUCCAUCACUUGGUUUGCAACUUGUUUGACCAGCGUGGUUUUGCCCACGCCGCCCAUCCCAUAGACCCCAAUUAUGUUGACCUUGUCAUCCUUCACCGCCUCCAUAACAUCUUGAAAUACUUUCAUUCUUGAAUCAAACGCCUCGAAAUCUUUCACUUGCAUAUGUUCUGCCCGCUUUGGAGCAGGACUGUAGGAAACAUUGGAGAAGUUGCCUUUUCCCACGAGACUAGCGGCAGCUUCUGCCGCCUUUGCUGCUUGUUUACUAAGCUUGUAACGAGAAAUCAAGUUUGGGCAUAAUCCUUUGAAGCAGGACUUCUUAGCUCUAUCUUCAUCAUCAAUGAUGGAUUUUGCAACCCCUUCACUGAUGAAUUCAUCAACGCUAUGUAGCCAGUCUGUGACACCCUCAUAAAGCUCAUCCCCUUGUAGCCUAGCAUGAUUAACUGGUUGCUGCACCAUUUCUCUCUUAUAUCCCAGCUGCUUCACUUGAUCUUUUAGCUCAUCUAUGUAGCUCUGGUACUUGAACACAUAAGAUAUCUGCCGUGUAAUCGGGUUGAACAGUGACUUUGCACCUUCUGAUACACAGUUGGUUAAAAAAGCCAGACACGCUUCUAUAGCCAUUGCCGGUUGCUUAACAAUAUAUAUCUAGUUUUUGGCUGUUGAAAAAAAAAAUGGAUUCAAAUAAAUUAAAUGAACUAGCGGGGAAGAAAAAGAAAGAAACGACAACAAACAACUUUUUAGAAAAAGGUUUCAGGGGCCUGAAUGGAAAACCAACAAUUUUUUGAAGAAAGAAAACUUUUUUGGAAGAUGGAUGCAAAUUAACCAUUAAUAAUACUGCAUAAGAACACAGAAGUUAACAAUAAACAGUAACUUAAAACUCAAGAAAAUUAAAUGACAAGAUUAAGACAAACAAGAGAUAGUUUUUGUUGGACAUUAAGAAACAUCUGCUAUCAAGAUCAAAGAUUAGAAAUUAUGCUAUUGAAAGAAAUUAUUAAAGUAUUUAGAACAAACGCACCUCUUCAAUUAUCGAGGAUCACAGAGUUUAUGAGCUUCACUCUUGGCCUUCGAUUUAUAAGAAAAAUUUUAAUGAGCAAAAGAUCACUGUUAACUGCAGAAGAAUGUGAGUAAAGAGUUUAUGGGAGUAAGCAAUACAAUUGAAUUGUAAAAGAACAAGACUUAAAGCGUGCACCCCGUGUUCAUAUAAACAGAACACAUGUUCAUUUUUAACAAAGUGAUCAAUAACUCUAUUCGUUAUUUAAUUGAUAUUGUAACCAAUUCUAAGAGAAUAUAAUAAUAAUCAUUCAAUCCAUAAAUUUAGAAUUAGAUUUUUUUAACUCUUUAUUUAAAUAUAAACCUUAAUGGAAAAUUAUAAAAGUUUAGAGAUAAAAUUUUUCAAUCACCAAACGAAAAAAACAGGGGAAUGAAAACAGAGGAAUCUUGUUUUAACUAUUUUUUUCCUCAACUCUCGUUCUUAUAUUAAUAAUCUUGUUUUGAUGAUAGUGCUCGUGACUGCGGGAAAAUUUCUACUGGAAACAACUCAAUUUCGGAAGAAAACUUAAUUUUGCAAGUGAUGAAUUUGAACUCGUUGGAUUGGUUGAUUUAUGAUUGACUGAAUUUCACUUUUGCCCAAAAGAUCUUUAACCAAAGUUUAAUAGCCAUCAUGUACUCCUUAAAAGCAAUUUUUUUUUUUAGAUUUGACUGAAUUUGAACUUGUUGGAUUGGUUGUUUUUAGAUUAUUAAUAUGAGAUAUUACAACGUAAAUAUUUUCAUGUGGUUGAGCCCUAUUCUAAAAUCUGUAUAGUUAGCUUUAGAAAAAGGGCUUUUCCUGCUGAUCUGUAAUCUUCAAAUAAACUUAGAUACAAAUAAUGAAAUAAAAGACAACAAACAAGCAAUACUGAUACAAAGCCAACAGAUCAGAGUUUUUUCUUGCCUUCUUUUGUUGAAGGAUUAGAGUUUUUGGUAUUAUCAGUAAAGGUUUCAAGGAGUAAAGCCUAUAAACUUUUUUUUUGGGGGGGGCGCCGCCGCGGGGAGGGGGGGGGGGGGGAGAGCAUGCAAAUUAACCAAAAGAAAUAAUAAGAGCACAGGCUUUAACAAUGAAUACUGACUUAAAACUCAUGCAAAAUAAGUUACAAUAUUAAAACAAACCAGAGAAAAUUUUUUCUUGGAAAGUAGAUGGAACUUAUGAAAGAGCAGAUGUCAAGGAUUUAGAAAACGCGCACCUCUUUAAUUAUCUGGGAUUAGAGAGUUGGUGAGCUUCUCUAUUUAAGAACAAGUUGAAAGAGGAAAAAGAUCACUGGUAACUGCUGAGGAAUGUGUGAGAAAAGAGUUGAUGAGAGCAAUAACAAAGACCUGCAAAAGAAAAAGAAUUAGUCAUGCACCGCUUUUCUAUAUCAUGUAUUUGGUUAUUGUUGCCCUGUUGACGCAUGUUGAAGAAGAAAGCACUAGUUCACAACUCUACGUUUUCAUAUAUUCUAAAGAAAUAAUUAAGUUUUCAUAGAAUGAUACCUGUUGUGUUUGAGUAAUUUUGGUAUAUACAUUGCUUGUGUACUGUGAAAUUGAAAUGAAUAUUGAUGGAAUGACUGAAUUUCACUUUUGCCCAAAAGAUCUUUAACCAAAGUUUAAUAGCUAUCAUGUACUCCUUAAAAGCAAUUUUUUUUUUUAGAUUUGACUGAAUUUGAACUUGUUGGAUUGGUUGUUUUUAGAUUAUUAAUAUGAGAUAUUACAACGUAAAUAUUUUCAUGUGGUUGAGCCCUAUUCUAAAAUCUGUAUAGUUAGCUUUAGAAAAAGGGCUUUUCCUGCUGAUCUGUAAUCUUCAAAUAAACUUAGAUACAAAUAAUGAAAUAAAAGACAACAAACAAGCAAUACUGAUGCAAAGCCAACAGAUCAGAGUUUUUGGUACAAAGCCAAUAAAAGACAAUAAACUUAGGACCUUUUUUUCUUGCUUUCUUUUGUUGCAGGAUUAGAGUUUUUGGUAUUAUCAGUAAAGGUUUCAAGGGUCUGAGUAAAAGCCUAUAAUCUUUUUAUAAACUUUUUUUUUUGGGGGGGGGGGGGGGGGGGGAGCAUGCAAAUUAACCAAAAGAAAUAAUAAGAGCACAGGCUUUAACAAUGAAUAGUAACUUAAAACUCAUGCAAAAUAAGUUACAAUAUUAAAACAAACCAGAGAAAAUUUUUUCUUGGAAAGUAGAUGGAACUUAAGAAAGAGCAGAUGUCAAGAUCAAGGAUCAGGGAUUCUACUAUCAAAAAAAAAAAAAUUAUUCAAGGAUUUAGAAAUCGUGCACCUCUUUAAUUAUCUGGGAUUAGAGAGUUGGUGAGCUUCUCUAUUUGGCCUUCAAUAUUUAAGAACAAGUUGAAAGAGGAAAAAGAUCACAGGUAACUGCUGAGGAAUGUGUGAGAAAAGAGUUGAUGAGAGCAAUAACAAAGACCUGCAAAAGAAAAAGAAUUAGUCAUGCACCGCUUUUCUAUAUCAUGUAUUUGGUUAUUGUUGCCCUGUUGACGCAUGUUGAAGAAGAAAGCACUAGUUCACAACUCUACGUUUUCAUAUAUUCUAAAGAAAUAAUUAAGUUUUCAUAGAAUAAUUUUGGUAUAUACAUUGCUUGUGUACUGUGAAAUUGAAAUGAAUAUUGAUGGACAGAGCAAUGCAUAUGCCUAAAAAAACAUAAAGCAAAUCCUUGAACGAAUGAUUCAGGACUAAAACUUUUAUAAAAGCAAAUACCGGAAACACACAAAAAGCAUUUAAGAGAGAAACUAAACCGCAAAUAAUCGAAGUAAGAUCAAUAAUAUAUGAUUUGAUUUAUGCAUAUUCAAAAACCAAAAUAUAAAAUAAAAUACAAAAUUAAAGUUUGGUUUAUUCUUUCCACAAAAAACAGGGGAAUGAAAACAGAGGCAACUUGUUUUACCAAUUUUUUCUUCUUAAUUUCCGGCAAAAAAAAUCAAUAAACAGGGGAAUGAAAACAAAGGAACGAAAACAGAGGAAACUUGCUUUUCAGGCUAUCUUGUGACAUGAUGAUAUUGCUCGUGAAUGCAUGAAAAUUUCUAAUGCAAACAGCUCAAUUUGGGAUGAUAAGCUUAAGUUUGCAAGUGAUGCAUGAUAAUCAGAUAUUUGUGGCUUUUAAAACUCAAGAAAACUCAAGAAAAUUAAAUGACAAGAUUAAGACAAACAAGAGAUAGUUUUUGUUGGACAUUAAGAAACAACUACUAUCAAGAUCAAAGAUUAGAAAUUAUGCUAUUGAAAGAAAUUAUUAAAGUAUUUAGAACAAACGCACCUCUUCAAUUAUCGAGGAUCACAGAGUUUAUGAGCUUCACUCUUGGCCUUCGAUUUAUAAGAAAAAUUUUAAUGAGCAAAAGAUCGCUGUUAACUGCAGAAGAAUGUGAGUAAAGAGUUUAUGGGAGUAAGCAAUACAAUUGAAUUGUAAAAGAACAAGACUUAAAGCGUGCACCCCGUGUUCAUAUAAACAGAACACAUGUUCAUUUUUAACAAAGUGAUCAAUAACUCUAUUCGUUAUUUAAUUGAUAUUGUAACCAAGAUCAAGGAUCAGGGAUUCUUAUGCCUACUGAUAUUUAAACAGAGAAUUCUUUCUUCUUUUUCUCUUCAUGGAUUAGAGUUUUUGCUAGUAACAGAAAGGUUUCAAGGGUCUGAAUAAAAUCCCAGAUUUUUUUUUAACUUUGUUUUUUGUGGGAAAAUGGAUUCAAAUUAACCAAAGCCAAUAAUAAGAUCACAGACUUUAACAAUGAACAAUAACUUAAGCAAAACCAAUGACAAGAUUAAAACAAACCACAGAAAUUUUUUCUCGGAAAGUAGAUGAAAAGCAAGUAAGAACUGCUAUUAAAGGAUAUUAUUAAAGGAUUUAGAACAUGUAUACCUCUUUAUUUAUAUGGGAUCAGAGAAUCGAUGACCUCCUCUAUUCGCUUCAGAUAUUAAGUAAGAACUGCUAUUAAAAGAAUGAAUUGAUGAGAGUAAUAACAAUGAUUGCAAAAUAGGAAGACUCAAUCAUGCACCCCUUUUAUACCUGAUCAUAUUAAGAAGUCGUUAAAGAAUAACGACUAAAUUAGGAAUUAAUUCUGAAGUUCAGAAUCAAGAACAAAGACGAAGCUUUAAUAACGCAUGCAGUGAGAUACAAGAAAUGGAUCUGGUAAAAUACAUUAAAAAAAUUUGUUCAACUUCAACCUAGUUAAGCUGAUGAAAGCACUAGUUGUUGGCUCUACGUUUCAUAUGUUCUAAUGAAAUAAUUAAGUUGAAGUUUUCAACGAAUAAAUACCUGUUUCGCUUGAAUAGCUUUGGCAUAUACAUUACUUGUGUCCUGUGAAAUUGAAAAGGUUAUUGAUUUACAAAGCUUAUUAGUAGAGAAAAGCUACGUAAGAUGCCUGAUAAAAGAUAAAGCAAGAGCUUGAAUGAAGAAUGACAUUUUAGAAAGAAACUAAAGUGUAAUCAUCAAAGUAGGAUCAAUAAUGUACCACUUUCCUUGCAAAUCUGGUGGGUUUUCUGAAUAGAUUUUUACAUUAUUCUAUUUAACCAUUUUGGGUUUACCCUAAGCAUUCUUGGUUGGCAUUGUCCUGUAAUCUGCGUGCCCUGGAUACGUGUGAGGGAAAGAUGAGGGUAGAUAUGCAAUUUCAAGAAGCGAUUUGCUUGCAUAAUUCAAUGCAUGGAAAGAGAUGUACCUGACCAGAAAAAAAAGGGCACCAUCCAUAUCUGAGCUUGACUUUUUAGAUGGAUAAAUAUUCUUAUUACUGUUGAUAAUGGAGAAGGGUUCUACUUUUACUUUGCCAUCUUUGAUAUAAAACAGCAUGAUUCCUUUUUAUCAAACACUUGCCUAAGUCUAUUUUUUAUUUUUCUUAUUUUCAGAAAGAGAUUAGCUUAAUUUAAAUUAUAUUCAAGUACAAAGUGUUAUACACUCAUAAAACGAGAAAUAGGCAUGUAUUGAUCACGCGCAAUCUAGUUUUUUUUUUUUUUCUUUUUUUUUAAUCCAGUCUUCUUAUUAAAAAAAAAAGAAUUUAUUUGCUUUAUUUUAAAUUAUUUUUUCAUGCGGUAAAUGCAAUACUGAGUAAUGGGUGAGCAAAAUAUUUACAGGCACACCCCCUUUUAAUGAUUUCGUACUAAAAUUAAAAAUUGACGAUUCCAUGAUAAAGUUCAAAGAGUAAAUGAAGACCCAUAAAUGUUUUUUGGUCAUGAGCAAUUUUUGAGUUGGGACAGCACUCGUAUGAAAAAAAAUAGUUUUUUUUUUUCUUUAAGCAUGAGGAUAUUAAUUCUUUUUUUAUAAAUCAGCGUGAAUAUAAAAUUAAAAAAAUAGUUUUGAAUAACUUCUUUUCUUUUUUCAUAAAUAUAGAUAAAAAAUUUUAAAGUCACCAAACACAAAACCAGGAAAAUGGAAAGGAAGCCCCUGUUUCUCCGCUGCUGCAAGCACAAAUUCGGUUUCUACAGGAGUACCUUCUAAAUGCACCAUUUGUAUUGCUUUGUUUCCACGUAAGCUAACGGAAUUUGAUGAAGACAAAAUAGAUAUGAGUCGUGCUAUUCACACCCCUCGAUAAUUCUCUCAAAAUCCCCUUUCUAAUUAUACCGCCUUGAAUAAUUUCAAAACUGACUUUUCCUCUUAUAAUACCACCUUCAAUUCCCUUAAUACCCUUGUUCGCUAUGAAAAUAAGGAAAAUGCCUACAUAAAAAGCUGGCUCUGAUAAUCUACCUGAAUUUACAUUAGAAAAGAGUGGACUUUGAGAAAUAAGAAGACAAUAUAGGGAAUUUUACCAAAAUAAUCCAUUUUUAUAUACAGGGAAUGGUAUUUUCUAAUAUAAGGAGGAGUGGAGAAAUUAAAUUUAGCAAAAUAAAGAACCUCCAUCGAGAAGCAAAAAUGAUGAUAUCUUUGUCGUGAAGAGAUUUCAAUUCAAUUGCAUACAUUGACGAAACAUUAAAUACGGAAAAAACAAAAAAGAAAUAAUAGAACAUGGGGAUUUCGAGAACUUCUAAAGAGAGAAAUGUAUUUAUAAGCAUUGAAAAUUAGCUCAUUAAAUUUGACAGAAUAAUAUACAAUCUCACUGUUGGCCAGAAAAUAAUAGUAAGAACUUGUGAACAUAUAUAAUCAAUUGCUUAUUACUUAAGCUUUUUCUCCGUUAUUUUGAAUGGGUGCAAAGAGGAGAAGUUUUGUACCCAAAUUCCAACUCGAAUUGUGUAGGCUGCUUGCAAGAGCUUCAUUAGAUUUUUAUUUGUCUUUUAAUAGUGCUACUCGAUAAAUACAGCUAGCUAUCUGUCCUUUUUGUUACUGGACUAUAGAUCAAUUGACAGUUGAAGUUAUAUUAAUUUGUUGUACUGGAAUUGAAGCUUGUAUCUUAGCCAUUUCGUGAAGUGUCAAAUAUAUUUUUAAUUUCCUUAAAAUUGUUCAAAAUAUGUUUACACUUUUAAAGUCACUAUUAUACAUGAGUGCCCUAAAAUCAUUUCCUUAAAAUUGUUCAAGUGGGAUCCUAGUUCUCUAUGGCAGUUGAAGAGGUAAAUGCGCAUAGAGCUAUGCUCUAUCAUAGGCCUCGGCCACUAUAAGAAAUUUGAUUUUUUAAGACGAUAUUUUUUACAACAACUUUAAAUUUGGUCACAAAAUGGUAUUUAUUGUGACAAAUUUUUUAAAUCGUAGCUAAUAAUCUUGUCCUAACUUAUAUUUUUUUUUGUAACCAAUUAUUUUUAUUUUGAGACUUGUUCAUUGGUCAUUAAUUAAAUUUUUUUAUACCAAAAAUUAUUUUAGUCACCAAAAGAUAUAUUUUUUUGGCGCAAAAUCUUCCCUCCAAAAGUGAUUAUUUUGAGACAAUAUUUCACUAUUUAUGACAAAAUAAAUAGUCAUGAAAUAUAAUUAUAGGCGACCAAAUUAUUUGGUAACUAAAAGAGGGGUGUAAAAUUAACUAAACAAUCUAUGACACAAAAUAUUAGUAGCCAAAAUUAUUGUUCUUUUGGCAUAUUUUAAGACCAUUUUUUUGGUCAUAUAUAAUUACCUACAGUGACAAAAUUAAAAAAUAGUCGUUGAAUGUUUUAUCUUGAAUAAUUUUAUAUUUGAUAACCAAUUUUUUUUUCUUUUUGAGACAUAUUACUUGGUCCCUAUUUCAACUUCUUUUUGACUAACUUUAUAAUAGUCACAAAAGACAUUUUUUUUUUUUUUGGCAUAAAAAGUCUGUCCAAAGUUAGCUCUUUUGGGACAAUAUAUAAUCUUUUAUGACAAAAUAUAUAGUGGCGAAAUAUAAUUAUUUUUUACAAAGUUAUUUCGUAGCUGAAAAAGAGGUGUAAAUUUAGUUAACCUAUUUGUGACAUAAAAUAUUAGUCUCCAAAACUAUUAUGCUUUUAGCCAAUUUUAAGACCCGAUUUUGUUGUCAUGGAUAAUUACCUAUUUUCAAAAAACUAAGAGAUAGUAAUCAAAAGUUUGUCUUGAUUGACAUUGUAUUUUAUGAGCAAAAUAUUUUGUUUCAGUGACACUUUACUUGGUCUCUGAUUAGACUUGUUUGUGAUGAUCAAUAGAAAUAUAUAAUAACCACUAAAUUUUUUUGGAUUAAAUUUUAUAGAUACUAUUAAUUAAGUUGUUGACGAAAAUGAUCGAACCAAUACUAAUAUGGGAUACCAUCAACAGCCGUAAUACUUAUGAACCGAGAAAUUAUAAUAUGUAGUGAAAAAGUUUUAACAGUAGUCCCUAGUAUUUAGAAUUAUUUUGACUACUUUAUUUAUUUCCAAAACAUAAAAUUCUCAACCCAAAAUUCCCCGCAUUGUGUUUUAUUUUGUCUCCUCACUCAGUUACUCUUAUUAACUCACGGCUUGACAAAAAAAAGAAAAAAAUUCUCACAGCUUGAUGUUCUCCUCUCUUUAAAAAUAAAAAUCCCCAGUUACUCUGCUCAAACUCGUUAAUAUUUGUUUCCACCACCAAAGCAGCCACUCGUAUCUUUUAUUAAGCAUAACGUUUUUCUUAAAACCUAAUUGAUCAUUCUUUAACGUCUCCAGGAUUAUAUUUGGCACGCUAUUUUUCUCCUUCAAUUGAAUAGAAGUCUAGAACCUUUUUUUUUUCGCAAUUCACUUUUGCUGUGUUUCGUGGUUUGGACUAAGAUCAUGACAAUUAUUGAACGAUGGGGAUAAAUAUCAAAGAAGGAGCUUACAUGCCCUAUAUAUCUCUCUUUGGAUGAAUAACGAAUGUGAGCUUUCAAAGUACAGAGAUUUACAUGUUUUAAUUGUCAUUUACAUUGCUGCAUGCCAAUUGCUUGAUAAAAUACUGCAACAAAUACGCAUUCUCGAUUUUCUUAUAAAUUUAUUUUCUUAAUCUGAAAAAAAUUGAAUGUUCAGAGAAUUUUGAAGGUUUUGGUGUAUGCAUUAAUAUUUCGAUUCUAUUUAUGUUGUUUAACUAAUGAAGAUGAUACAUCUAGCCUCUUUUUGCCCCUUGUUGUUUUUAUUCUUGUGCUUUAUAUACGGUUCAAGUGUGAUACACUUUAGUUUUUCUCAAGUGUUUGUUAGUAUUUCCCGAAGCAAAAUUUGUCACAGACUUUGAGUUCAAAAGUUGAAAUCAUAACUAACAUACUUCGAUUUUUUAUUUUCCUUUUUUCUUCGGUAUCCUUCUAUAUGGCAUUGGUUGAGAAAUUGGUGUACUUAGAUCGUAAUAUUCUGUAGAAAUAAGCCAAUAUUUCAUUACGUACAUUGUUUAAUAUGAUGAGUAUUGUAUAGAAGUUUUACAUAUAAGCUCCUUAUAUAUUAUGCAUUAUGUUUUUAUCAUAUUGUUGCUUGGAACUUUGAAGGAUUGGCCACAGGGCUUUAGUCCUACAUGGACAUUUUAUAUUUAAUAGCUGGUUAGGCAUUUUAUUUGAUGUUAUUUGGACUUGUAGGUGUUAAAAGUUUUGUUCAGUAAUUUUAUAAUUCAGAUUCCCAUUGUGAUAAGAUAGCAAUUUUUUGUGUGUCAGAUUCUGUCAACUGAUAUUUAGCUAAAAUAUCUCACUAACCCCUAUUGGUUAGGUAUUAUUUUAAAUCACAUACUUGAUUUUUAUUUUCUUUUUAUCUGUGGAAUCCCAUGUAUCAUUCAUAAGAAACAAGCUAUUAUAUAAUCUAUUCUUUAGAUCCAUUUAUAUGUAGUGAGCACUCUGAUUUCUAUUAUUUGAAUUUUUUGCUACUGUUACUACUCUUUCGGCCCUUCAAAUAGGGGUUAACAGAAAUGGUGAGUAUAUUAAUACAAAUUCAAACUUUCUUUUUCUAAUUUUAUCCAAAAUAACCUACUAUUUUAUUUUAAUUUCAAACUUUUGUCAUAGUCUAAUGGGCAGUUGUCUUGUCAUUAUUUGGUUUCAAGUAAGAAGAGAGAAAGUUAGUGAGAGGAUGAAAAUUUUGCAAAAACUUGUUCAUAGCUAUGGUAAUUAAGUAGUUUGAGUUCUUUUUUUUGUUGUUUUCUAUGUUGGUUUUGGAUCAUUGUAGUUGCUGAUUGUGAUUUAUUGUCGCCUAUGGUUGCUGACUUUUGUUUACUGUGGCUACUUUAUUAAAGCAAUUUUGGAUAUUGAAGUUUAUGGCCAACUUUUAUUAGACACUUCUGACCUUUAUCGAUAUAUUUUCUGAACCUUUACACUUAAGAUGUGUGUGUGUGUUUUUAAAAAAUACAUGUGAAUGAAAUAGUACUUGAAAUAAUAUAUUUUCUCAACUUUUAUUAGAUAUAGUGAAAUAGUACUUGAAAUAAUAUAUUUUCUCAACUUUUAUUAGAUAAUUCAAAGUAUAUCCCACUUAUUAUCGAUAUAUUUGCUCAAGUCUCAUGUGCAACAUGUGAAUGAAAUAGUACUUGAAAUAAUAGAGACUUUGUUUUAUGACUCAUAUUUUUACAUUUCUUUGCAAGGAACCAUACUUAAUUGUACCUAAUAGAAGAGAUAUCUUUUCACUAUAUAGUCUUAGUAUAAAAAGAUACAUCUUCUAUAUAAGGCACAAUUGAUGGGACAUAUCUUUAUACUAAGACAUCAUUCAUAUUUAUCACACAAUAAUAGAAACUGCAAUGGUAGGUGGAAUAUUAUGAAGUCAAAAUUGAGAACGACAUUAAAUCAUGAAUUCUUUAUGUGUUUACUCGAAUGCCUGACAGUAUUUAGUUCAAUUAACACAGAUUGGAAAUCCAAAUGAUUGAAGAGUUGUAUGAGUUCAAGUUCAGUAUUUAAUUACUAUAUAAUUAUACAUAAAUGUGGAUUUUGCAAGCUUGAACCCAUGUGUGUUAGCCCAUUUCGGCCCAAUAAACAUAUUGUUCUGGAUAAAAAAUAUCAGGGGAUCUCUGAUGUUUCUUUGGUUUAACAUAAAUUUAUUCCUAACUCUAUAACCAUGCAUUAUUUAGACAAAAAUUUUUGCAAUCACCAAACAGUAAAACAGAGAAAUAAAAACGGAGGAGCUCUUUUCUAAAACAGAAGUAGGUGUUUUGUCUGAACGUACCACUUUCUGUUUAAUUAUUAUGUUUACGGAAUAGAUUUUUUUUUAUUAUUCUGUUUUAUGUUUCCGUCUUUACCCUAAGCAUUCUUGGUUGGCAUCGCUGCAUUGUCCUGUAAUCUGUGUGCCUUGGUGAGGAGGGGAAUGGAUAACUGUGGUGCUGGAUACGUGAGAGACAAUGAUGAGGGUAGAUUUGUAAUUGCCAGAAGCGAUUUGCUUGCAAUAAUUCAAUGCAUGGAAAGAGAUGCCUCUAACAAAAAAUGGGACUAUCCAUAUCUGAGCAUUAGAGCUCUACGUCUUAGAUAAAUAAAUAUACUUAUUAGUAUUGUUUUUGCAUAUAUCUUUCACAAAAUUAUUGUAUUCGCUUAUAUAGAGAGGACGAUUUAGAUAAGUUUCAACUAAAAAUUGACAAUUCCAUGAUAAAGUUAAAAAUCACCGAAUAAAAAACUGGAAAAUCCCCUGUUUCUCCUCUGCUUUCUUUUGAUUAUUAUUAAAAAGGGGAAUUAAAAAAUGAGUUGCAAGCACAAAUUUUAUUUCUACAGUAGUACCUUCUAAAUGCACCAUUGUUUGAUACAUUAAAAUUAAACAUUACUUAUGCUAGUAUAUCGGUACUUCACAUGUCCGUUCUUCAUUAAUGUAUAUUCAUUUACACCCAAGCUACCUGUCAGUUUUGCGAAAACUGAAUUUAAAGGUGUGGCUUAAAUUAAAAUAAUAAUCAGCCUCAUAGAAUACAGAGAAAAAAGAUAAUUUAUCACAAUCAUAUCCUAAUGCAUCAUAAAUUUAGAUUAUUUAAUUACUGUUAGGAAAUCUGCUUAGAUAAGGCGCACACUACAAAUUCUAAAUUAAAUUCCUAAUUAACAAUAAAAGAUAGACCCUAUUAAUCGUCCACCAGGUACCUUGUAGCCUGCAUCAUAAGUUUAGAUUUAAAUUUUUGCAAUUACCAAACGGAGAAACAGGGGAAUGAAAACAAAGGAGCCCUAUUUUUUCCAUUUUUGUCCCCCUUAACUCUUGUCCUUAUACAAAUAUUUUUCCUUGGAAUUUCAGGCAUACGAAAAAAUAUUGAAAAUUAUUUAAAGCAAACAGGUGGAUGAUAACAAAAAUAUAUUUAAUUAACCAAAUCAAGACACUAUAUUGGUCGUCAAUGUUUCGGCAUCACUGUCUUCUUCAGAUGUUACUUGUUUUUCACAUUUAUUUUGCGCUGUUGUGGAUUAAUAUGGUUCUGCUGGGUGCACAUUUUUACGUGCUACUGUAUUUUCUCUCAGUCCUUUUUAAAAGAACAUACACCCACAUACUAUGUAGAGUGACCUUUUUUAAUGAGGAAUCUGUCAUUUUAAUAAAAUGAAGAAUAAACUAAAAGGUAGAAGUACACGAACUCUAAUGCAAUAUACCUUUUCUUUUCUUUUACCUUUACUAUAAGAUAGGGAAUGAUAUAAUUGAUAAUGGAACUUGGGGUCAGAGCAGCGGUGUAAUUUUGAGAGGAUUUACAAGAUGGUAAGUGCAAUAAUUAACAGGCUCAUUUAAUAUAUCAAACUGCUAGAUAAUUGUACUAGUUAAACAUAAUUUUCAGAGAAUCUUUUUAAGGGUUUAUUUAUUAAUAUUUUGUUUCUUUCCAGCAUGAACACUUUGUUUUGACACGUGCUUAACAACCUUCAACGAACUGGAACAACCUUCAUCACAUGCUUCCUCACGUGAUUACUUAAAUUGAUAUGUAAAACGUGCUCCAUCCAUGUCGUUUCCACUAAAUCGUUUUUUGUUAAGAAUCAGCUGAGCAGCACGUGAGCUAAUGAAGCUUUUACGGCUUCAAAACGCAGCCGUUUCUGGGAACCAAACUUGAUUCAUCAUCUCACAACUACAGAUGAAUUAUCGAAGUGGCUGAUUGGUGCUGUACGUGUUUUUCGUAUUGAACUCAACUCUGCUAUAAUACAUGCGUGCAUCUGAUACAUGCACAAAAACCACCACUCCCACUCCCACUCCCACUCCCACGCCCUCGCGUCACGCGCCUUACCACUCCCUCGCCUCACCUCACCUCUCUUCUUGUUCCACGGCCAUCAACGGCGGCACGAGUCGGCAACGAUCAACUGCGGCUGUAAAUUGACCACAAUCAUCUCUCUCUCUCGGCUUUGCUCAAAUUUGGCCGAUCUAUGCGCUUGCUUAAGCUUGGCCGAUCUAUGCUUGCUCAAUUACUCUUCCUAUAUUCAGUCGGAGUCAACUGUUUGACAAGAGUCGAAGUCCAAGGUUCUUUUUUACAGGAUUUGAGCUACUUCUUUUAUUCUUCUUCCAUGUUCACUGAUACGAAGCUUUGAUGUGGUGUUCUGAGAGCGGGUGGAAUUUGAGAUUCUCCUUUCUUCUCUAUAUGAAGGUGCUUGUCAUGUGUCAAGAAAAAUAAAAUUAUUUACAAAAGAUUAUUUUAAGGAGAUUUAUUAUUAUUCGUGGAUCGGGAAGCUCAAAAAAUUUUCUUAUGUAGACUCAAAUCAUUUCUAUAGGGCGAAGCAUAUGAAUGAUACAUAUUAUCUUUUUUUGGCCUUAUGUAUUGUUAUUUGCAGUGUGAUUUGGUCUAGCUUAAGAGCUUAAGCUUGCAGGCUGGAUUUGUCUGACAUGGAACAAUUUAAUUUGUUCAUCGUGAUGUUUAUAUCCAUUUUGUACUACUAUCAAUUUCAAUCAUGGCUAAUUUUUAUAUGUAUUUCUCGUGGACUCUCAGGUUCAGUGCACAAGAGGAUGAAGACGAUGGACACCCAAAUUUGAUGUGGAGAACAACUAUUGCAAAUGGUCCUUGAUUUACUUCUCCAAUUGACUUGAAUUGGUUUGACGCAAUUUAUAGUGUAUUUUUGUCAUCUUUGUAUGACUGGCAGGUCGUCCUGAUUUGGUACAUGACUGGACACAGGAAUUGGACUCAUAUUUUUCAAACCAGAAUGCCAACAAUCAAGCAUUUUCUUUUGAAAGCACUGGCGUCUUCUUCAGUGCCAAAAAGGUUAGAGAUUUUCUGUAUCCUGUUUUGUAUUUGAUCAGUUUAGCAUGUGGGUGGCAAUCAAGAAAAGUUAUUAUAACAUUUUUGUGUUCCCGAAAAACUGCUGCUGAUGUGUAGUGCAGGAAAUGAAUUGUUUGUGACUUCUUUUUAUUUGUAUUCUUUCUUUUUUCUUUUCUCCCCAACAGAAUUACGUAUUUCUGAAGAGCUUCUUGAAGUUGAUUACCAUGUAUGCCACUUUCUUUACUCUAUGCUCAGGAUGUGAUUUUGUUUAGGUCAGAACCAUCAUCUAAAGUUUACUUAAUGCUGCCGAGAAGCUGUAGUAGAGCAAUGAAGGCUGUUGGUGUUAUGAAGGCCAGCUGUGAAGAAAUAUUUGAACUUGUAAUGAGCAUGGAUGGGACACGAUACGAGUAUGCUUCUUUUCUAUUUUUUAUUUUUAGUUACUUUAACAUAAUCAAGACUAUAUUGGCUGUCUGUGUAAGCUGAGUAUUAUAUUUCCUCUUGUAUGCUGUGAAAUUCACAUUGUCUCCAGUCCCGAUUCUGUAUGUGCCUUUUUGAAUAUAUUUAAUUAAUCUGCAUGGUGCUUUCUAAAGAUUAUUACAAACUUUUGUUGCUUAAGUAUAUGAAGAAUGUGGAAAUGAAAAUAGCUUUUGAAGUUUGAUGGAUUGCUUCAUUAAUAAAGAAAGACUAGGACUCAUUUUUAUAACUUUUCUCCACUUAGCUAAUGGUAUUUGAUGAAGACAAAAUAGAUGUAGCUAUCUAUAUUUUUUGUUGCUGAACUAUAGAUCAAUUGAUGGUUGAAGUUAGUUAUAUUAAUUUGUUGUACUAGAUUAAAGCUUGUAUCUUAGCCAUUUCAUGAAGUGUCAAAUACGUUCUUUCCUCUUUUUUUUUUUUUUCGAAACAUGUUACACUUUUGAAGUCACUAUUACAUAAAAGAGUGUUCUAAAACAGGAGAAGGCGUGCUGCCUGAAAUUACCUGUUUCCUAGCAAAUCUAGCUGGUUUGCGAAUUAGAUUUUAACAAGUCUCUUGGCAAGGUUUGCUAGUAAUGUGUUCAAAUUAUUCUAUUUAAUUUUACUGUCUGUACCCUAAUAAUUCUUGGUUUGCACCAUUGCAUUGUUCCAUAAUCUCUGUGCGUUGGCUUAUAAAGGCCAGCAAGGCUGAUCAUUUGUCGAAUAGUUAUUUCCAUGAAAUUCCUAUCAAUUUGACUCAGUAUUUAGAGGUCUUGAAGAGGGCAGUGUACUAGACAUGGAUUUCUACCUCUUUUGGUUGUACAAUUGUUGUAUUUCUUGGCCAUCAGAUCUUUUUUAUGUACCUUUCUCAAAGUUCUUGCCGCACGUACACCGUUUUUCAUGUUUUGUGCAGGUGGGAUUGUAGUCUUCUGUAUCGCAGCUUAGUUGAAGAGGUAGAUGGUCAUACGGCUAUUCUCUAUCAUAGGCUUCAGCUGGACUGGCUUCCAAUGUAAUAGUCUCUUGAUUCAAUCAUCUCAUUUAUGCUUUGGUCAGAAUAGAACAUUUAUUGUUCUUCUUUCCCCUUUCCUCUCUUCUGAUGUAAUAUGUGAGGAAAUUACCUAAAAUUUCUGUAUCCCAAUGUAAUUGUUGGCAUUCAGAAAUAAAAUAAAUACACCGUCUUGUUUUUCCCUCGGUUCAGUCCUAAGUUCUCUUUGGGCCUUCUGCAAGUUUUUAAACAUACUGUGACAGUAAAAAAUCUAGUGAUUGAGAUCAUUUUGAUGAAUUUAAUUUUAAUUCUUAGCUGAUACUUUUUCUGGAAUUUUUUUCUUAUGUUUCCUCAAUAUGACUUAAAUAUAGGGCUUAGUCAUGGAUCAUGCACCAGAGUGAUGGAAGCACCCCUUGUUUAUUAGGAAAAGCAGUUGAUUGUAACUAUAUCCGCGGUCCUAAGUAGUUAGAAGUAAAUGCUCUUCGAAUUCCUAUAGUACAUGGGAUGUGUUCCCUUUCAAAUAGCUUGUUCAAUACCAUUAACAUGGUUUAACAUUGUUCAUCUUUCUGUAGAUUGAUGUUGACGUGUUCUUCUAGAGUUGCUAAUGGAGUUUUGGGCCUUGUAAUUGGUGUAAUUACGGCAUUGGUGGUUGACAUGGCUUUCCUUGUGCAGGUAUGUAUGAUUGUUUUUUUCCCCCACUUCUAAAUGACACGAGGGAAGAGACAUGAUUUUGAGAUAUUGUACUGCAAUUUGCAUAUUUGCAUACUUGAAUAGUAACUCAAGAAUCAUUUUCAGAAUGGUAUAAUGCUUCGUGUAUGCAGGCAAAUACUACAGAUGAAUUACCGGAGCGGCUGAUUGGAGCUGUACGUGUUUCUUAUAUAGAACUCAAGUCUGCUAUUGUCCCAAAGUUGGAACCAGAGACAUCAUGACUCUGGUUUCAUUUCACCUCAACUGUUUUUUUUUUAAUUGAAAAAAAAAAUCAUUUGUUUUAGGUAUGCAUACAUGUAUUUUGAUCCCGUUUUCAUUGUAAUUUCUCAUUUACUUUGAAAGAAAGUCACUGGUGUUUUCGAAUAGGAAUUUUGCAUUAAAAAAUAAAGAAUACUUAAUAGGAAACUUAAUAAUUCUUUAGUUACUAUUUUUGGAAUGAGUGUAAUAGUAUUGAAGUUGGUUUCUACUCGCAAUCAAGUGAACUACUCGAUCCCCAACUGCGACCGCACUAAUUGUCAUUGUUUAAUAGCCUACUACUUUUAAAACUCAACAACUAAAAAAAUGAUUUUCUUAUGAUGCUGUGAAAACAUUUAUGGGUUCACUUAUUUCCACAAGAUCUAUAACAUGGUCUUGACUUCACGAAAUUCUUUUAACUUAAAGGGUUCUGGUCUGAGAAAGUUAAUUUGACGGAUUAAUUCCUUUUAAUAAUGGUCGAGUUAAUUUUACUAUACUCGUAAAACUAUUAUUAUUCUGAUAAUGCCACAAAUGUUAUGAUGUUUUCUUCAGCCAAUAAUCUUCUAUUAGGACUAGUUAGAAAUCAAAUGCUUAAAACACCAAUUGAAUGAAUAAUGCAGAAGUUUAAACAGUAUCUAAUUGAAAAUUACAUGAAGCAUGAAACAUCAAUUCAAGUCCUUCCUUAAACAGAGAAUGCAUCAAACAAAUCCAAAGUGUCUUGCAUGUCUGUAAAUAAUUGUAAAUGCGUUUAGAUUAUUCAAGUACAGGAGAACAAGCAAGUUGAAUCAUGUACAAGAGGUUGGCCUGGUUCGAGAUAGCUUCUUCACAGUACCUGAAGGGUUGGCUCAAUCUUUUCUUUAGAAUUCUGCACAUUUUGUAAUUACUCGUGUAAGCAAGCAUACAUUACAACCAUAAUAAUAAUAAGGCAAGAGUAAUGAUACGACCACAGCCUCUUGUGCACAAAUAAUAUUGUACAAACUAAUAUGACAUAAUAUGAUUGAUUAAACAAAAACAUAACAUGACCCUCAUAAUUUAUUUAUUAUUAUUUUAUAUUUUCAGUCAAGCAAUCAUAUUAUGCCACAUUAAAUAGAAAUAAUUUACUAGAUAGUGCCAACACUUCAUUGAUACUCACCAUUUCAUUGAACAAUUUUUUUAUAGUGUCAUUGAGGUUGCCUUCCCAACAUCCUUCAUCAUCACCAUCUUCAUCUUCGGUGGGUUUCACUUUGUUUAGCUUUGGUGCGUCUACGACUCCUGGAGAGAAAAUCUUCAUCGUUGGGCAUUGUCUCACAACUACGUGUGCCAAGGACGGGAACUCAAGAGCGUAAUUACCCAAACUAAAGCUUGUUAGGCUUGGCAAACAAUCAAUUCCCAAGUACUCCAAUUUCCUGAAAACAAUGCAAUCUUCCGCUUCUUCUCCAACCUGCGACUGUAUAAUUUCUUCCAUCAUUUUGCAAUCAGUUAUCUUCAUUCUUUCAAGAUUCACUAGACUUUCAGAUGUUGAGAGUGUCAAUAAAUUUAUCAACCCAUGACACUUCGAUACUUCCAGAGUCGCAAGAUUUUCCAAAUGCCACAAAGCUGGUACUAAUUUCUGCAACUUACUACAUUCAAAUAUUUCUAGACUUUUCAAGUUUGCAAACACUUUGUUGGAUUCGGCAUUUUCCUUCCAGAGAUGCUGCACUUUGUGUAAUCCAGAUAGCUUUAACUUCAUCAAUUGAGGGAAUGCAACCUGAAAAUCAACAAAAUUAAGUUGUAAAUGAAAAUAUGUAUCCAAUCUCUACAGUCUUCCCCUACAUAUUUUAUGGACAAGAUUAAUCACGGCAUUUUAUAUUUUAUUUCCAAAUUAGUAUGCUUUGCAGUAGGAUCCCAAAUAUAAGUAUCAAAUCGAUUACCCUUUGAAACACAUAAAUGAAAUCUGAUCAUAAAUCCAAUAUGAAUUAGCUAGGAAAACAAAGAUCUAACACGCAUAAUUUAUGCGAUAUAGUUCAUCACCUCCUGUCACUAGGCAUCUAAUUAAUUUGAGACAUUUUUUUAAUUCAUACUAUAAAGUUAGUUAAUAACUACAAUUAUAUUGUUAAAUCAGAUAUAAAUUAAGACGACGUGCAAAAAGAUAAGUCAUUAAAUUUGAUUUGAUUCUAAUGAAAUUACAUCUAUGCGAAUGAAAGUGAAGGGAAAAAUAAUAAUAAUGAUUACCUUUUUAUCGAAGAGAUGUUGUAUUUGAUUAGCUACCAAGAGGUUCUCUUCUGAUUUUAAUUUUUGAGCUUCCUUAUUAUCUGCUGUCAUGUGCAAUACAGAUGUAGAAUUGGAUAUGAAUGUUUCCAUGUCAGGGCAAUUCUCAAUAGUUAGAUAUCUCAACUCAGGCAGUUCAAUUAUAUUCCCAGUGAAGUUGCAGAAUCUUUUGAGUUUUGGAAGAUCAAUGAGCCUUAGAUUGGAAAGCUUAGGAAACAUGGGGCCUAUAUGUUCUUUGUCAGCAUUUAGCUCUUCCAAACGAAGCACCUCUUCUAGUGAAUCACAAUUCCUCACUUCCAGCCGUCGCAAAUUGUUCAAGCAUCGUAGCAGAUUGGCAGGAAUAGCACUCGACAUAUUCGUGCAGUCAUCCACCACCAGCCGUGCUAAAUUGUUGAAGAAGCUGACAGGCAGUGCUUGGCCAUGCCAUAUUUCUUUCAAACGUGGAAAAUGUGAGAGUUGCAAAUACCAUAUGUCACGGAAUCCAAUCUGCACAAACCAAAACAAUUGCACCGGAUAUAUACAAUUUUUUUUUUGAAAGGCAUUAUAUAUAUACACAUUAAACUUACAUGUUUUGUGUUUUAACUUCUAAAAAUAUAUAUACAAGACCGGGGUAUAUGCUUAAAUGUGCAAUUGCAGGGGAGAUGCAUAAACAAUUUGGGUGAAUCGAUUAACACAUACCAUUUCUUUGUAAUACUUUUGCAUAAUGGAAUUAAGGUUAUUGCCUUCCCAAUGGUGCAGUUCACCCUCUUCCUUUUCAGUCACUUGCACUUUGCAUGGCUUUGGAAUGGAUAAGAUUCCCUGAGAAAAAGUCUUCAUAUUUGGACAACGUAUCAUAGAAACUCGUUCCAGUGAUGGGAAUUCAAGAGUGUAAUUCUCCAAACAAAAGCUGGUAAGCCUUGAUAAAUAAUUAAGUAUCAAAACUUUUAAUUCGCUGAAAGCAAUACGAUUCUCCUUCACUUCUUCUCCAACAUGUCCUACGAUUUCUUCUAUUUUUUGGCACUUCGAUACUUUAAGAUUCACCAAACUACUAGGAAUUCCAACCUGAAAAUAAGCAAAAGUGUGUGUAUAUUAAAAAAGUAAAAAUGUAAGAAUAUCAUUCAACUAGGUUCAAAGUAUGUUUAAUCAUACAAUUAUACGUUUUAUAAAGAUAACAAACCAUGAAAUGUCUACAAGAUAAUUUUUUGUUAAACAAAAAAAGCAACAAGAUAAAUAAAUAAAUAAAAGCCAGAUAAACAAAGAUAUUAAAUGCAUUUACACUAUUUAGUAUUAGGAACGUACGAAGAAUUUAAGGCAAUUUCUAAAUAUUUUAGACUUAUUUUGCAUCUUGAUGCCAGUUUUUAAACAAAAUUUGCAAAUUUCAACUAUUCCUUUUGGGAAAAAAAAAUCAACCAAAAUGCCGCUUUUUCCCUUUUCCCUUGGUCCCUUUUUUUUAUGUAUAUUUAAUUUUGGAAACAAAAUUAAAGUGGAUCUUUAUUAAGUACUUCCAGACUCGAGGAAAUUUCUUUACAAUCAAGGAUCAGUUGUAAAUAAUCGUGAAUUUGUGGUUAAUUAAUGGCAUAAUCAGUUCGUAACUAAACAAGAGAUAUUAAUUAAAUUUGAAGACUUUUCUUUUCUUUUUUUCUUUUUCCAAUCGAAAUGUGAAGAAUUAAGGAAAAGAGAAAUAUAUAGAUGAAUUUGUGAACCUAUAAGAUGAGUGACUAUCCUUUAAUUUUUGAAAAUUGUACUUAUUAAGAUAUGAGCAGAAACAAUUAAAUUGAAUUAUAUUAUGAUGUUGAAUCGUGAUUAAAAAAAUUAUAUUGUUGAUUCUAAUGCUGGCGAACCUAAAAAAUGGACUUAAAAUGUAGAUUUGAGAGUGGUGGUUCGAAAUACAAUACUUGAAAUAAAUAAUCAGUGGCUGAAUAUCAUUUGUAAACCCAAAAAUGGUUAAAAUAUUGUUGGAUGUAAUUUAAAAAAAAAAAGAUUCGAAAUGAAUACAACGACCUUACCAAUGGAGGAAAAAUAUUCAUUAGGUUAUGACACUUAUAUAUCUCCAAAUUCUUCAAUUUGCUGAAAGACUCCGAAGGAAGCUGGUGGUGCCAUAUUUUUCUCAAAUUAUUCAUCCAGCUAAUAUCUAAUACCUCCAACCUAGGAAGUCGUACCUGGAAGUUAAAGAUUAAAUAACUAAUUAAUCAAUUAAUGGCAUAAUCAAUUGAUAACUAAAUUAGAGGCGGAUAUUAACUAAAUUUGAAGACUCAAGGAAAAGACAAAUUAAGUAUUGUGACUAAAAUUAAUUUUAUUUAUUAAAAAAAAAACCUUUUCGUCAAAGAGAGGAGGAGGUUGCAUUUCAGAAUGAUUGGUGUCUUCUGGUGAGCUCGUAGAGAUGAAUCUUAACAUAUUACUGCAAUUACCAAUCUCGAGGUUUAGCAAAGAAGGGAAUUCAACAACUAAAUCUGAAUGAAUAUGUCCUGUAUUGGCGAAGCUUGUCAGUUCUGUAAGCCAAUAGAGCUGCAGGGAGUGUAGUUUAGGAAAAACCUUUAAUUCAAUCAACUUUCCUUCAUCUCUUUCUGACCACCCCGUGGUGUCGACUACCCCUUCCAUUGACUCACAAGACCAUAUUUCAAGAUGUUGGAGUUGCAAAAGACUAUUAACCAUAGAAUACGAAAACAGAUACUUCAUACGAUCACAACUUCUCACGUACAGCUUUGUUAAAUUUUGACAACAGUACAUUCCUUGAUUAUGAUCGGCCCAUAAUUUUUUGAUGUUUCUUAAUUCCGUGAGAUUCAAUUCCUCUAAGCUCGGAAGAAGAACCUGCAAAGAAAAGCCGUACAUUUUUGUUCCUUCAAGUACAACCGUCUAGUAUAAUAUUCUGUUGAUGAUCGAAGAUUAAUCGUGAUAAUAAAUUAAUCAAUUAAUUAUUGAACAGAAAAUUAUCACCUUUGGAGCAGUAUCAUCAUCAGCAAUGAUUUCGUUGAAUCCCAAAGAAGUUGUUGGUUUCUCCCUGUCGGGUCCUGUAAACAAACAAAAACAAUAUACAUAAUUAAUCUUUGUCGUUGUCUUUUUUUUUUCAAAAUAAUUGAGGCGAAGUCCAUAAAUCCACCAACACUUAAUUUCAACACUUACCAACAGUCAUUUCCAGUUUAUUGCAGGAAGCCACUUUGACCUUUUGAAGCCGCAGUAGGUUUCUGGCUAUGGAAAAUGAGAAAAGAUGCUUCAAUUUAUCACAGGAUUCUACUUCUAUAAUCUUUAAGUUGCUGAAAAAUUGAUCUUCUCUGAGUUGGCUGUGGCAUAUGGCCUCCAAAUUGAUCAAUUUAUAGAGAGACAAUGACUCCAGCAAGGGGAAGACUUUGCGAUGAACCCGUCCAACUGAACCGACAAUGUGUAAAAUCUCAGAACACCUUUCUACCCAAAGAUGCUUCAAUCGUGGAAAACCUUCCCCAUCAUCUAAUUCAUGAACAACAUUCUGAACACCCGUCAGUUCCUCUAGACGGAUAUCUUCAGUUAACUUCAGCAACAUUUUCAUCCCAUAAUUCUCCAAAAGAGUGCUAACAUUUUCUAACCCAUGGAGCUGCACCAAUCUUGAUGUUUCAGAAUUAGCGCGCCAGAUGCCCCACGCUUCUCCUAUACAUAUCCUAUAUCUUGGCAAUUCGACAAAGACCAAAUCCUGCGGCAGCAUUUGGGCAUCCUGAACUUGUAUCUCCAAAGUAGUUAGCUUUGACAGCCCCUUCAAUUCAGCAAGACUGGCGUUACUUCCUCCUUCAACCUUAUCCCACUGCGGAAAGCUGUCACCCAUAUAUAGUUCUUCCAAUCGAGAAAAUUUUGAUAUGACAUUUGGUGCUAUCACUACAAGGCUGCUACAAUUGCUCAAAUCUAGCAAUUGUAACUGCGCCAAUUGACCAAUUUCAAGUGGCAACUGCUUAAUGUCGGAAUAUCGAAAGCUAAGAAUCUCUAAUUUCUUUAGCUGUCCAAUUGCCGCUACAUCUUCUAGUUGGCACCAGUCUAAACACAAUGUUUGAAGGUUAAUGAGGUGACCAAGUGAUGAAGAUAAUGAAGAGAAAUGAAUUCCGCUAAGACUUAAAACUUUGAGAUCUUCCGUCCCUUCAAAAAAGAGGUGUGAAAUUUCCAAAUAGCUAUCACCAUUUGCAAGCAACAGUAAUAACUUGAGUUGGGGACAUUCCAACCUUUCGGGAAGCUCUUGAAUAUCUCCAUAAGGUAUAGAAAUAGCAAUUGCACCUUUCUGUAUGAUCUUUUCUAUCUCUUCCUUCAAGUUGGUAACAUUUGGGAUACUAAACAUGAGCUUCUCUGAGGCAAUUGAUACGGCAACAACAUGAAUGACGUCAUGCAUUUUAACUUCAUCUUCAGCAUCGCCGUCCAACAAUAAGCAUGAAGCUUUGAGAUUGUCGAUCAAUGCGUCCACUCUAUUCCUUGCAUUUUCCAAUGUGCGAACAUUUUUAAACAAACCCUUACCAUAUCUCAACAAGGAAGCAACUUGUAUAGGAGUACCUUCACCAAAUAGAGUACAAAGAAGGAACAAAGAUUUUGCUUCAUCACUUUCCAAGAAGUUGUAACUCAAUUCUAUGGAAGAGCAGACAUUUGCAUCCAUUCCAUGAAUUUCUCUUGGAUUAGAAUUUCGCAGCUGAGUCAACGCAUCCUUCCAAACGGGAAGCUUCUUAUUUUUCAGAGCAUUUGCAACUGUACUCAGUGCAACAGGCAAUCCUCCACAUUUUCCAACAAUCUCAUCUGCUAAAGGUUGAAAAGCAGAUGCUUUUGCGGAAUUGCCCACGAUCUUUUCAAAAAAUUGCAAUGCUUCUUCCUUUGAUAAAACUUCAAUUAGGAAAAUCUUCUGAGAAUUCAUAUCAUUGGUCAAUAAAUGUUUACUUCUAGACGUCAAUAUUAUCGUGCGUCUCCUUAGAUCUUGCUUUCUAUCUUUCUCAUCAACAUCCCCAAAAGGAAUUCCAAUUUCUUCCAACCCAAGUUUUUUCCAAAUAUUAUCUAAUAUAAUGAGGACUCGCUUCUCUUUCGUCAAUCUUUGACAAAGUUGUUUUGCUCUGUGGGGUUUGCUAUCAUUCAAGUCAAAGUUCAAGUCUAAAUCGGAAGCGAGCUUGUCUUGAAUUUUCUGAACAUCUGGGUUCUCUGUUACCUCAGCCAUAACGACCUUAUCGAACACCUUAUCUUCCAUAACUUGCUUUGCAAUUUGCUUGACUAGCGUGGUUUUACCCACGCCGCCCAUACCGUGGACCCCAAUUAUGUUGAGCUUAUCAUUCCUCAAUGCCUCCACAACAUCUUGAAAUAAUUUCAUUCUUGAAUCAAAGGCCUCGAAAUCUUUCGCUUGCAUAUGUUCUGUACUCUCUGGAGCAGGACGGUGGGAAACACUAGAGAAGUUGCCUUUUCCCACGAGACUAGCGGCAGCUUCUGCGGCCUUUGCUGCUUGUUUACUAAGUUUAUAACGAGAAAUCAAGUUGGGGCAAAAUCCUUUGAAGCAGGACUUCUUAGCUCUAUCUUCAUCAUCAAUGAUGGAUUUUGCAACCCCUUCACUGAUGAAUUCAUCAACGUUAUUAAGCCAGUCUGCAACAUCCUUGUAAAUCUCAUCUCUUUGUUGAGUAGCCUCACGAACGGGUAUUCCCACCCUUUCUCUUUUAUAUUCUAGCUCCUUCACUUGAACUUUUAGCUCAGCUAUGUAGCUCUGGUACUUGAACACAUAAGAGAUCUGCCGCAUAAUCGGUUCGAACAAUGCCUUUGCACCUUCUGUUACAAUGCCGGAAAAAGUAGUGGAAACCAGGUCUGCAGCCAUUGCCUAGCCUGUUGCUUUCAUACAUACAUACAUACAUAUAUAUAUAUAUAUAUUAGCUGUUGGAAAAAUUAGAUUCAAAUAAAUUAAAAUGAACUAGGGGAAAGACGGAGAAAGAAAUGACAACCAACAACUUUUUAAAAAAAGGUUUCAAGGGCCUGAAUGGAAAACCAACAAUUUAAAAAAAAAAUUGUAAGAUGGAUGCAGAUUAACCAUUGCUAAUAUUACAUAAGAACACAGAAGUUAACAAUGAACAGUACGUAGAAAAUUAAAUGACAAGAUUAAAACAAACAAGGGCUAUUUUUUCUUGGACAAUUGUACCUAUUUAAUUAUUAAAGAGUUAAUGACCUUCACUGCUGGCCUUGAAUAUAUAAGAACGACCAGAAGAUGAAUAUUAACUGCAGACGAAUGUAAGUAAAGAGUUCAUGAGAGUGAGUAAUACAAAUGAAUUGUAAAAGAACAAGACUUAAGUGUGACCCCAUCUUUUGUUUUAUUAUAUAAAUAGAACACAUGAUCAUUUUUAACAAAGUGAUCAAUAACUCUAUGCGUUAUUUAAUUGAUAUUGUAACCAAUUUUAAGGGAAUUUAAUAAUAAUCAUUCAAUGCAUAAAUUUAAAAUUAGAUUUUUUUAAUUCUUUAUUUAAAUAUAAAUCUUAAUGGAAAAUUAUAAAAAUUUAGAGAUAAAAUUUUUCAAUCACCAAGGAAAAAAAAUGGGAAUGAAAACAGAGGAAUCUUGUUUUACCUUUUUUUUUUUUUCCUUAACUCUUGUUCCUAUACAAAUAAUCUUGUUUUGAUGAUAGUGCUCGUGACUAUGGGAAAAUUUCUAAUGGAAACAACUCAAUUUCGGAAGAUAAGCUUAAUUCUGCAAGUGAUGAAUUUGUUCAAUUGACUCUGUACUUGAACUCGUUGGAUUGGUUGAUUUACGAUUGACUGCAUUUCAAUUCUGCCUAAAAGAUCUUUUUAAUAGCUAUCAUGUACUCCUUAAAAGCAAUCAUUUUUAGAUUUGACUGAAUUUGAACUUGUUGGAUUGGCUGUUUUUAGAUUAUUGAUAUGAGAUACUACAAUGUAAACAUUUUCAUGUGGCUGAGCCCUAUUCUAAAAUCUGUAUGUUGCUUUAGAAAAAGGGCUUUUCCUACUGAUAUUUAAUCUUCAAGUAAACUUAGAUAUAAAGUAAAUCAAAUAAAAUGACAAACAAGCAAUAUAAUAAAAGACAACAAACUGGCAAUAUUGAUACAAAGGCAACAGAUAUUAAACUUUAGGACAUUUUUUUCCUAGCUUUCAUUUGUUGGAGGAUUAGAGAUUUUGGUAUUACCGGAAAGCUAAAAGGUUUCAAGGGUCUGAGUAGAAACCUAUAAUCUUUUUAAAAACUUUCUUUUUCUUUUUUCUUUUUUCUUUUUUUGGGGGGGGGGGGGGGGGGGGGGGGGGAAGAAUGCAAGUUAACCAAACGAAAUAAUAAGAGCACAGGCUUUAACAAUGAACAAUAACUUAAAACUCAUGCAAAGUAAAUUCAAUAUUAAAACAAACCAGAGAAAUUUUUUUUCUUGGAAAAUAGAUGGAAAUUAUGAAAGAACAGAUGUCAAGAUCAAAGAUCUACUAUACACAAACACACACAUUAGAGGAUUUGGAAAAUGUGCACCUCUUUAAUUAUCUGGGAUUAGAGAGUUGGUGAGAUUCUCCAUUUGGCCUUGAAUAUUUAAGAACAACCUCAAAGAGCAAAAAGAUCACCGGUAACUGCCGAGGAAUGUGUAAGAAAAGGGUUGAUGAGAAUAAUAACAUUGACUUGCAGAAGAAAAAGCAUUAAUCAAGCACCCCUUUUUUAUAUCAUGUAUUUGGUUAUUGUUGCCCUGUUUACGCACGUAUAGGAUAAUUAUAUGCAAUCUUUUUUUAAAAAUCCACAUGCACUUUAGGGCUUCUUUCAUAAAAGCAGAUACCGGAAACACACAAAAAUCAUUUGAGAGAGAAACCGAACAGCAAAUCAUCAAAGUAAGAUCAACAAUAUAUGAUUUGAUUAAUGCAUAUUCAAGAACAAAACAAAAAUAAAUAAAUNNNNNNNNNNNNNNNNNNNNNNNNNNNNNNNNNNNNNNNNNNNNNNNNNNNNNNNNNNNNNNNNNNNNNNNNNNNNNNNNNNNNNNNNNNNNNNNNNNNNNNNNNNNNNNNNNNNNNNNNNNNNNNNNNNNNNNNNNNNNNNNNNNNNNNNNNNNNNNNNNNNNNNNNNNNNNNNNNNNNNNNNNNNNNNNNNNNNNNNNNNNNNNNNNNNNNNNNNNNNNNNNNNNNNNNNNNNNNNNNNNNNNNNNNNNNNNNNNNNNNNNNNNNNNNNNNNNNNNNNNNNNNNNNNNNNNNNNNNNNNNNNNNNNNNNNNNNNNNNNNNNNNNNNNNNNNNNNNNNNNNNNNNNNNNNNNNNNNNNNNNNNNNNNNNNNNNNNNNNNNNNNNNNNNNNNNNNNNNNNNNNNNNNNNNNNNNNNNNNNNNNNNNNNNNNNNNNNNNNNNNNNNNNNNNNNNNNNNNNNNNNNNNNNCCCCAGGGGAAAAUCUGGAAUUCCUUUUUUUAAUUUUUUUUUUUUUAAAAAAACCCCACCGGAAAUUCUUAAAAUUUGGAAAAAAAAAUUUUGAGUCCCUUAUUCUGGGGGGGGGGGGGGGGGGGACGAAAACAGAGGAAACUUGUUUUACAUUUUUUUGAUCUUAACUCUUGUUCUUAUAUAAUAUUUUCCCUGGGAUUUCAGGCAAACCAAACAAAAAAAAAAAAAUUCAAUAAAGAGCAAGUUGCUCUAAUUGAUUUAUCUUGUUUUUCAGGCUAUUUUGUGACAUGAUGAUAUGUAAUGCUCUUGAAUGCUAGAAAAAUUCUAAUGCAAACAUUUUUGCAAAUGACGAAUGUAAAUAACUUUUUUUGAUUAAUUGAAUCUCUAAUACUCUUACCCUAUUCUAAAAUUUGUAGGUUGCUUCAGAAAAAAAGGGUAUUUCUCACUCAUCUUCAAUCCUCAAGCACAAUUAGAUUAAAAGCAAAUCUAAUAAAAUAACAAACAAAUUAACAAAAAAAAGAAAAAGAAAAAAAACAAUGUUGAUCUUGAGACAAUUGAUACUUAAACAGAGAAUUCUUUGUUCUUUUUUUACUCCCCCUGGCUCGAGGAUUAGAGUCUUUCUUUGCUAUUAACAGAGAGGUUUUAAGGGUCCGAAUAAAAACCCGCGCUUUUUUUAAAAACUUCUUUUUUUUUUUUUAUUGGGGAAGAUAGAUUCAAAUUAACCAAAGCUAGUAAUAAGAACACAGGCCUUACAAAUGAACAAUAACUUACAACUCAAGCAACAUAAAUAAUAAGAUUAAGACAAACAUGAGAUUUUUUUCUUCGAAAGUAGAUGGAAAUCAAGUAAGAACAGCUAUUAAAAGAAAUUACUAGAGAAUUUAGAACAUGUGUACCUCUUUAAUUAUUUGGGAUCAGAGAGUUGAUGAGCUCUCUAUUCGCCUUGAAUAUUAAGAACUGGUAUUAAAAGAAAUUAUGAAGAACAAUUUUAGUGAGCGAUAGAUCACUGUUAACUUCAGAGGAAUUUGUGAGUAAAAAGCUGAAAAGAGCCGUAAUAAUGAAUUACAAAAGAAGAAGACUUAAUCAAGCACCCCUUUUAUACCCGAUUUUUAAGAUUUAGUCUUGAAGUUCACAAUCAAGAACAAAGACGAAGCUUUAAUAAAGCAUGCAGUGAGAUACAAGAAAUGGAUCGGGCAAAAUACCUUACGAAGCGUUUCAUAUUUUCUAAUGAAAUAAUUAAGUUGAAGUUUUCGACGAAUAAAUACUUGUUGUGCUUGAAUAAUUUUGGCAUAUACGUUACUUGUAUCCUGCGAAAUUGAAAAGCACAUUGGUUUAUUAGAGCUUAUUAGGAGGGAAAAGCUUUGUAAGAUACCUGAUAAAAGAUAAAGUAAAAGCUUGAAUGAAGAAUGACAUUUUAGAAAGAAACUAAAGUGCAAUCAUCAAAGUGGGAUCAAUAGUGACUUGAUAUUUCAAUUGUUCUGUCCACAAAUGAUGCUUCGUUAUUACUAAUUCCAGAUGGACAUUAUUAGAAAAUGAUCUUAUGUUUAACAGAAAAAUAAAAACUCGUCAUCAUACAAAACAGCGUGAAGAAAUCUUCAAUUUGAUUAUUAUAAAAUAAUAAGUUUCAUUACUAGAUUAUGCGGACAUUAAUGUUAGAGAUUUGAUCAGAUUAUCAUAUAAUUUACUAAACGCUUUGAGAAGAACAAUAAUUAAUUUUUAAAAAAUUGAAAAAUAAAUUAAAUAAAGAGUACACGCAAAUAAUGUUACUUCCAAUCACCAAACUGAAAAACAGGGGAAUGAUAACAGACGAGUCCCUGAUUAUCCUCUCUCUCUCUCUCUCUUUUUCAAUCUCUCUCUUUGAUAUCCAUAUCUGAGCAUCAGAGCUUGACAUCUUUGAUAAAUAAAUAUGCUUACUGGUACUGUUUUUGCAUAUGUCUUUCACAAAAUCAUUGUAUACGCUUACAUAGAGAAGAAGAUUCAGAUAACUUUCAAAAUCUGAAUCCGCCUGAUGGACAGGCUUGACCACACAGCCCCGAGACAAGGAAGUCCAAGCAACUAAUCUAAACCGUUCUCCUUUAUUAGCUAGAUUUAGUAUUUGGGUUCUUUAUGUAAAACGACACUAUGAUCUUGAAAUUUUGAUUUAAUUAAUAAAUAGUUAAAUUCUUAAUGUUUCAGGAGUAGAUACAUAGACUCUCUUCUAAUUUUAGUCAUUACAAACAAUGCCAUUGUGCGGUUAUACUAUUGCUUCUUUUAUGAAACCAUUCUCACCAUCACAUAGAUCUUGGCAUAUAGAGUCUCAUAAUGUCAUCAAAUAAUUUUUUUUUUUUUUAAAAACAUAAAAUAUGAUACAUGUAUUCAUUUUUUUUCAAAUUAGGGUGUAUUAUUCUUAAAACUUAAGUGUUCUACUUAUAAAUAUCUUGAAGGUGUGAGUGUUUUCUUUUCGUAAACAAACCGUAAAAGAAAAAGAGGAACAAUAAUUUUUUACUUAUCCUUAGAGAUAAGAUUCAAUCGGGAUGUGAGUAAGUGUGUUUUUCUUUUUUUAUUAUGCUAAAUUAUCGAGUCACAAAGCAUAUUGAUUCAAAAGUAUAACUUUAUACUGAUGAUAGAUAAUUUCAAAACAAUGGAAUGAAAACAGAGGAGCUCCCCCCUCCCCCACCCCAAUCCCCGCCCCCCCCCCCCCCCCCCCCCAAAAAAAAGUUCUUCUUCUUUUAUAUAUUUUUCUUGGAAUUUUAGGUAAAAGAAAAAAAAAACUGAGAUUGAUUUCAAGGGAACAGGUGGAUAAUAACUAAAAUACUUAUUUUUAUAUAUUUGAUAUGUGCGCUCACUAUUAAUAGAACUUAUUAGAUACUACAACUUAAAUAACUUCCCAUGGUUGAUUGAGGGUAUGUUUGAGAUUUCCUUUACUUUCCAAGAAUUAAUUUCUACCUUGAUUCUGAACAAAAAAAUAAUUUUACAAAUAAUCUAUUAGGGUGUUUGGUAAAUGAUGAUUAUUUGACAAUCAAUUUUUAAACGGUUUACUAUACAAAUCUGGUAAAUGAAAAUUAAAAGUGUAAAAUGUUCAUGUACAAUGACAAAAAUGUACUUGUUUACUUGUUUGUAAUUUAUUUAGAAUAUUAUUAUUUAAAUCUUUUUUUAUUUACAAGAUUUUUUAAGAGCAUAUUCUAUUUUCUUUAUUACAUAUUUAAAUAAUUUUUUAUUAACUAUUUUAAUUUGCAAUAAAAUUAACUUCAAUAUCUUUUUAACUAAAAAAUUUGUUAUGUAGUUCGUGAUAUAACAAAUACUAACAUAUCAUUAGUUUGAUUAAUAAAUUAAGUGCAAAAAAGAAAAUGCAAAAAUUUAAUCUUUAUAUAAACUUUUAUGUACAUAAAAUCAUUGUAAUCAAACUAGUUCAUAGAAAUAUAAUAUUAUAUACAUGUGUGUAAAAAAAAAAAACAUAUGACCAUAAUAUUAUCCACUCAUUAAACUUGCUGCACUAUUAUUUCUCAAUCUCUCCAUCUCUCGACCUUCAAGAACAUUACUACCAUAAUCUUCUUCUUCUUGAAUCCAACCUCUAUUUCCUCAUCAUCAACAAUGCGACCAAUUUGCCUUGAUAGCCUUUCAACUAGAAUAGAGUUGGCAGUAGAUAUUUUAGUACUCUCAAACUAUGCCCAAACAGGGUCACCAGUGAUUGUUGUAUUAAAAGACAUUCUAUUUAAUUUUCCUCUGACUCUGGGUCGAUACCUUUUAUGCAAAAUCUAUUUACUUAAGGAAUUUUCUACACAUGUCGAUAUCAUAUUAAAGUGAAUUCAGAUCCUAUAUUAUUGACAUUAAAAUUUAGCCGAAUAGUAAAAAAUUUCCCUUUUUGUUUGUCACACAACCAUAUAGUCCCAUUUUUGGUUAUAAGCUCACAAUAUGUAAGGGAAAUGAAGAUCUAUUAAAACUUUCCCAUAAUAUUAAACAUUAAACAAUAUCAACAUUUUGUGCAUAUGGUGCCUCAUCAACAAUUUGAUGUUCAUUUUGUUGCUCGGAGGAAUAUGACUACCUAUUAAUUAAUUAGCAAGAAUUGCGUUGCGAGUCCAUGUUUUUGUCGUUUGGAUGGAGGAUGUGCCAUCUUUUUAUUGUAGAUGCUUUGUAAGGCUUUUGAUUUAAUGAUUUAAUGCAGUCAAUUAACAAAAGCUUACAUAUAUUAUUAUGUAGUUGCUGAGAUGUCUGUUCUUGAUAAAGUCGAUUUAUUUACACCCAAGCCAACGGAAUCAAAGCCUUUUCGUUAAUAAUAUACACGGUAAUUGUUUUUGUUAAAUUGAUUUCUGGCUAACAAGAUAUUUGAAAGCAUUUAGGUAGCGUUUACAUUUUGCGUUGGAGUGAGAAUCGUGAGAAAUGAGAAUCCUGGGAUUAGGAGUGUGGAGUGGGAGUCGAAGUAUGUUGUUUACUUACACUGAAAUGGAAGUAUGGAAUUGAAAUCAGAAUCCAAUUUAUUUGUUUACAUUGUCUUAGAUUGUGAGUAAUGAUUUUAAAUUACAGCUUUACUCUUAAAGAAUUAUAGUUAUUAAUUACAAAAUUAAUAAAAAUUAUAUUUUUAAAUUAAUAAUAAUUAUUAAUAUUCUUAACUAUGUAAAUCACAAUUAUUUUAUUAAUUUUAAUUUUAAUUAUAUAAAUAAAAAAUUAUUAAUAACAACAAUACAAAUGAAACAUUAUUAUUGAUAAUAUAGUACAAAAUUAAUUUUUUUAGAAUAAAAUAUUUAUUAUUAUUAAUUACUAAUAUUAAAUAAAUAUAAUAGUAUUAUUUUUAAAUAAGUAUAAUAAUAUUAUAUUUUCAAAUAAAAAUAGAAUAUAGUAAUAUUAUUAAUUCUUUAUGAAUAUAAUGAUAUUAUUUUUAAGUAAUUUUAACUUAGAAUCAAUGUAAAUUAUUAUUUUUAACCAAAAAAUUAAUAUUAUUUUAAAUAUGUUUAAUAUUAUUAUUUUUAAUAAAUUUAAUUUAUAAAAUAAUAAAAUAUUAUUAUUUAAAUAAAUAUGAUUUUACUUAUUUUAUUAAAUUUAAUAAAAUAAAUAUGUUUAAUAUUAUUAUUUUUAAUAAAUGUAAUUUAUAAAAUAAAAUAAUAAUAUAAGUUAAAUAAAUAUGAUAUUAUUUAUUUUAUUUUAUUAAAUAUAAGGGUGAAAAAGGAAGAGAGGCGAGUGAAUUUCCACUCCCACCUUCCUCCAUGGGAGUGGGAAUCUCACUCCCCCACUCCAAAAUUAGGUGGGAUCCACGGAGUGGAAUUCUCACUUCCCCUUUGAAAAUUGUAAGUAAACACUGGAGUAAGAGGAAUCCACACUCCUCACUCUCACUCCAAAAAGUAAACACUAUAUUAAAGAAGUCAUUGACUUAUAAGAAAGCCAUGAUUAAAUACACGGCGAAGCAUGUGAGCUCGUUUUUCAAUUUCUUUGAUCACUCAUAAGUAGGGGUGGGCAAAAUCGGAUUCGGAUUGGGUUCGGGUUGAUUUGAUCAAUUUCGGAUCAAUCGGGUUGGGGAAAAAAUCAUCCGAACUCAAUCCGAAUUAUUAACCCGAUCCAAUCCGAUCCGAAUAUAAUUCGGAUCGGAUUGGAUCGAAAAUUCGGAUUAAUUCGGAUUAGAUUCAGAUUUAAAAGCAUUCGGGUUAUAUAUCCAUUCUAUAUUUCUGGGUUAAUUUCAGAAGCAAUCAAGUAAAACAAUCAACCUUUUCUCAAGAUAUAGUUUUGUUUUAAGCUUUUUAAAUUAAAUUAUUUAAAACAAUAUAGUCAAUACCACCAAAAACUUGGUGACAGUGAAUGUGGAGGUGAAUUUAGUUGUAGCAGUUGUGGUAACCGGUGAAGCUAGUGGCAGCAAGCGGUAGCAGUCGAGGUGUAGUAGAUUCCAUCGGCACGUUGCGGUUGCAGCGAUGGCUUAGCUUUGAACGAUCGCGUCGGUGACUGAUGGCUGCUGGUUCACGCAGUUGCAUCUCCGAUUUGCUGGCUGCUGCUUCUUGCGGUUGCAUCUCCGAUCUGCUCGCCGCUGCUUCGCUGACAUCUCCGAUCUCCGAUGGUUUGGCUUCGCACGAUCACAUCGGUGAUUGCUGGCUGCUGGUUCGCGGCUUCGCGCGGCCGCAUCUCCGGUCUGCUGGUUGCUGCUUCUUGCGGUUGUAUCUCCAAUCUGUUGGCUGCUGCUUCGUUGUUUGGCAUCUCAACAUUUCCGAUCUCCGAGGCCAAACCUCUAUUUGUGUGUGACCGUGUGUGAUGUGAGUGUGUGUGUGUGCACUUACAGAUUAUUUUAAUUUAGAUCUAAGAUUUGCUUUUUGUGUGGUGUGAAUCCGAUUUUGUUGUGUUUGCCACUUUGUUAGUUUGUUACACAGUUUUUUUUUUAAGCCAACCCGAUCGGGUUUUCGGAUCGGAUCGGGUUUCAUCCGAUCCGAUCAUGAUCCGAUCGGGUUGGCAAAGUUACAUCCGAUUGGAUUUUGUUAACAAUCCGAUCCGAUCUGAACCCGAUAUUUUUUGGGUCAGAUCGGAUCGGAUCGGGUCGGAUAUUUUGCCCAACCCUACUCAUAAGCUUUUCUAUACCACUCACUAUAUCAUCCUUUUAAGUCAAUUUCGACUGAUCAUCAGAGAUCAUGCACCCCACCUUGAGAUGAUUGAUCACCAAUUUGGCAUUGUAACGUUGAUCACCUCUAAUUGCCCAUGCUAAAAUUGAGACCCCACAGCCAAUUGCUUCUACAGUUGAAUUUUAUCCACAGUGAGAUAAAAAUCCACCUAUUAAUUGAUAACUCGGCAUCAAUAAUUGUGGUGCCAUUCCAUCUAUUAUCAAACCCUUUUUACCGGCUUUACUAUCUAAACCACUAUGAAAAUAAGCUGGUUAAAUGACGUGGAGGAUCCAAUCUAUUUACAUCAGUUUGAAUUACCUAAAUAAUCGGUGGAUUUGAUGCUUCUAAAUCAUUGGCUAAUGUUGAAUAAUCAUUUAAGGUGGGACCCAUUUCGGUACCAAAUGACAUGUAUAACACUGAUCCACAUGAUUUCAAAUCUAACCAUUGAAUGAUCUCAUCUUUGGUCAUGUUAGAACUCCGCCGGUUGGUUCUCAUCUCACAAUCACGAAGCACUGAACCGGUCGAUUUGUAAAAUUGUUCAGGUAACAAUGGGCCCACUCCCCACACUAGCAUCAACACCAUCGAUCCCUCCACUUGCUUCAUCCAGUGUGGUUGAUCACUCGGUUCUGAUGGACCUAUUUUCUCUGAACCGGGUGCACCUCACAAAGGUUGUGGGCCACCAGGAAGGGACCCGUGAGGCCUGCGUUUAAGAUCUGAUUGGAAUAAAGCAACAUCCUUGGGUAACCCAAGAAGUAAAUGGGCCUCUCCCGGUUUGGCAUCCUGGAUGCGAGCCUGCCACAUGGCACACUCCACAGCUGCUGAGCAAGCAUCAGAAGUGAAGAACCCAACAAUGGGAACUUCAAAAUUCUUGAAAACAUCAGCCGUCCAGCCCAUCAUAACGCCGAUGACUACGCAAACAGGUCGGCUUUCGGGUUCCGGGUUGAAAGGAGGUUUCGAAGACCCUGAAGCAUUUGGUUGUGCAUGACAACAUGGAGGUAAGAAGGAGGCGAUGGUAGUAGUGGAGAUGAGGAGGGUAUUUCGGUAAUUUCACAUAGAGGGUAUUGGUGAAGAGAGGAAGGGGUGAUGCUGGUGGUGGAAACGUGAGAGGGAAUAAUGAGGGUAGAUUUGUAAUUACGAGAAGCAAUUUGCUUGCAUAAUUCAAUGCAUGGAAACAGAUGUCCCUGACCGAAGAACGGGACAAUCCAAAUCUCAGCCUCAGCAGCAUUCGCAACAGAGCUUGACAUCUUUUAUGAAUUAUUUGAGACUUAAUUGUUAUUGACUGCUUUUGCCAUCUUUCAUAAAACAUUCUUUGUUAUAUAUUCAAGUAAAUAAAUUUAUCGUUUAAAAUUAAUUUUUCAUGUGGUAAAAGCAAUACUAAAUAUGGGGUGGAGAGAAUAAUUUGUAGGGCAUACCCCCACCAUUUAUUUAAUUUCAUUAAAAAAGAAAGAAAAGAAAUAAAGGCUUGUUCAACAUUCAAUUAAAAUUAACAAUUCCAUGAUAAAAUUACUUGAGAAUAAAAAUUUUUAAAAAAAAAGUAACUCAAAAACGAGGAAUUUUUGAGUAACUGAAGAACCAUAGAUGUUUUUUGGUCAUGAGCAAUUUUUGAGUUGACACAGAACUUGUAUAAAAAAAAUAGUUUUGAAAACUUCUUUUCUUUUUUCGUAAAUAUAGAUAUAAAAUUUUAAAAUCACCAAACACAAAACCAGGAAAAUGGAAGGAGAGCCCCUGUUUCUCCUAUGUUGCAAGCACAAAUUCGGUUUCUAAAGUUGUACCUUCUAAAUGCACCAUUUGUAUUGCUUUGUCUCCACUUGAGCUAACGGAAUUUGAUGAAAACAAAAUAAUUGAACGAUAGGGAUAAAUAUCAAAGAAGGAGCUUACAUGCCCUAUAUAUUCUCUUUGGAUGAAUAACGAAGGUGAGCUUUCAAAGUACAGAGAUUUACAUGUUUUAAUUGUCAUUUACAUUGCUGCAUGCUAAUUGCUUGAUAAAAUACCGCAACAAAUACGCAUUCUCGAUUUCUUAUAAAUUUAUUUUCUUACUCUGAAAAAAAUUGAAUGUUUAGAGAAUUUUGAAGGUUUUGGUGUAUGCAUUAAUAUUUUGAUUCUAUUUAUGUUGUUUAACUAAUGAAGAUGAUACAUCUAGCCUCUUUUUGCCCCUUGUUGUUUUUAUUCUUGUGCUUUAUAUACGGUUCAAGUGUGAUACACUUUAGUUUUUCUCAAGUGUUUGUUAGUAUUUCCCGAAGCAAAAUUUGUCACAGACUUUUAGUUCAAAAGUUGAAAUCAUAACUAACAUACUUCGAUUUUUUAUUUUCCUUUUUUCUUCGGUAUCUUUCUAUAUGGCAUUGCUUGAGAAAUUGGUGUACUUAGAUCGUAAUAUUCUGUAGAAAUAAGCCAAUAUUUCAUUAUGUACAUUGUUUAAUAUGAUAAGUAUUGUAUGGAAGUUUUACAGAUAAGCUCCUUAUAUAUUAUGCAUUAUGUUUUUAUCAUAUUGUUGCUUGGAACUUUGAAGGAUUAGCCACAGGGCUUUAGUCCUACAUGGACAUUUUAUAUUUAACAGCUGGUUAGGCAUUUUAUUUGAUGUUAUUUGGACUUGUAGGUGUUAAAAGUUUUGUUCAGUAAUUUUAUAAUUCAGAUUCCCAUUGUGAAAAGAUAGCAAUUUUUAUUGUGGGUCAGAUUCUGUCAACUGAUAUUUAGCUAAAAUAUCUCACUAACCCCUAUUGGUUAGGUGUUUUUUUUAAUUCACAUACUUGAUUUUUAUUUUCUUUUUAUCUGUGGAAUCACAUGUAUCAUUCAUAAGAAACAAGCUAUUAUAUAAUCUAUUCUUUAGAUCCAUUUAUAUGUAGUGGGCACUCUGAUUUCUAUUAUUUGAAUUUUUUGCUACUGUUACUACUCUUUCGGCCCUUCAAAUAGGGGUUAACAGAAAGGGUGAGUAUAUUAAUACAAAUUCAAACUUUCUUUUUCUAAUUUUAUCCAAAAUAACCUACUAUAUUAUUUUAAUUUCCAACUUUUGUCAUAGUCUAAUGGGCAGUUGUCUUGUCAUUAUUUGGUUUUAGGUAAGAAGAGAGAAAGUUAGUGAGAGGAUGAAAAUUUUGCAAAAACUUGUUCAUAGCUAUGGUAAUUAAGUAAUUUGAGUUCUUUUUUUUUGUUAUUGUUUUUUAUUCACUUUUUCCUGUCUUAAAACAAAUAACGAGUUUUUGUGUUUUUAAUAUUUCUUAUAAACUUCAUGUUGUUUGGUAUAAAAUUAGGUAAUUGGAAAGGUCUCAUGUUGGAUGAAAUUAUCAAUUAUGUGCAGUCCCUACAAAAUCAAGUGGUCGUCAAUGUGUCAGCAUCACUUUCUUCUUCAGAUGUUACUUGUUUUUCACAUUUAUUUUUCUCUCAGUCCUUUUUAAAAGAACAUACACACACAUACUAUGUAGAGUGACCUUUUUUAAUGAGGAAUCUGUCAUUUUAAUAAAAUGAAGAAUAAACUAAAAGGUAGAAGUACACGAACUCUAAUGCAAUAUACCUUUUCUGUUCUUUUACCUUUACUAUAAGAUAGGGAAUGAUAUAAAACUGUUCGAUAAUAGUAAGUGAAAUAAUUAAAAGGCUACUGUUCUAGCUCAUUUAAUAUAUCAAACUUUUCUAGCUCAUUUAAUAUAUCAAACUGCUCGAUAAUUGAAUUGGCCUAGUUAAACAUAAUUUUCAGAUAAUCUUUUUAAUGGUUUAUUUAUUAAUAUUUUGUUUCUUUCCAGUAUGAACACUUUGUUUUGACACGUGGUUAACAACCUUCAACGAACUCGGAACAACCUUCAUCACAUGCUUUCUCACGUGGUUACUUAAACUGAUAUGUUAAACGUGCUCCAUCCACGCCGUUUCCACUAAAUCAUUUUCUGUUAAGAAUCAGCUGAGCAGCGCGUGAGCUAAUGAAGUUUUUCGUAUUGAACUCAACUCUGCUAUUUUCCCAAAGCUGGAAAGCAGAAACAUCAUCCCUUUGGUUUUAUUUCACCUCAACCUUUUUCUGAUCCCAUUUUCAUUGUAAUUUCUCAUUUACUUUGAGUGAAAGUCAUUGUUGCUUUCGAACGAGGUUUUGCAACUAAAAAGGAAAAUGGGGCGGCUACAAUACAUGCGUGCAUCUGAUACAUGCACAAAAACUGACCAUUGGAUUAAAUGGAGUGAUCUAAUGGCUGAGAUUUGUUUCAUUAUUAAGCAAUAAAAAAAUUUGAAACAACCAGAAACCUGUAAAACCGGUCAUUUGGUUUAAGGUAAAAAUAUAUAAAUGAAAAAAAAAAAAAAAAACCCACCACUCCCUCGCCUCACCUCUCUUCUUUUGGGUUUAGUAUUGCUGCUUUUAACAUAAUUGACCUAUGGCCCAAAUCAUUUCUAUAGGGCGAAGCAUAUGAAUGAUACAUAUUAUCUUUUUUUGGCCUUAUGUCUUGUUAUUUGCAGUGUGAUUUGGUCUAGCUUAAGAGCUUAAGCUUGCAGGUUGGAUUUGUCUGACAGGGAACAAUUUAAUUUGUUCAUCGUGAUGUUUAUAUCCAUUUUGUACUACUAUCAAUUUCAAUCAUGCCUAAUUUUUAUAUGUAUUUCUCGUGGACUCUCAGGUUCAGUGCACAAGAGGAUGAAGACGAUGGACACCCAAAUUUGAUGUGGAGAACAACUAUUGCAAAUGGUCCUUGAUUUACUUCUCCAAUUGACUUGAAUUGGUUUGACGCAAUUUAUACUGUAUUUUUGUCAUCUUUGUAUGACUUGCACGUCGUCCUGAUUUGGUACAUGACUGGACACAGGAAUUGGACUCAUAUUUUUCAAACCAGAAUGCCAACAAUCAAGCAUUUUCUUUUGAAAGCACUGGCGUCUUCUUCAAUGCCAAAAAGGUUAGAGAUUUUCUGUAUCCUGUUUUGUAUUUGAUCAGUUUAGCAUGUGGGUGGCAAUCAAGAAAAGUUAUUAUAACAUUUUUGUGUUCCCGAAAAACUGCUGAUGAUGUGUGACUUCUUUUUAUUUGUAUUCUUUCUUUUUCUUUUCUCCCCAACAGUAUUAUGCAUUUCGAAGAGCUUCUUGAAGUUGAUUACCAUGUAUGCCACUUUCUUUACUCUAUGCUCAGGAUGUGAUUUUGCCAAGCAUUAAAAUGGUUUAGGUCAGAACCAUCAUCUAAAGUUUACUUAAAGUUGACGGAUUAAUUCCUUUUAAUAAUGGUCUAGUUAAUUUUACUAUACUCAUAAAACUAUUCUUAUUCUGAUAAUGCCACAAAUGUUAUGAUGUUUUCUUCAGCUAAUGAUCUUCUAUCAGGACUAGUUAGAAAUCAAAUGCUUAAAACACCGAUUGAAUGAAUAAUGCAGAAGUUUAAACAGUAUCUAAUUGAAAAUUGCAUGAAACAUGAAACAUCAAUUCAAGUCCUUCCUUAAACAAAGAAUGCAUCAAACAAAUCCAAAGUGUCUUGCAUGUCUAUAGCAUGACAAAAAAGUUGUAAAUGCGUUUAGAACCAAAUUAUUCAAGUACAGGAGAACGAGCAAGUUGAAUCAUGUACACGAGAUUGGCCUGGUUCGAGAUAGCUUCUUCACUGUACCUGAAGGGUUGGCUCAAUCUUUUCUUUAGAAUUCUGCACAUUUUGUAAUUACUCGUGUAAGCAAGCAUACAUUACAACUCUUGUACACAAACAAUAUUGUAUAAACUAAUGCGACAUAAUAUGAUUGGUUAAACAAAAACAUUACAUAGCCCUCAUAAUUUAUUUAUUUAUUUAUUAUUAUAUAUUUUCAGUCAACCAAUCAUAUUAUAUUACAUUAGUUUCUAUAAAAUAAUUUUCUAAAUAGCACCAAAACUUAAUUGAUACUCACCAUUUCAUUGAACAAUUUUUUUAUGGUGUCAUUGAGGUUGCCUUCCCAACAUCCUUCAUCAUCAUCAUCUUCUUCAUCAUCAUCUUUUUCUUCUUCGGUGACGUUCACUUUGUUUAGCAUUGGUGUGUCUAAGACUCCUUGAGAGAAGAUCAUCAUUUUUGGACACUCUCUCACAACUACUUGUUUCAAGGACGGGAAUUCAAGAGCGUAAUUACCUAAACAAAAGCUUGUUAGGCUUGGCAAACAAUCAAGUCCCAAGUACUUUAAUUCCUUGAAAACAAUGCAAUCUUUCGCUUCUUCUGCAACCGGCGACUGUAUGAUUUCUUCCAUCAUUUUGCAAUCAACUAUCUUCAUUCUUCCGAGAUUCACUAGAUUUUUAGAUGCUGAGAGCGUCAACACAUUUAUCAACCCGUGACACUUCGAUACUUGUAGUCCCCACAGAUUUUCCAAAUGCCACGAAGGUGGUACUAAUUUUUGCAACUUACUACAUUCCGAUAUUUCUAGCCUUUUCAAGUUUGCAAACGCUUUGUUGGAUUCGUCAUUUUCCUUCCAGAGAUGCUGCACUUUGUGUAAUCUAGAUAGCUUUAACUCCUUCAAUUGAGGGAAUGUAAGCUGAAAAUCAACAAAAUUAAGUUGUAAAUGAAAGUAUGUAUCCAAUCUCUGCAGUCUUCCCCUGCAUAUUUUAUGGACAAGAUUAAUCACGGCAUUUUAUAUUUUAUUUCCAAAUUAGUAUGCUUUGCAGUAGGAUCCCAAAUAUAAGUAUCAAAUCGAUUACCCUUUGAAACACAUAAAUGAAAUCUGAUACUAAAUCCAAUAUGAAUUAGCUAGGAAAACAGAGAUGCGACAAGCAUAAUUGAUAUAGUUCAUCACCUCAUGUUACCAGUCAUCGAAAUAAUUUAAGACAUUUUUUUAAUUCAUACUAUAAAGUUAGUUCAUAACUGUAGUUGUAUUGUUAAUUCAUAUAUGAAUCAAGAUGACAUGCAAAAAGAUGAGUCAUAAAAUUUGAUUUGAUUCUAAUGAAAUUACAUCUGUGCGAACAAAAGUGAAGGGGAAAAUAAUAAUAAUAAUAAUAAUAAUAAUAAUAAUCACCUUUUCAUCGAAGAGGGGUUGUACUUGAUGAGCCAGCAAAAAGUUCUCUUCUGAUGUUAAUUUUUGAGGUUCCUUGUUAUUUGUUGUCACAUGCACUACAGAGUUGGAUAUGAAUGUUUCCAUAUCAGGGCAAUUCUCAAUAGUUAGAUUCUCCAACUCAGACAGUUCAAUUAUAUUCCCAGUGAAGUUGCAGAAUCUUUUGAGUUUUGGAAGAUCAAUGAGCCUUAGUCUGUUAAGCCUAGGAAACCGGGGGCCUAUAUGUUCUUCCUUAGCAUUUAGCUCUUCUAAAUGAAGCACCUCUUCUAUUAAAUCACAAUUCCUCACUUCCAGGCAUCUCAAAUUGUUCAAGCAACGUAGCAGAUUGGUAGGAAUAGCACUCGACAUAUUCGUGCAGUCAUCCACAGCCAGUUGUCGUAAAUUGUUGAAGAAGCUGACAGGCACUGCUUGGCCGUGCCAUAUUUCUCUCAAGCGUGGAAAAUGUGAGAGUUGCAAAUGCUCUAUGUCACGGAAUCCAAUCUGCAUAAACCAAAACAAUUGCACUGGAUAUAUAUAAAUUUCUUUUUUUGAAAGGCAUUAGAUAUAUAUAUACAUUAAACUUACAUGUUUUGUGCUUUAACUUCUAAAAAUAUAUUUACAACGCAGGUGUAUAUGUUUAAAUGUGGUAUAGUGGAAUUAAGCUUAUUGCCAUUACUUCGUAAUGGUGUUCGUAACACCAUUACUUCGUAAAGUGAAUCGAUUAACACAUACCAUUACUUCGUAACACUUUUGUAUAGUGGAAUUAAGCUUAUUGCCUUCCCAAUGGUGUUCACCCUCUUCCCUUUCAGUCACUUGCACUACGUAUAGCUUUGGUGUGGAUGAGAUUCCCCGAGAAAAAGUCUUCAUGUUCGGACAAUGUGUCAUAGAAACUUGUUCCAAUGAUGGGAAUUCAAGAGUGUAAUUCUCCAAACAAAAGCUGGUAAGCCUUGGUAAAUCAUCAAGUUCCAAAAGUUUUAAUUCGUUGAAAGCAAUACGAUUCUCCUUCGCUUCUUCUCCAACAUGUCCUAUGAUUUCUUCUAUUUUUGCACAGUCUGAUACAUCAAGAUUCACUAGACUAUUGGGAAUUCCAACCUGAAAAUAAAGAGUAGCAUUCAACUAGAUUCAAAGUAUGUCAAAAUCAUACAAUUGUUUUAUGAAAAAUAACAAACCAUGAAUGUCUACUAGAUAUUUUUUGUUAAAGAAAAAAAAGAAAAAAUAAAAAUAAAUAAAUAGAAGUCCAGAAAAACAAAGAUAAUGAAAAUGCAUUUACACUAUUUAGUAUUAGGAACGGAGAAAGAAUUUCAGGUAAUUUUUAAAUAUUCUAAAUUCAUUUUUCAUCUCGAUGCUAGUUUUUUAAAAUUUUUAAUUUUCAAACAUGCCUAUUUUUAAAAUAACUAAACUAAAACGCUGUAUUUCCCUUUUUUUUUUUUUCCCGAUAUUCAUGCUUUUAAAAAUGGAAAACAUUUCUGGAAAACACUUCCCAACGCCAUCAACAUGGGACUGUUAUAGAGUGAAUAUUUGAGGAAUUUUUUAAUCAACGGUCGAUUCAAAAUGACCAUCAUGAAUUUGUGCUUAAUCAAUGGCGUAAUCAAUUCAUAACUAAACUAGAGAUAUUAACUACAUUUGAACACUUUUCUUUAUUUUUUUUUAAAUCGAAAUUUGAAGACCCAAGGAAAAGAGAAAUAUAUAUGAAUUUGUGAGCUUAAAAGCUGAGUAACUAAGUAUCUUUUAAUUUCUAAAAAUCUUAUUUAUUAGGAUUUAAGGAAAAAAACAAUUAAAUUGAAUUAUAUUAUGCUGUUAAAUCGUGUUUAAAACAAUUAUAUCGUUGACUUUAAUGCGGGUGAACCUAUAAAUUAGAUUGACAAUGCAGAGUUCAGAAUGGUGAUUUGAAGUACACUACUUUUUUGCCCUCCUGAUGUUUGAAGUAAAAUACUUGCAAUAAAUAAUUUGUGAAUGAAAAUUAUUUGUAAACACAAAAAUGAUUAAAAUAAUUGUUGAAUGUUACUUGAAAUAAAAAUUCAAAAUGAAUAUAGCAAUCUUACCAAUGGAGGAAAAAUAUUCAGUAGAUUAUUACACCCAGAUAUCUUCAAUUUUUUCAAUUUGCUAAAAGACUUCGAAGCAAGCUGGUGGUGCCAUAUUUUUCUCAACUUAUCCGCCUCACUAAUAUGUAAUACCUCCAGACUUGGGAGUCGUACCUGAAGUUAAAAAUUCAAUGCAAUUAGAGAUGUAUAUUAAUUAAAUUUGAAGACUCAACGAAAAGAGAAUUUAAAAAUUCAAUGAAAAAAAACCUUUUCAUCAAAGAGGGAUUGAGGUUGCAUUUCAGUGUGAAUGACGUCUUCUGGUGAGGCAAAGCUACUUAGUUUUGGAAGCCAAUGGAGCGACAGGUAGUGUAGUUUGGGAAAAACCUUAAAUUCAUCUCUUCCUCCUAACGUCGUGGUGUUGACUACCCCUUCAAUUGACCGGCAAUUACGAAUCUCAAGAUGUUGGAGUUGCCCAAGACUAUUAACCAUAGAAUAUGAAAACAAAUACUUCAGACGAUGACAACUCCACACGGUCACUUUUGUUAAAUUUUGACAACAAUAUAUUCCCUGAAAUUGAUCGGACCAUAAUUUUUUUAUAUUUGUUAAACUGACAAGUUCCAGUUCCUCCAAGCGUGGAAAAGUAACCUGCAAAGAAAAACCAUACAUUUUUGUUCCUUCAACUACAACUUCUAAUAUAAUAUUCUUUCGAUGAUUGAAGAUCAAUCGUGAUAAUAUAUUAAUUAAUUAAUUAUUAAACAGAAAAUUAUUACCUGGUGAACAGGAUCAUCCUCUGCAUUGAUUUCUAUGAAUCCCUGAGUUGUUGUUGGUUUCUCCAUGUCGGGCCCUAUAAAUGAACCAAAACAAUAUAUAAUAAACAUCCGUUGUUUUUUUCCCCAAAAAAAGAAAAAGAAAAAAAGAAAGAGUCAAUGUCAAUAAUCCUACCAAUAAUUAAUUUCAACACUUACCAAUAAUCAUUUUCAAAUCAUCGCAGUCUUCCACUUUUACUUUUUGAAGCCGCAAUAGGUUUUUGGCCAUAGAGAAUGAGAAGAGAUACUUCAAUUUUCGACAGGAAUCUACGUUUAUAAUCCUUAAGUUGCUGAAGGAUUGAUCUUCUCUGAGUUGGCUGUAGCAUAUCGUCUCCAAAUUAGUUAAAAACAUAAGAGACAAUGCCUCCAGCAAGGGAAAGACUUCGCAACGAACCCUAACUGAACCGACAAUAUGUAAAAUCUCAGAACAGUCUGUUACGAGAAGACGCUUCAAUCGUGGAAAACCUUCCCCAUCGUCUAAUUCAUGAACAACACUUUGAACACCCUCCAAUGUUUCUAGCCAGAGAUCUUCAGUUCUCUGCAGCAACAUUUUUGUCCCAUCAUUCUCCUGAAGAAUGCUAACUUUUUUUAUCCCCUUGAGCAUCAUCAAUCUUGAUGCUUCAGAUUUGACGAGCAAUGGGUCAAACUCAUCUUCGGGCCCAUCUCCUAUACGUAUCUUAUAUCUUUGCAAUUCCACAGAGACAAAAUCCGGCGGCAGAAUUUCGGCAUCCGGAACUUCUAUCUCCAAAGUAGUUAGCUCUGUCAACCUCUCCAAUUCGACAAGACUGGCAUUACUUCCUCCUUCAACCUUCUCCCACCCUGAAAAACCGUUACCCAUAUACAAUUCUUCUAAUUGAGAAAAAUUUUUGGAUAUGACAUUUCGGUGCUAUUCACCUUCAAGCCCACCAAACAAUUGCUCUCAAAUCUAGGAAAUUGGUAACCGCGGCCAAUNNNNNNNNNNNNNNNNNNNNNNNNNNNNNNNNNNNNNNNNNNNNNNNNNNNNNNNNNNNNNNNNNNNNNNNNNNNNNNNNNNNNNNNNNNNNNNNNNNNNGCGAGGCUGAGAAUCUCUAUUUCUUUAGUGUCCCAAUUGCGCUAUAUCUGCUAGUCGCACCAGUCUAAACACAAUGUUUGAAGGUUAAUGAGGCGACCAAGUGAUGAAGGUAAUGAAGAAGAGCCAAUUCCAGGAAACUGUAAAACUUUGAGUCCUUCCAUCCCUUCAAAAAAGUGGUCUGAAACUUGCAUAGGGCCAUUACCCUCCGUAUACAACAAAAAUAACUGGAGAUUGGGACAUUGCAACCUUUCAGGGAGCUCUUGAAUAUCUCUAUGAGGUAAUGAAAUAGCAAUUGGAUCUUUCUGUAUUGUCUCUUCCAUCUUUUUCUCCAAGUCAGCAACAUUUGGAACAUUAAACAUGCGCUCCUCUCUGGCAAUUGAUACGGCAACAACAUGAAUGACGUCAUGCAUUUUAACUUCAUCUUCAGCAUCACCGUCCAACAAUAAGCAUGAAGAUUUGAGGUUGUCGAUCAACCGAUGCACUCUACUCCUUGCUUCUUCCAAUGUGUAAACAUUUUCAAACAAACCCCAACCCACACCACAUCUCAAUAAGUCAGAAACUUGUAUGACAUUACCUUCACUGUAUAGACUACAAAGACGGAACAGAGAUUUUGCCUCCUCACUUUCCAAGAAGUCAUAACUCAAUUUUAUGGAGGUGUACACAUUUGCUUGCAUGCCAUGAAUUUCUCUAGCAUCCGAUCUUCUUAGCUGAUUCAAUGCAUCUUUCCAAAAGUAACUAUCCUUAGUUUUCAGAGCAUUUGCAACUGUACUCAGUGCAACAGGCAAACCUCCGCAUCUUUCAACGAUCUCAUUUGCUAUACUUUGAAAAGCGGAUAUUUUAGUUGAAUCACCCACUAUCUUUUCAAAUAACUGCAAUGCUUCUUUUGGUGGCAAAGCAUCGAUCGGGAAAUUUUUCUGAGAAUUCAUAUCAAUGCGCAAUAAAUCUCGACUUCUAGACGUCAAUAUUAUUGUGCAUCGUCUCUGAUCAUCCUUUGUAUCUUUCUCAUCAACAUCCCCACAAGGAAUUCCAACUUUUUCGAACUCGAGUUUUUUCCAAAUAUUAUCCAAUAUAACGAGGACCUGCUUCUCGUUCUUCAAUCUUUCACGUAAUCGAUCUGCUCUUUCGAAUUUAUUCUCAUCCGAGCCAAAUUUCAUGCCUAAGUCAAAAGCAAGUUUCUUUUGAAUUUCCUGAUGAUCUGGGGUCUGUGUUACCUCAGCCAUAACGACCUUGUCGAACACCUUAUCUUCCAUAACUUGCCUUGCAACUUGCUUGACUAGCGUGGUUUUACCCACGCCGCCCAUCCCGUAGACCCCAAUUAUCUUGAGCUUAUCAUCCUUCAACGCCUCCACAACAUCUUCAAAUACUUUCAUUCUUGAAUCAAAGGCCUCGAAAUCUUUCACUUGCAUAUGUUCUGCCCGCUUUGGAGCAGGACGGUAGGAAACAUUAGAGAAGUUACAUUUUCCCAUGAGACUAGCAGCAGCUUCUGCGGCCUUUGCUGCUUGUCUACUGAGCUUGUAACGAGAAAUCAAGUUUGGGCACAAUCCUUUGAAACAGAACUUCUUAGCUCUAUCUUCAUCAUCAGUGAUGGAUUUCGCAGCUCCCUGACUGAAUUCCUUGACGCUAUUAAGCCAGUCUGCAACAUCCUUAUAAAUCUCAUCUCCUUGUUGAGUAGCCUGAUGAACGGGUAUUUCCACCCUUUCUCUUUUAUAUCCCAACUGUUUCACUUGAUCUUUUAGGCCAUCUAUGUAGCUCUGGUACUUGAACACAUAAGAGAUCUGCCGUAUAAUCGGUUUGAACAGUGACUUUGCAUCUUCUGAUACGAUGCUGGAAAAAGCAGCCAGACCCACUUCUGCAACCAUUGCCUGUUGCUUAACAAUAUAUGUAUAUAUAUGAAUAAAAUGAAUAAAAAUGUCAAAGAAAGGAAUACAAAUAAAUUAAAAUGAACUAGAGGGAAAGACAGAGAAAGAAAAGACCGCAAACAACAUCGCGAUAUUGAUUUUGAACCAACUGAUACAUAAGUAGAGAAUUUCUUUUUCUAUCUUAAGGAUCAGAGGUUUUGCUAUUAACAGAAAGGUAUCCUUUAAGGAAAGUUGAUGGAAAUUAAGAAAGAAUGGCUAUCAAGAUCAAGUAUUCUGCUACUAAAAAUAAAUGAUAUGACUUAAGAAAAGUAAAUGAUAUGAUUAAGAAAAACCAGAGAAUUUUUUCCUAGGAAAGUUGAUGGAAAUUAAGAAAGAACCGCUAUGAAGAUCAAGUAUCAGAGAUUCUGCUACUAAAAGAAUAUUACAGGUUUUAGAACAAGUGCACCUCUUUACCUGUCUGGGAUCAGAGUCGAUGAGCUGCUGUAUUCACCUUGAAUAUAGAAGAAAUAUUACAGGUUUUGACUAAAGAGGAAUGUGAGGAACGAGUUGAUGAGAGUAAUAACAAUGAAUUUCCAAAAGAAGACGACUUGAGCAUUAAGCAUGCACCCCCUUUAUCAAUCAAAUAUUGGUACGUAUGUACGUAGGGACCAUUAUGCGUAUAUGAAGUCCAUUAGUUGCAAUCAGAAACCCUGGCCCAAUUUAAUUGACACUCGAUUUUUGAUAAGAAGAAGGCAAGGAUAAGGACAAAGUCAAUCAAUCACCAACAGUAAUUACUUCAAUCUUUGUCAAUCUACUUAAAUUGUCGAUCAACAUGAAAAUUGUUUAAAUUGAUAUUUGUAAAUCAAUCAAUUUUCUAGUUACUAUGAUUAUAACGUUUCACCUUUCAUAUUGGAUUUUAUCUUUUCGAAAGUUUUCAAAUAUGAGUGUCAAUAAUUAUUGAGACUCCAAGCCGUGCUCUCAAGAUCGUGCUGACAAAUCACUAUUGACUUUGUUUAUGCAAAAUUCAAAGAAAAAAAGUUAUGGUUUUGUAUUGCCAGCCCUGCUACUUUUUGUUUUUUUCAUUUGUAUUAUUUACGAAUUAUUUUUUAACAGAAACAUGAGAACUCAUCAUCGUAUAAAAUUGCAUGAAAAAAUCUUCAAAUUUAUAAAAGUAAAUUUCAUUGACAGAUUGUGGAUAUGUUAGAAAGAAUAAGGAUAAGAAUGAGUUAAGAAAUAAUAUAUAUAUAUAUAUAUAUAUAUAUAGAUAGAUAGAUAGAGAGAGAGAGAGAGAGAGAGAGAGAGAGAGUGAAAGUAAACAAUGUUUUGGUACAUUUGGUAUUGUUUUCAAAAUAUUUUGAAAAGAAAAAUUUUCAAUUAUCCAUCUAAGAAUUAUCUUAUUAUCCAAAAAGUUAUAAAAAUUUAAAAAUAUUUAAUUUUAUACCCAUUAUUACAAUGUGUAUCAACUGUUUACUAAAAAAAUAAAGUUACUCCUAAAACAUAAUCACCACUACAAUUUUGUGUUCGGUUCUAUUUUGUCACUUUGAACGAAUAACUUUAUAUUUUUAACAGAUGUUUCAUACAAAUUGCAUACAUUGGAUGUAAAAUUAAAUAAAUUUAAAUUUUUAUAAUAAUUUUAAUAAUUGAAUAAACUUUGAGUAAAUGACUGAUAAUUUCUCUUUUAUAAGCUACAAGAAGUUAAAAAGAAAAAAGAAAAAAUAGGAUGAUAAUUUCUCUUUUAUAUGCCUCAGAUGAUUUAUUGUUUCGGGUCUAAGAUUUUAAUUAUUCAACUUAAAAGAUUAAUAUAUUAUAAAUUAAUUAAUUAAAUAAUCAUUAAGCAACUAAAUUGGGUCCCCUGGAUGUCAAUUCCUUUAAUAUUGACGCAACUAUUUUUUUCUGGCAAAUAAUUAUUAAUGCACUGACGGAACUUUUGCAUAUCUACACAGCGAUUUUAAAUAUUACUGGUAACUGCUGAGAAAUGUGCGAGAAAGAAGUUGAUGAGAGUAAUAACAGCGACUUGCAAAAGGAAAAGACAGAAUCAUUCACCCCUUUUUGUAUCACCUAUUUGGUUACUGUUUCCCUGUUGACGCAUGUAUAAAUUUGACUGGUUUUUCUGCACUUUUUUGGCUGUUGCUUAACAAUGUGUGUGUGUAUUUGCUGUUGAAAAAAUUGGAUUCAAAUAAAUUAACUGAAAGAUUAGAGUUUUGACUAUUAACUGAAAGGUUUCAAGGGUAUGAAUGAAAAGCAACAUUCUUUUUUAGAAACUAUUUUAGAGGAGAGAUGCAAAUUAACAAAUGCUAAUAACAAGAACACAGAAGUUAACAAUGAACAGUAACUUAAAUCAAGAAAAUUAAAUGACAAAAUUAAGACAAACAAGAGAUAUUUUUUUCUUGGACAUUAAGAAAUAACUGCGGUCAAGAUCAAGGAGAUUAUGCUAUUAAUAGAAAUUAUCAAAGGAUUUAGAACAAGUUCACCUCUUUAAUUAUCCGGGAUCAGAUAGUUGAUGAGCUUCUCUAUUUAGCCUUGAAUAUUUAAGAAUAAUUUUAAAGAGCAAAAAGAUCACUGGUAACUGCUGAAAAAUAAGUGAGAAAAGAGUUGAUGAGAAUAAUAACAAUGAAUUGAAUAAAAAAAGGACUUAAUCAUGCACCCCCUUUGCAUAUCAUGUAUUUGGUUACUGUUGCCUUGUUGACGCAUGUAUAGAAUAAUUACAUGUAUUAUUAUAAUUUUGGAUUCGAUAUCCUUGUAUUAGUGUCUAAGAUUUUCAUGAAGAAUUAAACUUGGAAUGACCAAAAGAGGAAGCUGCAGUGUAUUGUUGGACCCAAUUAAGUUGAAGAAAGCACUAGUUCACAACCUUACGUUUGGAUAUAUUCUAAAGAAAUAAUUAAACAGCAAAUCAUCACAUGCACUUUAAUGAUUUGAUCUAUUGUUUUCAAAAGAAAUUGCAAUUAACAGUUUUUGUCAAAAGUUCGCACAGCGUGAAACUAGUGUUAGUAUAAUUUAAAAAAUUAAUUUCAGUAUUAUUUUUUAAAAUGUUAAUUAUUAGAUUUAUUUUAAUAAUAUAUUUAUAUUUAUUAUAAAAAAUUUAGUUAAAUAUUUGUGUUAAAUAGAAUUUAUAAUUAAUUUAAUAUAUCUUAGGUAUUAAUAAUAUUAUAAUUAUUCUAUAUGCUAUUGAAAAUAAUUUAAAUUUUUAGACAUUUAUUUUAUAUUAAGUUUCUAUUUAUUACAAAAUUUAGUUUAAUAUAGUAUAAGCUUGUAAAGUAUUAAAAUAUUUUUUUCAUUUUUUUUAAAAUAUUAAAAUUAUUUUAAAAUAUAUAUAUUAACAUUGAAGCUAAUUUUUUGAGUUAAUAGAGCUAGUAGGUGUUAUAGUAAAAAAGAGUAUCUUAGUAUCUCUUAUUGAAAAUAUAUAGAUCUAUAUAAUCAUUUUUUCAAAUAUUGAGAUGUAGAAAAAUAAAUUAAAAAAUUUUAAAUUUUAAUAUGGCCAUCGUAGGGUUAGAAUCCCCGCUCCAACCCGAUUUGGAGAUUUAUGUUUUUAAAAAAAAAAAGAACAAAGAAAAAAUACACACCCGACCAAAUCAAGCACCUCAUCAAAUCAAAAAUAAAAAAGGAAAGAAAUUAAUGGCUUGCAUGCAAUUUUGGAUCUGAAAUUAAAAUUACAUAAAAAUUAAGGCUUACGUACCUUAAUAUUUACAGCUUGUUUGAUGGCCCCAACAAGUUUAAGCAGCAUCAAAAUGUUGUGGCUCCUUAAAUGACAACAUCGACUUGUUUGACAGCUCCAACAAGGCUACGAUGAUCAGAAGAUGAGCCCUCAAUCAACAAGGCUAAGAUUGGCUUCUCUAUCCUCUGCCGACAUGUCCUCUUCUCCCAACAACCAGCGCCUUGCUCUUUGUCAUUUUUCCUCUUGUUAGUUUUCUUCUACAUAUAAUUAUUACACUGGGAAGUAUACACACACUUCUUUUCUUUUUAUAGUACCUUACUAUUAUAUCUUUACAAAACAAUAUCACCCUAAGACAUAUAUGUAUGAAAUAAAUAUAUAAGGAACGGACGAAAUAAAAUUAGAUCUAACACUAGUUUCAUGUGGUGUGUGAACUUUUGACAAUCCUCUCAUACCCCAACAAAAACUUUGUCAUAUUACAAAAGUUAUCACGACCAUAGACUUUUCAAUUGCAUAUUGGAAUUGCAAUGUCAUUUUAUUAUAGUAAUGUCAUUUCCAUUAUUCAUAGUGGCAGACAAUGGACAUCACGGGACACGGCUAGAAGUUAUCACGACCAUAGACUUUUCUAAUUUAUGAAAUAAAUGAAAUUAGAUCUAAUUCUAGUUUCAAGUGGUGUGAACUUUUGACAAUCCUCCCAUAUCCUAACAAAAGCUUUGUCAUAUUGCGAAAAUACCUUUUCAAUGUUUCAAUUGCAAUGUCAUUGCCAUUAUUCAUAGUGGCAGACAAUGGACAUCACGGGACAUGGCUAGAAGUCUAUGUUACGGCUUCUGUAAGUAACAGCAGCCAAUGGGGAACUUCCAUGGGGGCUAUAGGAGAGAGAAAGAGGUCCCAAUACAAGUGUUAGAGUACAAUUUAUACACUAGUUUUGCAUUGUUUACUUCCCUUAAUAUCGAUGUUUUGCAUUUAAUAAUAAUGAUUUACUUGUGUUUUACUUUUGUAAGUGCAAUUCUAUUGAUUUGUGAUAGAAUUGAGGUAUAAGAUGAUGUUUAAAGAUGAUUGUUCUCUUGGAGAAAUUUAGAGCGUCAGAAGAACUUUAUAGAUAAGGCGUGGGCGCGUGCUGUCAACUGCGGACCUGCAGUUUUUAGUUUAAUGUGUUUUGUAUUUUUGGCUAUUUUUGUAAUUACGAAUUUAAUAUUUCAAAUAUUAUUAUUUUAUUUUAAAUAGAACUUUAAAAGAGAAGAGAGAGAGAGUAUUUAAGGGAGGAAUCUAUUGUGAAAAAGGGGGGAUUUUAAUUGGAGAAAAAGAAAGAAACCCUAGAUCUAAUUUUUCUCUUCUCUCUAUGAAAAACUAAACUUAUUUUUUCUAGUUGAAGGUUAAUGAAUUUUUGAUUCAUCACUACUGUGAGAUCUUUCUUAUGCUUUAAUUGUUUUAUUACUUUUUGGGUAUUUGUUUAUUCUCUGAAUUAGUUUCAUGAUUAUGUUUGUUAAUUAGGUAAUUGGCCACUAUUUAAUUAUCAACUUAAUCUAUUGUCAAUUAAAGAAUUCAUCGUAUGACGAGUUUAAUGUUUGUGACAAAUAACAUAGCAGUGAGUUGUGUUAUGGGAAUAAACAAUCUAAUUUAAAUGAAUCAUCAUAUGUGUUGAUUAGGAUUUGGGUCGCUCUGGUUUUUCAGGCUGUCAAUUGAUUAAAUCCUAUGAUCGUAUCUAGGGUUGUCUAUUAAUUAGGGAAAUAUCCAAUGGUCGUACCUUGGUUAUCGACUAGUUAAGGAGAGAUUGGCUAUUAGAGGGUCUCAAUAGCUAUAACCAGUUUAUUCAUAAGUAAUAAUAAUCUAUUUUUGAAUCAAUGAUCAGUAGUCGAAUCAAACUGAGUUAAUUCCUUCAACCAAAGCUUUCUCCAAUUUGAAUUACAACUUUAAUUUGCAUUUUUGUUAUUUUAAUUUGAUUUUUUAUUAUUGUCAACAAUUCUCCCAUUUUACGUUUUACGUUUCAAAAGAAUUUAAAUAAUUACCGAUCUCUGUGGACACAACCCUGCUCAAUCACUAUACACAAUUUAUUUAGAGUAGGAAUUUAUUUUUAUUGGCUUCAACAACCAUCAACAAGGUGAUGGAAAUGGGAAAGUUCGAAGCUGUUACUUUCAGCUUCUGCACCGUAGCCAUGUCCCACGGGACAAGGCUAGAAGUUAUCAUGACCAUAGACUUUUCUAAUUUAUUUUUUCCUUUCAAAAAGGGACAAGGAUAAGUUUGGGAGAAUGAUUAUAUUUUUAAUAAAAGAAUUCUUUUUUAUUAUAAUACUUUUUGUCUUUAUUAAUUUAAAAAUAUUAACUCUUAUAUUUUAAUAAAUAUAAAUAUAAUAUUAUAAUAACAUAUAACAAUAUAUACAAAUAUUUAAAAAAAUUUAAGAUUUUAUUAAAAUAAAUUUUAUAAUAAAUAAAAAUACAUUAUUAAUAUAAUUUUAAUAAUUUGCAUUUUAAAAAGUAAUACUGAUAUUAUUUUUUAAAUAUUAAUUUUUUAAAUUAUAUUACUCUACCAAAAAAAAUUAAACUAUUAAAUUAUAUUGAUAUUUAUUACAAAAUUUGCAAUUAAUUCUUAUUAUAUUUUUAAUUGGAAUUUGUUCCUGUGAUAUAACAACAAUUGCUACAGUUUUUUCCCUAAAUAAAGAUGGAGUUAUAAAUUAUUUGUGUAAGUGUCAUGAAAGUAAUAGUUGAAUAACAAUAAUGGGGCUUUAGGCAAUUUUUUUUAUGAGGUCUUCUUGCAAUUUCAACACUUAAACAGACUUGUCCUUGAUCCCAAUUUAUUUACCCCAUUUGGGCCCACGAUGAGAUAAAUAUAUUCCUGUGAGAUGAAAAACAUCAGGAGAAGAAAAUGUUUUAUUAUAAUAAAAAAACAAGUGGUCCAUAAGUCUAUUUAUUACUUUUUUUAUUCAAUACAAAUGGCCAACUUAAAAAAUGAUAAAAAUCACAUAACGCACAAGCAAAAAUUUAGAUUUACAUUUUUUAGUUCUCUCCGUGUCUCUCUUUCUCUUUUUUAAAAAAAAUAAAUAAAUGUCAGUGUAAAAUUAGAAAAAUUUUAGAUAUAAACUUUGGCGAUGACCAAACAAAAAUUGCAAGGGAAAGAAAAUAGAGGACCCUUGAUAUCAUUAAAAUACUGAUCAUAGACACUACAAUAUAAAUAACUUGUUGUGAUCCACUCAACUUGUAACACUUUAAUCCAUAUUCUAAAAUUUGUAUGUUUGUUAGGAAUUUUAUUAUUGACAUUACUGUACCAAUAAAAUUCUAAUUUAUUCAUAUGGAAAGAAAACAUCAAGAAAGGACCUCUGAUUUUUAUUAUAACAGAAAAAAGUGGUCCAUAAGUCUAUUUAUUAUUUUAUUUAUUCAAUACAAAUUGCCAACUUAAAAAAUGGUAAAAAUCACAAAAUGCACAAGUAAAAUUUUAGAAUUACAUUUUUUUUAAUUCUCUUUGAGUCUCUCUCUCUCUCUCUUUAAAAAAUAAACCUCACUGUAAAAUUAGAAAAAAUUUAGACAUAAAAUUUGACAAUCACCAAACAGAAAAUGUAGGGAAAUGAAAAUGGAGGAGCCCUAUUAUCAUUAGAAUAUUGAUCAUAGAUACUAUAAUGUAAAUGAUUUGUUGUGGUUCAUUCAACCUGUCACACUCUAAGCCAUUUUCUAAAAUUUGUAAGGUUUAUAGGAUUUUUAUUAUUGGCAUCAUUGUAUCAAUAAUAUUAUAAAUUAUAUAUUCUAUUGUAAUGAAAAUUUGUGUAAUCUUAGGUAUUUAUUGUAUUAAAUUGUGUGGAUUAAUUAAGAAUAUUUUUGGAGACAAAAGAGGUGUGUGUACGUAGGAUUAAUAAUAAAAAAUUUCUAAAUAAAGGUGAUUGCUUCAUUGACAAGUACAUAUUUAUAUUCUCUAUUAGUAUUUGGGUUGUAAACUUUGUUUAUAAAGUGAAUAUAUUGUGGUAAGCGAUGUGGGCAAUAUCGGAUGCAAAAUAUUGAGAGAUCAUUAACGCAUAUAUUUAUUGCAUAUAGAGGAAAGAGUGUAGAUCCGGCCGUAACAAUUAUGAAGCUUUCCCCAAGUAUUCUCACGCUUCCUUAACUGUUCCAAAGUAUUUUUCAUAGUGUGCAGAUUUACUUUAUGGUGUCUUAAUUCGUCUAAAAUGAUUACUUUAGUUCUUUUGGGAUGAAAGGUCAUUUAUUGUGUUAGGAUUAAACAAUAGAAAAAAUAAGUAAUGGUAACGAAAGACUAAUUUGUGAUAUUGAAGCAUACAUGCUUAACUCAAUCCAAAACUUAGUAAGUUAGCUCAAGAGUUAAGAGUUGUCCAAAUCUUAUAUGCUGAACCCAAGUUCAAUACUCAAUUGAUGCAGGAUGUUAUUCCUAACACCGCCCGUCAUGCGUAGGAUUGGCAAAAAAACUCGAGUCAAUCCCGCCUAGACCUGCAAGCUUUAUUUAUGGCCAGCAUGAUGAAGUUACAGAUAUUAACCUAAAAAUUUGAAACUUACUAUGAAUGGCCUUGGUUAAAGACUUUUGUAACUUUAAUUUAUAACAAAUAUGUAUACACACACACACAUGUUUAGAUUGCAUUUGGGUGACUUUUUUUAUCAAUGCAAACAAUAUCAAAUUUAUCGGAUUAAUUUGAAUCUGAUCUAUAUCCGAUUUUGCCCGCCAUAAGCCCAAGUGACUCUCUUUUACUAAUUAAUAAGGGAAUUUUUUGACCUCAUGUCCUUGCUGUGGCAUUAGACUGUUGGUCAUUUUGAUUGUUUCCUACCUUCCAUUUACGCCAGCUGUAACAUUGUAUUAUUCACCAUUUUAGCCAUUUAAAUGAAAUUUUAUUUUUGUCAAAAAUAAAAUGACACCCUUAAAAUAAAAAAAAAUAGUUAUGUAGACCUCAAAUUUUUAAUAAAGAAUGUCAAUACCUCUUUUAACUACAAGAUUCGUAGUAGAUGAUAAAAAGAAAAUUAACUUCAAAUUUUUUCAUUAAAUGUAAAUCUGAUUGAAGUAGUUUAAAUUUUUCUAGUAGACUAAUAUAUAUAACUUAAAUAAUUAAUUUCAUUAUUAAUUGUUAAAAUGUUAACCAAUAUAUUUUUAAUUUAUUAUAAAAAUUUUAAAUAAAUCCUUGGAUUAAAUAGAUUUUACAAUUAAUGUAAUACUUCUGAUUUAUUAAUAAUAUUAAAAUUAUUUUAUAUGAUAUUCAAAAUAAUUUAAACUUAUAUAUAUAUUAAUAUUAUGUCUAUUUAUUAUAAUAUGGUUUAAUAUUAUACGGGAUUGUAAAAUAUUAAAAUAUUUUUCAAUAUCCAAUUAUUUUAAUAUGUAUAUAUCAUUACAUUUAUUUUAGUAUCAUAUUUAUAUUUAUUAUAAAAUAUAAAAUUAAUAAAAUUAAAGAGUAUUGCAGUAAAGUAAAAAAGAAAAGUCUUAUUAUCUCUUAUUCACGAUAUGAGAUUCUACAAAAUUAUUUCCCGAAACGGGUGUCCUUUUCUCAUUUUCAAAAGAAAAAAUAAAGUAAGAAUAAGUCCAUGGGUUUCAAAAACUUCUAGUCUUAUCCCGGGACUACAUUGUCUGCCACUAUAACUAAUGGAAAUGACAAUACAAUUGACAUUGCCUUUCGCAACAUGACAAAUUUUUGGUGGGAUAUGGAAGAAUUGUCAAAAGUUCACGCCAUGUGAGAGUUUUUGGUGGGAUGUGGGAGGAUUGUCAAAAGAUCACACCACAUGAUAUAACCACAAUUGCUAUGGUUUUUAUUUUUUAAAUAAUGAUGGGAGUUAUAAAUUAUUUAUAUAAAUUUGCGUAGAAACUAAUGUAACAUAAAAGAAGUAGCUGAAUAACAAUAUUUGGUGCUUUAGGUAAUUUUUAUAUGAGCCUUUCUUUUAUUUAGCGGCUCUAGUGCUUAAACAAACUUGUUCUCGAUCUUAUAACAGAAAAGGCAUCCCAUUUAAGCCUAUGAUGACAUAAUUAAACAUAUUCUUUUGUGACGAAAACAUCAAGAGAAGACAUCUCAUGUUUUAUUAUAACAGAAAAGAAGUGGUCCAAACGUCUAUUCGUUAUUUUAUUUAUUCAAUAUAAAUGGCCAACUUUAAAAAAAUGAUCAAAAUCACACAACACUCAAGUAAAAAUUUAGAAUUACAUUUUUUAAUACUCUCUAAGUCUCUCUCUCCUGCCCCCCCCCCCCCCACCCCGUCCCCUUUUUUGAAAAAAUAAACCUUAGUGUAAAAUUAGAAGAAUUUUAGAUAUAAAAUUAGAAGAAUUUUAGAUAUAAAAUUUGGCAAUCGCUAAACAGAAAAGCAGCGGAUUGAAAAUAAAAAAACUCUAUUACCAUUGGAAUAUUGAUUAUAGACAAUAUAAUAACUUGUUGUGGUUCAUUGUAGCACUCUGAGCCAUAUUCUAAAAUUUAUAGGUUUGUUAAGGCAUUUAUUAUUGACAUUAUUGUGUCAAUACUAUUAUAAUGAUAAUUUGUCUAGUCUUAGGUACUUAUUAUAUUAAAUUAUGUAAAUUAAUUGAGGAUACUUUUAGAGACAAAAGAAACACGUGUAUGUAGGAUUAAUAAUCGAAGAAUUGUAAAUGAAGGUGAUUGCUUCAUUGAGAGGCAUAUUAAAUAAUUAUGGAGAGUUGCACUAUUUCGGAAGCACAUAAUUAUACUUCCCUAUCAGGAUUUGGGGUAAACGAAGUGCUUUAUCUAUUGCAGUAAGCAAUGUGGACAAUAUCAGAGGCGAAAUAUUAAAAGAUCAUAACGCAUAUAUUGGAGCCAUUUAUCUUCCGCAACUGUUCUGAACUAUUCUUCAUUGUGGGCAGAUUUACUUAAAUACCUGCACAAUGAUUCAAUACUUCAAAGGUCAAGGAAAUGUCAAAAUAUGAAAUGAAAAUACUUAAAUACCCUUCUACCUAACAAAACUCGCAGAGAAUCUAUAAAAUUAAAAAAAAAAUAUUCAUCCAUGAAAAGCUUCGUAACAGAAAAACCGUCUUUCAAAAAAUAAAAACAGAAAAACUGACUCAUUUAUCUGCAAAUGAACCAAUCGGGACUCAUUUAAAAAAGAAUACAAAGCAAAAGUAAAUGACACAAAUUGCAUAGAUAUCUAGGAGCCGCAUCAAAAGACAAAGGUGUUAAUUUGUCCAAGAAUAAAUUCUCCUAGGUCAAAAGCAAUUAACGAUGAAAACUUUCUUCAUUAAGGUUCUGGCCUACGUAAAAAAACAGAAAAAAACCACCCCAAGGUCAAAGCACAACGAUAAAUUUAGAAAUGAAGUUUUUAAUUUUUUUUUAAUAAAUCAACGUGUAUCAAAAAUAGAUAAUAAUUUUGGAUAACUUUUUUUGAUAAAUAUAGACAUAAAAUUUUAAAAUCACCAAACAGAAAAACAGGAGAAUUAAAACAAAGUCCCUGUUUAUCCUCUAUUUUGCUUGUUAUUAAAAAGGGAAAUGAAAAGAUUGCAAGCGGAAAUUUUGUUUCUGCGUUGUCUCUUCUCAAUGCUGCAUGCAUUCAAAUUAAACCUUACAUAUGCUAGCAAACUAGCUACGCUGCAUGUAAGUUCUCGAUAAGUCCAAAUAAUAGAAUAAUUGUAAAAUGUUCAAAUUCAGUAAUUAAUUUUAUUUAUUUAUUUAUUCAAAAAUUAUUAUUAUUAUUAAUUAUUGUCAAUAAUAUAUUAAUAUACUAAUUAAUUGUAAAAAAAUUUAUCAUUCAUAACAAUAAUAAUGAUGAUGAUGACGAUAAUAAUAAAAAUUCAAAAUAUAUUAAUUAAUUAUAAUAAUAUAUUAAUUAUUUAAUAAUAAUAUAUUUAAAAUAUAUAUAAAUUGAUUAGAAUAGUUAUAUUAAUAAAUUAUAAACAUAUAUUAAUUAAUCAUAAUAAUUUUUUAAUUGAGGACAAAAUAGAUAUUUUAUAGUUUGUGAGAGGGGGCAAAAUGAUCAAUCUUGGGAAUGGGGGAUUGAUUCCCACCACCUUCCUUAGGAAUCAAUCUUCCAUUCCUCACUCCUAAUUUGGGUGGUCCCCAUAGUUCUGAUUCGGAUCCCAGCCUCCAUUUUAUGAAGUAAACAUCAUUAAUGAUUUCGAUUUCGGAUUUCGAUUCUCCAGUCCAAGAAGUAAAGGCACCAUUAUUGUUAAUUGGUUCAAACACACAAAGAGAAUGUACCAUGUAGCUAGGCGUCAAGGUUGUGUGGCACAAGUAACCUUUUUCUUUUCUUUUUAUUUUUCUUGUUUUCCUUAACGGAUCAGAAGAAAUCGGUGCCUUUGAGAUACUACAAUGUAAAUAAGUAUUUGUGGUUCAUUGAAUCUGUAACACUCGGUACCCUAAGGUUGCUUUUGAAAAAGGGCUUUUCUCACUGAUCACCAAUAUCCAAGUAAGUUUGUUUCAUUUCAGAAGGUGCAAAGUUUCAAACUUUUUGUAUUGGGAUGUAACAAACUUUGGCCUUAUAUGCUUGCUGUGACGUUAGACUGUUCAUUUUGAUUGUUUCCUACCUUCCACUUGCGCCACUGUAGCACUGUAUUAUUCAUCAUUUUAGUUGUUUAAAUGAAAUUUUAUUUUUGUCAAAAAUAAAAUGACACCAUUAAAAUUUAGAAAAAUAAUCAUGUAGAUCCCAAAUUUUUAAUAAAGAAUACCAAUAUUCCCCUUGACUACAAUACCCUUAGCAGGUGGUAAUCAAACAAAUUGACUUAAAAUUUUUUACGAAAUGUAAAUAUGAUUUAAAUAAUUUAAAUUUUCCAGAAGACUAAUAUAUAUAAUUUAAAUAAUUAAUUUCAAUAUUAAUUUUUAAAAUGUAAAUUAAUUUAUUUGUACUUAUAAAAUAUUUGUAAUUAUUUUAAAAUUUUAACUAAAUCCUUAGGUUAAAUAGAUUUUACAAUUAAUAUAAUAUUUCUCAGGUAUUAAUAAUAUUAAAACUAUUUUAUAUGACAUUGAAAAUAACCUAAAUUUUUUAUAUAUUUAUUUGAAUAUUAUGUCUCUAUUUAUUAUAAUUUGGUUUAAUAGAAUACGAGAUUGUAAAAUAUUAAUAUUUUAGAUAUUGAAAUUAUUUUAAUAUCUAUAUAUUAUUAUAUUUAUUUUAAUAUCCUAUUUAUAUUUAUCAUAAAUUAUUAGAGUUAAUUUUUUUAGUUAAUAAAUUUAAAAAUAUUAUAAUUUAAAAAAAGUCUUAUUGGCCGUUAUUCACGAUAUAAGGUUCUAAUAAAUUAUUUCUCUAGACAGGUGCCAUUUUCUUAUUUUCAAAAGGAAAAACAAGUUCAGGGCCUCGGGGGUUUCAAAAAAUUCUGGUCCUAUCUAUCACUAUGACUAAUGGGAAACGGCAUUGCAAUUGACAUUGCUUUUCGCAAUAUGACAUAUUAUGGAGGGAUAUGGGAGAAUUGUCAAACAUUCACACCACGCGAGAGCUUUAGGUGGGAUAGGGGAGGAUUGUCAAGAGUUCACACCACAAGAAACUAAUGAUAGGUCUAAUUUCGUUGUCAGUUCUUUAUUUAUUUAUUUUUUUUAUUUCAUACAUUAUUGUUCUUGUAAAGGUAUAAAAGUAAAGUAAAAUACUAGGGGUGCUGUUAAGUUACAACUGAUGUAACUUGUAAUUUUUUCAAAAAUAAUGUAAAAAAUUUAAUAGGUGGUGGGACUCACAUAUUUUUUAAGAGACUUAAGUUAUAGUAGUUGUAACUUAACAAAAUCUAAAUAUUAUACAAUAAUGCAUAUUAAUAAUGCAUAUAAUUUGGGUUUGAUUUUUAAAAGAUUAUUUGAGUACCACCUAUCCUUAUGAUAUUAAUGUGAUUAUAUCUUAAUAUUAAAUAAUCAAAAUUUGUUUAAUUAUUAUUUGUAUUUCAUACAUUACAUAUUAGAUUUGUUUGAAUUUUAAGUUGUUGCUAAUAAAUAUUUAUGUUGUCAAAGUCAAAUUCAAUAGCUACAAAAGCAGAGAUAAUGGUAUUGUAUAUAGUUUUUAAGAAUGCAAGGAUAAGCUGGAUAAUUGACAUAAAUUCUAAUGAUUAAAAGAGCAACUAUCCCUUAAAUUAUAAUGUUAAUUUCUUUAAUUAGAUUUUUUUUUUCAUGUGAUAUAACCACAAUUGCUACAAUUUUUUUUUAUAAUAAUAAUGGGAGUUAUAAAUUAUUUAUAUAAAAUUUGGGUUGAAACUAAUGUACCAUAAAAGUGGUUGCUGAAUAACAAUAUUUGAAACUUUAGGUAAUUUUCAUGAGUCCUUUUUAUAUUCAGCAACCUGAAUUGGGGAAAAUCCGACUUGAAUUGGCGGUUGAUUUUGGUGAUGUGGCUUUUGGUUUAUGGCGGCUUUACUGUGGCGGAAGACUGGAUUUACGGUUGCCGACUGCUAGGGAUUAUGGUGGUGGUGUAAAUUGACGGAAAAAGAAGGUGUUUUGGUGGCGGCGCGUGUAGGAAGCACUCGUGGGUUGUCGUUUCGUGUGGUGACAGAGGGCGGCGAUCAAGGGCCGAAGUCGGUCAGUUUUUGGUCAACGAAGGCCGGCGAGUUUGUUGGUGGAGGUGGCUGGUGGAGAAAGUGGCUGAAUGGUGGUGGGUUGCUUGGUGGAGCCGCAGGUUUGGGUUGGUGAUUUGCGGCUGUUCAAGCGGCGGUUGAGGCAGCGAUGACUGAGGCUUGGUCGACGGUGGCUAGUGAGGUUUGUGGUGGUGUUGGCUGGCUGAUUGGCGGUGGUGGGCGGCGGUGGGGGUUGGUCUGACGGGUAGGGUUUUCAAAUUUGUAAUUUUUUUUUUUGAUGGAUUUGGUUUGGAUGGGUAUGGUGUAUCUAGGAAAGAUGUGUGAUUCGCACAGAAUUGCUUUGAUACCAAUUGAUGGAGCGAGCGUAGCGGAAGUGGAAUUGAUAAGGUAAGAAAUACUAAAUAUCAUUCUAGUACUGGAUCAAGCCAACACAAUUAACUUACGCUUUAAUCAAAGCGUGAUUAGAUAUUGUUUUAAUCUAAAUGAUUCAAUGAGAUUUUUAAUAACGCGUAAUACGAGAUUAGAUGACACUCUAAUUUAAAUAACUCUAUAAGAGAGAUUUUGAUAAAUAAUACUAGAGGAAAUUAUAAAAAAAAGAGUUUUAUUUAAUAAUUGAAUUUGAAGUCCUGAAAACAAUGACAAGACAUCUUUAUUUUUUUUAUUACAGACAUCUUUAUUUAUAAUAAAAGAAAUCCACUUUCCUAAGUUAACCUAAAAAGAAAAUUUAAAUUAUAAUUAUAAUGGAAAUAAAAGAUUAAGAUACAUACCAUAAUUGACUCAAACAAAAAUAGAAAACCAUAAAAUAAUAAAUAUUUUAGAAUUAUAAAUUAUCUAAAAUAACGUUAAUUAACUUCCUAAAUCACGUCUUUGGUGUAAACCAUUUUGCAUCCAACCUUGCUUUAAAGGUUUGAACCAACGUUACGAACAACAAUGUAUCAAAUUCCAAUCUAACUUAAGAUCCUGAUACAUCUACCGAUGUCCUUGUUUGAUUAGACAAUAAUGAGUCUAUCUCAUCACUUGUUACCUCUUUUUUGAAGCUGCAUCUGUUGAAGUGAUAGCCUCGCUUAGAGUUUAAAGAUCUUCUUCCAUGUUAAAUAAAGUGGGCAUUUGAUUAAAAAACUUUAUCUCUAUCUCCUUCUAUCAAAUAACGAAAACUAUCCAAAGGAAAAAAAAAAAAUUAGAAAAGUCCAUGGGUUGCAAUAAUUUAUGGUCUGUCCUCGGACCCCAUUAUCUGCCAAUAUCAAUGAUGAAAAUGAAAAUAAAUGGCAUCUUCCCAAAAUGGCGAAAGAUUUUUAGGAGAUAUGGGGAAUUGUCAAAAGUUCCCACAACGCGAAAUAAGUGUUACAUCCAAUUUUAUUUCAUCAUAUAAUGAUAAUAUCAAGUAAUGACAGCCAUCUAAAAGUAUAAUGGGUCUUCCAAAAUUUUGAAAAUGUCGUCAACAUUUAAUCUUCAAUGCUAAAGAAGAUGAAAUGCCCAAAAAUGACAUGCAGGACCCACUCACAGACUAAACGGCCCUGACCACAUGCAACAAACUUUGACUUUAUGUCCCUGCUGAGGCGUUAGACUGUUGGUCAUUUUGAUUGCUUUUUACAUUCCAUUUACGCCAUUGUAGCAUUGUACUAUUUACCAUUUUAGCUGUUUAAAUGAAUUUUUUUUUCCAAAAAUAAAAUGACACCCUUAAAAUUUUAGAAAAUAAUCAUGUAGACCCCAAAAUUUUAAUAAAGAACACCAAUACCCUUUUUGACUAUAGUACUCUUAUGGUAGCCACAAAAAAAAAAUGACUUCAAAAUUUUUUACUAAAUGUAUAUAUGAUUUAAAUAGUUUAAAUUUUCUAGUAGACUAGUAUGUAUAAUUUAAAUAAUUAAUUUUUAAAAUGUAAUUUAAUAUAUUUAUUUUAAUAAUAUAUUUAUUAUAAAAAUUUUAAACAAAUCCUUGGGUUAAAUGGAUUUUAUAAUUAAUAUAAUAUUUCUCAUGUUUUAAUAAUAUUAAAAUUAUUUUAUAUGAUAUUGAAAAUAAUUAAAAAUUUUAUAUAUUUAUUUGAAUAUUAUGUCUCUAUUUAUUAUAAUUUGGUUUAAUAGAAUACGAGAUUGUAAAAUAUUAAAAUAUUUUUAGGUAUUGAAAUUAUUUUAAUAUGUACAUAUUAUUAUAUUUAUUUUAAUAUCCUACUUAUAUUUAUUAUAAAAUAUUAAAAUUAAUUUUUUUAGUUAAUAAAUUUAAAAAAUAUUAUAAUUAAAAAAAAGAGUCUUAUUGUCUGUUAUUCACGAUAUAAGGUUCUACAAAAUUAUUUUCAAAAGGAAAAAUAAGUCUAGGGGUUUCAAUAAAUUCUAGUCCUAUUUGCCACUAUGACUAAUGAAAACGACAUUGCAAUUGACAUUACUUUUCGCAAUAUGACAAAUUUUUGGAGGGAUAUGGGAGAAUCGUCAAAUGUUCACACUACGCGGGAGUUUUGGAUGGGAUUGGGGAGGAUUGUCAAGAGUUCACACCACAAGAAACCAAUGAUAGCCAUAAUUUUGCUAUCAGAUCUUUGUUUAUUUAUUUUAUUUAUUUCAUACAUUGUUGUCUUGUUGGCAUUGUUUUGCAAAGAUAUAAAAGUAAAAUAAACUAUUAGGGUGCUGCUAAGUUAAGCUGUUGUAACUUACAAUCCCUUAAAAAAUAAUGUAAAAAAUUUAACACGUGGUGGGAUCGACAUAUGUUUGAAGAGGCUUUAAGUUACAGUAGUUGUGACAUAGCAAAAUCCAAUUAUUAGACAAUAACGCACAUUAACAAUGCAUAUAAUUUGGGUUUGAUUUUUUGAAAAAUUAUUUGAGUAUUAACUAUCCUUAAGAUAUUAAUGUGAAUAUAAUUUAAUAUUAAAUAAUCAAAAUCUGUAUAAUUAUAAUAUAUAGUUCAUACAUUGCAUGUUUAAUCAAAAUCUGAUUGCUUUUUACCUUCCAUUUACGCCCACUGUAGCAUUGUACUAUUCACCAUUUUAGCUGUUUAAAUGAAAUUUUUUUUUUUUCAAAAAUAAAAUGACACCCUUAAAAUUUUAGAAAAUAGUCAUGUAGACCCCAAAAUUUUAAUAAAGAACACCAAUACCCUUUUUGACUAUAGUACUCUUAUGGUAUUCACAAAAAAAAAAAAUGACUUCAAAAUUUUUUACUAAAUGUAAAUAUGAUUUAAAUAGUUUAAAUUUUCUAGUAGACUAGUAUGUAUAAUUUAAAUACUUAAUUUUUAAAAUGUAAUUUAAUAUAUUUAUUUUAAUAAUAUAUUUAUUAUAAAAAUUUUAAACAAAUCCUUGGGUUAAAUAGUUUUUAUAAUUAAUAUAAUAUUUCUCAUGUUUUAAUAAUAUUAAAGUUAUUUUAUAUGAUAUUGAAAAUAAUUUAAAAUUUUAUAUAUUUAUUUUAAUAUUAUGUCUCUAUUUAUUAUAAUUUGGUUUAAUAGAAUACGAGAUUGUAAACUAUUAAAUAUUUUUUGGUAUUGAAAUUAUUUUAAUAUGUAUAUAUUAUUAUAUUUAUUUUAAUAUCCUACUUAUAUUUAUUAUAAAAUAUUAAAAUUAAUUUUUUUAGUUAAUAAUUUUAAAAAAAUAUUAUAGUUAAAAAAAAGAGUCUCAUUGUCCGUUAUUCACGAUAUGAGAUUCUACAAAAUUAUUUUCAAAAGGAAAAAUAAGUCCAAGGGUUUCAACAAAUUCUAGUCCUAUCUGCCACUAUGACUAAUGGAGACGAUAUUGAAUUGACAUUGUUUUUCGCAAUAUGACAAAUUUUUGGAGGGAUAUGGGAGAAUCGUCAAGCGUUCACACCAUGCGAGAGCUUUAGGUGGGAUAUGGGAGAAUUGUCAAGAGUUCACACCAAGAGAAAUUAAUGAUAGGCCUAAUUUCGUUGUCAGUUCUUUAUUUAUUUAUUUUAUUUAUUUCAUACAUUAUUGUCUUGUUGGUAUUGUUUUGUAAAGAUAUAAAAGUACAAGUAAAAUAUUAGGGGAAGUAAAGUAAAAUAUUGGAGGUGCUGCUAAUUUACAGCUGCUGUAACUUACAGUUCCUUCAAAAAUAAUGUAAAAAAUUUAACACGUGGUGGGACCCACAUUAUGUUUGAAGAGGCCGUACAUUAUAGCAGUUGUAAAUUAGUAAAAUCCAAAUAUUAGACAAUAAUACACAUUAACAAUGCAUAUAAUUUGGGUUUGAUUUUUUAAAAAAUUAUGUGAGUAUUACCUAUCCUUAAGAUAUUAAUGAGAAUAUAUUUUAAUAAUAAAUAAUCAAAAUCUGUUUAAUCAUAAUAUGUAAUUGAUACAUUGCAUGUUAGAUUUGUUUGGAUUUUAAGUUGUUGCUAAUAAAUAUUUAUGUUGUGAAAGUCGAAUUCAAUAGCUACAAAAGCAGAGAUAACGGUAUUUUAUGUAGUUUUUAAGAAUACAAGGAUAAGACCAUAACGCAUGAGAUAAUGGUAUUUUAUAUAUAUUAAAAGACCAUAACACAUGUAUUUGAGCCAUUGAUAUUGAAGACACAUAUAGAGGAAAGAGUGCAGAUCCGGCCCUCAGUAUUGUGAAGCUUUCCUCAAGUAUUCUCAUGCACACAGACCUUAUCUGGUCAAGUUUUCUGAUUCAAUAUAAUCAAUUUCCGCGCAGUACUGACGACAGCUUCUCUGUAAAGCUCUUCAACCACAAGCAUUUCUACAAGGCAAAAGACUAGGACGUGUCAGAAUGAAUAUCAAUAAGGGAAUGUCUUAUGAAUUUAGUUUAUAUCCUAAUAUAAGACAAUCAGUAAAUAUUGGACUCAUUAGUUGCCCUUGCCUCAGACGUUUGGAUGCUAAGGGGAAAAAGGAAGUUUGAAUUAGUCAAUCUCAUUUCUAAUGGCAUUCACAGAGAACUUAUAAAACAAAAAAAUUAUAAAAAAAAAUUCAUCCAUAAAAAGCUUAGUAACGGAAAAACCGACUCUUUUAUCUGCCACUGACGAAAAAAAAACUGAAGUAUCAAAUAGAUAAAGAUUUUAAUUUUUUUCUUGGAAAAACUAAUAAUAAAUUAACAAUUGGAUAAUACUAUUAAUUAGAGAUCUUUAAUAUUAAGGUUAUCAAAGAUAGAAUGUGUAUAAAAAUUCUUAAUUAUAAGAUAAUUACUAACUAAAAAGAGGCCUAAAAAAGAAGAUUUGCUAUUAUAAGUAAUACCAAAAAUAAAAAAGGGAGACUUCCUAAUUGUUUAAUUGUUAAAAAAGAGGAUUUGCUAUUAUAGGCCUAAUUUGCCUAUAAGUAAUACCAAAAAUAAAACCGUUCCUGGAUGUAAAAAAUAAAAAUUAUUGUUAAAUUCCUGACUAAUAAGGUCAUUGAAAGUAUUCAAAGGACCUGAACUUAUAGGAAAGCCAGCCAUGAUGAACUAUACCACGUUGCAAGUGAGCUCGUAUCUUCAUCCCUUGAUCUGCCAUCGGCAUUUCUGUUCCACUCACUAUACCAUCCUUUUCAAUCGAUUUUUAUUGAUCAUAAGAGGCCAUGUGGCCCACCUUAUUUUUAUUUUGGAUCCAUAACCCAAAGCUGGCCCAAGUUCUGAUUCCAGAAUCAUUUGUCUACAAAGUGACCUCAUUCCGGCAAUUGGUUUAUGCUAAUAGCACGUGCAAUUUUCAUUUUCUUCUUUUUAUUAAUUAAUUUCAUCAUUAUUAUUUGCUUAUUAUUUUAAAUUAAUUAAUUAAAUUGUAUUAUUGAAAUUAGUCUUUCUUUUUUCUUUUCUCUUUCAAUGCACAAAGCCAAACAACCAUUCUUGCUUCAAAUACCGAAGAGCUCCUGACUACGGCUGUCAAUGCUUCUAUAUUUACGUGCUGUGCUGCAUCACUCUUAGCGAAAGCUUGAAUGAAUGAUUAAAGACAAAAGCUUAUAUAAAAGCAGAUGCCGGAGGCACUCAAAAAGCAUUUGAGAGAGAAGCUACACAGCAAAUCAUCAAACGUACUUCAAUGACUUUGAUUUUGAUUCUUUUUUUUUUCAAAAGAAGUAGAAAAGUCCAUGGAUCACGAUAACUGCUUGUCCUAUGCCGUGACCUCAUUGUCCGCUGCUAGUGUCAAAUAGAUUAAUCUUUCUAGUAGAUUAAUAUAAUUUAUAAUUUUAAUUUCAGUAUUAAUUUUUAAAAUGUUAGUUGUUAUAUUUAUUUUAAUAAUAUAUCUAUUUUUAGUAUAAAACUUUAAAUAUAUAUUUAGAUUAAAUAGAUUUAUAAUUAAUAUAAUAUAUCUCAUGUAUUAAUGAUAUUUAAAUUAUUUUAAAUAAUAUUAAGCCUAACUUAAAAUUUUAUAUAUUUAUUUUAAUAUUAUGUUUCUAUUUAUUAUAAAAUUUAGUUUAAUAUAAUAUAAGAUUGUAAAGUAUUCAAAUAUUUUUUAAAUAUUGAAAUUAUUAUAAAAUGUAUAUAUUGUUACAUUUUUAAUAUUGAAGUCAAUCUUUUUUAAGUUAAUAGAGUGAAAAGAUAUUAUAAUAAAAGGCUACGUAAUCUUUCACUUGCACAUAUUCUGUACUCUCUGGAGCAGGACGGUAGGAAAUAUGAUUACAAAUGUUAAAUUCGCCUUUCUUCACAAGUUUAUCAGCUUCGUUUGCGGCCUCUGCUGCUUGUUUACCAAGCUUGUAACAAGAAAUCAAAUUUGGGCACAACCUUUUGAAGCAGAACAUCUUAGCUCUAUCUUUAUCAUCAAUGAUUGAUUUUGCAACCCCUUCACUGAAUUCAGCAACUCUAUUUAGCCAGUCUCUGACACCCUUAUAAAUCUCAUCUCCUUGUAGAGUAGCCUCUCUAACCAGCAUUUGCACCCUUUCUCUUAUAUAUUCCAGCUCCUUCACUCAAUCUUUUAGCCCAUCUAUGUAGCUCUGGUACUCGGAACACAUAAGAUAUGUGCCACAUAAUCGGUUUGAAUAAUGCUUUUGAACCUUGUGAUACAAUGCUAGAAAAAGUAGGGAGACACCCUUCUGCAGCCAUUGCCUGUUGCUUAACAAUCUAUAUAAAUAAAUACAAGUGUCAAAGAAAGGAAUACAGAUAAAUUAAAAUGAACUAGUGGGAAAGACAGAGAAUGAAAAGACUGCAAACAAUAUUGCGAUAUUGAUCUUGAACUAACUAAUAAUUAAAUAGAGAAUUUCUUUUUCUUUCUUGAGGAUCAGAGAUUUUGCUAUUAACAAAAAGGUACUUCGAGGGUCUGAAUAAAAAACCAACCAUAAAUUAUCAAAAGCUAGUAAAAACACAGACGUAAAUAAUGAACAAUUACUUAAGCAAAACAGACCAUGAUACAAAGCAAAUCUAAUAAAAUGACAAAAAAAGAAAGAAAGAAAGAAAGAAAGAAAAUACAACAAAUAAUAUUGAAGUGUUGAUUAUGAGCCAACUGAUAUUUAAACAGAUUUUUUUAAAAUUUUUAGUCUUUUGCUAAAGGAUUAGAGUUUUUGUUAUUAAUAGAAAGGUUUUAAAGACCUGACAUUACUAGAAAAAUACUAAAUAAUGACAGAAAUUUUAUAACAUAUAUCGUUAUGUCACGAAUGUGUCAUGAAAAUAUGAUAGAUUCGUGAUAUAUAUUCAUGUCCAGAGUAUAUGACAUAUUCAUGACUUAUAACUUAACCAUCGUAAAUAAAUGAUACAUAUAAGUCAUGCUUAAGUUUUGUGAACUUAUAAGAUUGUAAAACAAUGCCGUUUAAAUUAACGACACCGUUUUGUAUAACUUAAAACCCAUUAACACUCGCAGCCAAAUUUUGGCUAAGCGUUGAAUUAAUCCCUCUCUCCACUGUAGAGAUGGCAGAAAAGCCCGCUCAGACCGGAUCCGGACUGGACCCGGUGCAUACGGUCCGGGUAAAACCCGGAUCGGAUGCAUGGAAAAAGCGGAUCCGGGCACGGGUCCGGUCACAGCACCAAGAAUCUGGAACCCGGACCCGUGCCCACUUUUUUAUUAAGUAAAAAAAAAAUAUAUAUAUAUAUAUAUAUAUAGUAGUUUUCCAAUCAGGGAUUAGUUAAAAGACAAAAUAAACACAUACUCCAAUGCAUUGUAUUUUAUCAUGUAGUGUAGUAAAAUUUAAAUUUUUUUGUCUUUUAGCUAAUCCAACUACUAUAUAUAUAUAUAUAACAACAAAAAUGCAUUUUGCUUUACCCAAUUUCCCCCAAACCCAACCGGCCAACCCUAAAUCGCAACAAGUCUCAGAAUCGCCACCUCCCUCCGUUUCUCCACCAACAACCACCACCCAUCUUCACCGAUGCAGUGUUGACGGCGCGGCCUCUUCCCCACUUACAGAAAAAUGCGCAUGCUUUUACCGAGAAAAGAAAGCUUUUAUUUUUUGUAUGACAUCUGGUCCUCCCAUCAAGCUUACCUGAGGCAGCGAGGCUGAAAGUCUCUGUUAUCAACCAUCAGGACACCAGAAAGAGUAAUUGCUCACAUCGUAAGCGCCAUGAACUAAUUUUUCCGAAAAGGAGGAAAUGAAGGUCACAAUGGAGCUCAUUUCCCGCGAUUCGAGAGCCCUACAGAGAGGUAGGACCCCUAACUCACUCCGUUUUAGUCACCUUUCAAUGGCUCCCUUAAUUUCCUAAAUCAAUAAGUGUUCUAAAAGGGCUUGAAAAAUCAAAAUGAUGCCCAACAUUAGUGCCAGGAUUAAGGAACUUUUCACUGCAAAGAAGUGAAUAGCUACGUGGAUGAAGUUAUGGGCCAUGCAGAAAUUCACACUUCACUCUCUCUUGAUUUGUACUCAAAAGUCGCCACCAACCUUCAAUUAUAUGGACUCAUGGAUUCAAUAUUUAGGCUUACAAUUGGACCUUCACAAAGCAAUUGGAGCACUCCAAGCUGCAAAAAAUGUCUCUUCUCUGUGACAUCUGCAGGUGGGCUAGAAGAAGGUUAUGCAUAGAUGGUCUAUGUGCGUGUGCUUACUAAAUGCAUACAAAAUGUAUAAGAACUGAGAUUCCUAUGUUUUUUCCUUUUUAAUUUUAAUAAUUAUGUUAGAUGUUUGCUUGGUAGUUAAGAUGUUUUGGUUUUGGACUGUUACGCUUUGUUAGAACUUAAAAGUAAACAAUUGUUUAGGCUGUAUUUUUUUUUACAGUGUUUUCACCUUUGAAAAUCCGGGUAGAGAAAACCCGGAAAAACCCGUGCCCGGAUAGUGCCGGGCAUGUACCCGGCCUGUAUAAAAAAAAUUCCGGACACGGUGCGGGUUCGGGUAGUUACGUGUGACAUCCGGGUCGGUCCCGGGCAGCCUCAAACCCAGACCCGACCCGGACUUUUGCCAUCUCUACUCCACUGGCCACUGCAACCUAAAAUAGUUUUUCACUUUAAUAACCCAAAAGCUUUCCUCUGUUUCAACUAAGCGAAAAUUUACAUAUUAAAGCCUGGCUCAAAUUCCUUUUUUCAAUCGAAAUUAAACGUAGCCACAAAACCCUAAUUCACCACACCAAUUUAUCUCUGCCCGGUAUUCAUUUAAACCCUACCUCGCGGUUCAAUGUCAUUCAAUACGAUUGCAGAUGCUGUUUCAACUUGUCAUUUAGUUAGCGCCAUCCAGUUCUCUAUGGUAAGCCUUAACCCUAACAACUAAUCGACUGCGGUAGCACGUUGCUUGUUAGGAGUGGGGAUACAUUAUUUGAAUAUAUGAAUUGGGUGAUGUUAGUGAUUCAUUCCCCUAUUUGUCGUGAAUUGAGAUUUGUGCAUAAUGCUAGUAAGAUUGCUAAAAAUUUCAUAUUUUGUAUUGUUCCAGUUGAAUUUCUUGCUUGUGGAAGAUAAAACAAAAGUUCAAUUUCAUGUUGAUUUAAUUCUUCUUUUCCUUCUUUUUAUUUUUCUUCUUUAUAGUCACGCUCUGGCUUUGGUGCUAUGCUUAGUGCAGUUUAUGGUUUCAAGAUUAAGUCAUGUUUAUUUGAUGGCAUCGAUUCCAUCGUUGAGGAUUGGAUUGUUGAUCAAAUGCACAUAGUAAGCUCUUCUUAUUUUAUCUCAAUUUUAAUUUUCUUUUAUUAUCUGCCUCUACCUGAAAAUGGACGUGUUUUACUAGUAAGCAUAGACCUUGUUUAUUUAAUUGAUAUUUUAAUUUUAUGUAUAAGAAUGGAGGUUUAUUUUGGAAAAAAAAAGAAAUAAAAAAAAUACUCUGUUGAAGCUAAUUAGUACUGAAUUUUUUUUGGUGGUGCGACCAGAGGUGGAAACAGGGUAUGAAAAUGUGUUACUGGUGAGGCUGCUGCUUAAGAUGAGAAUGCAUUCUUUUCAAAAAUCCUUGGAAGGUGUGAUCUAAUUAUAUUUGAUGGAAUAUUAAAUGGCUAAAAAUCUGUCAUACGUUCAAACUUUGUUUGUGUUUAGAAGAAUGGUGUUGACUGUAUAUUCGUUUGGAAGAAUGGUGUUGAUUGUAUAUUCAUUUGCUUAGCCUUUUGACAGAUGGAUUUGGAACUGACGAUAAAUGUGAUUCAAUUUACAAGGUUUUCGAGGGGCUCACAGUGGAAGGGAUAUUGAAGAACUGGUCGAAGUUAAAGCCUAUGAUUGUGAAAGAUUGGAGUGAGAAUAUAGAUGCUCAUUUAAAUCUUUUUGGCAAGGUCAGAGAUGAAUGGAUAGAUAAGGAUUUAUUUGACAACUUGGACUGGUGCUAAUAGGUAUUUUAAGCAAGCUUUUUGAGAUAACACUGAGCAAGUUAUACUACUAUUUUGCACAUGAUGAUCAAAACUCUCGAAAAGUAAAUAAAAUAAAGUAUUAACUUUUACUUUCAUCUUUUGCAUAGCAAUCAAUGUGGUGCUUGUUCUGUGACAACUUUGAUAAUCUACUUAAUUACUGGUUAGCAUUUGGACCAAAAAAGUUCUUAUGAUUUACAUGUUUUGUAGAAAUGCAUGAACCUUAAAUGUGCUGAUCAGGGAGUUUAAUUAUUGCACCUUGAAAUUCAUUUACUGUUAACUAAUUGGCUUUCCUUUGCAUAAAGCCGCUUAUAAGGCUUGAGUGGACGUCUUUAUGGGCAUAUUUUUUGUAUUUCUCGAUGCAUGCCUUUAUCAUUUAAUGUGGUGCUCGUAUUUCUUUAUGCAUGCCUUUAUCAUUUAAUGGCCAGCUCCCUUUCCUCUUUUGUAAUUUGAAUAGUAGUAUGGGCCUCCAUUUUACAAAUCUUUAACAUUUUUUGCUGUAAAUUAAUUUUUCUUUCAAAUAUUUUGGAGGUCAUUGGAAUUCCUGUAGGUCUAUUUACCAGAUUUUAGUAUGUUUAAGGUUAUAAUUUUGCUUAGACUUUAAUUUUUCUGAAAGAUUGUAGUAUUGAUCCUUAAAGUAAGAUCAUGCUACUUCAAAUUAUUUUGAAGUGUUGCUAGUUAUAGCCUUACAUAUCAAAUUCCAGUUGUCUGGAAAUUUAUUGAUAGCUGUUACAGCAGCAUAUUUUAUGACUCUACUUCUUAGUUAUGUAAGUUCAUUAUGUUUAGGUCAGAGGCAGUCAGCUGUGGGGAAUCGAUUUAUACACAGAUGACUUUGAUCUUGUUGCUGGUAUGUGGUUCUAUGAAUAAUUGUUCACAAUAAUUGUGUUUGCCUCACUGUUUUUGUUUUAUGAGAUCUAUAAUUGAUCUUGGGAUAUUACUUUUUAGUUCUCAUGCAGGCAAGUUACUACCUUCCCACUGCAUCUCCUCCUUUAUCUGCUACUCAAGAGUUGCGUGCCAUAAUCUGGUAUUACCUCUGCAAGAUUGUGAAUGAAUAUGAUGCCUCUAAAUUUAUUUUAUACAUAAUGCUAAUGCUGAAUAAUAUAUUGUAGCUCCUGUCAUAUUCUACUUUGACUUUUUAUAUUCCGUUUCAAAUAAAAAUCUUAUUCAACUUUAGUUGUUCAUGAGCAAAUGUCACAUGUAUAAGCCCAAAUGAUGUUUAAAGGUAGCGCCGCUACCUUCAGUUUGAGCUUACAAUGGGUGAAAAAGAAAUUGAAACUGAUAUUUUGCGGUUUUUCUUAUUUUUCAAAGUAUUUUAGAUCAUGACUUUUGUUUGGACUUGAUGGUUAUAGAUUGUGUCUAGAUUUGUUAAGUCGUUUCCAACACCUCGUGCCAAAUCAAAGCACAAUCUUUCUGAUUCAGAUGUUUUGUUAAUUGUGCUUCAUUUUUUCGUUAAAGGUUGGAUGGUUGAAUGGAUUGAUGGAGUUGGAGUUCAACCAAUAAUUCUAAUUUUUUGGACUUAAAAUGCCUUUUUCUUCUGUAUAAAAGCUUUAGUAAGUGCUAUUGAGUUGACAGAAGUUGAAUACUUACAGGUUGUUUCACACUUUUUAAUAGUUUUACAUAUAUGAAUUUCUGUUUUUUGAAUUGCAGAAAGGAGGUGGAACUAUUGAUUUGGAGCCUUAUCUUACUCACUCAUCAACAACGGAGCCUACCCUCGCUCCUAUGGCAGUGGAACGGACAAUGACUACUAGGGCUGCAACAUCAGUUGGUUCGGGUCUGUUUUGAUAGCGAAUUUUGAUAUGUCAAUAUAAUGUGUAAUUGUUUUGGGUUGAGCUGGUAAUUAUGCUGGAUUAGAUUGGUUUGGUUUUGGUGCUUCGCUGAUGGAACACUGGUUUUUUAGAAAAUUUGAAUGUAAUAUGAGACUACAUUUAGUUUAAUUGAACACUGCAUCUAGUCUAAUUACUAGAAGUGUGGCAUUUGGUUUGGUUUAUCCGAUAUUCUCCAGAAUUUCACUUGCAUCUGGUUUUGUUGCAUAUGUUUGCUUGCAUUUGAUGGCAGUAGCAGACUGUUUGGUUUUGUGGCAUUUGAUGGCAGUUUGGUCUGUUCUUGGUGCUGAUUUACGAUUGUUCCUGAUGUGUUGAUGUUAAUUGCAGGUGCUUGAAUCAGCUAGGGUUGCUGGUUUUUUCAGAUGGUUGACUCAGGCGUUGUUACUGGUUGAUUCAGGUGGCUGGCUCAAGUUGUUCAUUUAAUGUUAGGAAGCAAAUUAAGAAUUAAUGAAGUAUUCAUUUAACUAUAAUUAUUGUAGUUAUUUUAUUUCAUAACUGAAUUAUAAUCUAUGAUACUUGUGAACAAAUUAGAGAAUUUUUAUAUAUAAAUUAUAUAUAUGUGUGUGUAUGUACAUUUUGCUUUUUAUAUAAUAAUUUAAAGAAUAUAUUUCAAUUCCCACAAAAAAAUGGCCCCAAUUUCAAUAAUUCCUGCCAAAUAAUUAAUUUUUUUUAAUUUACCGCCAAAAUAUAUCUUAAAGAAAUGUUAGUUAUUCUUGCUAGAUUUAACAAAAAUAAUUUAUAGGAUUAACAUUUAAUUAAAAUAAUUAAAUAAUUUUACUAUUUCAAUUAAAUGUCAUGUUUAUAUCACAGACAAUAGUCAUGAAUGGGAAGUAUUAGUUACAUAUUUUUCCUUGUAGUUAUUUUAUUUCAUAACUGAAUUAUAAUCUAUGAUACUUGUGAACAAAUUAGAGAAUUUUUAUAUAUAAAUUAUAUAUAUGUGUGUGUAUGUACAUUUUGCUUUUUAUAUAAUAAUUUAAAGAAUAUAUUUCAAUUCCCACAAAAAAAUGGCCCCAAUUUCAAUAAUUCCCGCCAAAUAAUUAAUUUUUUUUAAUUUACCACCAAAAUAUAUCUUAAAGAAAUGUUAGUUAUUCUUGCUAGAUUUAACAAAAAUAAUUUAUAGGAUUAACAUUUAAUUAAAAUAAUUAAAUAAUUUUUCUAUUUCAAUUAAAUGUCAUGUUUAUAUGACAGACAAUAGUCAUGAAUGGGAAGUAUUAGUUCCAUAUUUUUCCUUGGGAUUUCAGGCAAAUGAAAAAAAGAUUGAGAAUGAUUUCAAGAGGACAGGUGGAUGAUAAGUAUUCAUUUUUGUAUAUUUGGCUAAUGUCCUCAUUAGUGGAUUUUUAUGGUAUUGAUUUUUUUUUUUUUGGUUUAUAAUUUUCAAUUAGUUGUUACCCUAGAGGAAGAGCAGGCUGAUCAAAUUGAUUUGUCUUAUUUUUCCGGCAAUCUGCGACACGAUGACUGUGAUAAUGCUCGUGACUGCUGGAAACUUUCUGGUGGAAAUAACUUUAGAGUUCGUAGCAAGCAUUUUUGUUAUGACAAAACAAAGGUUCCCCCAUAUUUUGGUUGUUUGUUAUGGUAUUUAUAUAUCCUGCAUAUGCUAGGUCGACAGGUUAUGAUGUAGUUUGGUUGGCUCUUGUGCUUUGUGCAAUUUGUAACUGCAGAUACCUGCGGGAAAACAUUUAAUGGAUCUUGUUGCUGUUGAUUGGUUCAAAGACACAAAGAGAAUGGACCAUGUAGCUCGGCGUCAAGGCUGUACUGCACAAGUAACUGAAGAAAAAUGUGAAUUGGUUCCUCUUUUUCUUACUUUCCAGAACAGUAUGUACAGGGAAUAUAUACAGCAAAAUAGGAGAGAAAAUAGGAGACUACAUCUAUCCUUUCCUAAAUAAUAGGAAACAAAAUCUGGAAAGAAUCCUAAUGAAUCUUCCCAUUAUAAUUUAACUUAUUCCUAAAAUAGCCUAGAUUACAAAUAAAUCAUAACUUUGAAUCUUUAUUUUCAACACUCCCCCUCAAGCUAGUGUGUGUAUAUCAUACAAACCCAGCUUGUUACUUAAGUCUUCAAAGUUAGGUCUUGGCAGUGCUUUAGUAAGGAUGUCUGCAAUUUGUUGUCUAGUUGGAAUGUACUUUAGUUCCACACUUCCACUAGUGACCUUCUUUGAGAUGAAGUGCCUAUCAAUCUCGACAUGUUUGGUUCGAUCAUGAUGCACUGGAUUUUUUGCGAUGCUGAUUGCUGCUUGAUUGUCACACCUCAUUAGAAUGGAUGAAGGGUUGCACACACCGAGUUCUUUGAGUACACGCUUUAUCCAAAUUCCUUCACAGAUUCCAUUUGCCAAAGCUCUGAACUCUGCUUCUGCACUACUCCUAGCUACAACUGAUUGUUUCUUACUCCUCCAGGUUACUAGAUUUCCCCAGACAUAGGAACAGUAAGCAGAUGUUGAUAUUCUAUUUGUGAUGUCUCCAGCCCAGUCUGCAUCAGAGUAGAUCUCAAUAUUCCUAUAUUCUGAUUUCUUGAAAAACAAUCCUUUUCCAGGUGUCAUCUUUAGAUACUUCAAAAUUCUAAAGACUGCAUCCAUGUGUUCCUCUGUAGGAUUGUGCAUGAAUUGGCUCACAGCACUAACAACAAAGCCUAUGUCCGGACGGGUAUGUGAGAGAUAAAUUAAACGACCAACCAGUCUUUGAUAUCUCUCUCUAUUGACUGGAACACUAUUCUCAACUGAGCCUAGUUUCUUGUAGGGAUCCAUAGGAGUAUCUACUGGUUUGCACCCAAUCAUACCAGUCUCCUUUAGUAAGUCCAGGGUGUAUUUCCUUUGGGAGACAACAAUUCCCUUCCUAGAUCUUGCCACCUCCAUCCCAAGAAAAUAUUUCAGAUUCCCUAGAUCUUUAACUUCGAAUUCCUGAGCUAGCUGUUUCUUCAACUUCUGCAGUUCUUCCUCAUCAUUUCCUGAGAGAAUGAUGUCAUCAACAUAUACGAUUAGGAGAGAGAUCUUCUUUGCUUGUGAUGUUCGGAGGAAUAGAGUGUGAUCUGCCUGACACUGAGUGUAACCAAGUCUCACAACUGCCUUCGCAAAUCUAUCAAACCAUGCUCGAGGGGAUUGUUUAAGCCCAUACAAAGAUUUCUUGAGCUUGCACACUUUAUUUCUAGUAAGAUUCAGAUCAAGACCCUGGGGAACUUCCAUAAACACUUCUUCUUCAAGAUCGCCAUUGAGAAAUGCAUUUUUUAUAUCUAGUUGGUAUAAGUACCAAUCUAGAUUUACUGCUAAGGAGAGCAAGAUUCUAAUGGUGUUGAGCUUCGCAACCGGAGCAAAGGUUUCAAGAUAAUCAAUCCCAUAUGACUGUGUGAACCCUUUAGCUACAAGACGAGCUUUGAGCCUCUCAACACUUCCAUCUGCCUUGUAUUUAACAGUAAAAAUCCACUUACAUCCAACUGGUCGUUUCCCUGCAGGAAGAUUUGUUAUAACCCAUGUAUCAUUUUUCUCAAGAGCAUUUAUUUCUUCAUGAACAGCUCUCUUCCACUCAGGAUGACCGAGAGCCUCUUGUAUAUUGUUGGGAACAUGUAGAUUAUCUAAAGAAGAAACAAAGGCUCGGUAUGAUGGGGACAAACCAUCAUAUGAGACAUAUUUGGCAAUUGGAUGAGUGGUGCAACUUCGAACCCCCUUUCUUUCUGCAAUUGAUUUAUUAGAAUCAUCCACACUUGGAACCAUGAACUCAACCGAGGCAAGACUAUCCAUACCUGUGUUGUCUUCAUAAGAGCUUGGAUUUGGUUCAGUUUCUUGGACAUGUGGCUGAGUUCUGUGCUCUAUCUGCUCUCCAGUUCUUCUCCUCCUAUAAACAUUAAGAUUAUCAACAGCAAGCUGUGGAAGAGGUGAGAUUAGAGGUUGUAGUUGAUGAGCUGAUGGAUGACGGGGUGACUCGGCUGGUUGUGGUUGGGAGGACUCAGAUGACUCAAAAGGUUGUGAAGAUGUUGGGAGGAUUGCUGAUUGUGGCUGUUGGAUAGAUUGAUCAUGUGUGGUGGUUGAGUUAUGAGGGUUUUCAUGAGGGGUUUCCAGCCAAGAUUGCCAAGAAGAUUCCCAAGGCUGAUGUUCGCUCAUACUCUCUCCCUGAACAACAGUUUUGGAAUAGAAAGGCAGGUUUUCAACAAAUGUUACAUCUCUGGAAAUGUAUAUUUUUCUGGUAUGAGGAGAAUAGCAUUUGUAUCCUUUUUUAUGUGGAGAAUAGCCUAAAAAUAUACACUUGAGAGAUCGGGGAUCAAGUUUAGUCCUGUGUUGAGAGUGAACAUGGACAUAUGCUGUGCAACCGAAUAUUUUUUGUGGUAAAUCUGCUGAAACAAUCCUAGUGUGUGGAAAGAAAUUGAGAAGAACUUUUCUUGGGCAAUGAAACCCCAAGACUCUAGAAGGCAUUCGGUUGAUUAAGUAGGCUGUAGUGAGAACAGCUUCACCCCAGAAAAAAUUAGGAACAUGAGAUGAGAACAAAAGACAGCGAGCCACUUCAAGAAGGUGUCUGUUUUUGCGUUCAGCGACCCCAUUUUGUUGUGGGGUGUCAACACAAGAACUGAUGUGAAGAAUGCCUUGAUGGAGAAGAUAUGAGCUGAGGGAGUCUUUGAAAUAUUCCUUGGCAUUGUCGGUUUUAAGGACUUGGAUUUUGGUAUUGAAUUGGGUUUGAAUCAUGGCGUUAAAGUUUUGGAAGAUUUGACUAACUUCGGAUUUGUUUUUCAUGAGAAACACCCAAGUGAGACGAGUAUGAUCAUCCACAAAUGACAAAAACCAGCGAGCCCCAGAAACAUUUUUAAUUCUUGAGGGACCCCACACAUCAUUGUGAAUUAAAGCAAAUGGACGAGAAGGCUUAUACUUAACGCUUGAAUAAACAUUUCGAGUAUGUUUUGCAAAUUGACAAAUUUCACAAUGAAAUGAUAAAGGGUUUUUAUUGAUGAAUAGAUUGGGAAAAAUUUUUGCGAGAUACAUGAAACUAGGAUGACCUAAUCGAUAGUGUAACAGAACAAUUUCACUAUCGUUAUUGACAUUUGGACUAACAAUAGAAUGAGGAUAACUAGUUGACAGACUAUUGGACUUGGCACAGUUUGCUCUCGAAUCUUGUAUGAAGGAGGAUUGAUCGCUUUUGAGUAGAUAGAGUCCAGAACAUAGCUCAGCACUGCCAAUCGUCUUCGCGAAUCCAAGUCCUGAAAAACACACAUAUUUGGAUAGAAUUUAGUUACACAAUUCUGAUCACGAGUGAAUUUACUGAUUGAAAGUAAAUUGCAAGCCAAAUUAGGCACAUAAAGUACAGAAUUAAGGUGUAACUCCUUAGUGAGUCUGAUGGAACCUGUCCCUGCUAUAUUGUGUGAGAGCCAUCUGCGAUCCGGACUGAAGUGCUGUUGAUGCUAGCUUUAUAAUCCUGCAACAUUGAGGCAUCUCCAGUCAUGUGAUCAGAAGCACCAGUGUCAAUUAUCCAGGGUUUGCUUGCUCCAUUAGUGGCUGCAAAUGCUGAAUGAGUCUCUUUCUAAGCCACUAGACUUGUCCCUGCAUUGGAGUUCAAAGUGGCUUGAUCGAAAAGCUUUUGAAGAAUCUCCAUUUGCUCCUUGCUGAAUGGAUUUGGCUCGGGUAGGGCCUGAUUGUCCGUGGUGGAUGCUGCAUGAGCACGAGAUUCACGGUCACCUUUGGAACGAGGUUUCCAAUCAGCAGGUUUGCCAUAAAUUUUCCAGCAACUCUCCUUAUAGUGGCCUGCCUUACGACAGUGAUCGCACCAUGGUCUUUCUUUCUUUGUACGAUUUUCACUAACCCCUACAGAGUUGGAUGCACGGGCAACAAGUGCAGAGGCGCCCAGUGUUGGUUCUGAUGACCCCAUCAUCACCUUUUUCCUACUUUCUUCAUGCCUAACUUCAGAAAAGGCUUCACGAGGGCGCGGUAGAGGCUUUGUCCCGAGUACACGGCUCCUAACCUGAUCAAGAUCUUUAUUGAGUCCGAGGAGAAAUUUAAACGUUCUCUUCUGUUCCACAAUCUUCUUGUACAAGGUUGUAUCGUCGGUGCACUUCCAAGGGUAUGUUUCAAAUAGAUCAAGGUGUUGCCAAUGCCUAGUCAGAGUAUUAAAGUAUUGAGUGACAGAUUGUUCUCCUUGGCGGAAGUCAUGGAGGAUGGUUUCAAUCUGGAAUAACUCUGAUGUGUUCUCAGAGCUAGAAUAGGUUUCCUUUGCAGCAUCCCAUAUGUCAUUUGCAGUCCCAAACAGAAGAAAAUUCUCACCAAUAUCAUUGUUCAUGGAAUUGAUAAGCCAUGACAUGAUCAUGUUGUUCUCUGACUNNNNNNNNNNNNNNNNNNNNNNNNNNNNNNNNNNNNNNNNNNNNNNNNNNNNNNNNNNNNNNNNNNNNNNNNNNNNNNNNNNNNNNNNNNNNNNNNNNNNNNNNNNNNNNNNNNNNNNNNNNNNNNNNNNNNNNNNNNNNNNNNNNNNNNNNNNNNNNNNNNNNNNNNNNNNNNNNNNNNNNNNNNNNNNNNNNNNNNNNNNCACGUAACAGAGGUUGAUGAGGAAGCCAUCCCGUAUUUUGCCACAGAGAAUACAACUGAUGGGAGAGGAAGGAAGGUAGAUUGUUCAAUUUAUGAGAGAAGAAGGAAAUGGCGGCUGAUAGGAGAACUAGGGUUUAGAGCCAGGCUCUGAUACCAUGAAGAAAAAUGUGAAUUGGUUCCUCUUUUUCUUACUUUCCAGAACAGUAUGUACAGGGAAUAUAUACAGCAAAAUAGGAGAGAAAAUAGGAGACUACAUCUAUCCUUUCCUAAAUAAUAGGAAACAAAAUCUGGAAAGAAUCCUAAUGAAUCUUCCUAUUAUAAUUUAACUUAUUCCGAAAAUAGCCUAGAUUACAAAUAAAUCAUAACUUUGAAUCUUUAUUUUCAACAGUAACUAUUCUUUUCUUUUUAUUUUUCCUUUUCUGAAAGAAACUUAGUUUUGUAUUGUUUGGCAAGCUAGAAAAUGAAAGAAAAUAAAAGAAAGCGCUGUAAAGAAGUUUGUAGAACCUUUAUUACUCUAGCAUUACAACUGAAUGAAUACAGACUGAUAUUUCUAUUAAGCUACAAUUUUCUCAACACACACACAAGUUUGUUACAUCACAUAACCAUUUGCUGCAUAACUAAUUUGACACAUCAGCUCAACCAGCUAACUAACUUUGCCAGGUCAAGCCUAGUGAGUUGAUCUGCUAAAGUCAGCUACACAGCAACAUCAUGCUCUGCUCCAACUUCAUUCAAUUCACUAACAUCCCCCCUCAAGCUGAAAUGUUUAGGAUGAACAUUCAGCUUGCUUCUUAAGUAACUAAACUGUUUGAGAGUAAGCCUUAGUCAACACAUCUGCUGUUUGAUCUUGACUGGGCACAAAACAUACUUCAAUCUCUUUUGCAGUAACUUUAUCUCGAAUAAAAUGUAUAUCCAAUUCGACAUGCUUAGUUUUAGCAUGAUAGACUGGAUUGUAAGCUAAAGCAAUUGCUUCUUGAUUAUCACACCACAUCAUAGGAGUAGAGCUCAAUUUGAUGUUAAGUUCACCAAGUAAAGAUUGUAUCCAGGGAACCUCUGAAGCAGCAUGAGCAAGAGAUCUAUACUCAGCCUCUGUGCUGGACCUGGAAACAACAACUUGUUUCUUUGAUGACCAUGAGACUAGAUUAGGGCCUAGGUAAACAGCAAAGCCAGCCACUGACUUCUUAUCAUCACGAUCACAAGCCCAAUCAGAAUUUGAAAAACAAUGUAGUUGCAAAGUUCCUUUGUUAUUAAAUUGCAGCCCAAGAUGUAUAGUGCCUUUUAAGUACCUCAAUAACCUUUUGCAUGUUUCCCAAUGUUGUGUUCUAGGACUUGAAAUGAAUUGACUUAGGUUGUUUACAGAGAGAGCAAUGUCAGGUCUGGUAAGAGUAACAUAUUGAAGAGCUCCUAUAACACUCCUAUAUUGAGAAACAUUAUCAAUUAGCUCUCCUGAUUCUUUUGUGAGAUAAUAACCAGUAGACAUUGGAGUAGGCACAGGACUGCAAUCUGUCAUGCCAUGUUUAUCCAGAAUGUCAGUAAUAUACUUUGCUUGUGUCAAGGAAACCCCUUGUGAAGACUUGCUGACUUCAAUCCCCAGAAAAUAGCUAAGUUCCCCCAUGUCUUUUAAAGCAAAGGCUUGAUUCAUAAUCUUAAUAACUUGCUGAAUUAGUGUUGGACUGGAACUAGUGAUGAUAAUAUCAUCAACAUAGACCGAAACAAGAGUUAGAUGACCACUGUUCCAGGCAUGAAACAGAGAGUUAUCAGACCUUGAAUGCUAGAAAUGCCGUUUAGAGAUCAUUGCAUCCUUGAAUCUAUCAAACCAGGCUCUAGGUGCCUGUUUUAAGCCAUACAAAGCUUUAUUCAGCUUGCAGAUAUGAUUAGGUUUAGUUGAGUCAACAAAACCUUCAGGUUGAGCCAUGUACACCUCUUCAAUUAAAAUGCCAUUUAGAAAGGCAUUAUUAACAUCUACUUGCCUAAUCACCCAUUGAUUCAAUACUGCUAAGCUAAGAAUAACUCUAACAGUUGAAGCUUUAACUACUGGACUAAAAGUUUCUGUAUGGUCAAUCCCAUGUGUCUGAUGAAACCCCUUUGCAACAAGCCUGACUUUAUAUCUUGAAACUGAACCAUCUGAGUUAUACUUUAUUCGAAACACCCAUUUGCUGCCAACUAUCUUCACUGGAGUAGCAUGUAAAACUAAAUCCCAGGUGUGAUUAGUUUUAAGUGCUAGAUACUUUUCUUGCAUAGCCUUAUACCACAUAGGAUCAGAAAGUGCUUGGGAAACAGAAGUUGGUUCUGAUUUCUGGGCUAAUAAAGCUGACAAAUAAAUUUUUGGCUUGAAAAUACCUGCUUUUGACCUGGUUAUCAUUGGAUGACCAGUUGAUGCAGGUUGUGGCAAUGUAUGUGGAGGUGAAUUAUGUGGUAGUGAAGAAGAAGAAGCUGAGUUGGAAUUAUCAGAAAAAUAAAGUGGAGUAGAAUUUGGUGAGGGAGUAGGAGCAUCUGAAUGAUGAACAUUUUGAUGGUGUUCUGAUGAUGCUGCUAAAGGUGCUUGUAACUGAGUAAUAGAAGGAACAGAGGAAUUGAAAGAAGACUUAUAAUUUUUUGUUGACUAACAACUUGAAGAGAGUGAAGAAAAAUCUGCUCCAGACUCAUAAGGAAAAGAAUUUUCAUCAAAGGUGACAUGAUUUGAAAUGUAAACCCUCUUAGAAGAGUGAAGACACUGAUAUCCCUUGUGUUGUGAAUUGUAGCCAAUGAAUAUACAUCUGGCAGUUCUGAAAUCAAACUUAUGUCUAUUGUAUGGUCUGAGUGUUGGAUAACAAGCACAACCGAAGGUUUUAAGUGUUGAAUAAUCUGGUUGAUGAUGAAAUAACUUUUGGAAAGGAGAAAUGUUGUUUAGAAUUGGAGUUGGAAGUCUGUUUAUCAAAUAGACAGCUGUGUGGAAUGCAUUCCACCAAAAUUUGAGUGGUAAAUGUGCUUGAGCUAAUAAGGUCAGACCUACAUCAACUAUGUGUCUAUGUUUCCUCUCAAUUCUUCCAUUUUGAUGAUGAAUAUGUGGGCAAGGGUGUCUAAAAUGGAUACCAGAAGCAGUGAGUAAUGAGGAAAAUGUUCUGAACUCUUCUCCCCAAUCAGUUUGGACAGUUUUGAUUUGAAGUUGAAGAUGCUUUUCAAUAAAAAUUUUGAAAUUGGUAAACACUUCAAGAGCAUCAGAUUUGGCUGACAAUGGAAAUAUCCAGGUAAAUCUACUAUAAUCAUCUAAGAUUGAUAAGUAGUAAUUAUAUCCUUGGGUAGAACAGACAUGAGAAGGACCCUGAUGGCUGUCGAAGCCAACAAAAAUAAAUUCCUACUCUAAAUAAAUUGUGUAUAGUGAUUGAGCAGGGUCGUGUCCACAGAGAUCGAUAAUUAUUUAAAUCCUUUUGAAACGUAAAACGUAAAAUGGGGGAAUUGUUGACAAUAAUAAAAAUCAAAUUAAAAAUAACAAGAAUGCAAAUUAAAGUUGUAAUUUAAAUUGGAGAAAGCUCUGGUUGAAGGAAUUAACUCAGCUUGAUUCGACUACUGAUCAUUGAUUCAAAUAUAGAUUAUUAUUACUCAUGAAUAGACCGGUUAUAGCUACUGAGACCCUCUAAUAGCCAAUCUCUCCUUAACUAGUCGAUAACCAAGGUACGACCGUUGGUUAUUUCCCUAAUCAAUAGACAACCCUAGAUACGAUCAUAGAAUUUAAUCAAUUGACAGCCUGAAAAACCAGAGAGACCCAAAUCCUAAUCAACACAUAUGAUGAUUCAUUUAAAUUAGAUUGUUUAUUCUCACAACACAACUCUCUGCUAUGUUAUUAGUCACAAGCAUUAAAUUCUUCAUACGAUGAAUCCUUUAAUUGACAAUAGAUUAAGUUGAUAAUUAAAUAGUGGCCAAUUACCUAAUUAACAAACAUAAUCAUGAAAAUAAUUCAGAGAAUAAACAAAUACCCAAAAAGUAAUAAAACAAUUAAAGCACAAGAAAGAUCUCACAGUAGUGAUGAAUCAAAGCUUCAUUAACCUUCAACCAGAAAAAUGGGUUUAGUUUCUCAUAGAGAGAAGAGAAAAAUUAGAUCUAGGGUUUCUUUUUCUCCAAUCCAAAAUUCCCCCCUUUCACAAUAGAUUCCUCCCUUAAAUACUCUCUCUCUCUUCUCCUCUAGAAUUCUAUUUAAAAUAAAAUACUAAUAUCUGAAAUAUUAAAUUCGUAAUUACAAAAAUAACCAAAAAUACAAAACACGUUAAACUAAAAACUGCAGGUCCGCAGUUGACAGCACGCGCCCACGCCUUAUCAAUAAAGUUCUUCUGCCGCUCAUAAUUUCUCCAAGAGAACAAUCAUCCUUAAAAAUCAUCUUGUAGCUCAAUUUUAUCACCAAUCAAUAGAAUUGCACCUACAAAAGUAAAACACAAGUAAAUCAUUAUUAUUAAGUGCAAAACAUCGAUAUUAAGGGAAGUAAACAAUGCAAAACUAGUGCAUAAAUUGCACUCUAACAAAUUCCCCCACACCAAGAUGAUGCUUGUCCUCAAGCAUAUAACUCAAGAUUAAUCCCAAAUCUCCACUCAAUUCUCAUCUCAACUCAUCCAAAAAUAGAAAUUAAGUCGAUCAACAUUCGAGAGACAAGGAUUUUAAAGCAUAGAAUCUCAUAAGAUAGAAUAAGAACAUUCAACCACCAAGAAGAUCCAUUCAAAAUUCAAGUGCAACAAGAUGUAAUAGCCCUCUCAAUAACUUCACUCCAUGCACUCAAAGUGUUUAGGGUGUCAUUUAUCCACUCAAAUCAAAUCAAAGAAUGCUAUUACCAUAAGCUUGCUCAUAUAUCACAUCUCAAUCCACAAAACAUGAAUAAAAUGCAAAAAUCUAAGGGUCUUAAAAGGAUUGUAAUGGGGUUAAAUGGGUUAAAUGAAAAAGAAAGGUUUACGAAAGAAAAAGAGAUCAAAAUGAGAAGAAUGAACUCAUUGAAUGAACUUAUGAUAUCAAAAUGCUUAUUUCUACUCAAGUCACCAAGAAUGUAAACAUUUUUUUUUUCGAUUUUUCUUUUUCUUUUUUUUUCUUUUUCCUUUUCUUUUUCUUUUUUUUUUUCAUUUUUUCAUUUUUUUUUGUUUUUUGUUUUUUGUUUUUUUCGAAUCAAACAAAAGAAACGAACCUUGCACAAUUUAAUUCAAGCAUAAUGCUUGUUGAUCUAAUUGAGAAACUUCAAUACAAGGUAGAAAAAGCAACAAAAUAUAUCCACACAAUGAGUCCAAAAAUCUCCUUAAAUUGAGGCUCAAAAAGAAGAAAAAUGGUUAAGUAGACGGAGAGAAUUAGAUGGGUAAUGGUUAAGGCUCAAACAAAGGUAGCAAAUAAAGGUCUUCGGGUAGAGAAAAAGGAAAAUGCGAGAAUAGAAAAAUGGUAAAUGGUUUGCCCUUAUCAUUUUAAUGCCUAAAAUCCCGUAAUGUGGCUUCAAUAUGCAUAACAAAGCAAAUUCUAGAAUAAACAAACUAGGAUUGAUAUUCACAUAACAAAAAUAAUUAGAGCAAAGUGGUUGCUCAUAGGCUCAAAUCCUCACAAAGUUGGUAAAUUUGCCAUCAAAUCAUGUACACUCUUCAAAUGAAUCAACCAUCAAUAGUGGUGUAGAAUGAGAAGAAGGUAUGAGUGAUAUAUAAAAGAAAAGGUAAAAAUUAUAAGAAGUGAGAAAGAUGUAUGUAGUAAUAUGAAAAGUGAAAGAUAAAAUGUGAGUGAUGAAAGAGUAUGGUAAAAUAAAAAUAGAUAUGAAUAGUUUGAGAUAGAUGGGAAAAAAGUAGUGAGAAAGAAAAGAAAAGAAAAUUAAUAAUAUAUGAAGCAUACUAACUCCAAAAUCAUUUAAGGAUGAGUAGAGUGAAAAUAGAUGAGUAGAGUGAAAAUAAUAAUUCCAGACAUCAAUAAUGCAAAAAUCCCUCCCCCACACCAAGAACUUACAUUGUCCCCAAUGUAAGAUAAUCAAAGCUCACAUAAAAAUUAAAGCGUAAGGAUAAAAGAUUAAGGGCAAAAAAAAAAACUUCCCUGAAUUGUGAGCUUUGAUCCACAUAACGUCUAUGGGCUUGGCGGAAAUGGUGGGGUAAAUCCCACACUCUCGAAGUAUGCGGCCAAAUUCUGCUCCAUCUUGUUCAGCUUGUGCUCCAUUUUCUCUAACUGAAUACUCAAAGGUGGUGCGGAUGUAGAAGGAAUAGUUGGCGGGGCAGCAGUGUCGUCGUCAAACUCGUCAUCAGAGGUAGCACCACUCCUAGCAUAAAGCUUCUUCGGAAGUUGAGUGGGUCCUGGUUCAGUAAACUGAAAUCUCCCCUCCUUGAAUUCAACCACACCUGUUCUUUCAAACACAGACAUAUCCAAAAAUUCCUUUUUGCAAGCAGGAUGCAAAUCAUUAUUGUCGGGAUCAAGAACACAUAGGUUUAUAGCUAACAGAGUAAUGUAUGGACCAAGAAAUAAAGUCCUAUACCGUUUAAGCACAUUUUGAAAUUGAUCCGCUAACCAAAAACCUAAAUUAGGCCUCACAUCAUUUAACAUGCACCAGAUAAAAUAAAAUUCAGUUUUAGAGAAAAUUCCCGAGUGAUCUUUCUUGCCUAAAAAAUUAUAUGCUAAGAAUCGAUGCACACAUUUCAAAACAGGAUCACGUAAGAAAGAACUCUUUGAUUUACUCGGGUCAUAGGCAUUGUGAUCAACAGAUAAAUUACGCCAAAGACCAUAAGGCUCAAAAUUUUCGCUAAAGUCACAAGUUGUUCCUAAAUAUGCAUCACUAGAAGAAUAAUCAUCAUCAAUGAAUCCUAAAGCUAGGUUAAAAUCCGUGAUAGAGUGUGAAAAAUUUCGUCUCAUUAACCUAAACUUAAUGACAUUCGGGGUAUGCAAAGUAAAAUCAUUCGGCAUAGUAAAUUGAAAAGUAGCAUAAAACUCCCUAAUCAACUCAACAUAACCCAAACAAUCAACAUCAACAAAUUUACGCAACCCAAUCUUAUCUAUCAAAGAAUCAAAAUUAUCCUUAACAUUCAAUUUUUCAAGAGUCGGGUAAUGAAUAUACUUAGCUGGAAGUAUUUUGCAAGUGGAAAUAUCUUUGUACCUCUCUUUCUCUUGUUGAGUCGCGAACGCGAGGCACCCUCCGAGAUUGGAUUCCGCAAGUGGCAAAACACUCAUGCCUUUUCCAUGCUUCGAUCUUUGUCUCACGGCUUUGCGUGAAUCUGAAAUUGUGUUCCAUGGAACCGUAGUGGGAGCGGCAAUCUUAGAUUUCUUUACGACGGGUUUCUUUUUCGAUGACUUGGAAGUAGAUGCUUUCCUCUUCGGCAUUGUUACAAUAAUUGCACUCACGGAUUUCGAUUUACCCGGCUGGAAUACAUGACGUAGGCUGGUUGCGUUGCGUUGCUGCUCGACUGGAGCUUGCUGUGCGGGUUGGAGCUGGUUGCGCACUGCUGGGCUGCGAGACACGGGAUGCUGGUGCUGCGCUCGCGGGGGCUUGCGUUGCGAGCUGGUGAUUCGCGUUGCUGGUUCGUGCUGCGUUGCGGGGCUGCUGGUGGGACUGAUGUUGCGCGUUGCGGCUGGGGCUGGAUCUACGCACUGCUGUGUGAUUCGCGAGAGCCGGUUCGUCUGCGUUGCUGUGCUGCACUGAGGUUGAUUCGCGUUGCUGCUGGUUGCGGUGCGCGAUGCUGCGCCCGGCGGCUGGGGCUGGUGGGGCUUGCUGCUGGAAAACGAUAAUCAACAGUAAUUUUUUUGAAUUAGGGAUUUGUGAACAGUGAUUUUCGAAUUUUUUUUUUUUUUUUUUUUAGUGAUGAAUCACUUUGAGACACUAAAAAUUUCAGAAGUACUUUUUUAAUAAGCACGUGGGCACGCCUUAUCAAAAAUUUUCUUCUGGCCAAAAUAAGCAAACACAUUAUUUUAAAAAAAAAUCUGAAUCAAAAUUAAAAGAAGAUAUAACAAAAACCAAAAUAAAUAAAUCAUUUGGGUUGCCUCCCAAAAAGCGCCUUUGUUUUAUGUCUUUGGCUAGACACGUUUAUGCAUCAAUCUCCAUAAUUGGGACUCUCGAGAGCCACAUCCUCCACAAUAUUCACCGAAAAACCUUCAUAAAAAGGUUUUAAGCGAUGACCAUUAACCUUAAAAACUUUGUCAGAGGUCGGACUCCGAAUCUCAACUGCACCAUGAGGAAAAACAUUAGUAACAAUAAAAGGUCCAACCCAGCAAGAACGUAAUUUACCCGGAAAAAGUUUAAGCUUAGAAUGAAAAAGAAGAACUUUUUGACCAACAGAGAACUCCUUUCUCAAAAUCAUUCUAUCAUGAAAUGUCUUCGUCUUUUCCUUGUAAAAAAUUUCCUGCGCUAUAGGGUUAAUAACAUCCACAGAAAAUACCGAAUGUUCCUCACUAGGAUAUUUCAUGGUAUCAUUCAUAUUGAAUCCUAUAACCUCUCCAUCAAACUCCAUAGUGAGAGUCCCUUUAUGUACAUCCAUUUUAGUCAUAGCAGUCUUAAGAAAAGGUCUUCCUAGCAAAAUUGGGACAGAAUUAGAGGAGUUAUCAUCUUCCAUAUCAAGUACAUAAAAAUCAGCAGGAAAAACCAACUCAUUAACUUGUACUAAGACAUCUUCUAAUACCCCAUCAGGAUAUGCAUUAGACCUAUCAGCUAGUUGAAUUAUCACGCCAGUUUCUUUUAAUGGACCAACAUUCAAAGAUGAAUAAAUGGAACGAGGCAUGACAUUAAUAGAAGCUCCUAGAUCUAACAUAGCCUUUUCAACUCUAACACUACCAAUUUUACAAGGGAUAGUAAACAUACCUGGAUCCUUGCACUUAGGAGGUAGUUUCUUUUGGAAAAUUGCUGAAACAUUCUCCCCCAUGUGAACUUUUUCAUCUCCUCUUAAUUUUCUUUUGGAGGUGCACAGUUCCUUAAGGACUUUAGCAUAUCGAGGUAUUUGUUUUAUAGCAUCUAAUAAAGGAAUAUUUACCUCAACCUUGCGAAAUGUCUCAAGGAUGUCUUUCUCUUGUUCUUCCUUCUUGGAUUUUGCAAACCGGCUUGGAAAAGGAGGAGGUAUCACAAUAGGUAGGGGUUUCGCUCCGGUGGGUUGUGCAUCUUGAGAUUGAGGCAUCAAUUCAUUCUUCUCAAGCUCAUCUUCUACAUGCUCUGUCACUUUCUUACUAGGCUCUUGCAACUCCUUCCCACUUCUAAGGAUGAUAGCACUAACGUUUUGCUUUGGAUUCACCUCAGAUUAUGAAGGCAAUCUUCCUAAUACUCGAGACUCCAGAUGGCUUACUGUAGUCGCCAAUUGACUCAUUUGGUUCUCCAAGUUCUGAAUGCUUGCUGUAGUUGCCUGCUGAAAUUGUUGAGUGUUAGUCGCAAGUGAUUUAACAAUUUCUUCAAGAGAUAUACCUGACUUGGAGUUUGACUGUGGAGGUGCUGGUUGUCUUGGUGGAUACUGUUGUGGGAAUCCUGACGGUUUAACUCCAUAGCUGAAGUUGGGAUGAUCCUUCCAUCCCAGAUUGUAUGUUUGUGCAUAAGGAUCAUACCUCCUCUGAGGCAUGCCUGGAAAUCCUCCAACUGCAUUGGCUUGUUCAACGAGUUCUUCUUGGAGUGUAGGACACAUAUAAGUUGAAUGACCCAUAUUGUAACAAAUGCCACAAGUCUUCACCUGUUGCACAUUACCUACAACAAACUUUUCCACAAGAGAAGUAAGUUUAUCUAAACGUUGUUCAACAAAAGAAAUAUUUACCUCAUUCACCUUCCUUGAAGUGGGAUCUUGCCUGCUACUAAAUUGUUGUGCAUUGGCAGCCAUAUUUGAGAUCAACUCCCUUGCUUGAGUAGGGGUUUUGUUCACCAACACACCUCCACUAGCAGCAUCUAUCAUACUUCUAUCCAUUAAUGAUAGUCCUUCGUAAAAAUAUUAAAUAAGAAGUUGAUCAGAAAUCUGAUGCUAAGGACAGCUGGCACACAAUUGUUUGAAUCGCUCCCAAUACUCAUACAAAGUCUCCCCAGGAAGUUGUCUGAUCCCACAAAUAUCUUUUCUGAUGUUGGCAGCUCUUGAAGUAGGAAAGUACUUCUCAAGGAACUGCUUUUUCAAACCAUUCCACGUUGUAAUUGAUCCAGGAGGCAAGUAGUACAACCAAUCUUUAGCUAGCCCAUCUACAGAGAAUGGAAAAGCACGCAACUUAAUCUGCUCUUCAGUCACGCCUUGUGGCCUCAUACUUGAGCACACAACAUGAAACUCCUUGAGAUGUUUAUGAGGAUCUUCACCUGCAAAACCAUGAAACUUGGGUAAUAAAUGAAUAAGCCCAGACUUUAAUUCAAAAUUUACCUCCAAGUCUACAUAUUGAAUGCAGAGUGGUUGUUGAUUCAAGUCUGGUUCAGCUAACUCUCUAAGAGUUCUUUCUACAGGUGCAGGUCUAUCCAUCACUUGUUCUUCUGAAUCGCUAGAUGAUUCAACUAAAUCAGGCACUGUAUCUGUUUCAGAAAGCAAAGGCGACGAGGAUCGUUGCUUAGCUCGCUUUGUCUGCUGUCUCAGUUGGCGAGCUGUCUUCUCAAUUUUAGGAUCAAACGAAAGUGUACCUGUACGAGAAGAACGAACCAUACACCAAGUAAAACGUAAAAAAGAUUAAAUAAAUGACACCAAUCCCCGGCAAUGGCGCCAAAAUUUGAUGGGUGUCGAAGCCAACAAAAAUAAAUUCCUACUCUAAAUAAAUUGUGUAUAGUGAUUGAGCAGGGUCGUGUCCACAGAGAUCAGUAAUUAUUUAAAUCCUUUUGAAACGUAAAACGUAAAAUGGGGGAAUAGUUGACAAUAAUAAAAAUCAAAUUAAAAAUAACAAGAAUGCAAAUUAAAGUUGUAAUUUAAAUUGGAGAAAGCUCUGGUUGAAGGAAUUAACUCAGCUUGAUUCGACUACUGAUCAUUGAUUCAAAUAUAGAUUAUUAUUACUCAUGAAUAGACCGGUUAUAGCUACUGAGACCCUCUAAUAGCCAAUCUCUCCUUAACUAGUCGAUAACCAAGGUACGACCGUUAGUUAUUUCCCUAAUCAAUAGACAACCCUAGAUACGAUCAUAGAAUUUAAUCAAUUGACAGCCUGAAAAACCAGAGAGACCCAAAUCCUAAUCAACACAUAUGAUGAUUCAUUUAAAUUAGAUUGUUUAUUCUCACAACACAACUCUCUGCUAUGUUAUUAGUCACAAGCAUUAAAUUCUUCAUACGAUGAAUCCUUUAAUUGACAAUAGAUUAAGUUGAUAAUUAAAUAGUGGCCAAUUACCUAAUUAACAAACAUAAUCAUGAAAAUAAUUCAGAGAAUAAACAAAUACCCAAAAAGUAAUAAAACAAUUAAAGCACAAGAAAGAUCUCACAGUAGUGAUGAAUCAAAGCUUCAUUAACCUUCAACCAGAAAAAUGGGUUUAGUUCCUAAUAGAGAGAAGAGAAAAAUUAGAUCUAGGGUUUCUUUUUCUCCAAUCCAAAAUUCCCCCCUUUCACAAUAGAUUCCUCCCUUAAAUACUCUCUCUCUUCUCCUCUAGAAUUCUAUUUAAAAUAAAAUACUAAUAUCUGAAAUAUUAAAUUCGUAAUUACAAAAAUAACCAAAAAUACAAAACACGUUAAACUAAAAACUGCAGGUCCGCAGUUGACAGCACACACCCACGCCUUAUCAAUAAAGUUCUUCUGCCACUCAUAAUUUCUCCAAGAGAACAAUCAUCCUUAAAAAUCAUCUUGUAGCUCAAUUUUAUCACCAAUCAAUAGAAUUGCACUUACAAAAGUAAAUCAUUAUUAUUAAGUGCAAAACAUCGAUAUUAAGGGAAGUAAACAAUGCAAAACUAGUGCAUAAAUUGCACUCUAACAGACCCCAAAGAUCUGCAUAUAUCACUUGUAAGGGUGCUGAAGUUUUUGUUUCAACUGAAUCAAAAUGCAGCAUAUGAUUUUUCCCAUAUUGACAUGCUGAACAAAAUUUCAAGCUUUCAAUUUUAUUAUAAGCAGUAGAGUUGUUACAAGUUUUGAGUAUAGUUUUGAGAGUAUAAGAUGCUGGGUGUCCUAAUCUUCUAUGAAGAAGAUUUACAUCAAUAGAACUCUUUGUAACAACUGACAGACAUGGCUUUUUAUUCAAUUCAUAAGAACUAACAGCAGUGAGCUGAUCAGAAUUGAAAACAGGAGAACAAGCAAAGAGAGUGAAUUUUAUUUUGACCAACUGAAUUGAGAAAGACUGAAUGAGCAGCAACAUGUGAAGAGACUCUAUACAAGUCACCUUUAGCAACACCUUCAAGUAAAAUUUUCCUUGUGUUCCUAGCCUUUAUAAAAAACAAAUCACCAAGAAAUUCCAACAGUAACUGGAUUGUCAGCCAAUAAUUUUGAAAUGCUAAGCAAAUUCUUAGUAAUAAAAGGGACAUGAAGAACAUGGUUUUUAAAGGUUUAGAAGUUGAAGUAUUUAGCACAACUGAUCCUACAUGUGUAAUAGCUAAUGCAUUUCCAUCUCCAACAAACAAUUUUUCAGUACUAGUAUAAAUUUGUGAAUCCAGAAGUUUACCUAGAUCAUUUGUAAUGUGAUUUGUUGCUCCACUAUCAAUAUACCAUGAAGGAUCUUCAAUGUGUUCUGGUGGAAGUGAAGAAGGCAUAGCUGAGGAAGAUGAAGCACUUGACUGUCCAGGAUUAUUAUUUCCUUGACCAGAAACAAAAGUAGAUGGUCUAGGGGUGAAUGAGUAAUAAGCAGAAGGAUUACUAUCUGGAUACACCAUAUUUCCUUGAUAGCCAAAACCAGCAUUUAAACCAAAACCUCCAAAACCUCUGCCACCAUUACCAUUAAAAGCUCUUCCUCUACCAUAUUGCCCUUGAUUAAAACCUCUGCCACCAUUCAUAUUACCUCUGCCAUAGUUUCUCUGUGGAACAAAAGAUGAAUUGUACCUAUUUUUGCAUCUAUUGGCUGCAUGACCAGGUAUGAAGCAGAUUUGACAAACAGUUUCAGAGGAAUUACCACCAUUAUUAAACUGACCAUAUCCAUAUCCAUUAAAACCUCCAUACCUAGAAUUAUUUCCAUAAUUUUUUUGAAAAUUGCCAUUAUUCUUUCCAGCAUAUGAGUUCUUCUGAGCAAUAUUUGCUGUCAUAUUGUGCAUCACAUCACCAGCAAUUUUUCCUUUCUUUUGUUCAACUCUAUUUUCAUGAUUCAAUAGCAAAGGAUAUAGUUCAUCUAAUGUUAUCUUCUCACCUCGAGCUAAAACACCUGUGACUAAAGAUUCAUAAUCUGAUGAAUCAAGACCAGUUAAUACAUGAAUCACAAGAUCACUUAACUCAACAGGUUUUCCAGCUAGAGCUAAAGUAUCAGCUAUACGUUUUACUUUUGCAAAGUAAUCAGACAUAUGCAUUGCACCUUUCUUAAUAGUUUGAAUCUGCAUUCUAAGUGUUUGAAUUCUAGCUUGUGAUUAAGAAAUAAACAUACUAGUAAGAGUCUUCCAAAGCUGUUUUGAAGUUGUGGAGUCAAUCACAGUAGCAAGUAGAUUUUGCUGUAUCGACGACAUCAUCUAACUCAACAGAAGUUGAUCAGUCUUCAUCCAAGCUAUGAACUCUGGAUUAAUAGAUUUGGAUUCAGAUUCAGUAAAAAUUUCAGCUCCAUUGUUGUUUCCAAAAGAAAGAAACUACUCAGGACAUUCUUGAUCACCAUUGAUAAACCCUUCCAGACCGUUUCCUUUGAUCGAUGCUAAAAUUUGUGCCCGCCAUAAAAUGAAGUUGUUUUGGUCUAGCUUUGCAGGCGUAACAAAACUAAAAGAGUUGUUAUUUUGAACUGUAUUCGCCAUUUAUGGCUCUAAUACCAUGAAAGAAACUUAGUUUUGCAUUGUUUGGCAAGCUAGAAAAUGAAGAAAAUAAAAGAAAGCUCUGUAAAGAAGUUUGUAGAACCUUUAUUACUUUAGCAUUACAACUGAAUGAAUACAGACUGAUAUUUAUAUUAAGCUACAAUUUGCUCAACACACACACGAGUUUGUUACAUCACAUAACCAUUUGCUGCAUAACUAAUUUGACACAUCAGCUCAACCAGCUAAUUAACUUUGCCAGGUCAGCUUAGUGAGUUGAUCUGCUAAAUUCAGCUACACAGCAACAUCAUGCUCUGCUCUAGCUUCAUUCAAUUCACUAGCAUUUUCCCUUGAUACAUUAGGAGAAAAGACUGCCUGUGAGAUACAACAAUGUAAAUAACUUCUCAUGGUUCAUUGAAUCUAUAACGCACUGAGCCCUAUUCUAAAAUAUGUAGGUUGCUUCUGAAAAAGGGCUUUUCUCACUGAUCUUUAAUCUUCAAGAAAGUUUGUUUCAUUUCAGAAGGUAUAAGUUUCAAACUUAUUGUAUUGGGAGGUUGUAUAGUUGUAACCUAAGCAUCUGCAGGUUCCUGGUUCAACACAUUAUAGUAUGGUAUUUUAUUUUGUCACAAGGCAAUUGGUUACGGGAUCACUUUUGCAACGGUUUGUUGAUGGCGAUGAUGAAUUUCGCAAUAGUAGGUUGAAACUUAUUCCAUCUGUUCCUAAGGUAUCCAUCUUGGCCUUCAUGUAGUAGGACUAUAUUAACGUAUACUUACCCUUUACUGCAUGGUACACUUCAAUUUGUACAAAGAAGGCAUGCAUUUAGGUGUGAAUGUAUUGAUGGGUUGUACCUUCAAACUUUAUCUCCUUUUUACCCUCUUGAAUUUGUUUUGCACUUGUUCUUGAUUUUCAGCACUGAAUCAUGCAGGGGUCAUGGAUAGUGCGCCAGAGUGUUGGAAGCACCCCUUGUUUAUUGGGGAAGGCAGUUGAUUGUAACUAUAUUCGCGGUCCCAAGUACUUAGAAGUAAAUGCUCUUGGAAUUUCUAUAGUACAUGAGAUGUUCCCCUUUCAAAUAGCGUCCAAUACCUUUAACAUGGUUUAACAUUGUUCAUCUUUCUGUAGAUUGAUGUUGACAUCGAUUCUUCUACUGUUGCUAAUGGAGUUUUGGGCCUUGUAAUUGGUGUAAUUACGACAUUGGUGGUUGAGAUGGCUUUCCUUGUACAGGUAUGUAUGAUUGUUUUUUUCCCCCACUGCUAAAUGGACACAAGGGAAAAGACAUGAUUUUGAGAUAUUGCACUGCAACUUGCAUUUUUGCAUACUUGAAUGUUCUCAGAAUGAUAUAAUGCUUCUGUGUGUGUCUUCUUUAUCUUGCUCUUCUGUAUGCAGGCAAAUACUACAGAUGAAUUACCGGAGCGGCUGAUUGGUGCUGUACGUGUUUCUCAUAGAGAACUCAAGUCUGCUGUUGUCCCAAAGCUGGAACCAGAGAUAUCAUGACUCUGGUUUCAUUUCAGCUCAACUGUGUUUUUUUUUUAAUUAAAAAAAUCAUUUGUUUUAGGUAUACAUACAUGUAUUUUGAUUCUAUUUUCAUUGUAAUUUCUCAUUUACUUUGAAUGAAAGUCAUUGGUGUUUUCGAAUGGGAAUUUUGCAUUAAAAAAUGAAGAAUAAUGAAUAGGAAAUUUCCUGAUUCUUUAGUUACUAUUUUUGGUAUGAGUGUAAUUAGUAGUAAAGUAGGUUUCUACUCGCAAACAAGUGAACUACUCGAUUCCCGAGUGGUAUCAACCAGUUUCCAACUUUUUAAUAUACACUAAUUGUUAUUGUUUAAUAGCUACUACUAUUAAAACUCAACAGCUAGCAAAAAUACUUAAAAAAAAUGAUUUUUCUUAUGAUGCUGUGAAAAAAAUUACGGGUGUACUUCUUUCCAUGAGAUCUAUAACAUGGUCUCGACUUCACGAAAUUCUUUUAAUUUAAAGCGUGCUGGUGUGAGGUCAGUUUAACUGAUUAAUUCUUUUUAACAGUGGUCGAGAUAAUUUUACUAUACUAAAAAAUAUUCUUAUUCUGAUAAUGCCACAAAUGUUAUGCUGUUUUCUUCAGAUAAUGAUCUUCCAUUAGGAGAGGUUAGAAAUCAAAUGCUUAAAAGACCAAUUGAACGAAUAAUACAGAAAUUUAGGCAGAAUCUAAUAGAAUAUUGCAUGAAACAUGAAACAUCAAUUCAAGUCCUUUCUUAAACGGAGAAUGCAUCAAACAAAAUCCAAAGUGUCUUGCAAGUCUGUAGCGUGAGCAAAAAAUUGUAAAUAUGUAGAACCAAAUUAUUCAAGUACAGAAGAACGAGCAAGCUAAAUCAUGUAUAAGAGAUUGGCCUGGUUCGGGAUAGCUUCUUCACUGUAUCUGAAGGGUUGGCUCAAUCUCUUCUUUAGAAUUCUGCAGAUUUUGUAAUUACUCGUGUAAGCAAGUAUACAUUGCCACCAUAAGAAUAAUGAAGCUAGAGUAAUGAUAUGACCACCACCUCUUGUGCACAAACAAUAUUGUAUAAACUAAUGCGACAUAAUAUGAUUGGUUAAACAAAAACAUUACAUGGCCCUCAUAAUUUAUUUAUUUAUUUAUUAUUAUUAUUAUAUAUUUUCAGUCAACCAAUCAUAUUAUAUCACAUUAGUUUCUAUAAAAUAAUUUGCUAAAUAGCACCAAAACUUAAUUGAUACUCACCAUUUCAUUGAACAAUUUUUUUAUGGUGUCAUUGAGGUUGCCUUCCCAACAUCGUUCAUCAUCAUCUUUUUCUUCUUUGGUGACGUUCACUUUGUUUAGCAUUGGUGUGUCUAAGAGUCCUUGAGAGAAGAUCUUCAUUUUUGGACACUGUCUCACAACUACUUGUUUCAAGGACGGGAAUUCAAGAGCGUAAUUACCUAAACAAAAGCUUGUUAGGCUUGGCAAACAAUCAAGUCUCAAGUACUCCAAUUCCUUGAAAACAUUGCAAUCUUUCGCUUCUUCUCCAACCUGCAAUUGUAUGAUUUGUUCUAUCAUUUUGCAAUCAACUAUCAUCAUUCUUUUGAGAUUCACUAGAUUUUUAGAUGCUGAGAGCGUCAACACAUUUAUCAAUCCGUGACACUUCGAUACUGCCAAAGCCUCAAGAUUUUCCAAAUGCCACGAAGGUGGUACUAAUUUUUGCAACUUACUACAUUCCGAUAUUUUUAGACUUUUCAAGUUUGCAAACACUUUGUUGGAUUCGGCAUUUUCCUUCCAGAGAUGGUGCACUUUGUGUAAUCCAGACAGCUCUAACCAUCUCAAUCGAGGGAAUGAAACCUGAAAAUCAACAAAAUUAAGUUGUAAAUGAAAAUAUGUAUCCAAUCUCUGCAGUCUUCCCCUGCAUAUUUUAUGGACAAGAUUAAUCACGACAUUUUAUAUUUUUUUUCCAAAUUAGAAUGCUUUGCAGUAGGAUCCCAAAUAUAAGUAUCAAAUCGAUUACCCUUUGAAACACAUAAAUGAAAUCUGAUACUAAAUCCAAUAUGAAUUAGCUAGGAAAACAGAGAUGUUACACACAUAAUUAAUAGAGUUCAUCACCUCGUGUUACCAGGCAUCCAAUUAAUUUAAGACAUUUUAAUAAUUCAUAUUAUAAAGUUAGUUGAUAGCGGAGGUUAUAUUGUUAAAUCAUAUAUAAAUUAAGACGACGUGCAAAAAGAGGAGUCAUUAAAUUCGAUUUGAUUCUAACGAAAUUACAUCUAUGCGAAUGAAAGUGAAGGGAAAUAAUAAUAAUAAUAAUAAUAAUCACCUUUUCAUCGAAGAGAGGUUGUACUUGAUGAGCCAGCAAGAAGUUCUCUUCUGAUGUUAAUUUUUGAGGUUCCUUAUUAUCCGCUGUCAUGUGCAGUACAGAGUUGGAUAUGAAUGUUUCUAUAUCUCGGCAAUUCUCAAUAGUUAGAUUUCUCAACAUAGGCAUUUCAAUUAUAUUCCCAGUGAAGUUGCAGAAUCUUUUGAGUUUUGGAAGAUCAGUGAGCCUCAGCCUGUAAAGCUUAGGAAACAGGGGGCUUAUAUGUUCUUUGUCAGCAUUUAGCUCCUCCAAAUGAAGCACCUCUUCUAUUGAAUCACAAUUCCUCUCUUCCAGCCAUACCAAAUUGUUCAAGCACCGUAGCAGAUUGGCAGGAAUAGCACUCGACAUAUUCGUGCAGUCAUCCACAGCCAGUUGUCGUAAAUUGUUGAAGAAGCUGACAGGCAGUGCUUGGCCAUGCCAUAUUUCUUUCAAACGUGGAAAAUGUGAGAGUUGCAAAUCCCAUAUGUCACGGAAUCCAAUCUGCACAAACAAAAACAAUUGCACUGGAUAUAUAUAAAUUUUUUUUUUGAAUCAACUUACAUGUUUUGUGUUUUAACUUCUAAAACUAUAUAUACAAGGCAGGUGUAUAUGUUCAAAUGUCCAAGUGCAAGGGAGAUGCAUAAGUAAUUUCGACGAAUCGAUUUAACACAUACCAUUUCUUCGUAACACUUUUGUAUAGUGGAAUUAAGGUUGCCUUCCCAAUGGCGCAAUUCACCCUCUCCCUGUUAAGAAUAGAAUUAGUUAGUUAAUGAGUAUGCUGACAUGGCAGCUGAGUCAGCUAAAGGUUGUUAUAGAGGUUGUUAGUAGUAAACUGUGCGUGUGUGCAAUGUGUGUAGAAUCUUCUAUGCACAUAUAAAAAGGCUUGUAAUUUCCAGAUUCAUUAGAUCAAUAAUAACAGAAUUCUCAGCUUACAGAAGUUUUCUUUCUUCCUAUUUUCUUAGUAACCAAACAACAUCACAGUUUCAUAUAAAACUUAAUACUUCCUUUUUACUCACAUGCACUUCGUGCAGCUUUGGUGUGGAUACGAUUCCCUGAGAAAAAGUCUUCAUGUUCGGGUAACAUGUCAUAGAAACUCGUUCCAAUGAUGGGAAUUCAAGAGUGUAAUCCUCCAAACAAAAGCUGGUAAGCCUUGGUAAAUGAUUUCAGGUAAUUUUUAAAUAUUCUAAAUUCAUUUAGAAUAUUUAAAUGAAUUUAGAAUAUUCACUAUUUAGUAUUAGGAAUGGAGAAAGAAUUUCAGGUAAUUUUUAAAUAUUCUAAAUUCAUUUUUCAUCUUGAUUCUAGUUUUUUAAAAAAAUUUAAUUUUCAAACAUGCGUAUUUUUAAAAUAACUAAACUAAAACGCUGUAUUUCCCUUUUUUUCCCGAUAUUCAUGCUUUUAAAAAUGGAAAACAUUUCUGGAAAACACUUCCCAACGCCAUCAACAUGGGACUGUUAUAGAUGAAUUAAGGAAAAGAGAAAUAUAUAGAUGAAUUUGUGAACCUAUAAGAUGAGUGACUAUCCUUUAAUUUUUGAAAAUUGUACUUAUUAAGAUAUGAGCAGAAACAAUUAAAUUGAAUUAUAUUAUGCUGUUGAAUCGUGAUUAAAAAAAUUAUAUUGUUGAUUCUAAUGCUGGCGAACCUAAAAACUGGACUUAAAAUGUAGAUUUGAGAGUGGUGGUUCGAAGUACAAUACUUGAAAUAAAUAAUCAGUGGCUGAAUAUCAUUUGUAAACAAAAAAUGGUUAAAAUAUUGUUGGAUGUAAUUUGAAAAAAAAAAAAAGAUUCGAAAUGAAUACAGCAACCUUACCAAUGGAGGAAAAAUAUUCUUUAGGUUAUCACACUCAAAUAUCUCUAAAUUCUUCAAUUUGCUGAAAGACUCCGAAGCAAGUUGGUGGUGCCAUAUUAUUCUCAAAUUAUUCAUCCAGCUAAUAUGUAAUACCUCCAACCUAGGAAGUCGUACCUGGCAGUUAAAGAUUAAAUAACUAAUUAAUCAAUUAAUUGCAUAAUCAAUUGAUAACUAAAUUAGAGGCAGAUAUUAACUAAACUUGAAGACUCAAAGAAAAGACAAAUUAAAUAUUGUGACUAAAAUUAAUUUUUUUUAUUAAAAAAAAAACCUUUUCGUCAAAGAGAGGAGGAGGUUGCAUUUCAGAAUGAUUGGUGUCUUCUGGUGAGCUCGUAGAGAUGAAUCUUAACAUAUUCCAGCAACUCUGAAUCUCGAGGUUUAGCAAAGAAGGGAAUUCAACAACUAAAUCUGAAUUAAUAUGUCCCGUAUUGGCAAAGCUUGUUAGUUUAUAAAGCCAAUAGAGCUCCAGGGAGUGUAGUUUAGGAAAAACCUUUAAUUCAAUCAACUUUCCUUCUUCUCUUUCUGACCACCCCGUGGUGUCGACUACCCCUUCCAUUGACUCACAAGAUCUUAUCUCAAGAUGCUGGAGUUGCAAAAGACUAUUAACCAUAGAAUAGGAAAACAGAUACUUCAUACGAUGACAACUGCUCACGUACAGCUUUGUUAAAUUUCGACAACAGUACAUUCCUUGAUUAUGAUCGGCCCAUAAUUUUUUCAUGUUUCUUAAUGACCUGAGAUCCAAUUCCUCUAAGCUCGGAAGAAUAACCUGCAAAGAAUACCCGUACAUUUUUGUUCCUUCAAGUACAACCGUCUAGUAUAAUAUUCUUUUGAUGAUCGAAGAUUAAUCGUGAUAAUAAAUUAAUCAAUUAAUUAUUGAACAGAAAAUUAUCACCUUUGGAGCAGGAUCAUCAUCAGCAGUGAUUUCGUUGAAUCCCAAAGAAGUUGUUGGUUUCUCCCUGUCGGGUCCUAUAAACAAACAAAAACAAUAUACAUAAUUAAUCUUUGUUUUUUUUUUCAAAAUAAUUGAGGCGAAGUCAAUUAUCCCACCGGUACUUAAUUUCAACACUUACCAACAAUCAUUUCCUGAUCAUCGCAAAAAGCCACUUCUACCUUUUGAAGCCGCAGUAGGUUUUUGGCUAUGGAGAAUGAGAAAAGAUGCUUCAAUUUGUGACAGAAUUUUACUUCUAUAAUCCUUAAGUUGCUGAAAGAUUGAUCUUCUGUGAGUUGGCUGUCACAUAUUGUCUCCAAAUUGAUCAAACGACGAAGAGACAAUGACUCCAGCAAGGGGAAGACUUUGCGACGAACCCGUCCAACUGAACAGACAAUAUGCAAAAUCUCAGAACAACUUUCUGCAGAAAGAUGCUUCAAUCGUGGAUAACCUUCCCCAUCAUCUAAUUCAUGAACAACAUUCUGAACACCCUUCAGUUCUUCUAGAUAGAGAUAUUCAGUUCUCGUCAACAACAGUUUCAUCCUGUAAUUCUGCAAAAGAACGCCAAACUUUUCCAGCCCCUGGAGCUUCAUCAAUCUUGAUAAUCCAGAUUUAACGGACCAGCUGCUCCACCACUUAUUUCCUAUACAUAUCCUAUAGCUUUGUAAUUCCACAGAGACGAAAUCCUGCGGUAAAAUUUCGGCAUCCCGAACAUGUAUCUCCAAAGUAGUUAGCUUUGACAGCCCAUUCAAUUCAGCAAGACUGGCGUUACUUCCUCCUUCAACCUUCUCCCACUGUGAAAAGCUGUUACCAAUAUAUAGUUCUUCUAAUCGAGAUAAUUUUGAUAUGACAUUUGGAGCUAUCACCACAAGACUGCUACAAUUUCUCAAAUCUAGCAACUGUAAUCUCGUCAAUUGUCCAAUUACAACUGGCAACUCCUUAACAUCAGAAUCUCGGAAGCUGAGAAUCUCUAAUUUCCUUAGCUGUCCAAUUAUAGUUAUUUCGUUCAGUCGGCAACCGUCUAAACACAAUGUUCGAAGGUUAAUGAGGCGACCAAGUGAUGAAGGUAAUGAAGAGAAAAAUAUGCCAGUAAAAUCUAAAACUUUGAGUUCUUCUGUCCCUUCAAAAAAGAGGUCUGAAAUUUGCAAAGAGCUAUCACGCUUUGAAAACAACAAAAGUAACUCGAGACGGGGACAUCCCAACCUUUCGGGAAGCUCUUGAAUAUCUCUAUAAGGUAAAGAAAUAGCAAUUGGACCUUCCCGUAUUGUCUCUUCCAUCUUUUUCUCCACGUAGGCAACAUUUGGAAUAUUAAACAUGAGCUCCUUUUCUGCAAUUGAUACAGCAACAGCAUGAAUGAUGUCAUGCAUUUUAACUUCAUCUUCAGCAUCACCGUCCAACAAUAAGCAUGAAGAUUUGAGUUUGUCGAUCAAUGCAUCCACUCUAUUCCUUGCAUUUUCCAAUGUGCGAACAUAUUUAAACAAACCCAAACCCAUACCCAUACCAUAUCUCAACAAGGAAGCAACUUGUAUAGGAGUACCUUCACCAAAUAGAGAACAAAGAAGGAACAAAGAUUUUGCUUCAUCACUUUCCAAGAAGUCGUAACUCAAUUUUAUGGAAGAAUACACAUCUGCAUCCAUACCAUGAAUUUCUCUUAGAUUGGAACUUCUUAGCUGAUUCAACGCAUCCUUCCAAAUGGCAAGACUCUUAUUUUUCAGAGCACUUGCAACUGUUCUCAGUGCAACAGGCAAUCGUCCGCAUUUUCCAACAAUCUCAUCCGCUAAAGGUUGAAAAGCAGAUGCUUUUGCGGAAUUGCCCACGAUCUUUUCAAAAAAUUGCAAUGCUUCUUCCUUUGAUAAAACUUCAAUUGGGAAAAUCUUCUGAGAAUUCAUAUCAUUGAUCAAUAAAUCUUGACUUCUAGACGUCAAUAUUAUCGUGCGUCUCCUUAGAUCUUGCUUUCUAUCUUUCUCAUCAACAUCCCCAGAAGGAAUUCCAAUUUCUUCCAACCUAAGUUUUUUCCAAAUAUUAUCUAAUAUAAUGAGGACUCGCUUCUCUUUCGUCAAUCUUUGACAAAGUUGUUUUGCUCUGUGGGGUUUGCUAUCAUUCAAGUCAAAGUUCAUGUCUAAAUCGGAAGCGAGCUUGUCUUGAAUUUUCUGAACAUCUGGGUUCUCUGUUACCUCAGCCAUAACGACCUUAUCGAACAACUUAUCUUCCAUAACUUGCUUUGCAAUUUGCUUGACUAGCGUGGUUUUACCCACGCCGCCCAUACCGUGGACCCCAAUUAUGUUGAGCUUAUCAUCCCUCAAUGCCUCCACAACAUCUUGAAAUAAUUUCAUUCUUGAAUCAAAGGCCUCGAAAUCUUUCGCUUGCAUAUGUUCUGUACUCUCUGGAGCAGGACGGUGGGAAACACUAGAGAAGUUGCCUUUUCUCACGAGACUAGCGGCAGCUUCUGCGGCCUUUACUGCUUGUUUACUAAGUUUAUAACGAGAAAUCAAGUUGGGGCACAAUCCUUUGAAGCAGGACUUCUUAGCUCUAUCUUCAUCAUCAAUGAUGGAUUUUGCAACCCCUUCACUGAUGCAUUCAUCAACGCCAUUAAGCCAGUCUGCAACAUCCUUGUAAAUCUCAUCUCUUUGUUGAGUAGCCUGACGAACGGGUAUUCCCACCCUUUCUCUUUUAUAUUCCAGCUGCUUCACUUGAUCUUUUAGCUCAGCUAUGUAGCUCUGGUACUUGAACACAUAAGAUAUCUGCCGCAUAAUCCGUUCGAGCAAUGCCUUUGCACCUUCUGAUACAAUGCUUGAAAAAGCUUCGAGACCCACUUCUGAAGCCAUUGCCUAGCCUGUUGCAUAUAUAUAUACAUUAGCCGAUGGAAAAAUUGGAUUCAAAUAAAUUAAAGUGAUCCAGAGGGAAGGACAAAGAAAGAAAUGACAACGAAUGACUUUUUAAACAAAGGUUUCAAGAGCCUGAAUCGAAAACCAACAAUUUGAAAAAAAAAAAAAGAAUUGGAAGAUGGAUGCAAAUUAACCAUUGCUAAUACUACAUAAGAACACAUAAGUUAACAAUGAACAGUUACUUAAGAAAAUUAAAUGACAAGAUUAAAACAAACAAGCGCUAUUUUUUCUUGGACAAAUGUACCUGUUUAAUUAUUAAAGACUUAAUGAGCUUCACUAUUGGCCUUGAGUAUAUAAGAAUGAGCAAGAGAUCAAUGUCAACUGCAGAGGAAUGUCAGUAAAGGUUUCAUGAGAGUGAGUAAUACAAAUGAAUUGUAAAAGAACAAGACUUAAGCGUGCACCCCCUGUUUUGUUUUAUUCGUUAUGAAAAUGAUAUUGUACCCAAUUUUAAGAGAGCAUAAUAAUAACCAUUUAAUGCAUAAAUUUAGAAUUAGCUUUUUUUUUUGUAAUUCUUUAUUUAAAUAUACACGUCAAUGGAAAAUUUUGAAAAUUUGGAUACAAAAUUUUAAAUCACCAGAAAAAAAAAAGCACGGGAACGGAAAUAGAGGAAUCUUGUUUUACCUUUUUUUUUCCCCCCUUUAACUCUCGUUCUUAUAUAAAUAAUCUUGUUUUGAUGAUUGUGACUCGUGACUGCGGGAAAAAUUCUAAUGGAAACAACUCAAUUUCGGAAGAUAAGCUUAAUUCUGCAAGUGAUGAAUUUGUUCAAUAGACUCUGUACCUGAACUCGUUGGAUUGGUUGAUUGAUGAUUGACUAAAUUUGAAUUAAGUUUAAUAGCUUAGCUAUCAUGUACUCCUUAAAAGCAAACGUAAAUCUUUUUUAGAUUUGACUGAAUUUGGGAACCUGUUGGAUUGAUUGUUUUUAGAUCAUUAAUAUCAGAUACUACAAACGUAAAUAUUUUCUUGUGGUUGAGUCCUAUUCAAAUCACACAAAAUUGCACGACCAAAUAUUAAGAGAACGUAAUAAUAAUCACUCAGUGCGUAAGGGUAAAUUUAGAAUUACGUAUUCUUUUUUAUUUAAUAAAAUCCCAGCGAGAAAAUCAUAAAAUUUAGAUAUAAAAUUUUCAAUCACCAAACAAAAAACAGGGGGAAUGAAAACACAGGAAACUUGUUUUACCUUUUUUUCAUCUAACUCUUGUUCUUAUAUAAUAUUUUCCCUAGUGUUUCAGGCAAGCAAAAAAAAAAAAAAAAUCAAUAAAGAGCAAGUUGCUCAAAUUGAUUUAUCUUGUUUUUCAGGCAAUCUUGUGAUAUGAUGAUAAUGCUUAUGAAUGCUAGAAAAACUUCUAAUGCAAACAACUCUAUUUGGGAUGAUAAGCUUAAUUUUACAAGUGAUAAAUAUAAAUAACUUUUUGUGGUUAAUUCAAUUUGUAAUUACCCUUAGCCCUAUUCUAAAAUUUGUUGGCUGCUUCAGAAAAAAAAAAAAAAAAAUUUCACUCAUCUUUAAUCUUCAAGUAAAAAACAAAUCUAAUAAAAUGACAAACAAACAAACAAAUAAAAGACAGCAAACAAACAACAUUUAGCCAACUGAUAUUUAAACAGGGAUUAGAGUUUUUGUUAUUAACUGAAAGGUUUCAAGGGUCUGAAUAAAAUCCCAGACUUUUUUUUAAAACUUUUUUUUUAAUUAACCAAAGCCAUAUAAUAAGAUCACAGACUUUAACAAUGAACAAUAAUUUGAAACUCAAGCAAAACCAAUCACAAGAUUAAAACAAACCAGAGAAUUUUUUUCUUGGAAAGUAGAUGAAAAGCAAGUAAGAACUGCUAUUAAAGGAUAUUAUUAAAGGAUUUAGAACAUGUAUACCUCUUUAUUUAUAUGGGAUCAGAGAGUCGAUGACCUUCUCUAUUCGCUUCGGAUAUUUAGUAAGAACUGCUAUCAAAAGAAUGAAUUGAUGAGUAAUAACAAUGAAUUGCAAAAGAGGAAGACUUAAUCACGUACCCCUAUUGUACCCGAUUUUUAAGAUUUAAUUUUGAAGUCCAGAAUCAAGACAAAAGACGAAGCCUUAACAAAUAUGCAGUGAGAAUAGUUAAGUUGAAGAAAGCACUAGUUUAUGGCUCUGUGUUUCAUAUGCCGUAUUGAAAUAAUUAAGUUGAAGUUUUCAACGAAUAAAUACCUGGUGUGCUGGAAUAAUUUUAGAAGAAUAUUGGCUUAUAGAGAUUAGAGCAUAUUAGGAGGGAUCAGAUUUGUAAGAUGCCUGAUAAAAGAUAAAGCGAAUGUUAUUAUGGACAUACCAAUUUCCGACUUUUCGGAGUGCAUCCGUCUAUCCAUGACUUGAAAAGAGACCCAAUGUGUGGACAGACUUGAUUACAUNNNNNNNNNNNNNNNNNNNNNNNNNNNNNNNNNNNNNNNNNNNNNNNNNNNNNNNNNNNNNNNNNNNNNNNNNNNNNNNNNNNNNNNNNNNNNNNNNNNNNNNNNNNNNNNNNNNNNNNNNNNNNNNNNNNNNNNNNNNNNNNNNNNNNNNNNNNNNNNNNNNNNNNNNNNNNNNNNNNNNNNNNNNNNNNNNNNNNNNNNNNNNNNNNNNNNNNNNNNNNNNNNNNNNNNNNNNNNNNNNNNNNNNNNNNNNNNNNNNNNNNNNNNNNNNNNNNNNNNNNNNNNNNNNNNNNNNNNNNNNNNNNNNNNNNNNNNNNNNNNNNNNNNNNNNNNNNNNNNNNNNNNNNNNNNNNNNNNNNNNNNNNNNNNNNNNNNNNNNNNNNNNNNNNNNNNNNNNNNNNNNNNNNNNNNNNNNNNNNNNNNNNNNNNNNNNNNNNNNNNNNNNNNNNNNAUUUAAUAAUUAUAGAAGAAUAUUGGCUUAUAGAGCAUUUUAGUAGGGAUAAGAUUUGUGGACAGAAUAAAUGAAAUAAUAAAAAGCAUAACUGAUCAAGUCAUUAUUGAUCUUACUUUGAUUAUUACAUUGCACAUUAGUUUCUUUCUAAAAAUGCCAUUCUUCAUUCAAGCUUUCGCUUUAUCUUUUAUCAGGCAUCCUACAAAUCUUAUCCCUACUAAUAUGCCCUAUAAGCCAAUAUUCUUCUAAAGUUAUUAAAUGCCAUUCUUCAUUCAAGCUUUCAUGGACAUUAUCUACAAACUGAAUCUUCAAUGUAAUAAAAUAAUGAUCAGCCUCACAGGAUACAUAAAAAGCUCAUUUAUCACAAUCAUUUCCUAGUGCAUCAUAAACUUAGAUUAUUUAAUUUUACUAUUAGGAAACCUACUUAUAAAAGGCGCACACUACAAAUUCUAAAUUAAAUUUCUAACUAAGAAUAAAAGGUAAACCCUAGCAAUUUUCCACCAGGUGCCGUGUAGCCUGCAUCAUAAAUUUUGAUUUAAAUCUUUGUAAUCACCGAACAGAAAAACCGGGGAAUGAAAACAGAGGAGCCCUAUUUUUCCAUUUUUUUAACCCUUAACUCUUGUUCUUCUAAUUAUAUUUUUGCUUGGAAUUUCAGGCAAACGAAAAAAAAUAGUGACAACUAUUUAGAGAGAACAGGUGGAUGAUAGCAAAAAUAUUUUUAAUUAAUAUGCAUGAUUAACUCUUGUUCUUCUAAUGUAGUGGCUUGAUUAAUUAAUAUUUUUAAUCAAGCCAUUACAUUAUUGGUAGUCUCUGUGGGCUCAUUUCGUCUCCAGACCUGAUAUUGUAUAUCUCUUUUUGAAUAUGUUUAAUUAAUAUGCAUGCUGCUGAAUAAAGACGAUGAUUUCCAAAUUUUUGUUGCUUUUUUUUUUUCUUUUUGCUGCUUUGGUACAUGAAGAAUGUGGAAAUAGAAAUAGCUUUCGAAGUUUAAUGGCUUGCUUCAUUAGUAAAGAAAGACUAGGAUAUCCGUCCUUUUUGUUACUGAAUUAUUGAUCAAUUGACGGUUGAAGUUAGUUAUAUUAAUUUGUUGUACAAGAAUUGAAGCUUAUAUCUUUACCGUUUCGUGAAAGUGUCAAAUAUGUUCUUUCCUUGCAAUUGUUCAAAAUAUGUUACACUUUUGAAGUCACUAUUACAUAAAGGGUGUUGUAAAAUAGGGAAAGGCGGGUUUAUGAUUAGAUUUUAAUAUGUUUAAUUCAAGGAUUAACCGAAGCUAUUAACCAACGGCUACUAACCGAAAACCGAAUUUAACAAUAAACACUAACUCAGAAUUCAAGAAAAUUAAAUGACAAGAUUAAGACAAAUGAGAGAUAUUUUUCUUGGACAUUAAGAAAGAACUACUAUCAAGAUCAAGGAUUAGAGAUUAUAUAUGCUAUUAUUAAUAGAAAUUAUUAAAGGAUUUAGAACAAGUUCACCUCGUUGAUUAUCUGGGAUGAUGAGUUUCUAUAUUCACCUUGAAUAUAUAAUAACAAUUUUAGUGAGCAAAAGAUCACUGGUAACUGCAGAGGAAUGUGUGAGUUUAAGAGCUUAUUAGAGUAAGCAAUACAAAUGAAUUUUCAAAUUAUGUACUUGGUCAUUGUUGUCCUACUGACGCACGUUUUUUUUCAUGAAUAAUUGCCAGAUCAGAAAAGAAUAAGUUCGGUGGAUUGAAAGAUUGCUGAAGCAAGUAAAACAAUCUUCAUAUCGAACAUGAUUCCAAUUAAAUUAAUCUUUUUAUAAGAUGACUAAUAAAAGACAAAAGUAGAAGCUUUGAUGAAUGAACGAUGACCAAAACUUUUGUAAAAGCGGAUGCCGAUAAAAUAAACAAAAGGCACUUUAAAAAGAAACUAAAGUGCGAUCAUCAAAGUAAGAUCAAUAAUGACUCGAUUUAUUUCACCUAUUCUGUCCACAAAUGAUGCUUCGCUAUUACAAGGUCCGAAUGGACAUUAUUUACAAAUUGUUCUUAUGUUUCACAGAAAAAUGAAAAACCGUUCAUCAUCAUAUAAUUAUGAAAUAAAUAAAUUUUAUUAAUGGAUUAUGGGGAUAUGUUAAUGUUAGGGAUAUGUUCAAAUCAUCAUAUAAGUUACUAAACGCUUCAACAAGAACAAGAAUUAAUGAGUUAAAAGUAAAAAAAAAAAAUUUUAAAAAAAGUUAAAUAAAUAAAACUUAGAAGUAAAGAAUGUUAUUUGCAAUCACCAAAAUGAAAACAGUGGAACCCUGUUUUUCCUCUCAUUUCUCUUUCUCUCUUUUUCAUUUGUUGGGAAGUGUCGCCUAAAACACUUCCUCUGCUAGGUGGAAUUAUUGGCUUGAAGAGAUGAGUUCUUGUCACAAGCACAAAUUUUAUCUGUACAUUAUUUCAUUUUAAAUGAUGAGUUCUUGUCACAUGAUCAUUACUUUUUUUGUUUUGAUUUGGUUAGUUCAUGAUAACAAACAAAUUAUUUUGCAUCACAUUAUGGUAAAAAGUUGCCCUCUUUGUUACUUCCACAGCUAUAUAGUUUAAUAUUUUGUAAUAAGAUCACAAAGUGCAUGGGAACCACUGUUCGAGUACUUCAGCCUAAUAUGAAGAUCUAUUGAAAAUUUUCCUGAUGUCAUGAUAUUAAACAAAAAAAGGUACCUCUUUUACUAAUUAAUAAGAGAAGUUUUGACCGAUUUCAUGUGACUCUCUUUUACUAAUUAAUAAGAGAAUUUUUGGCCUUAUAUCCUUGCUGUGGCGUUAGACUGUUGGUCAUUUUGAUUGUUUCCUACUUUCCGUUUACGCCAGCUGUAACAUUGUAUUAUCACCAUUUUAGCCAUUUAAAUGAAAUUUAUUUUUGUCAAAAAUAAAAUGACACCCUUAAAAUUAAAAAAAAAAUAGUUAUGUAGACCUCAAAUUUUUAAUAAAGAAUGCCAAUACCCCUUUUAACUACAAGAUUCUUAGUAGAUGAUAACUAAAAAAAUUAACUUCAAAAAUUUUCACUAAAUAUAAAUCUAAUUGAAAUAGUUUAAAUUUUCUAGUAGACUAAUAUAUAUAACUUAAAUAAUUAAUUUCAUUAUUAAUUUUUAAAAUGUUAAAUAAUAUAUUUUAAUUUAUUAUAAAAAAUUUAAAUAAAUUCUUGGAUUAGAUAGAUUUUACAAUUAAUGUAAUACUGCUGAUUUAUUAAUAAUAUUAAAAUUAUUUUAUAUGAUAUUCAAAAUAAUUUAAACUUUUAUAUAUUUAUUUUAAUAUUAUGUCUAUUUAUUAUAAAUUUAUAAUUUGGUUUAAUAUAAUACGGGAUUGUAAAAUAUUAAAAUAUUUUUCAAUAUCAAAUUAUUUUAAUAUGUAUAUAUCAUUACAUUUAUUUUAAUAUUGCAUUUAUAUUUAUUAAAGAGUAUUGCAGUAAAGUAAAAAAAAAAAAAGUCUUAUUAUCCCUUAUUCACGAUAUGAGGUUCUACAGAAUUAUUUCCCCAAACGGGUGUCCUUUUCUCAUUUUCAAAAGAAAAAAUAAAGUAAGAAUAAGACCAUGGAUUUCAAAAAACUUAUAGUCCUAUCCCGGGACCAAACGUCUAUUCAUUAUUUUAUUUAUUCAAUAUAAAUGGCCAACUUAAAAAAAUGAUAAAAAUCACACAAAGCUCAAGUGAAAAUUUAGAAUUACAUUUUUUAAUACUCUCGGAGUCUUCUCUCCUGCCCCCUUUUUUUCUUAAAAAAAAAAACCUUAGUGUAAAAUUAGAAGAAUUUUAGAUAUAAAAUUUGACAAUCGCUAAACAGAAAAGCAGCGGAUUAAAAAUAGAGGAGCUCUGUUAUCAUUGCAAUAUUGAUUAUAGAUAAUAUAAUAACUUGUUGUGGUUCAUUGUAGCACUCUGAGCCAUACUUUAAAAUUUACUGGUUUGUUAAUGCUUUUAUUAUUGACAUUAUUGUGUCAAUAUUAUUAUAAUUUAUUCAUUUUAUUGUAAUGAUAAUUUGUCUAGUCUUAGGUACUUAUUAUAUUAAAUUAUGUAAAUUAAUUGAGAAUACUUUUACAGACAAAAGAAACACGUGUAUGUAGGAUUAAUAAGCGAAGAGUUGUAAAUGAAGCUGAUUGCUUCAUUGAGAUGCAUAUUAAAUAAUUAUGGAGAGUUGCUCUAUUUCAGAAGCAUAUAUUUAUACUUCCCUAUCAGGAUUUGGGGUAAGCGAAGUGCUUUAUGUAUUGCAGUAAGCAAAUGUGGGCAACAUCAGAGCCGAAAUAUUAAAAGAUCAUAACGCAUAUAAACGAUUAGUAUAUUCAAGGCACAUAUAGCGGAAAGAGUGCAGAUCUGGCCGUAACUAUUAUGAGGAUUUCCUCAAGUAAAUAUUAAAAGAACAACUAUUCUGAACUAUAUAUUCUUCAUUGUGGGCAGAUUUACUUAAAUACCAACACAAUGAUUCAAUACUUCAAAAGUCAAGGAAAUGUCAAAAUAUGAAAUGAAAAUACUUAAAUACCCUUCUCCCUAACAAAACUUAGUACUUCUAACUGCCAUCGCAGAGAAUAUAUAAAAUUUAAAAAAAAAAUCAUCCAUGAAAAGUUUCGUAACAGAAAAACCGUCUUUCAAAAAAUAAAAAAUAAAAAAUAAAAACAGAAAAAUUGACUCAUUUAUCUGCCAAUGAACCAGUCGGGACUCAUUUAAAAAAGAUUACAAAGCAAAAGUAAAUGACACAAAUUGCAUAGAUAUCUAAGAGCCGCAUCAAAGGACAAAGGUGUUAAUUUGUCCAAGUAAUAAAUUCUCCUAGGUCAAAAGCAAUUAACGAUGAAAACUUUCUUCAUUAAGGUUCUGGCCUACGUAAAAAAACAGAAAAAACCACCCCAAGGUCAAAGCACAACGAUAAGUUUAGAAUUGCAGUUUUUAAUUUUUCUUUUUAAUAAAUCAACGUGUAUUAAAAAUAGAUAAAAAUUUUGAAUAAUGUUUUUUUGAUAAAUAUAGACAUAAAAUUUAAAAAUCACCAAACAGAAAAACAGGGCAAUUAAAAGAGAGCCCUUGUUUCUCCUCUGUUUUGUUUGUUAUUAAACGGGGAAAUGAAAAGAUCGCAAGCAUAAAUUUUGUUUCUGCGUUGUCUCUUCUCAAUGUUGCAUGCAUUCAAAUUAAACCUUAUAUAUGAUAGCAAACUAGCUACUCUGCAUGUACGAUAAGUCUAAAUAAUAGAAUAAUUGUAAAAUGUUCAAAUUCAGUAAUUAAUUAUACAUAUUUAUUUAUUCAAAAAUUAUUAUUAUUAUUAAUUAUUGUCAAUAAUAUAUUAAUAUACUAAUUAAUUAUAAAAAUUUUUAUCAUUCAUAACAAUAACAAUGAUGAUGAUGAUGAUAAUAAUAAAAAUUCAAAAUAUAUUAAUUAAUUAUAAUAAUAUAUUAAUUAUUUAAUACUAAUAAUAAUAAAAAUGUAAAAUGUAUAAAUUGAUUAGAAUAGUUAUAUUAAUAAAUUAUAAACAUAUAUUAAUUAAUCAUAAUAAUUUUUUAAUUGAGGACAAAAUAGACAUUUUAUAGUUUGUGAGAGGGGGCAAAAUGGUCAAUUUUGGGAAUGGGAGAUUGAUUCCCACCACCUUCCUUGGGAAUCAAUUUUCCAUUCCUCAUUCCUAAAUUUGGGUGGCCCCAUAAUUCUGAUUUGGAUCCCUGCCUCCAUCAUUAAUGAUUUCGAUUUCGGAUUCCGAUUCCCCAAUCCAAGAAGUAAAGGCACCAUUAUUGUUAAUUGGUUCAAACACACAAAGAGAAUGUACCGUGUAGCUAGGCGUCAAGGUUGUGUUGCACAAGUAACCUUUUUCUUUUCUUUUUAUUUUUCUUGUUUUCCUUAACGGAUCAGAAGAAAUUGGUGCCUUUGAGAUACCACAAUGUAAAUAAUUAUUUGUGGUUCAUUGAAUCUGUAACACUCGGUACCCUAGGGUUGCUUUGGAAAAAGGGCUUUUCUCACCGAUCGCCAAUAUCCAAGUAAGUUUGUUUCAUUUCAGAAGGUGCAAAGUUUCAAACUUGUUGUAUUGGGAUGUAACAAACUUUGGCCUUAUAUGCCUGCUGUGACGUGAGACUGUUCAUUUUGAUUGUUUCCUACCUUCCACUUACGCACUGUAGCACUGUAUUAUUCACCAUUUUAGCUGUUUAAAUGAAAUUUUAUUUUUGUCAAAAAUAAAAUGACACCAUUAAAAUUUAGAAAAAUAAUCAUGUAGAUCCCAAAUUUUUAAUAAAGAAUACCAAUAUUCCCCUUGACUACAAUACCCUUAGUAGGUGGUAAUAAAAAAAAAUUGGCUUAAAAUUUUUACGAAAUGUAAAUAUGAUUUAAAUAAUUUAAAUUUUCCAGUAGACUACUAUAUAUAAUUUAAAUAAUUAAUUUAAAUAUUAAUUUUUAAAAUGUAAAUUAAUUUAUUUGUAUUUAUAAAAUAUUUGUAAUUAUUUUAAAAUUUAACUAAAUCCUUAGGUUAAAUAGAUUUUACAAUUAAUAUAAUAUUUCUCAUGUAUUAAUAAUAUUAAAAUUAUUUUAUAUGAUAUUGAAAAUAACCUAAAUUUUUAUAUAUUUAUUUGAAUAUUAUGCUCUAUUUAUUAUAAUUUGGUUUAAUAGAAUACGAGAUUGUAAAAAAUUAAAAUUUUUAGAUAUUGAAAUUAUUUUAAUAUGUAUAUAUUAUUAUAUUUAUUUUAAUAUCCUAUUUAUAUUUAUCAUAAAUUAUUAGAGUUAAUUUUUUUAGUUAAUAAAUUUAAAAAAUAUUAUAAUUUAAAAAAAAGUCUUGUUGUCCGUUAUUCACGAUAUGAGGUUCUACAAAAUUAUUUCUCCAAACGGGUGUCCUUUUCUUUUUUUCAAAAGGAAAAACAAGUUCAGGGCCUCAGGGGUUUCAAAAAAUUCUGGUCCUAUAUACCACUAUGACUAAUGGGAAACGACAUUGCAAUUGACAUUGCUUUCCACAAUAUGAUAGAUUAUUGGAGGGAUAUGAGAGAAUUGUCAAACGUUCACACACGCGAGAGCUUUAGGUGGGAUAGGGGAGGAUUGUCAAGAGUUCACACCACGAUAAACUAAUGAUAGGCCUAAUUUUGUUGUCAGUUCUUUAUUUAUUUAUUUUAUGUAUAUCAUACAUUAUUGUAUUUUGUCAAGGUAUAAUAGUACAAGUAAAAUACUAGGGGUGCUGUUAAGUUACAACUUAUGUAACUUGCAAUUUUUUCAAAAAUUAUGUAAAAAAUUUAAUAGGUGGUGGAACCCACAUAUUUUUUAAGAGACUUAAGUUACAGCAGUUGUAACUUAACAAAAUCUAAAUAUUAGACAAUAAUGCAUAUAAUUUGGGUUUGAUUUUUAAAAGAUUAUUUGAGUACCACCUAUCCUUAUGAUAUUAAUGUGAUUAUAUCUUAAUAUUAAAUAAUCAAAAUUUGUUUAAUUAUUAUUUGUAUUUCAUACAUUACAUAUUAGAUUUGUUUGAAUUUUAAGUUGUUGCUAAUAAAUAUUUAUGUUGUCAAAGUCAAAGUCAAUAGCUACAAAAGUAGAGAUAAUGGUAUUGUAUAUAGUUUUUAAGAAUGCAAGGAUAAGCUGGAUAAUUGACAUAAAUUCUAAUGAUUAAAAGAGCAACUAUCCCUUAAGUUAUAAUGUCAAUUUCUUUAAUUAGAAUUUUUUUUUCAUGUGAUAUAACCUUAAUUGCUACAAUUUUUUUUAUAAUAAUAAUGGGAGUUAUAAAUUAUUUAUAUAAAAUUUGGGUUGAAACUAAUGUAACCUAAAAGUGGUUGCUGAAUAACAAUAUUUGAAACUUUAGGUAAUUUUCAUGAGUCCUUUUUAUAUUCAACAACUUGAAUUGGGGGAAAUCCGACUUGAAUUGGCGGUUGAUUUUGGUGAUGUGGCUUUCGGUUUACGCCGGCUUUACAGUGGCGGAAGACUGGAUUUACGGUUGCCGACUGCUAGGGAUUAUGGUGGUAGUGUAAAUUGACGGAAAAAGAAGGUGUUUUGGUGGCGGCGCGUCUAGGAAGCACUCGUGGGUUGUUGUUUCGUGUGGUGACAGCGGGCGGCGAUCAAGGGCUGAAGUUGGUCGGUUUUUGGUCAGCAGAGGCCGGCGAGUUUGUUGGUGGAGGUGGCUGGUGGAGAAAGUGGCUGAAUGGUGGUGGGUUGCUUGGUGGAGCCGCGGGUUUGGGUUGGUGAUUUGCGGCUGUUCAAGCGGUGGUUGAGGCAGCGAUGACUAAGGCUUGGUCGACGGUGGCUAGGGAGGUUUGUGGUGGUGUUGGCUGGCUGAUCGGCGGUGGUGGACGGCGGUGGAGGUUGAUGUGACAGGUAGGGUUUUCAAAUUUGUAAAUUUUUUUUUUGAUGGAUUUGGUUUGGAUAGGUAUGGUGUAUCUAGGAAAGAUGUGCGAUUCGCACAUAAUCAUUUUGAUACCAAUUGAUGGAGCGAGGCGUAGCGGAAGCAGAAUUGAUAGGGUAAGAAACAUUAGAUAUCGUUCUAGUACUAGACCAAGCCAACACGAUUAGUUUACGCUCUAAUUGAAGCGUGAUUAGAUAUCGUUAUAAUCCAAAUGACUCAGUGAGAUUUUUAAUAACGCGUAAUACGAGAUUAGAUGACACUCUAAUCCAAAUGACUCUACAAAAGAGAUUUUGAUAACUAAUCCUAGAGGAAAUUAUAAAAGAGGGGGUUUAUUUAAUAAUUGAACUUGAAGUUAUGAAAAUAAUGACAAGACAUCUUUAUUUUUUUUAUUACAGGCAUCUUUAUUUAUAAUAGAAGAAACCCGCUUUCCUAAGUUAACCUAAAAAGAAAAUUUAAAUCAUAAUUAUAAUGGAAAUAAAAGAUUAAGAUACAUACCAUAAUUAACUCAAACUAAAAUAGAAAAUCAUAAAAUAAUAAAUAUUCUAGAAUUAUAAAUUAUCUAAAAUAACGUUAAUUAACUUCCUAAAUCACUUCUUUGGUGUAAACCAUUUUGCAUCCAUCCUCGCUUUAAAGGUUUGAACCAACGUUACCAACAAUAAUGUAUCAAAGUCCAAUCUAACUUAAGAUCUUGAUACAUCUACCGAUGUCCUUGUUUGAUUAGACAAUAAUGAGUCUAUCUCAUCACUUGUUACCUCUUUCUUGAAGGCUGCAUCUGUUGAAGUGAUAGUCUCGCUUAGAGUUUAAAGAUCUUCUUCCAUGUUAAAUAAAAUGGGCAUUUGAUUAAAAAACUUUAUCUCUAUCUCCUUCUAUCAAAUAACGACAACUAUCCGAAGGAAAAAAAAAAUAGAAAAGUCCAUGGGUCACAAUAAUUUAUGGUCUGUCCCCGGACCCCAUUAUCUGCCACUAUCAAUGAUGAAAAUGAAAAUAAAUGGCAUCUUCCCAAAAUGGCGAAAGAUUUUUGGGGGAUAUGGGGGAAUUGUCAAAAGUUCACACAACGCGAAACAAGUGUUACAUCCAAUUUUAUUUCGUCAUAUAAUGAUAAUAUCAAAUAAUGACAACCAUCCAAAAGUAUGAUGGGUCUUCCAAAAUUUUGAAAAUGUCGUCAACAUUUAAUCUUCAAUGCUAAAGAAGAUGAAAUGACCAAAAAUGACACGCAUGACUCACUCACAGACUAAAUGGCUCUGACCACAUGUAACAAACUUUGAUCUUAUGUCCUUACUGAGGCGUUAGACUGUUGGUCAUUUUGAUUGCUUUUUACCUUCCAUUUAUGCCAUUGUAGCAUUAUACUAUUCACCAUUUUAGCUGUUUAAAUGAAAUUGUUAUUUUUUUUCCAAAAAUAAAAUGGCACCCUUAAAAUUUUAGAAAAUAGCCAUGUAGACCCCAAAAUUUUAAUAAAGAACACUAAUAUCCUUUUUUACUAUAGUACUCUUAGUAGAUGGUAACAAAAAAAAAAAUGACUGUAAAAGUUUUUACUAAAUGUAAAUAUGAUUUAAAUAUUUUAAUUUUUCUAGUAGACUAGUAUGUAUAAUUUAAAUAAUUAAUUUUUAAAAUGUAAUUUAAUAUAUUUAUUUUAAUAAUAUAUUUAUUAUAAAAAUUUUAAACAAAUCCUUGGGUUAAAUAGAUUUUAUAAUUAAUAUAAUAUUUCUCAUGUUUUAAUAAUAUUAAAAUUAUUUGAUAUGAUAUUGAAAAUAAUUAAAACUUUUAUAUAUUUAUUUGAAUAUUAUGUCUCUAUUUAUUAUAAUUUGGUUUAAUAGAAUCAAAUGAAAGUGUACAUGUACAAGAAGAAAGAACCAUACACCAAGUAAAACGUAAAAAGGAUUAAAUAAAUGACACCAAUCCCCGGCAACGGCGCCAAAAUUUGAUGGUUGUCGAAGCCAACAAAAAUAAAUUCCUACUCUAAAUAAAUUGUGUAUAGUGAUUGAGCAGGGUCGUGUCCACAGAGAUCGGUAAUUAUUUAAAUCCUUUUAAAACGUAAAACAUAAAAUGGGGGUUUUGUUGACAAUAAUAAAAAUCAAAUUAAAAUAACAAGAAUGCAAAUUAAAGUUGUAAUUCAAAUUAGAGAAAGCUCUGGUUGAAGGAAUUAACUCAGCUUGAUUCGACUACUGAUCAUUGAUUCAAAUAUAGAUUAUUAUUACUUAUUAAUAGACCGGUUAUAGCUAUUGAGACCCUCUAAUAGCCAAUUUGUCCUUAACUAGUCGAUAACCAAGGUACGACCGUCAGAUAUUUCCCUAAUCAACAGACAACCCUAGAUACGAUCAUAGGAUUUAAUCAAUUGACAGCCUGAAAAACCAGAGAGACCCAAAUCCUAAUCAACACAUAUGAUGAUUCAUUUAAAUUAGAUUGUUUAUUCUCAUAACACAACUCACUGCUAUGUUAUUUGUCACAAACAUUAAAAUCUUCAUACGAUGAAUCCUUUAAUUGACAAUAGAUUAAGUUGAUAAUUAAAUAGUGGCCAAUUACCUAAUUAACAAACAUAAUCAUGAAACUAAUUCAGAGAAUAAACAAAUACCCAAAAAGUAAUAAAACAAUUAAAGCAUAAGAAAGAUCUCACAGUAGUGAUGAAUCAAAGCUUCAUUAACCUUCAACCAGAAAAAUAAGUUUAGUUCUUCAUAGAGAGAAGAGAAAAAUUAGAUCUAGGGUUUUUUUCUUUUUCUCUCAUCCCCCUUUUUCACUAUAGAUUCCUCCCUUAAAUACUCUCUCUCUCUUCUCUUUUAGAGUUCUAAUUAAAAUAAAAUACUAAUAUCUGAAAUAUUAAAUUCGUAAUUACAAAAAUAACCAAAAAUACAAAACAUGUUAAACUAAAAACUACAGGUCCGCAGUUGACAGCACGCGCCCACGCCUUAUCAAGAAAGUUCUUCUGACUCUCUAAAUUUCUCCAAGAGAACAAUCAUCUUUAAACAUCAUCUUAUAACUCAAUUUUAUCACAAAUCAAUAGAAUUGCACCUACAAAAGUACAACACAAGUAAAUCAUUAUUAUUAAGUGCAAAACAUCGAUAUUAAGGGAAGUAGACAAUGCAAAACUAGUGCAUAAAUUGCACUCUAACAAGUUCACACCACGAGAAAUUAAUGAUAGGCCUAAUUUCGUUGUCAGUUCUUUAUUUGUUUAUUUUAUUGAUUUCAUACAUUAUUGUCUUGUUGGUACUAUUUUGUAAAGAUAUAAAAGUACAAGUAAAAUAUUAGGGGAAGUAAAAUAAAAUAUUGGAGGUGCUGCUAAGUUACAGCUGCUGUAACUUACAGUUCCUUCAAAAAUAAUGUAAAAAAUUUAACAUGUGGUGGGACCCACAUUAUGUUUGAAGAGGCCGUAAGUUAUAGCAGUUGUAAAUUAGUAAAAUCCAAAUAUUAGAUAACAAUACACAUUAACAAUGCAUAUAAUUUGGGUUUGAUUUUUAAAAAAAUUAUGUGAGUAUUACCUAUCCUUAAGAUAUUAAUGAGAAUAUAUUUUAAUAUUAAAUAAUCAAAAUCUGUUUAAUCAUAAUAUGUAAUUCAUACAUUGCAUGUUAGAUUUGUUUGGAUUUUAAGUUGUUGCUAAUAAAUAUUUAUGUUGUGAAAGUCGAAUUCAAUAGCUACAAAAGCAGAGAUAAUGGUAUUUUAUGUAGUUUUUAAGAAUACAAGGAUAAGACCAUAACGCAUGAGAUAAUGGUAUUUUAUAUUAAAAGACCAUAACACAUGUAUUUGAGCCAUUUAUAUUGAGGACACAUAUAGAGCGAAGAGUGCAGAUCCGGCCGUAACUAUUGUGAAGCUUUCCUCAAGUAUUCUCAUGCACGCAGACCUUAGCUGGUCAAGUUUUCUGAUUCAAUAUAAUCAAUUUCCGCGCAGUACUAACGACAGCUUCUUUGUAAAGCUCUUCAACCACAAGCAUUUCUACAAGGCAAAAGACUAGGACGUGUCAGAAUGAAUAUCAAUAAGGGAAUGUCUUAUGAAUUUAGUUUAUAUCCUAAUAUAAGACAAUCAAUAAAUAUUAGAUGCAAUCUAAGGGAAUGUCUUAUGAAUCCUGAUUGAUGGCCUCUCACAGUCAGUUAUAUGACAAAGUAGCCACCACAACAAACUUGAACUUGGCUGGAGGUCUCAUUAGCAGUAUACCUCAGAAAUUAAGACAAAGACUUUAAAAUGCAAACUUAUGGAGCAAUUUAAGCACUGAAACUAAUAACAGUACUGUAUUAGCAAUUGACCUCUGCUUUUUUCUUGGACAAAGGUUCUCAUCACAAGGGACUCAUUAGUUGCCCUUGCCUCAAACGUUUGGAUGCUAAGGGGAAAAAGGAAGUUUGAAUUAGUCAAUCUCAUUUCUAAUGGCAUUCACAGAGAACCUAUAAAACAAAAAAAUUAUAAAAAAAAAAAUCAUCCAUAAUUCGCCAAACCGAAAAGAAAAACAGGGGAAUGAAAAGAGAGCCCACGGGAAUGAAGAGAUCAGCUCUUGUCGCGAAAAUGCAGUCGACUGUAACUAUAUCCGGGUCCCUAGUACUUAGAAGUAAAUGCUCUUGGAAUUUCUAUUAUAGAUUGAUGUUUCCCGUUCAAAUAGCUCUUCCGAUACCAUUAACAUGUUCAUCUCUCUAUAGAUUGAUGUUGACAUAGAUGUUAUUCUACUUUUGCUAGUGGAGUUUUCCUUGUACAGGUAUGUAUGAUUGUUUUUUUUGCACUUCUAAAUGGACACUGUUGAAAAGCUUAAAAUUGAACUGAUAAUUUUGUUUGGAAGCUCAGAAAAUUCAUGAGAAAGUGAAAUAGAAUAUUCUGGAUUUCUUUUCUUUCCAUAAUAUACAAAUGACAAACGUAGCAGUAUUUAUACUCGUUGCUUACAUCAUAAAAACAGAAUUAAAACAAGGUACACAACUAUAACAGAAUCAAAAGCGUGCUUAACUAAUUGGCAGAGCUGGCAUAUACUUCUUUAACUAACAAUGCUGCUGACUGGACUUUAGCUCACACAUGCUUAUCGUGCAGCUACUCUUAGUUCACACGUGCUCAGUCUGCUGUUGGCCCAAAGUUGGAACCAGAGAUAUCAUGACUCUGGUUUCAUUUCACCUCAACUGUGUUUUUUUUUUUAAAUUAAAAAAAUCAUUUGUUUUAGGUAUACAUACAUGUAUUUUGAUUCUAUUUUCAUUGUAAUUUCUCAUUUACUUUGAAUGAAAGUCAUUGGUGUUUUCGAAUGGGAAUUUUGCAUUAAAAAAUGAAGAAUAGUGAUUUUUGGAGUGUAAUUAGUAGUAAAGUUGGUUUUUACUCGCAAACAAGUGAACUGCUCGAUUCCCGAGUGGUAUCAACCAGUUUCCAACUUUUUAAUAUACACUAAUUGUUAUUGUUUAAUAGCUACUACUAUUAAAACUCGACAUCUAACAAAAAUACUUAAAAAAAAUGAUUUUUCUUAUGAUGCUGUAAAAAAAAAUUACGGGUUUACUUCUUUCCAUGAGAUCUAUAACAUGGUCUUGACUUCACGAAAUUCUUUUAAUUUAAAGCUUGCUGGUGUGAGAAGGUCAGUUUGACUGAUUAAUUCUUUUUAACAGUGGUCGAGAUAAUUUUACUAUCUAAUCGAAUGUUAUGCUGUUUUCUUUUUCUAAUCUGGUGUGAGAUAAUUAAUUCUUUUUCACAAAUGCUAUGCUGUUUUCUUAGGCUAAGGAUCUUCUAUCAGGAGAGGUUAGAAAUUCAAUGCUUAAAAGAGAAUAAUACAGAAAUUUAGGCAGAAUCUAAUCGAAUAUUGCAUGAAACAUGAAAAAUCAAUUCAAGUCCUUUCUUUAAACGGAGAAUGCAUCAAACAAAAUCCAAAGUGUCUUGCACGUCUGUAGCAUGAGCAAAAAAUUGUAAAUAUGUAGAACCAAAUUAUUCAAGUACAGAAGAACGAGCAAGCUAAAUCAUGUAUAAGAGAUUGGCCUGGUUCGGGAUAGCUUCUUCACUGUACCUGAAGGAUUGGCUCAAUCUCUUCUUUAGAAUUCUGCAGAUUUUGUAAUUACUCGUGUAAGCAAGCAUACAUUGCCACCAUAAGAAUAAUAAAGCUAGAGUAAUGAUAUGACCACCACCUCUUGUGCACAAACAAUAUUGUAUAAACUAAUGCGACAUAAUAUGAUUGGUUAAACAAAAACAUUACAUGGCCCUCAUAAUUUAUUUAUUUAUUUAUUUAUUUAUUAUUAUAUUUUUUCAGUAAACCAAUCAUAUUAUAUCACAUUAGUUUCUAUAAAAUAAUUUGCUAAAUAGCACCAAAACUUAAUUGAUACUCACCAUUUCAUUGAACAAUUUUUUUAUGGUGUCAUUGAGAUUGCCUUCCCAACAUCCUUCAUCAUCAUCAUCUUCAUCAUCAUCAUCAUCUUCUUCAUCAUCAUCUUCUUCAUCAUCAUCUUUUUCUUCUUCUGUGACGUUCACUUUGUUUAGCAUUGGUGUGUCUAAGACUCCUUGAGAGAAGAUCUUCAUUUUUGGACACUGUCUCACAACUACUGGUUUCAAGGACGGGAAUUCAAGAGCGUAAUUACCCGAACAAAAGCUUGUUAGGCUUGGCAAACAAUCAAGUCCCAAGUACUCCAAUUCCUCGAAGACAACGCAACCUUUCGCUUCUUCUCCAACCUGCAAUUGUAUGAUUUGUUCUAUCAUUUUGCAAUCAGCUAUCUUCAUUCUUUGAAGAGUCACUAGACUUUCAGAUGUUGAGAGCGUCAAUAAAUUUAUCAACCCAUGACACUUCGAUACUUCCAGAGUCGCAAGAUUUUCCAAAUGCCACGAAGCUGGUACUAAUUUCUGCAACUUACUACAUUCAAAUAUUUCUGGACUUUUCAAGUUUGCAAACACUUUGUUGGAUUUGGCAUUUUCCUUCCAGAGAUGCUGCACUUUGUGUAAUCCAGAUAGCUUUAACUUCAUCAAUUGAGGGAAUGCAACCUGAAAAUCAACAAAAUUAAGUUGUAAAUGAAAAUAUGUAUCCAAUCUCUGCAGUCUUCCCCUGCAUAUUUUAUGAACAAGAUUAAUCACGACAUUUUAUAUUUUAUUUCCAAAUUAGUAUGCUUUGCAGUAGGAUCCCAAAUAUAAGUAUCAAAUCGAUUACCCUUUGAAACACAUAAAUGAAAUCUGAUGCUAAAUCCAAUAUGAAUUAGCUAGGAAAACAGAGAUGUAACACGCAUAAUCGAUAUAGUUCAUCGCCUUAUGUCACCAGGCAUCUAAUUAAUUUAAGACAUUUUUAUAAUUCAUACUAUAAAGUUAGUUAAUAACAGAGGUUAUAUUGUUAAAUCAGAUAUAAAUUAAGACGACCUGCAAAAAGAUGAGUCAUUAAGUUUGAUUUGAUUCUAAUGAAAUUACAUCUGUGCGAACGAAAGUGAAGGCAAUAAUAAUAAUAAUAAUAAUAAUCACCUUUUCAUCGAAGAGGGGUUGUACUUGAUGAGCCAGCAAGAAGUUCUCUUCUGAUGUUAAUUUUUGAGGUUUCUUGUUAUCUGUUGUCACGUGCACUAAAGAGUUGGAUAUGAAUGUUUCCAUAUCAGGGCAAUUCUCAAUAGUUAGAUUCUCCAACUCAAGCAUUUCAAUUAUAUUCCCAGUGAAGUUGCAGAAUCUUUUGAGUUUUGGAAGGUCAAUGAGCCUUAGCUCGAAAAGCUUAGGAAACAGGGGACCUAUAUGUUCUUUGUCAGCAUUUAGCACUUCCAAAUGAAGCACCUCUUCCAGUGAAUCACAAUUCCUCACUUCCAACCAUUCCAAAUUGUUCAAGCACCGUAGCAGAUUGGCAGGAAUAGCACUCGACAUAUUCGUGCAGUCAUCCACCACCAGGUGUCUUAAAUUGUUGAAGAAGCUGACAGGCAGUGCUUGGCCAUGCGAUAUUUCUUUCAAACGUGGAAAAUGUGAGAAUUGCAAAAACUCCAUGUCACGAAAUCCAAUCUGCUCAAACCAAAACAAUUGCACUGGAUAUAUACAAUUUUUUUUUUGAAAGGCAUUAGAUAUAUAUAUAUACAUUAAACUUACAUGUUUUGUGUUUUAACUUCUAAAAAUAUAUUUAAAUGUGCAAGUGCAGGGGAGAUGCAUGAACAAUUUGGAUGAAUCGAUUAACACAUACCAUUUCUUCGUAACACUUUUGUAUAGUGGAAUUAAGCUUAUUGCCUUCCCAAUGGUGCAGUUCACCCCCUUCCUUUUCAGUCACUUGCACUUUGCAUGGCUUUGGAAUGGAUAAGAUUCCCUGAGAAAAAGUCUUCAUGUUUGGACAACGUAUCAUAGAAACUCGUUCCAAUGAUGGGAAUUCAAGAGUGUAAUUCUCCAAACAAAAGCUGGUAAGCCUUCGUAAAUCAUCAAGUAUCAAAACUUUUAAUUCGCUGAAAGCAAUACGAUUCUCCUUCGCUUCUUCUCCAACAUGUCCUACGAUUUCUUCUAAUUCUUUGCAAUCCGAUACUUUAAGAUUCACCAGACUACUAGGAAUUCCAACCUGAAAAUAAGCAAAAGUGUGCGCAUGUGUGGUGUAUUAAAAAAGUAUGUUAAUCAUACAAUUAUGCAUUUUAUAAACAUAACAAACCAUGAAAUGUCUACUAGAUAAUUUUUUGUUAAACAAAAACGGAACAAGAUAAAUAAAUAAAUAAAAUCCAGAUAAACAAAGAUAAUAAAAAUACAUUUACACUAUUUAGUAUUAGAAACGUAGAAAUAAUUUAAGGCAAUUUCUAAAUAUUUUAGACUUAUUUUGCAUCUUGAUAUCAGUUUUUAAGCAUAAAUUUGCAAAUUUCAACUAUUCCUUCUUUUUUUUUUAAAAAAAAAGGGACCAUUUUCCUUGGUCCCUUUUUUUUAUGUAUAUUUAAAAAUGGAAAAAAAAAUUUGGAAAAGACUUCCCAAUACUGUCAACGAGGGACUGCUGUAAAGUGGAUCUUUAUUAAGUACUUCCAGACUAGAGGAAAUUUCUUUACAAUCAAGGGUCAGUUGUAAAUAAUCAUGAAUUUGUGGUUAAUUAAUGGCAUAAUCAAUUCGUAACUAAACUAGAGAUAUUAAUUAAAUUUGAAGACUUUUAUUUUCUUUUUUUCUUUUUCCAAUCGAAAUGUGAAGAAUUAAGGAAAAGAGAAAUAUAUAGAUGAAUUCGUGAACCUAUAAGAUGAGUGACGAUCCUUUAAUUUUUGAAAAUCGUACUUAUUAAGAUAUGAGCAAAAACUAUUUAAUUGAAUUAUAUUAUGCUGUUGAAUCGUGUUUAAAAAAUUUAUAUUGUUGAUUCUAAUGCUGACGAACCUAAGAUACUUGAAAUAAAUAAUCAGUUUGCUGGCUGAAUAUCAUUUGUAAACAAAAAAUGGUUAAAAUAUUGUUGGAUGUAAUUUGAAAAAAAAAAGAUUCGAAAUGAAUACAGCAACCUUACCAAUGGAGGAAAAAUAUUCAUUAGGUUAUCACACCCAAUUAUCUCCAAAUUCUUCAAUUUGCUGAAAGACUCCGAAGCAAGCUGGUGGUGCCAUAUUUUUCUCAAAUUAUCCAUCAACCUAAUACGUAAUACCUCCAACCUAGUAAGUCGUACCUGGCAGUUAAAGAUUAAAUAACUAAUUAAUCAAUUAAUGGCAUAAUCAAUUGAUAACUAAAUUAGAGGCGGAUAUUAACUAAAUUUGAAGACUCAAGGAAAAGACAAAUUAAAUAUUGUGACUAAAAUUAAAUUUUUUUAUUAAAAAAAAAACCUUUUUGUCAAAGAGAGGAGGAGGUUGCAUUUCAGAAUGAAUGGUGUCUUCUGGUGAGCUCGUAGAGAUGAAUCUCGACAUACUGUUGCACCAACUAAUCUCGAGGUUUAGCAAAGAAGGGAAUUCAACAACUAAAUCUGAAUGAAUAUGUCCCGUAUUGGCAAAGCUUGUUAGUUCUGGAAGAAAAUGGAGCUUGAGGGAGUGUAGUUUAGGAAAAACCUUUAAUUCAAUCAACUUUCCUUCUUCUCUUUCUGACCACCCCGUGGUGUCGACCACCCCUUCCAUUGACUCACAAGACCGUAUUUCAAGAUGUUGGAGUUGCAAAAGACUAUUAACCAUAGAAUACGAAAACAGAUACUUCAUACGAUGACAACUGCUCACGUACAGCUUUGUUAAAUUUUGACAACAGUACAUUCCUUGAUUAUGAUCGGCCCAUAAUUUUUUCAUGUUUCUUAAGUCCCUGAGAUUCAAUUCCUCUAACCUCGGAAGAAUAACCUGCAAAGAAAACCCGUACAUUUUUGUUCCUUCAAGUACAACCGUCUAGUAUAAUAUUCUUUUGAUGAUCGAAGAUUAAUCGUGAUAAUAAAUUAAUCAAUUAAUUAUUGAACAGAAAAUUAUCACCUUUGGAGCAGUAUCAUCAUCAGCAAUGAUUUCGUUGAAUCCCAAAGAAGUUGUUGGUUUCUCCCUGUCGGGUCCUAUAAACAAACAAAAACAAUAUAUACAUAAUUAAUCUUUGUUGUUUUUUUUUUUCCAAAAUAAUUGAGGAGAAGUCCAUAAUCCCACCAAUACUUAACUUCAACACUCACCAAAAAUCAUUUCCAGAUCACCGCAAAGAGCCACUUCUACCUUUUGAAGCCGCAGUAGGUUUUUGGCCAUGGAGAAUGAGAAAAGAUGCUUCAAUUUGUGACAGGCUUCUACUUCUAUAAUCCUUAAGUUGCUGAAAGAUUGAUCUUCUGUGAGUUGGCUGUCACAUAUUGUCUCCAAAUUGUUCAAAUAGCUAAGAGACAAUGACUCCAGCAAGGGAAAGACUGUACAAUGAACCCGUCCAACUGAACCGACAAUAUGCAAAAUCUCAGAACAACUUUCUACCCAAAGAUGCUUCAAUCGUGGAAAACCUUCCCCAUCAUCUAAUUCAUGAACAACAUUCUGAACACCCUUCAGUUCGUUUAGAUGGAUCUCUUCAGCUUCCUUCAGCAACAUUUUCGUCCCAUAAUUCUCCAAAAGAGUGCUAACAUUUUCUAGCCCAUCGAGCUCCACCAUUCUUGAUGUUUUAGAAUUAACGCCUCACAUGCGCCACGCUUCUCCUAUACAUAUCUUAUAUCUUUGCAAUUCCACAGAGACCAAAUCCUGCGGUAGAAUUUCGGCAUCCCGAACGUGUAUCUCCAAGGUAGUUAGCUUUGACAACCCCUUCAAUUCAGCAAGACUGGCGUUACUUCCUCCUUCAACCUUAUCCCACUGCGAAAAGCUGUCACCCAUAUAUAGUUCUUCCAAUCGUGAAAAUUUUGAUAUGACAUUUGGUGCUAUCACUACAAGGCUCCUACAAUUGCUCAAAUCUAGCAAUUGUAACCGCGUCAAUUGACCGAUUUCAAGUGGUAACUGCUUAAUGUCGGAAUAUCGAAAGCUAAGAAUCUCUAAUUUCUUUAGCUGUCCAAUUGCCGCUACAUCUUCUUGUUGGCACCAGUCUAAACACAAUGUUUGAAGGUUAAUGAGGCGACCUAGUGACGAAAGUAAUGAAGAGAAAUGAAUUCCAGUAAAAUCUAAAACUUUGAGUUCUUCUGUCCCUUCAAAAAAGAGGUCUGAAACUUGCAUAGGGCCAUUACCCUCCGUAUACAACAAAAAUAACUGGAGAUUGGGACAUCCCAACCUUUCGGGAAGCUCUUGAAUAUCUCUAUAAGGUAAAGAAAUAGCAAUUGGACCUUUCUGUAUUGUCUCUUCCAUCUUUUUCUCCACGUCAGCAACAUUUGGAAUAUUAAACAUGCGCUUCUCUGCUGCAAUUGAUACAGCAACAACAUGAAUGACGUCAUGCAUUUUAACUUCAUCUUUGGCAUCACCGUCCAACAAUAAGCAUGAAGAUUUGAGAUUGUCGAUCAACCGAUGCACUCUACUCCUUGCUUCUUCCAAUGUGUAAACAUUUUCAAACAAACCCCAACCCACACCAUGUCUCAAUAAGUCAGAAACGGGUAUGACAUUACCUUCACUGUAUAGACCACAAAGACGGAACAGAGAUUUUGCCUCCUCACUUUCCAAGAAUUCAUAACUCAAUUUUAUGGAGGUGUACACAUUUGCUUGCAUGCCAUGAAUUUCUCUUGCAUCCGAUCUUCUUAGCUGAUUCAAUGCAUCUUGCCAAAAGUAACGCUCCUUAGUUUUCAGAGCAUUUGCAACUGUACUCAGUGCAACAGGCAAACCUCCGCAUCUUUCAACGAUCUCAUUUGCUAUACUUUGAAAAGCAGAUAUUUUAGUUGAAUCACCCACUAUCUUCUCAAAUAACUGCAAUGCUUCUUUUCGUGGCAAAGCAUCGAUCGGGAAAUUUUUCUGAGAAUUCAUAUCAAUGCUCAAUAAAUCUUGCUUUCUAGACGUCAAUAUUAUUGUGCAUCUUCUCUGAUCAUCCUUUCUAUCUUUCUCAGCAACAUCUCCAGAAGGGAUUCCAACCGCAUCCAACUCAAGUCUUGUCCAAAUAUUAUCCAAUAUAAUGAGGACCCGCUUCUCUUUCUUCAAUACUCGACGUAGUCGAUUUGCUCUGUCGAAUAUAUUCUCAUUCAACUCAAACUUUAUGCCUAAAUCUGAAGCGAGUUUGUUUUGAAUUUGCUGAUUAUCUGAUUCAUGUGUUAGCUCAGCCAUAACGACCUUAUCGAACAACUUAUCUUCCAUCACUUGCUUUCUAACUUGCCUGACUAGCGUGGUUUUACCCACGCCGCCCAUGCCGUAGACCCCAAUUAUGUUGAGCUUAUCAUCCUUCAACGCCUCCAUAACAUCCUGUAAUACUUUCUUUCUUGAAUCAAAGGCCUCGUUAUCUUUCCCGCCCCUAGGUGAUUCGCUCUCUGGAGGAGGAUCGUAGGAAACAUCACUCUUCAGUUUGUCGCCUUUUUCCAUGAGAUUAGCAGCAUCUUUUGCGGCCUUUGCUGCUCGUUUACUGAGUUUGUAACGAGACAACAAAUUUGGACACAAUCCUUUGAAGCAGGACUUCUUGGCUCCAUCUUCUUCGUCAAUGAUAGAUUUUGCAACCCCCUCCGUAGAUUCAACCCUACUUCGCCAGUCUUUGACACGCUGAUAAAUCUCUUCCCCUUGUCGGGUAGCAUGAUAAACAUGUUGUUGCACCAUUUCGUUUAUACCUCCCAACUCCUUCACUUGAUCUUUCAGCUCUUCUAUGUAGCUCUGGUACUUGAACACAUAAGAGAUCUGCCGCAUAAUCGGUUCGAACAAUGCCUUUGUGCCUUCUGAUAUAAUGCUUGAAAAAACACCUUGACAGAAUUCUACAGCCAUUGCCUGCUGCUUAACGAUAUAUAUGUAGUUUUUGGCUGUUAAAAAAAAAAAAAUUGGAUUCAAAUAAAUUAAAUGAACUAGAGGGGAAGAAAAAGAAAGAAACGACAACAAACAACUUUUUAGAGAAAGGUUUGACAGGCCUAAAUGGAAAACCAACAACUUUUUGAAGAAAGAAAACUUUGGAAGAUAGAUGCAAAUUAACCGUUGAUAAUAAUACUACAUUAAGAACACAGAAGUUAACAAUAAACAGUAACUUAAAACUCAAGAAAAUUAAAUGACGAGAUUAAGACAAACAAGGGAUAGUUUUUGUUGGACAUUAAGAAACAACUGCUAUCAAGAUCAAGGAUUAGAAAUUAUGCUAUUAAAAGAAGUUAUUAAAGGAUAGUGCUCGUGACUGCAGGAAAAUUUCUAAUGGAAACAACUCAAUUUCAGAAGAAUUUAUCCAAUUGACUCUGUACUUGAACUCGUUGGAUUGGUUGAUUUAUGAUUGACUGAAUUUCAAUUCGGCCCAAAAGAUCUUUAACCAAAGUUUAAUAGCUAUCAUCUACUCCUUAAAAGCAAAUGUGUAUCUUUUUUAGAUUUGACUGAAUUUGAUCUUGUUGGAUUGGUUUUUUUUUAGACAAAGUUGUUUUCCUACUGAUUUUUAUUCUUCAAGUAAACUUAGAUACAAAGUAAAUCUAAAAAAAUGACAAACAAACAAUGAAAUAAACGACAACAAACUGGCAAUUUUGAUACAAAGCCAACAAAUAUUAAAAUUUAGAACAUUUUGUUUUCUUGCUUUCUUUUGUUGGAGGAUUAGAGAUUUUGGUAUUACCCGAAAGGUUUCAAGGGUCUGAGUAGAAACCUAUAAUCUUUUUAAAAACUUUUUUUUAAAAAAUUUUUUUUGGGGAAAAGGAUGCAAAUUAACCAAAGGAAAUAAUAAGAGCACAGGCUUUAUCAAUGAACAAAAACUUAAAACUCAUGCAAAAUAAUUCAAUAUUAAAACAAAUCACUGAGGAAUAUUUAAGAACAACUUGAAAGAGCAAAAAGAUCACUGAGGAAUGUGUGAGAAAAGAGUUGACGAGAGAAAUAACAAUGACUUGCAGAAGAAAAACCAUUAAUAAUUAUGUGCAUUUUUAUUUUAUUUUUAUCCGCAUGCACUUUAAUGAUUAGUGCUCCUUUCAUAAAGCAGCUACCGGAAACACACAAAUAUCAUUUGAGAGAGAAACUAAACAGCAAAUCAUCAAAGUAAGAUCAAUAAUAUAUUAUUUGGUUAAUGCAUAUUCAAGAACAAAAACAAAAAUAAAUAAAUAAAUAAAGAAGGUUUGAUUUUGUAUUGCCAACGCUGCUUUUUUGUUAUUUCAUUUGUUCUUUCCACAAAUGAUGCUUGGUUAUAAUUAAGUUUCACAUGGCCAUUACUUACAAACUGUGUUUGUGUUAACAGAAACAUGAAAUUCACAUCACACAAAAUUGCACUAUCAAUUCUUAAUAGAACAUAAUAAUAAUUACUCAACGCAUAAGGGUAAAUUUAGAAUUACAUUUUCUCAAUGCAGAAGGGUAAAUUUAGAAUUACAUUUUCUGAUUCUUUUUUAUUUAAUAAAACCCCAAUGGAAAAUCAUAAAAAUUUAGAUAUAUAAAUUUUCUCCACCAAACAAGAAAAAAAAAGGGGGAAUGAAAACACAGGAUUUAUUUUACCUCUCUUUCAUCUUAACUCUUUUUCAGGCAAACCAAAACAAAAAAAUUUCAAUAAAGAGCUAGUUGUUGAAAUUGAUUUAUCUUGUUUUUCAGGCUAUCUUGUGACGUGACGAUAGAUAAUGCUCGUGAAUGCUAGAAAAUUUCUAAUGCAAACAACUCAAUUUGGGAUGAUAAGCUUAAUUUUGCAAAUGACGAAUGUAAAUAACUUGUUUUGAUUAAUUGAAUUUGUAAUACUCUUACCCUAUUCUAAAAUUUGGAGGUUGCUUGAGAAAAAAGGGUAUUUCUCACUCAUCUUCAAUCCUCAAGUAAAAUUAGGUAAAAAUCAAAUCUAAAAAAUCACAAACAAAUUAACAAAAAAAAAAAAAAAAACAACAACAUUGAUCUUGAGACAAGUGAUAUUUAAACAGAGAAUUCUUUAUUCUUUUUUACUUCCCCCUCCCCCCCCGGGGGGCUCGAGGAUUAAAGUCUUGCUAUUAACAGAGAGGUUUUAAGAGUCUGGAUAAAACCCGUGCUUUUUUAAAAAACCACUUUUUUUUUUCUUUUCUCUUUUUUUUGGGAAGAUAGAUUCAAAUUAACCAAAGCUAGUAAUAAGAGCACAUACCUUACAAAUGAACAAUAACUUACAACUCAAGCAACAUAAAUGAUAAGAUUAAAACAAACCGGAGAAAUUUUUCUUGGAAAAUAGACGGAAAUUAAAUAAGAACUGCUGUUAAAAGAAAUUAUUAGAGGAUUUAGGAGCAUGUGUACCUCUUUAAUUAUUUGGGAUCAGAGAGUUGAUGAGCUCUCUAUUCGCCUUUAAUAUUGAGUAAGAACUGGUAUUAAAAGAAAUUAUUAAGAACAAUAUUUCAGUGAGCAAAAGAUCACUGUUAACUGCAGAGGAAUUUGCGAGUAAAAAUUAAGCUGAAAAGAGCAGUAACAAUGAAUUGCAAAAGAAGGAGACUUAAUCAAGCACCCCUUUUAUACCCGAUUUUUAAGAUUUAAUUUUGAAGUUCCCAAUCAAGAACAAAGACGAAGCUUUAAUGAAGCAUGCAGUGAGAUACAAGAAAUGGAUCGGGCAAAAUACCUUACGAAGCGUUUCAUAUUUUCUAAUGAAAUAAUUAAGUUGAAGUUUUCGACGAAUAAAUACUUGUUGUGCUUGAAUAAUUUUGGCAUAUACAUUACUUGUAUCCGGCGAAAUUGAAAAGCACAUUCAUUUACAGAGCUUGUUAGUAGGGAAAAGCUUCGUAAGAUGCCUGAUAAAAGAUAAAGCAAAAGCUUGAAUGAAGAAUGACAUUUUAGAAAGAAACUAAAGUGCAAUCAUCAAAGUAGGAUCAAUAGUGACUUGAUCAGUUAUGCUUUUUGUUAUUUCAAUUGUUCUGUCCACAAAUGAUGCUUCGUUAUUACUAAUUCCACAUGGACAUUAUUUAGAAACUGAUCUUAUGUUUAACAGAAAAAUAAAAACUCGUCAUCAUAAGCAUUCUUGGUUGUCCUAAACCAGAAGUAGGUGUUUUGCCUGAAAGUACCACUUUGCUAGCAAAUCUAGUGGGUAUACUGAAUAAAUUUUUACAUUAUUCUAUUUGAUCUCUCUGUCUUUAUCCUAAGCAUUCUUGGUUGGGAUCGCUGCAUUGUCCUGUAAUCUGUGUGACUUAGUGAAAAGAGGAAUGGGUAACUGUGGUUAUGGGUACGUGAGAGGUAACGAUGAGGGUAGAUUGUUAAUUUUGAGGAGCGAUUUGCUUGCAUAAUUCAAUGCAUGGACAGAAAUGUCCCUGACCAAAAAAAGGGACCAUCCAUAUCUGAAUCUGAGCAUCAGAGCUUGACUUAUUUGAUAAAUAGAUAUACUUGAACUGUUUUUGCAUAAUAACUAAAAUAUUUAUUUUUAUAUAUUCGAUAAACGAGCUCACUAUUGAUAGAACUUAUUAGAUACUACAACUCAAAUAACUUCUUGUGCUUGAUUGAGGUUUUUAUAUAUUCGUAUGUUUGAGUUUUUUUUUUUUUUUUACUUUCUAAGAAUUAACUUCUACCUUGAUUCUAAAAAAAAAUAUAUAAUUUUACAAAUAAUUUAGUUCGGCAUUUGGUAAAUGAUAACUAUUUGAGAAUAAGUUUUAAAAUGGUUUACUGUACAAAUCUGGUAAAUGAAAAUUAAAAGUGUAAAAUGUUCACAUAAUGAAAAUUAAAAGUGUAAAAUGUUCACUUGCAAUGACAACAAAUACUUAUUUACUUAUUUGUAAUUUAUUUUGAAUAUUAUUGUUUAAAUCAUUUUUUUUACUUACCAGAUUUUUUAAGAGCAUUCUAUUUUCUUUAUUACAUAGUUAAAUAAUUUUUUAUUAGCUAUUUUAUUUUGCAAUAAAAUUAACUUCAAUAUUUUUUUAACUAAAAAUUUUGUUAUGUAGUUCGUGAUAUAACAAAUACUAACAUAUCAUUAAAUUGAUUAAUAAAUUAAGUGCAAAAAAGAAAAUGCAGAAAUUUAAUCUUUAUAUAAACUUUUAUGUACAUAAAAUCAUUGUAAUCAAACUAGUUCAUAGAAAUAUAAUAUUAUAUACAUGUGUGUAAAAAAAACAUAUGACCAUAAUAUUAUCCACUCAUUAAACUUGCUGCACUAUUAUUUCUCAAUCUCUCCAUCUCUCGACCUUCAAGAACAUUACUACCAUAAUCUUCUUCUUGAAUUCAACCUCCAUUUCCUCAUCAUCAACAAUGCGACCAAUUUGCCUUGAUAGCCUUUCAACUCCUCCCACUUUCCUCCCUUUUUGCAGACACUCUUUUUCUUUUUCUUUUUCUUCUUUAAUAGCUUCAAUGGGAACAACCUCAUCUAACGACAAGUCCAUUCUUCAACUAGAAUAGAGUUGGUAGUAGAUAUUUUAGUACUCUCAAACUAUGCCCAAACAGGGUCACCAAUGAUUGUCGUAUUAAAAGACAUUCUAUUUAAUUUUCCUCUAACUCUGGGUCGAUACCUUUUAUGCAAAAUCUAUUUACUUCAGGAAUUUUCUACACAUGUCGAUAGCAUAUUAAAGUGAAUUCAGAUCCUAUAUUAUUGACAUUAAAAUUUAGCCGAAUAGUAAAAAAUUUCCCUUUUUGUUUGUCACACAGCCAUAUAGUCCCAUUUUUGGUUAUAAGCUCACAAUAUGCAAGGGAAAUGAAGAUCUAUUAAAACUUCCCCAUAAUGUUCAUUUUGUUGCUCGGAGGAAUAUAACUACCUAUUAAUUAAUUAGCAAGAAUUGCGUUGCGAGUCCAUGUUUUUGUCGUUUGGAUGGAGGAUGUGCUAUCUUUUUGUUGUAGAUGCUUUGUAAGGCUUUUGAUUUAAUGAUUUAAUGCAGUCAAUUAACAAAAGCUUACAUAUAGUAUUAUGUAGUUGCUGAGAUGUCUGUUCUUGAUAAAGUCGAUUUAUUUACACCCAAGCCAACGGAAUCAAAGCCUUUUCGUUAAUAAUAUACACGGUAAUUGUUUUUGUUAAAUUGAUUUCUAGCUAACAAGAUCUUUGAAAGCAUUUAGGUAGCGUUUACAUUUUAUGUUGGAGUGAGAAUCAUGAGGAGUGAGAAUCCUGGGAUUAGAAGUGUGGAGUGGGAGUCGAAGUAUGUUGUUUACUUACACUGGAAUGGAAGUAUGGAAUUGAAAUCAGAAUCCAAUUUAUUUGUUUACAUUGUCUUGGAUUGGGAGUAAAUGAUUUUAAAUUACAACUUUACUCUUAAAAAAUUAUAGUUAUUACUUACAAAAUUAAUAAAAAUUAUAUUUAAAAAAUAAAAUAUUUAUUUUAUUAUAUUUUUAAAAUAAUAAUAAUAAUUAAUAUUCUUAACUAUGUAAAUCAAAAUUAUUUUAUUAAUUUAAAUUUAAAUUAUAUAAAUAAAAAAUUAUUAAUAACAACAACACAAAUGAAACAUUAUUAUUGUACAAAAUUGAUUUUUAGAAUAAAAUAUUUAUUAUUAUUAAUCACUAAUAUUAAAUAAAUAUAAUAGUAUUAUUUUUAAAUAAGUAUAAUAAUAUUAUAUUUUCAAAUAAAAAUAGAAUAUAGUAAUAUUAUUAAUUCUUUAUGAAUAUAAUAAUAUAAUUUUUAAGUAAUUUUAAAUUAGAAUCAAUAUAAAUUAUUAUUUUUAACCAAAAAAUUAAUAUUAUUUUCAAUAUGUUUAAUAUUAUUAUUUUUAAUAAAUGUAAUUUAUAAAAUAAUAUAAUAAUUUAAUUUAAAUAAAUAUGAUAUUAUUUAUUUUAUUUUAUUAAAUAUAAAGGUAAAAAAUGAAGAGAGGCGAGUGAAUUCCCACUCCCACCUUGCCCCAUGAGAGUGGGAAUCCCAUUCAGUCACUCCAAAGUUAGGUGGGAUCCACAGAGUGGAAUUCUCACUCUCCCUUUGAAAAUUGUAAGUAAACACUAGAGUAAAAGAAAUCCACACUCCUCACUCUCACUCCAAAAAGUACACACUACAUUGAAGAAGCCAUUGACUCAUAAGAAAGCCAUGAUUAAAUACAAGGCGAAGCAUGUGAGCUCGUUUUUCAAUCUCUUUGAUCACUCAUAAGUUUUUCUAUACCACUCACUAUAUCAUCCUUUUAAGUCAAUUUUGACUGAUCAUCAGAGAUCAUGCACCCCACCUUGAGAUGAUUGAUCACCAAUUUGGCAUUGUAACAUUGAUCACCUCUAAUUGGCCAAGCUAAAAUUGGGACCCCAAAACCAAUUGCUUCUACAGUUGAAUUUUAUCCACAGUGAGAUAAAAAUCCACCUGUUAAUUGAUAACUCAGUAUCAAUAAUUGUGGUGCCAUUCCAUCUAUUAUCAAACCCUUUUUACUGGCUCUACUAUCUAAACCACUACGAAAAUAAGCUGGUUAAAUGACGUAGAGGAUCCAAUCUAUUUACAUAAGUUUGAAUUACCUAAAUAAUCGGUGGAUUUGAUGCUUAUAAAUCAGAGGGAAUUGCAGCAGAUACACCUUCAUACUUUAAAAAUUACCUCAAUACCUUAAAAUUUGAUUUUUCCAAAAUUUUCAUCAAUAUCCUUUAAAAGCUGAUAGGAAAUGACUAAGUUAUCCUCGUUUUAAAACACUUCAACUCAACUGGCAGCACCUCUCCCUCCCUCUACUCAAACAAACAAACACUCAUAUAUGCUACAAUUCCCUCCACUACCUUUACUCAAACAAACAAACAUUCAUUCUCCAUACAUGCUAAAUCGAACUUCAACACGAGCAAAUUGAGCUGAGAAAGGGAAGCUGCUACAACUGAGAAAGAGAAGCCUAGUUCGUCGCUACAUAAUCGCCAGCGAGAGUUGAUCCUUUAUUGCAAAAUGGUCAGAAUGUAACUAGUUGAGGUAAGUAAUUCCCUAUAAUUUGUUUUCUUGUUGAUAUUCAAGGGAAAAAACAAAAAGUUAGGGUUUUAUAUUGAAAAAAUAAUUAAUUAGUUGCGGGUCUCUCAUAACAUGUUCGAAAACACAUUUCUAGUUGUUUUGUUGCAUGCAAAUUGUGAAAAAUUAAUGGAUUGUGCCGAUUAUAAUUUUUUCAUGUAACACACGAUUUGGUCAUGUAAGGUUAUGUAAGAUUCAAGGUUGUGUAUUACACGACCUUCAUGUAUUGCACGAUUACAUGACCUUCAUAUAUUGCACGAUUACACGAGCUUUAUGUAUUACACAAUUACAUGACCUUCAAUUCCAGAUUGAGGAGUAAAAAGUUUAUCAUCUCUCCAGGUGUGUUCUGUAAUUUAAUUUUUUGUUUCUUGUCGAUAGAAUAUACACAUUACAUUUAGUUUAAUUAGGCUCACAAUUGGGGACAAUAAAUUGGAAUGGUACAUAUGCCUUUACCUUGUGGAAUGUCAUUACUUAGAGAGAUCCUUAAUUUGCAAUUAUAAGCCAUGGUAAGUCAUGGUAUGUCUAGUUAUGAGUGGAAACACUUUGAUCAUUGCGAAUGGUGUUCUUAUGUGUAUAACAUUACAUUAAUUUCCUAUAGUUAAUUUUUUUUCCUAAUUGAUUUCAUGGAUUAAUUAUAUGCAGGCAUUCCUCAUGUAUGCAUGUAUGUUUGGGCAGAGGAAGAAAGCACUUUGAAGAUUAAAAAAGCUUUUUAAAUGGUUGUACUAUGUUUAAUAGCGAUGUUCAUUAGUGUAUCAUAUCCAAAUAUUGAAAAAUUUGUACACUGAUAACUUUGUUUAUUUAUACUAAUUAAUCUAAUCAUUUCUCAAACUGUCGGAUGUUCAAAUUUAGUUUUUUUUUUCUGCAAUUUAUGAACACACGAUUUGGUCGUUUAAGGUCAUGUAACAUAGGAUUCAAGGUCGUGUAAUAUACUCAUGUAUACAUGACCCUCAGUCGUCUAUGACAUGACUUUGUAUAUUAUUACGCGAUCUUGAAUCAUGUGUUACGAGUCUUUCAUGACCUUCAGUUAUAUAUUACACGACUUUCAUGUACUACACGACUUUAUGUAUUACAUGACUUUAUAUAUUGCGCGAUUAUACAGCCUCCAUGUAUUACACGACCUUAAAAUUACACGAAAUUUUCCAUUAAUCAUUAGAUUAAUUUAGUUCAUUAAAGACUUAAUUUGUGCUAAGAAUUUAUAUUUGCUGCUAUGCAGAAAAUGUCAACGAAAAUUAUUAAAAAAAAGAAGUGAAAUUAAAUUGGAAUCUAAAAAAAUUCCACAUCAUCAUUGGUUUGAAUUGUAAGUGGUGGCAUAGGAUCAGAUGUCUUAAGCUUGAACUUCAUUGUGAUUUCGAAUUCCGAAGUAUCUAUAUCAAUAAAUUGAGCUAAUCUUCACCAAUCCGGCAUAUGUUGUCGAUCGUGGUAUCAUUAUCCCUUUAGCCUUGGAACCUUUGAACUUAUACUCAUCAUUUUGGUCAAUCCAUUCACCAUUGAAGAGAAUAGGUACACGUACCAAAACCAUAUCUGAUGAUACAAUAAAAACAAUAAUAUCAAAUUUCAUAUACAAGUAACUACACGACCUACAUGACUACAUUACUUACAUGACUUACACGACCUACAUGACUAUAUUACUUACAUGACCCACAUGACUUACACGACUAUAUUACUUACACGACCUACAUGACUAACUACAUGACGUGCACGGUAUCAAAAGGAAUGCACGACGCAAAACAUUUUCACCAUAAAUAAAUUAUAUUGCUGAAAAAAAUAAUUAAACAACCUACAUUGCAUAUAAUUCUACAUAUAAGAAAAAAUGGUGAAAAUACAACAUUAUAGAGUGAGGAAAUUUUCUAAAUUUUCCUAAAAAUUAAAAAAAAAUUAAAACCCAACAACAUUAACAUAUCUUAUUGGGUUGUUUAAUGAGCAAUGCACCUAAUUUCAGUUAAAGAAAGAGUGGGUGUUAAAGAAAUGAAUAUAUAAUUGUAUUUGUGUAAGAAGUUAUGAGAGAUUUUGAGAGAUUCUAGGAGAUUUUGAGAAAAUUUCGGCAGCAAGAAAAGAUUUGGGUGAAAGAAAUAUGAAGACAAUGAAGUUGAGUGAAUUUGAUGCAUUCAUUAAGGACAUUUCAAACUUUACUUACAUUUAUUAGGGUAUCCAUGAAAACAAAAAAGGGAGGGGAUAUUUAAAUAAUUUUGAAACUAUUAAAGGGUAUUUAAUUAAAAAACCCUCUAAAUCAUUGGCUAAUGUUGAAUAAUUAUUUAAGGUAGGACCCAACAUGUAUAACACAGAUCCAUAUGAUUUCAAAUCUAAUCAUUUAAUGAUCUCAUCUUCGGUCAUGUUAGAACUCCGCCGGUUGGUUCUCAUCUCACAAUCACGAAGCACUGAACCGGCCGAUUUGUAAAAUUGUUUAGGUAACAAUGGGCCCACUCCCCACACUGGCAUCAACACCAUCGAUCCCUCCACUUGCUUCAUCCAGUGUGGUUGAUCACUCGGUUCUGAUGGACCUAUUUUCUCUGAACCGGGUGCACCUCACAAAGGUUGUGGACCACCAGGAAGGGACCCGUGAGGCCUGCGUUUAAGAUCCGAUUCGAAUAAAGCAAUAUCCUUGGGUAACCCAAGAAGUAAACGGGCCUCUCCCGGUUUGACAUCCUGGAUGCGAGCCUGCCACAUGGCACACUCUACAGCUGCUGAGCAAGCAUCAGAAGUGAAGAACCCAACAAUGGGAACUUCAAAAUUCUUGAAAACAUCAGCCGUCCAGCCCAUCAUAACGCCGAUGACUACGCAAACAGGUCGGCUUUCGGGUUCCCGGGUUGAAAGGAGGUUUCGAAGGCCUUGAAGCAUAUGGCUGUGCAUGACAACAUGGUGGUGAGAAGGAGGUGAUGGUAGUGGUUGAGAUGGGAGGGUAUUUCGGUAAUUUCACAUAGAGGGUAUUGGUGAAGAGAGGAAGGGGUGAUGCUGGUGGUGGAAACGUGAGAGGGAAUAAUGAGGGUAGAUUUGUAAUUACGAGAAGCAAUUUGCUUGCAUAAUUCAAUGCAUGGAAACAGAUGUCCCUGACCGAAGAACGGGACAAUCCAAAUCUCAGCCUCAGCAGCAUUCGCAACAGAGCUUGACAUCUUUUAUGAAUUAUUUGAGACUUAAUUGUUAUUGACUGCUUUUGCCAUCUUUCAUAAAACAUUCUUUGUUAUAUAUUCAAGUAAAUAAAUUUAUCGUUUAAAAUUAAUUUUUCAUGUGGUAAAAGCAAUACUAAAUAUGGGGUGGAGAGAAUAAUUUGUAGGGCAUACCCCCACCAUUUAUUUAAUUUCAUUAAAAAAGAAAGAAAAGAAAUAAAGGCUUGUUCAACAUUCAAUUAAAAUUAACAAUUCCAUGAUAAAAUUACUUGAGAAUAAAAAUUUUUAAAAAAAAAGUAACUCAAAAACGAGGAAUUUUUGAGUAACUGAAGAACCAUAGAUGUUUUUUGGUCAUGAGCAAUUUUUGAGUUGAGACAGAACUUGUAUAAAAAAAUAGUUUUGAAAACUUCUUUUCUUUUUUCGUAAAUAUAGAUAUAAAAUUUUAAAAUCACCAAACACAAAACCAGGAAAAUGGAAGGAGAGCCCCUGUUUCUCCUCUGUUGCAAGAACAAAUUCGGUUUCUACAGUUGUACCUUCUAAAUGCACCAUUUGUAUUGCUUUGUCUCCACUUGAGCUAACGGAAUUUGAUGAAAACAAAAUAGAUAUGAGUGGUGCUAUUCACAGCCCUCAAUAAUUCUCUCAAAACCCCUUUUCUAAUUAUACCCCGUUGAAUAAGUUCAAGACCAACUUUUCCUCUUAUAACACCACCUUCAAUUCCGUUAAUACCCUUGUUCGCUAUGAAAAUGAGGAAAAUGCCUACAUAAAAAGCUGGCUCUGAUAAUCUACCUGAAUUUACAUUAGAAAAGAGUGGACUUUGAGAAAUAAGAAGACAAUAUAGGGAAUUUUACCAAAAUAAUCCAUUUUUAUAUACAGGGAAUGGUAUUUUCUGAUAUAGGGAGGAGUGGAGAAAUUAAAUUCAGCAAAAUAAAGAACCUCCAUCGAGAAGUAAAAAUGAUGAUAUCUUUGUCGUGAAGAGAUUUCUGCCUCAUACAAAUUUUUUAUUCUAGAAUGCUUGAAACCGAAAAGUUCUGUAGUUGUUUCAAUUCAAUUGCAUACAUUGACGAAACAUUAAAUACGGAAAAAAACAAAAAAGAAAUAAUAGGACAGGGGGAUUUCGAGAAGUUCUAAAGAGAGAAAUCUAUUUAUAAGCAUUGAAAAUUAGCUCAUUAAAUUUGACAGAAUAAUAUACAAUCUCACUGUUGGCCAGAAAAUAAUAGUAAGAACUUGUGAACAUAUAUAAUCAAUUGUUUAUUACUUAAGCUCUUUUUCUUCGUUAUUUUGAAUGGGUGCAAAGAAGAGAAGUUUUGUACCCAAAUUCCAACUCGAAUUGUGUAGGCUGCUUGCAAGAGCUUCAUUAGAUUUUUAUUUGUCUUUUAAUAGUGCUUCUCGACAAAUACAGCUAGCUAUCUGUCCUUUUUGUUACUGGACUAUAGAUCAAUUGACAGUUGAAGUUAUAUUAAUUUGUUGUGCUGGAAUUGAAGCUUGUAUCUUAGCCAUUUGGUGAAGUGUCAAAUAUAUUUUUAAUUUCCUUAAAAUUGUUCAAAAUAUGUUUACACUUUUAAAGUCACUAUUAUACAUGAGUGCCCUAAAAUUGGAGAAGGCGAUUUGCCUGACAUUACCUGUAUUCGCUUGUAUAGAGAGGACGAUUUAGAUAAGUCGGAACGGAACAACCUUCAUCACAUGCUUCCUCACGUGGUUACUUAAACUGAUAUGUAAAACGUGCUCCAUCCAUGUCGUUUCCACUAAAUCGUUUUCUGUUAAGAAUCAGCUGAGCAGCACGUGAGCUAAUGAAGCUUUUACGGCUUCAAAACGCAGCCGUUUCUGGGAACCAAACUUGAUUCAUCACCUCACAACUACAGAUGAAUUAUCGAAGUGGCUGAUUGGUGCUAUACGUGUUUUUCGUAUUGAACUCAACUCUGCUAUUUUCCCAAAAGCUGGAAAACAGAAACAUCAUCCCUGUGGUUUUAUUUCACCUCAACCUUUUUCUGAUCCCAUUUUCAUUGUAAUUUCUCAUUUACUUUGAGUGAAAGUCAUUGUUGCUUUCGAACGAGGUUUUGCAACUAAAAAGGAAAAGGGGGCGGCUAUAAUACAUGCGUGCAUCUGAUACAUGCACAAAAACUGACCAUUGGAUUAAAUGGAGUGGAUCUAAUGGCUGAGAUUUGUUUUAUUAUUAAGCAAUAAAAAAAUUUGAAACAACCAGAAACCUGUAAAACCGGUCAUUUGGUUUAAGUUAAAAAUAUAUAAAUGAAAAUAACAAAAAAACCCACCACUCCCCCGCCUCACACGCGCCUCACCGCUCCCCGCUCCCUCGCCUCACCUCUCUUCUUGUUCCACGGCCAUCAACGGCGGCACGAGUCGGCGACGAUCGACUGCGGCUGUAAAUUGACCACGAUCAUCUCUCUCUCUCGGCUUGCUCAAAUUUGGCCGAUCUGUGCGCUUGCUUAAGCUUGGCCGAUCUAUGCUUGCUCGAUUACUCUUCCUAUCUUCAGUCAGAGUCAACUGUUUGACAAGAGUCGAAGUCCAAGGUUCUUUUUUACAGGAUUUGAGCUAUUCCUUUUAUUCUUCUUGCAUGUUCACUGAUAUGAAGCUUUGAUGUGGUGUUCUGAUAGCGGGUGGAAUUUGAGAUUCUCCUUUCUUCUCUAUAUGAAGGUGCUUGUCAUGUGUCAAGAAAAAUAAAAUUAUUUACCAAAGAUUAUUUUAAGGAGAUUUAUUAUUAUUCGUGGAUCGGGAAGUUUAUUUUGUUUUUUGGUCUCUUAUUUAUUUAUUGUUUUCACGAGGAAAUUGCUGUGCUUUUGGAAAUUAAUAUGCUGUGUUGUCAAUGUUGUGUGAAAUCCUUUUAUUGGUGUCUAUGUAAAGUGUUUCAGAUUUCAGACCUGAGAGUUAAUCUUCGCGUACCAGUUGGCUUUUGGGUUUAGUAUUGCUACUUUUAACAUAAUUGACCUAUGGCCCAAAUCAUUUCUAUAGGGCGAAGCAUAUGAAUGAUACAUAUUAUCUUUUUUUGGCCUUAUGUAUUGUUAUUUGCAGUGUGAUUUGGUCUAGCUUAAGAGCUUAAGCUUGCAGGUUGGAUUUGUCUGACAGGGAACAAUUUAAUUUGCUCAUCGUGAUGUUUAUAUCCAUUUUGUACUACUAUCAAUUUCAAUCAUGCCUAAUUUUUAUAUGUAUUUCUCGUGGACUCUCAGGUUCAGUGCACAAGAGGAUGAAGACGAUGGACACCCAAAUUUGAUGUGGAGAACAACUAUUGCAAAUGGUCCUUGAUUUACUUCUCCAAUUGACUUGAAUUGGUUUGACGCAAUUUAUAGUGUAUUUUUGUCAUCUUUGUACGACUAGCAGGUCGUCCUGAUUUGGUACAUGACUGGACACAGGAAUUGGACUCAUAUUUUUCAAACCAGAAUGCCAACAAUCAAGCAUUUUCUUUUGAAAGCACUGGCGUCUUCUUCAAUGCCAAAAAGGUUAGAGAUUUUCUGUAUCUUGUUUUGUAUUUAAUCAGUUUAGCAUGUGGGUGGCAAUCAAGAAAAGUUAUUAUAACAUUUUUGUGUUCCCGAAAAACUGCUGAUGAUGUGUAGUGCAGGAAAUGAAUUGUUUUUGACUUCUUUUUAUUUGUAUUCUUUCUUUUUUCUUUUCUCCCCAACAGGAUUAUGCAUUUCUGAAGAGCUUCUUGAAGUUGAUUACCAUGUAUGCCACUUUCUUUACUCUAUGCUCAGGAUGUGAUUUUGCCAAGCAUUAAAAUGGUUUAGGUCAGAACCAUCAUCUAAAGUUUACUUAAUGCAGCCGAGAAGCUGUAGUAGAGCAAGGAAGGCUGUUGGUGUUAUGAAGGCCAGCUGUGAAGAAAUAUUUGAACUUGUAAUGAGCAUGGAUGGGACACGAUACGAGUAUGCUUCUUUUCUAUUUUUUAUUUUUAGUUACUUUAACAUAAUCAAGACUAUAUUGGCUGUCUCUGUAAGCUGAGUAUUAUAUUUCCUCUUGCAUGCUGUGAAAUUCACAUUGUCUCCAGUCCCGAUUCUGUAUGUGCCUUUUUGAAUAUAUUUAAUUAAUCUGCAUGGUGCUUUCUAAAGAUUAUUACAAACUUUUGUUGCUUAAGUAUAUGAAGAAUGUAGAAAUGAAAACAGCUUUUGAAGUUUGAUGGAUUGCUUCAUUAAUAAAGAAAGACUAGGACUCAUUUUUAUAACUUUUCUCCACUUAGCUAAUGGUAUUUGAUGAAGACAAAAUAGAUGUAGCUAUCUAUAUUUUUUGUUGCUGAACUAUAGAUCAAUUGACGGUUGAAGUUAGUUAUAUUAAUUUGUUGUACUAGAAUUAAAGCUUGUAUCUUAGCCAUUUCAUGAAGUGUCAAAUACGUUCUUUCCUUUUUUUUUUUUUUUUUCAAAACAUGUUACACUUUUGAAGUCACUAUUACAUAAAAGAGUGUUCUAAAACAGGAGAAGGCGUGCUGCCUGAAAUUACCUGUUUCCUAGCAAAUCUAGCUGGUUUGCGAAUUAGAUUUUAACAAGUCUCUUGGCAAGGUUUGCUAGUAAUGUGUUCAAAUUAUUCUAUUUAAUUUUACUGUCUGUACCCUAAUAAUUCUUGGUUUGCACCAUUGCAUUGUUCCAUAAUCUCUGUGCGUUGGCUUAUAAAGGCCAGCAAGGCUGAUCAUUUGUCGAAUAGUUAUUUCCAUGAAAUUCCUAUCAAUUUGACUCAGUAUUUAGAGGUCUUGAAGAGGGCAGUGUACUAGACAUGGAUUUCUACCUCUUUUGGUUGUACAAUUGUUGUAUUUCUUGGCCAUCAGAUCUUUUUAAUGUACCUUUCUCAAAGUUCAUGCCGCACGUACACCGUUUUUCAUGUUUUGUGCAUGUGGGAUUGUAGUCUUCUGUAUCGCAGCUUAGUUGAAGAGGUAGAUGGUCAUACGGCUAUUCUCUAUCAUAGGCUUCAGCUGGACUGGUUUCCAAUGUAAUAGUCUCUUGAUUCAAUCAUCUCAUUUAUGCUUUGGUCAGAAUAGAACAUUUAUUGUUUCCUUCUUUCCCCUUUCCUCUCUUCUGAUGUAAUAUGUGAGGAAAUUACCUAAAAUUUCUGUAUCCCAAUGUAAUUGUUGGAAUUCAGAAAUAAAAUAAAUACACCGUCUUGUUUUUCCCUCGGUUCAGUCCCAAGUUCUCUUUGGGCCUUCUGCAAGUUUUUAAACAUACUGUGACAGUAAAAAAUCUAGUGAUUGAGAUCAUUUUGAUGAAUUUAAUUUUAAUUCUUAGCUGAUACUUUUUCUGGAAUUUUUUUCUUAUGUUUCCUCAAUAUGACUUAAAUAUAGGGCUUAGUUUGGUUUAGAAGUUCAUCUAAAACCUUCUCCUUGAUUCCAAAAAAAUUCUCUAGAAAGGUCUCAGAUGGAUUUUAGGGGAGUUUUGUGGCAAAUUUGAAAAGUUCAGGGGAAGGGUCUAAUGAAUUUUAAAACCACAUGGGUUAUCUGUUUUAUUCAGAGGAUAGUGGAAUUCCCUGAAAUUUAUCAUUUUUAUUUAAAUAAUCUUCCUACUUUCCUCUGCAGAAUUUAUUUAUAUAUAUGAAUUCAUUUGGUUGCAGGUUUGUUUGGCCCCGCGGCCUUUGUUAAGUGCGUUAUUGGCGUUGAAAUGACGCUGCGAGUUAUGGUAAGGUUCUUGCUUCCCCACUUCUUGAAAUUAAAUCUAUCUUUUCUGGCACUAGAAGUUUCCAUAAGCUGUGUUUUGUUAUCGCGCAGUUGUGUUAUUUCAUUCUAGGGAGCAUAUGAACUGUGGUCCACAACCCGGAUAUGUACGAGCUCACAUGGAGAGUUAGUUUUCUGUCCUUUACUUUGGUUGAUGUAGAGAAUUAACAAGUGACUAAGUCAUGCCAAGUUGCACCACUUGCUUCCUGUAUUCUGAUUUCUCAGGUGGUGGAUUCAACAUUUCCCCACUAAAACCUCAAAAUGGUAGGCCCAGAACACAAGUACAGCAUCUUAUGCAGAUUGAUCUAAAAGGGUGGGGUGUUGGUUAUGUGUCAAUGUUUAGCAACACUGUCUUCUGCAGAUGUUAAAUAGCAUUGCUGGUAAGUUUCUUGCUUUCACAUUUUAUUUUGCGCUGUUAUGGGUUAAUAUGUUUCUGUUGGGUGGCCAUUUUAAGUCAUAUUUUUACGUGUUACUGUAUUUUCUUCAGUCCUUUUAUAGGGAACACACACAUACACGUAUGUAGAGUCACCUUUUAAUGAGGGAUCUACCAUUUUAAUGAAAUGAGGAAUGAGCUAAAAGAUAAAAAAUUCACGAACUCCAAUGCAAUAUGUGUGUGUGCGCGUGUACACCUUUUCUAACUCUUGUUCUUAGUUAGAUAUUUUUUGGGAUUUCAGGCAAAUGAAAAAAGAGAUUAAGAGAAUGAUUUCAAGAGAACAGGUGGAUAAUAACUUAAAUAUUCAUUUUUAUACAUUUUGUUAAUGUCCUCUUUAAUGGAUUUCUAUGGAAUUAACCUUGUAAUUGGUGUAAUUACGGCAUUGGUGGUUGACAUGGCUUUCCUUGUGCAGGUAUGUAUGAUUGUACUGCAAUUUGCAAAUUUGCAUACUUGAAUGUUCUCAGAAUGGUAUAAUGCUUCGUGUAUGCAGGCAAAUACUACAGAUGAAUUACCGGAGCGGCUGAUUGGAGCUGUACGUGUUUCUUAUAUAGAACUCAAGUCUGCUAUUGUUCCAAAGUUGGAACCAGAGACAUCAUGACUCUGGUUUCAUUUCACCUCAACUGUUUUUUUUUUUAAUUGAAAAAAAAAAAUCAUUUGUUUUAGGUAUACAUACAUGUAUUUUGAUCCCGUUUUCAUUGUAAUUUCUCAUUUACUUUGAAAGAAAGUCAUUGGUGUUUUCGAGUGGGAAUUUUGCAUUAAAAAAUAAAGAAUACUUAAUAGGAAAUUUCAUAAUUCUUUAGUUACUAUUUUUGGAAUGUGUGUAAUAGUAUUAAAGUUGGUUUCUACUCGCAAACAAGUGAACUACUCGAUCCCCAACUGCGACCACGCUAGUUGUCAUUUAAAACUCAACAACUAACAAAAAUACUAAUAAAAAAAUGAUUUUCUUAUAUUGCUGUGAAAACAUUUAUGGGUUCAUUUAUUUCCACAAGAUCUAUAAUUUGGUCUUGACUUUACGAAAUUCUUUUAAUUUAAAGGGUUUUGGUCUGAGAAAGUCAGUUUGACGGAUUAAUUCUUUUUAAUAAUGGUCGAGUUAAUUUUACUAUACUCAUAAAACUAUUUUUAUUCUGAUAAUGCCACAAAUGUUAUGAUGUUUUCUUCAGCUAAUGAUCUUCUAUCAGGACUAGUUAGAAAUCAAAUGCUUAAAACACCGAUUGAAUGUAUAAUGCAGAAGUUUAAACAGUACCUAAUUGAAAAUUGCAUGAAACAUGAAACAUCAAUUCAAGUCCUUCCUUAAACAGAGAAUGCAUCAAACAAAUCCAAAGUGUCUUGCAAGUCUGUAGCAUGACAAAAAAGUUGUAAAUGCGUUUGGAACCAAAUUCUUCAAGUACAGGAGAACGAGCAAGUUGAAUUAUGUACAAGAGAUUGGCCUGGUUCGAGAUAGCUUCUUCACUGUACCUGAAGGAUUGGCUCAAUCUUUUCUUUAGAAUUCUGCACAUUUUGUAAUUACUCGUGUAAGCAAGCAUACAUUACAACCAUAAUAAUAAUAAAGCAAGAGUAAUGAUACGACCACCACCUUUUGUACACAAACAAUAUUGUAUAAACUAAUGCGACAUAAUAUGAUUGGUUAAACAAAAACAUUACAUGGCCCUCAUAAUUUAUUUAUUUAUUUAUUUAUUAUUAUUAUUAUUAUUAUUAUUAUAUAUUUUCAGUCAACCAAUCAUAUUAUAUCACAUUAGUUUCUAUAAAAUAAUUUGCUAAAUAGCACCAAAACUUAAUUGAUACUCACCAUUUCAUUGAACAAUUUUUUUAUGGUGUCAUUGAGGUUGCCUUCCCAACAUCCUUCAUCAUCAUCAUCUUCUUCAUCAUCAUCUUUUUCUUCUUCGGUGACGUUCACUUUGUUUAGCAUUGGUGUGUCUAAGACUCCUUGAGAGAAGAUCUUCAUUUUUGGACACAGUCUCACAACUACUUGUUUCAAGGACGGGAAUUCAAGAGCGUAAUUACCUAAACAAAAGCUUGUUAGGCUUGGCAAACAGUCAAGUUCCAAGUACCUCAAUUUCCCAAAAACAAUGCAAUCUUCCGUUUCUUCUCCAACCUGCGACUGUAUAAUUUCUUCCAUCAUUUUGCAAUCAACUAUCUUCAUUCUUCCGAGAUUCACUAGAUUUUUAGAUGCUGAGAGCGUCAACACAUUUAUCAACCCGUGACACUUCGAUACUUGUAGUCCCCACAGAUUUUCCAAAUGCCACGAAGGUGGUACUAAUUUUUGCAACUUACUACAUUCCGAUAUUUCUAGCCUUUCCAAGUUUGCAAACACUUUGUUGGAUUCGUCAUUUUCCUUCCAGAGAUGCUGCACUUUGUGUAAUCCAGACAGUCUUAACUUCCUCAAUUGAGGGAAAGCAACCUGAAAAUCAACAAAGUUAAGUUGUAAAAGAAAAUACGUAUCCAAUCUCUGGAGUCUUCACCUGCAUAUUUUAUGGACAAGAUUAAUCACGGCAUUUUAUAUUUUAUUUCCAAAUUAGUAUGCUUUGCAGUAGGAUCCCAAAUAUAAGUAUCAAAUCGAUUACCCUUUGAAACACAUAAAUGAAAUCUAAUGCUAAAUCCAAUAUGAAUUAGCUAGGAAAACAGAGAUGUUACACACAUAAUUAAUAUAGUUCAUCACCUCGUGUUAUCAGGCAUCCAAUUAAUUUCAGUCAUUUUUAUAAUUCAUACUAUAAAGAUAGUUAAUAACUGAGGUUAUAUUGUUAAAUCAUAUAUAAAUUAAGAUGACAUGCAAAAAGAUGAGUCAUUAAAUUUGACUUGAUUCUAAUGAAAUUACAUCUGUGCGAACAAAAGUGAAGGGAAUAAUAAUAAUAAUAAUAAUAAUAAUUACCUUUUCAUCGAAGAGGGGUUGUACUUGAUGAGCCAGCAAGAAGUACUCUUCUAAUGUUAAUUUUUGAGGUUCCUUGUUAUCAGUUGUCACAUGCACUACAGAGUUGGAUAUAAAUGUUUCCAUAUCAGGGCAAUUCUCAAUAGUCAGACUCCACAACAUAGGCAUUUCAAUUAUAUUCCCAGUGAAGUUGCAGAAUCUUUUGAGUUUUGGAAGAUCAAUGAGCGUUAGGCUAAAAAGCCUAGGAAACAGGGGGCCUAUAUGUUCUUUGUCAGCAUUUAGCUCUUCCAAAUGAAGCAUCUCUUCUAGUGAAUCACAAUUCCUCACUUCCAGCCUUGCCAAAUUGUUCAAGCAUCGUAGCAGAUUGGCAGGAAUAGCACUCGACAUAUUGGUGCAGUAAUCCACCUCCAGCUCUGCUAAAUAGUUGAAGAAGCGGACAGGCAGUGCUUGGCCAUGCCAUAUUUCUUUCAAACGUGGAAAAUGUGAGAGUUGCAAAUACUGUAUGUCACGGAAUCCAAUCUGCACAAACCAAAACAAUUGCACUGGAUAUAUAUAAAUACAUUAAACUUACAUGUUUUGUGUUUUAACUUCUAAAACUAUAUAUACAAGGCAGGUGUAUAUGUUCAAAUGUGCAAGUGCAAGGGAGAUGCAUAAGUAAUUUCAACGAAUCGAUUUAACACAUACCAUUUCUUCGUAACACUUUUGUAUAGUGGAAUUAAGGUUGCCUUCCCAACGGCACAAUUCACCCUCUUCCUGUUAAGAAUAGAAUUAGUUAGUUAAUGAGUAUGCUGACAUGGCAGCUGAGUCAGCUAAAGGUUGUUAUAGAGGUUGUUAGUAGUAAACUGUGCGUGUGUGCAAUGUGUGUAGAAUCUUCUAUGCACAUAUAAAAAGGCUUGCAAUUUCCAGAUUCAUUAGAUCAAUAAUAACAGAAUUCUCAGCUUACAGAAGUUUUCUUUCCUCCUAUUUUCUUAGUAACCAAACAACAUCACAGUUUCAUAUAAAACUUAAUACUUCCUUUUUACUCACCUGCACUUCGUGCAGCUUUGGUGUGGAUACGAUUCCCUGAGAAAAAGUCUUCAUGUUCGGGCAACGUGUCAUAGAAACUCGUUCCAAUGAUGGGAAUUCAAGAGUGUAAUUCUCCAAACAAAAGCUGGUAAGCCUUGGUAAAUAAUCAAGUAUCAAAACUUUUAAAUUGCUGAAAGCAAUACGAUUCUCCUUCACUUCUUCUCCAACAUGUCCUAUGAUUUCUUCUAUUUUUUCACAGUAUGAUACAUUAAGAUUCACUAGACUAUUGGGAAUUCCAACCUGAAAAUAAAGAGUAGCAUUCAACUAAAUUCAAAGUAUGUCAAAAUCAUACAAUUGUUUUAUGAAAAAUAACAAACCAUGUCUACUAGAUAUUUUUUGUUAAAGAAAAAAGGAAAAAAAUUAAAACAAAAAUAAAUAAAUAGAAGUCCAGAAAAACAAAGAUAAUGAAAAUGCAUUUACACUAAAACGCUGUAUUUCCCUUUUUUUUUUCCCGAUAUUCAUGCUUUUAAAAAUGGAAAACAUUUCUGGAAAACACUUCCCAACGCCAUCAACAUGGGACUGUUACAGAGUGAAUAUUUGAGGAAAUUUUUUAAUAAACGGUCGAUUCAAAAUGACCAUCAUGAAUUUGUGCUUAAUCAAUGGCGUAAUCAAUUCAUAACUAAACUAGAGAUAUUAACUACAUUUGAACACUUUUCUUUAUUUUAUUUUUAAAAUCGAAAUCUAAAGACCCAAGGAAAAGAGAAAUAUAUAUGAAUUUGUGAACUUAAAAGCUGAGUAACUAAGUAUCUUUUAAUUUCUGAAAAUCUUAUUCAUUAGGAUUUAAGGAAAAAAAACAAUUAAAUUAAAUUAUAUUAUGCUGUUAAAUCGUGUUUAAAAUAAUUAUAUUGUUGACUUUAAUGCAGGUGAACCUAUAAAUUAGAUUGAAAAUGCAGAGUUCAGAAUGGUGAUUUGAAGUACAAUACUUUUUUUCCCUCUAGAAGUUUGAAGUACAAUACUUGCAAUAAAUAAUUUGUGAAUGAAAAUUAUUUGUAAACAAAAAAAUGAUUAAAAUAAUUGUUGAAUGUUAUUUGAAAUAAAAAUUCAAAAUGAAUAUAGCAAUCUUACCAAUGGAGGAAAAAUAUUCAGUAGAUUAUGACACACAGAUAUCUCUAAUUUUUUCAAUUUGCUAAAAGACUUCGAAGCAAGCUGGUGGUGCCAUAUUUUUCUCAACUUAUCCGCCCCACGAAUAUGUAAUACCUCCAGACUUGGGAGUCGUACCUGAAGUUAAAAAUUCAAUGCAAUUAGAGAUGGAUAUUAAUUAAAUUUGAAGACUCAACGAAAGAAGAAAUUAACUAUUAAGAAUAAAAUUAAUUUAAAAAAAAAACCUUUGCAUCAAAGAGAGGUUGAGGUUGCAUUUCAGAAUUAGCUUCUGGUGAGGCAAAGCUACUUAGUUUUGGAAGACCAUCGAGCUGCAGGAAGUGUAGUUUAGGAAAAACCUUAAAUUCAUCUCUUCCUCCUAACCCCGUGGUGUUGACUAUCCCUUCCAUUGACCAACAAUUAAUAAUCUCAAGAUGUCGGAGCUGCCCAAGACUAUUAGCCAUAGAAUAUGAAAACAUAUACUUCAGAGGACAACACCUUGUCACGGUCACUUUUGUUAAAUUUUGACAACAAUACAUUCCCUGAAAUUGAUCGGGCCAUAAUUUUUUGAUGUUUGUUAAACUGACAAGUUCCAGUUCCUCCAAGCGUGGAAAAGUAACCUGCAAAGAAAAACCAUACAUUUUUUUUCCUUCAACUACAACUUCUAAUAUAAUAUUCUUUCGAUGAUUGAAGAUCAAUCGUGAUAAUAUAUUAAUUAAUUAAUUAUUAAACAGAAAAUUAUCACCUGAUCAUCCUCUGCAUUGAUUUCUGUGAAUCCCUGAGUAGUUGUUGGUUUCUCCAUGUCGGGCCCUAUAAAUGAACAAAAACAAUAUAUGAUUAACCUCUGUUGUCCCCUCCCAAAACAAAAAAAAAAAAAGAAUGAGCCAAUGUCAAUAAUCCUACCAAUAAUUAAUUUAAACACUUACCAAUCAUCAUUUUCAAUUUAUUGCAAUUUACCACUUCUACUUUUUGAAGCCCCAAUAGGUUUUUGGCCAUAGAGAAUGAGAAGAGAUACUUCAAUUUUGGACAGGAAUAUACGUAUAUAAUCCUUAAGUUGCUGAAAGAUUGAUCUUCUCUGAGUUGGCUGUAGCAUAUCGUCUCCAAAUUAGUUAAAUUAAUAAGAUCCAAUGAUUCCAGCAAGGGAAAGACUUCGCAACGAACCCGUCUAACUGAACCGACAAUAUGUAAAAUCUCAGAACAACCUGUUACAUGAAGAUGCUGCAAUCGUGGAAAACCUUCCCCAUCGUCUAAUUCAUGAACAACAUUCUGAACACCCGUCAGUGAGUAUAGACGGAGAUCUUCAGUUCUCUUCAGCAACAUUUUCGUCCCAUCAUUCCCCAAAAGAAGGCUAACUUUUUCUGGCCCCUUGAGCACCAUCAAUGUUGAUGUUUUAGAUUCGACGAGUCGUCGGUUAGACAUUUGUCCUAUAAAUAUCUUAUAUCUUUCCAAUUCCAUAGAGACAAAAUCCGGCGGCAGAAUUUCGGAAUCCGAAACAUCUAUCUCCAAAGUAGUUAGAUUUGACAACCCCUUCAACUCGACAAGACUGGCAUUACUUCCUCCUUCAACCUUAUCCCACUGUGAAAAGCUGUUAUGCAUAAACAGUUCUUCUAAUCCAGAUAAUUUUGAUAUGACAUUUGGUGGUAUCAACUCAAGGCUCCAACAAUUGCUCAAAUCUAGCAACUGUAACCGCGUCAAUCGUCCAAUUUCAAGUGGUAACUGCUUGAUAUCGGAAUCUGCAAGGCUGAGAAUCUCUAAUUUCUUUAGCUGUCCAACUAUUGCUAUAUCUUUUAGUCGGCAAUAGUCUAAACGCAAUGUUUGAAGGUUAAUGAGGCAACCAAGUGAUGAAGGUAAUGAAGAGAAUUGAAUUCGAGUAAAAUUCAAAACUUUGAGUCCUUCCGUCCCUUUAAAAAAGUGGUCUGAAACUUGCAUAGAGCCAUCACCCUCCGCAUGCAAUAGCUCAAGACAGGGACAUUGCAACCUUUCAGGAAGCACUUGAAUACCUCCAUAAGGUAAAGAAAUAGCAAUUGGACCUUCCUGUACUGUAUCUUCCAUCUUUUUCUCCAAGUCGGCAACAUUUGGAAUAUUAAACAUGAGCUCCUCUUCUGCAAUUGAUACAGCAACUACACGAAUGACGUCAUGCAUUUUAACUUCAUCUUCAGCAUCACUGUCCAACAAUAAGCAUGAAGAUUUGAGUUUGUCGAUCAACGUAUGCAAUCUCCUCCUUGCUUCUUCCAGUGAGUAAACCUUUUUAAAAUAGUCCAUACCCAUACCAUAUCUCAAUAAGUCUGGAACAGGUAUAGCAUAACCUUUACUAAGUAGACCACAAAGACGGAACAGAGAUUUUGCCUCCGCACUUUCCAGCAAGUUGUAACUCAAUUUUAUGGAGGUGUACACAUUUCUUUCCAUUCCAUCAAUUUCUCUUGCAUCGGAACUUCUUAGCUGAUUCAAUGCAUCCUUCCAAAUGUCAAGAUCCUUAGUUUUCAGAGCUUUUGCAACUGUACUCAGUGCAACAGGCAAUCCUCCGCAUUUUUCAACGAUCUCAUCUGCAGUGGGUUGAAAAGCAGAUAUUUUAGUUGAAUCACCCACUAUCUUCUCAAAUAACUGCAAGGCUUCUUCUUUUGAUAAAGCAUCGAUCGGGAAAUUUUUCUGAGAAUUCAUAUCAGUGCACAAUAAAUCUCGACUUCUAGACGUCAGUAUUAUUGUGCAUCGUCUCUGAUCAUCCAUUCUUUCGUUCGGAAUCCCAACUUUAUCGAACUCCAGUUCCCCCCAAAUAUUAUCCAAUAUAAUGAGAUGCCGCUCCUUGUUCUUCAAUACUCGACAUAGUCGAUUUGCUCUGUCGAAUAUACUCUCAUUCAACUCAAACUUUAUGCCUAAAUCAGAAGCAAGUUUGUCUUGAAUUUUCUGAUGAUCUGGGUUCUCUGUUACCUCAGCCAUAGCGACCUUAUCGAACAACUUAUUUGUUUCCAUCACUUGCUUUGCAACUUGCUUGACUAGCGUGGUUUUACCCACGCCGCCCAUGCCGUAGACCCCAAUUAUGUUGAGUUUCUCAUCCUUCAACGCCUCCAUAACAUCCAGUAAUACUUUCUUUCUUGAAUCAAAGGCCUCGUUAUCUUUCCCGCCCCUAAGUGCUUCGAUAUCUGCAGAAGGAUCGAAGGCAAUUUCUUCACUCUUCAGUUUGUCGCCUUUUUCCAUGAGAUUAGCAGCAUCUUUUGCGGCCUUUGCUGCUCGUUUACUGAGUUUGUAACGAGACAACAAAUUUGCACACAAUCCUUUGAAGCAGGACUUCUUGGCUCCAUCUUCUUCAUCAAUGAUAGAUUUUGCAACCCCCUCCGUAGAUUCAACCUUACUUCGCCAAUCUUUGACACCCUGAUAAAUCUCUUUGCCUUGUCGAGUAUCAUGCUUAACACGUUGUUGCACCAUUUCGUUUAUACCUUCCAACCCCUUCACUUGAUCUUUUAGCUCAUCUAUGUAGCUCUGGUACUUGAACACAUAAGAUAUUUGCCGUAUAAUCGGUUUGAACAGUGACUUUGCACCUUCUAAUACAGUGCUGGAUAAAGCAGCCAGAGCCACUUCUGCCAUUGUCUGCUACUUAACAAAUCUAAUAAUAUAUCAAAGAAAGGAAUACAAAUAAAUUAAAAGGAACUAAAGGGAAAGACAGAGAAAGAAAAGACGGCAAACAACAUCGCAAUAUUGAUCUUGAACCAACUGAUACCUAAAUAGAGAAUUUCUUUUACUAUCUUAAGGAUCAGAGGUUUCGCUAUUAACCGAAAGGUAUCGCUUCUAUUUUGUCACUUUGAACGAAUAACUUUAUGUUUUUAACGGAUGUUUAAUACAAAUUGCAUACAUUGGGUGUAAAAUUAAAUAAAUUUAAAUAUUUAUAAUAAUUUUAAUAAUUGAAUAAAACUUUGAGUAAAUGACUGAUAAUUUCUCUAAGAUGAUUUAUUGUUUGGGGUCUAAGAUUUUAAAUAUUCAACUUAAAAGAUUAAUAUCUUAUAAAUUGAUUAAUUAAUUAAUCAUUAAGCAACUAAAUUGGUCCCUGGAUGUCAAUUUAUUUAAUAUUGACGCACCUAUUUUUUUUUUCUGGCAAAUAAUUAUUAAUGCACUUAGGNNNNNNNNNNNNNNNNNNNNNNNNNNNNNNNNNNNNNNNNNNNNNNNNNNNNNNNNNNNNNNNNNNNNNNNNNNNNNNNNNNNNNNNNNNNNNNNNNNNNNNNNNNNNNNNNNNNNNNNNNNNNNNNNNNNNNNNNNNNNNNNNNNNNNNNNNNNNNNNNNNNNNNNNNNNNNNNNNNNNNNNNNNNNNNNNNNNNNNNNNNNNNNNNNNNNNNNNNNNNNNNNNNNNNNNNNNNNNNNNNNNNNNNNNNNNNNNNNNNNNNNNNNNNNNNNNNNNNNNNNNNNNNNNNNNNNNNNNNNNNNNNNNNNNNNNNNNNNNNNNNNNNNNNNNNNNNNNNNNNNNNNNNNNNNNNNNNNNNNNNNNNNNNNNNNNNNNNNNNNNNNNNNNNNNNNNNNNNNNNNNNNNNNNNNNNNNNNNNNNNNNNNNNNNNNNNNNNNNNNNNNNNNNNNNNNNNNNNNNNNNNNNNNNNNNNNNNNNNNNNNNNNNNNNNNNNNNNNNNNNNNNNNNNNNNNNNNNNNNNNNNNNNNNNNNNNNNNNNNNNNNNNNNNNNNNNNNNNNNNNNNNNNNNNNNNNNNNNNNNNNNNNNNNNNNNNNNNNNNNNNNNNNNNNNNNNNNNNNNNNNNNNNNNNNNNNNNNNNNNNNNNNNNNNNNNNNNNNNNNNNNNNNNNNNNNNNNNNNNNNNNNNNNNNNNNNNNNNNNNNNNNNNNNNNNNNNNNNNNNNNNNNNNNNNNNNNNNNNNNNNNNNNNNNNNNNNNNNNNNNNNNNNNNNNNNNNNNNNNNNNNNNNNNNNNNNNNNNNNNNNNNNNNNNNNNNNNNNNNNNNNNNNNNNNNNNNNNNNNNNNNNNNNNNNNNNNNNNNNNNNNNNNNNNNNNNNNNNNNNNNNNNNNNNNNNNNNNNNNNNNNNNNNNNNNNNNNNNNNNNNNNNNNNNNNNNNNNNNNNNNNNNNNNNNNNNNNNNNNNNNNNNNNNNNNNNNNNNNNNNNNNNNNNNNNNNNNNNNNNNNNNNNNNNNNNNNNNNNNNNNNNNNNNNNNNNNNNNNNNNNNNNNNNNNNNNNNNNNNNNNNNNNNNNNNNNNNNNNNNNNNNNNNNNNNNNNNNNNNNNNNNNNNNNNNNNNNNNNNNNNNNNNNNNNNNNNNNNNNNNNNNNNNNNNNNNNNNNNNNNNNNNNNNNNNNNNNNNNNNNNNNNNNNNNNNNNNNNNNNNNNNNNNNNNNNNNNNNNNNNNNNNNNNNNNNNNNNNNNNNNNNNNNNNNNNNNNNNNNNNNNNNNNNNNNNNNNNNNNNNNNNNNNNNNNNNNGGGAUUAUGGGGGUAUGCUAAUGCGGCAACCUGACUGUGAGUCGGGAAAAGCUAAUGAGGCAACUUUGCUUGUGCUGCUUCUUUUUUUUUUUUCUUUUGCUUUCUUUUUUGCUUUUUUUUAAUAAUAUUAAAUAAUAUAAAUUUUAAUUUAAUUUAAUAGAAUAUUAUAUAAUAUUAAUUUUUAUUUUCUCUUAUUUUGACAUCAUAAUUAUUAAUAUAAAUUAAUUAUUUUUAUUCAUAUUUUAAUUUUUAUUACUAAAUAAUAAUUAUAUAAUAAUUAAUAUAUAAAAUUGAUUAAUAAAUACUUAAAUAAUAUAAAAAUAAGAAUAUAACUUGAUAUUACAUUAUUUAAUUAUAUUAUAGUAAUUAAUAUAUAUGAAAAUUUAAUAUAACUAAUAAAAAUAUUUAUAUAUGAAUAAAUUUAAAUAAUAUUAAUUUAAAAUUAAUAUUAAUAAAAAUAAUAAUAUAAAAUAUCAUUAUGUUAUGAUAUUAUUUAGGUAUUAAUAAAUAUUAUUUUCUAAAUAUAUAAUUUAAGUUAAUCACAAAAAAUUAAUACAGUACAGUGUAGCACCAAACAUUGUAUUAUGCUGUAUGCCUGUAUUGUAUUAGCACUGAUUGGGUGUAAAGCGUUUGUAAGUGGCUUUUUAAGUCUGCCGUCAAAUCCCCUGCAAAAGCUUUUUUCUUAAUAUCACGCGUGUUGGUACUACAUAAAACCGUAAACUCUAACAAUUUCUUUGUUCUUUCUUAAUAUCACGCGUGUUGGUACUACAUAAAACCGUAAACUCCAACAAUUUCUUAGUUCUCAACACCCCUUAAUUUACAAGAAUUAAUCACUUCAAGGGUGGAUUAGGUAUAUCUUUAGUUCAUAUAUAACUAGCAAUAUCUAAUAUCCCAUAUACAUGUUUUUCUCCCAGAAUGUAAACCAACUAUUCAUAUCUUAGACUCCAAGUAUUCGUAUCUUAAAGUCAAUCGAUAAUAUUAAUUUAAAUUUAAUAAUAAUAUAAAAUAUUAAUAUAAUAUAAUAUUUAAUUUAAAUUAAUUACAAACAAAUAAUAUAGUACAAUGUAGCACCAAACAUUGUAUAGCAUUAUUAUAAUACAAUGCUAAUGCAAUACAAUAUAAUAUAAUCCACCAACAUUAAAAUAAUAUAAUAUAGCAUAAUACAAUACAGUGUGUCAAAUGCACCCUUAGGGUGUGUUUGGUAUGUGGUAUUGCAUAGCAUUAAAUGUGGGCCCAACAUUAAUUUAAACCAAUAACAUGUUUGGGAGCAAUUGAGGCUUAUUGGGAUUGGGUAUUGAGGGGUGCGCUAAUGCGGGAACCACCGCAUUAGCUUGUCUUUUUUUUUUUACUUUUACUUAAUAAUAAUAUAAAUGAAUAAAUAUAUAAUUUUUAAUUUUUAAUAUAAUAUUAUUUUUAUUUUUAUAUCAUAAUUUAUUAAUAAAUUUAUAAUUUAAUAUGAUUAAUAAUAAAUAUUUAAAUAGUAUAUAAAAUAUAAUAUAAUAUUACACUGUGUAAUUAUUGUAAUAUAAUUAAUAUAUAUAAAUUAUUUAUUUUUAAAUAAUUUAAUAUAAAAAAUAAAAAAAUAUUUAAAUACAAAUGAAUUUCAAUAAUAUUGAUAUACGAUUAAUAAUAACAUAAAUAAUAAUAUAAAAUAUUAGCACAAUUCAUUUUGCUAUUAAAUAUGUUAUAACAAUUUUGUCAUUUUAUAAUUUUGUGGUGUAUAUGAACAUAUGUCUUAAGAUUAUUUUUGAACAAAUCUUGUAGGUUUUAACUAUUUAUUUUUCUUGUUAUAUUAUUUCAAGAUUAUUUGAUUAAAUUAUUUGCUUCGAUAUUUAACAAGUUAUAUAUUUAGAAAAUAUAGAAAAUAAAUGUUAUGCUUCCAAAAAUUAAAGGAUAUAACGUUCGAUCUUUAUGAAGAAUUAUGAUAUUUUUGAACAUUUAUACUAAAAAAUUAUUAAAUUUUUAGAAAAUUAAAAGAUAUAACAUUCGAUCUUUAUGAAGAAUUAUGAUAUUUUUUAACAUUUAUACUAAAAAAAUAAUUAAAUUUCUAAAAUUUAAGACCUCUAUAUUUAGUUUUUUUUAAGUACUAUUAAUAUUAUUUUAUAAAUAUAUAAUAUAAAUUAAUUACAAAAAAUUAAUACAGUACAGUAUAACACCAAACAUAAUAUAAUUAAAAAUUAAUACAGUACAGUGUAAUACCAAAUAUUGUACAAUAUUAUUAUAAUACAGUACUAAUGUAAUACAACAUAAUACAAUACACUGCAUAAAAAUAAUGUAAUUUAGUGUACCAAACACACCCUUACAGAACUUUUGCAUAUCUACACAGCGAUUUUAAAUAUUACUGAUAACUCCUGAGAAAUGUGUGAGAAAGGAGUUGAUAAGAGUAAUAACAGCGACUUGCAAAAGGAAAAGACAGAAUCAUUCACCCCUUUUUAUAUCAUGUAUUUGGUUACUGUUGCCCUGUUGACGCAUGUAUAAAAUAACCGUAUGUAUUUUUUUUGGCUGUUGCUUAACAAAAUGUGUGUUUGUGUGUGUAUAUAUAUAUAUUUGCUGUUUGAAAAAAUUGGAUUCAAAUAAAUUAAAAUGAACUAGAGAGGAAGAGAAAGAAUGAAAAGACAACAAACAAUUGAUAUUGAUCUCGAACCAACUUCUUUCUUUCUUUCUUUCUUUUUUGUGUUUUUUUUUUCGCCCGUACCCCCUCUCAGAUUAGAGUAUUGGCUAUUAAAUGAAAGGUUUUAAGGGUAUGAGUGAAAAACAACAUUCUUUUUUAGAAACUAUUUUAGAGGAGGGAUGCAAAUUAAAUGACAAGAUUAAGACAAACAGGAGAUAUUUUUUCGUGGGCAUUAAGAAAUAACUGCUGUCAAGAUCAAGGAGAUUAUGCUAUUAAUAGAAAUUAUCAAAGGAUUUAGAACAAGUUCACCUCUUUAAUUAUCCGGGAUCAGAUAGUUGAUGAGCUUCUCUUCUUGGCGUUGAAUAUUUAAGAAUAAUUUUAAUGAGCAAAAAGAUCACUGGUAACUGCUGAAAAAUAAGUGAGAAAAGAGUUGAUGAGAAUAAUAACAAUGAAUUGAAUAAAAAAAGGACUUAAUCAUGCACCCCCUUUGCAUAUCAUGUAUUUGGUUACUGUUGCCUUGUUGACGCAUGUAUAGAAUAAUUAGUGACUUCUUUCAUGAAGAAUUAAACUUGGAAUGACCAAAAGACGAAGCUGCGGUGUAUUGUUGGACCAAAUUAAGUUGAAGAAAGCACUAGUUCACAACCUUACGUUUGGAUAUAUUCUAAAGAAAUAAUUAAACAGCAAAUCAUCACAUGCACUUUAAUGAUUUGAUCUAUUGUUUUCAAAAGAAAUUGCAAUUAACAGUUUUUGUCAAAAGUUCGCACUGCGUGAAACUAGUGCUAAUAUAAUUUAAAAAAUUAAUUUCAGUAUUAGUUUUUAAAAUGUUAAUUAUUAUAUUUAUUUUAAUAAUAUAUUUAUAUUUAUUAUAAAAAAUUCUGUUAAACAUUUGUGUUAAAUAGAAUUUAUAAUUAAUAUAAUAUAUCUUAGGUAUUAAUAAUAUUAUAAUUAUUCUAUAUGCUAUUGAAAAUAAUUUAAAUUUUUAGACGUUUAUUUUCACAUUAAGUUUCUAUUUAUUAUAAAAUUUAGUUUAAUAUAGUAUAAGCUUGUAAAGUAUUAAAAUAUUUUUUCAUAUUUUUUGAACAUAUUAAAAUUAUUUUAAAAUAUAUUUAUAUAUUAACAUUGAAGUCAAUUUUUUAAGUUAAUAGAACCAGUAGGUGUUAUAGUAAAAAAGCGUUUCUUAGCAUCACUUAUUGAAAAUAUAAAGAUCUAUAUAAUCAUUUUUUCAAAUAUUGAGAUGUAGUUAUAAAAGAAAAAAUAAAUUAAAAAAUUUUAAAUUUUAAUAUGGCCAUCGUAGAGUUAGAAUCCCCGCUCCAACCCGAUUUGGAGAUGAGCUUGGUCUAUUUAUGUUUUGGAAAAAGAAAAACCAAAGGAAAAAAAAGGCACCCGACCAAAUCAAGUAACUCAUCAAAUAAAAAAUAAAAAAAGGAAAGAAAUUUAAUGACUUGCAUGCAAUUUUGGAUCUGAAAUUAAAAUUACAUAAAAAUUAAGGAUUACGUACCUUAAUAUUUACAGCUUAUUUGAUGGACUCAACAGGUUUAAGCAACAUCAAAAUGUUUGUGGCUCCUUAAAUGAGCCCCCGACAUGGUGCAAAUGACAACAUCGACUUGUUUGACAGCUCCAACAAGGCUACGAUGAUCAGAAGAUGAGCCCUCAAUCAACAAGCUAAGAUUGGCUUCUCUAUCCUCUUCGCCCCACAACCAGCGCCUUGCUCUUUGUCAUUUUUCCUCUUGUUAGUUUUCUUCUACAUAUAAUUAUUACACUGGGAAGUAUACACACACCUCUUUUCUUUUUAUAGUACCUUACUAUUAUAUCUUUACAAAACAAUAUCACCCUAAGACAGCUAUGUAUGAAAUAAAUGAAAUAAAUAUAUAAGGAACUGACGAAAUAAAAUUAGAUCUAACUCUAAUUUCACGUUGCGUGAAUUUUUGACAAUUCACCCGUAUCCCAACAAAAGCUUUGUCAUAUUGCGAAAAUACCUUUUCAAUGUUUCAAUUGCAAUGUCAUUGCCAUUAUUCAUAGUGGCAGACAAUGGACGUCACGGGACGGUAGAAGUCUAUGUUACGGCUUGUGCAAGUAACAGCAGCCAAUGGGGAACUUCCACGGGUGCUAGAGGAGAGAGAAAGAGGUCCCAAUGCAAGGUGAUGGAAAUGGGAAAGUUCGAAGCUGUUACUUUCAGCUUCUGCACCUUAGCCAUGUCCCACGGGACAAGGCUAGAAGUUAUCAUGACCAUAAACUUUUCUAAUUUAUUUUUUCCUUUCAAAAAGGGACAAGGAUACGUUUCGGAGAAUGAUUAUAUUUUUAAUAAAAGAAUUCUUUUUUAUUAUAAUACUUUUUUCUUUAUUAAUUUAAAAAUAUUGACUCUUAUAUUUUAAUAAAUAUAAAUAUAAUAUUAUAAUAAAAUAUAACAAUAUAUACAAAUAUUUAAAAAAAUUUAAGAUUUUAUUAAAAGAAAUUUUAUAAUAAAUACAAAUAUAUUAUUAAUAUAAUUAUAAUAAUUUGCAUUUUAAAAAGUAAUACUGAUAUUAAUUUUUUAAAUUAUAUUACUCUACCAAAAAAAUUAAACUAUUAAAUUAUAUUGAUAUUUAUUAAAAAAAUUGAAGUUAAUUCUUAUUAUAUUUUUAAUUGGAAUUUUUUCAUGUGACAUAAUUACAAUUGCUACAUUUUUUUCCCUAAAUAAAGAUGGGAGUUAUAAAUUAUUUGUAUAAGUGUCUGUGUGUAAACUAAUGUGACAUGAAAGUAAUAGCUGAAUAACAAUAAUGGAGCUUUAGGUAAUUUUUUAUGAGGUCUUCUUGCAAUUUCAACACUUAAACAGACUUGUCCUUGAUCCCAAUUUAUUUACCCCAUUUGGGCCCCUUAUGACAAACAUAUUCUUGUGGAAUGAAAAACAUCAGGAGAAGAAAAUGUUUUAUUAUAAUAGAAAAAGUUGUCCAUAAGUCUAUUCAUUUUUUUUUUAUUCAAUACAAAUGCGGGCCGCGUUCUGUGGGUCUNNNNNNNNNNNNNNNNNNNNNNNNNNNNNNNNNNNNNNNNNNNNNNNNNNNNNNNNNNNNNNNNNNNNNNNNNNNNNNNNNNNNNNNNNNNNNNNNNNNNNNNNNNNNNNNNNNNNNNNNNNNNNNNNNNNNNNNNNNNNNNNNNNNNNNNNNNNNNNNNNNNNNNNNNNNNNNNNNNNNNNNNNNNNNNNNNNNNNNNNNNNNNNNNNNNNNNNNNNNNNNNNNNNNUAAGUAGAGUGAGACUCUGGCAUCCUCUAAAUAUCUCUCAACACUCUUUCUUAUUAACCCCAUUAAAAUAUUUAAAAAUAUUAUAAAAUUCUUUUAACACCUUUUUUAUGGCAAAAAUACCCUUAGUUUAAAUUUAUUAAUAUAAACCCCAUUUUAAUUUUUGACCCCUGAUUGUGAUUUUUUUUUAAAGCACCUGAAUUUUGAAACAAUUAAUUAUCUAUUGAAAAAGAAAGAAAGAAAAGGAAAACAAAAGGAAAAGGGCACUUGCUCCAAGAAAGUUCUACUUUAAUGUGGCAAAUCAUUGAAACACCACAUGGCCAAAACUUUACUCUAUGCAUGACAACUCAUUGUAAUUGAUAAUGACCCUCGCAAACACUUGGCUACCAUGCGUGUAAUUCUAAGGCCAAGUGCUAAUUUGGUUUACUGAUGAAGAUGCUGAGCACAAGCUUCUGAAAAUGCAGAAUUACGAAUUUUUCGAAAGACUGCGAACCUUUAUGGAGAAAGACAACUAGGCCACUGGAAAACAUGUCGGUGGGAAAAUAAUUCUGAUGAUCGUUCAGCUCGUCCUUUGCUUCAUAAUUACUUUCUUCUUUCUUAAUUUCUCUCAUGGGUCUCGGUUUCUUCCUGAAGCUUGUUGAUGAUGAGUUGCAUAUGCCGAUAAUUCCUCACCAGAAAAUAAGAUGAAAAGGUAACUUUCUUAAUUUUUAAAAUGCUGAAUUUCAAUUUAAGGUACUAUUCAUUUUGUCUCUUUCAAGUUAUUUUUCAUUUUUCUGCUGAUAUUUUAAUAUUUACAGUCAAUUGUAGCAUUACUUAAAUUUAUAGUAUGUAGAUCAUAAUUCAUAAAUUAGUUUGCAGUUGGAGUAAACUCGAAAAUGUUAAAAAAAUAAUAAUAACAACAAAAAGAGUAGAGACAAGUUGUCAUCUUGAGUAACAAUAAAAUAAAGAAUUGCAGCUUUUACAAAGUCUUUCUUUAAAAAUAUGAAAUGAAUAAAAUGACUAUUAAAAUGGUUCAAAAUUUUCUGAUAGUGUCAUUGACUAGCUAGAUCAAUUGUUUCUUGUGUGGUAACUUCAAACACCAAAUCCUUGAAAGCAAGUAUAUUAGUUUUGUAUGGUGUUGCCCAGCCUUCUGCACAUGGUUCAUGAUAUUUGAUCCAACUAUUCGCAAUAGGAGGAAUAGGUGAAGCUGGAAGCAUGAACACCUGUAAAAAAAAAAAAAAAGCCAUAGAAAAAUUAGUCCAAUAAUUAAGAUAUUGCAGCAUAAUUUGAAUUUCUAAACUUUUACAUACCUCUAUGAAAUGAUUUCUAUUAACAAAUCCAAUAGCAAUGAUUUUAUGCGAGGAGCGUGAUAAUGGAAUAGAUCUAAGUGGAAGGAAUGUGACAAUCAGCACAUCUGAUAUAUGUAGUAAUACCACAUUAUAUUUAGAAGCAAUAAUAUGACCAAUUUCAGGCAUGGUCAUCCAAUACUCUCUUCCUGGGUUAUUCUCAAAGUAUAAAAGUGAAUGAAGCACCUCCUCUGCUCUACCAGCAUAUUCAAAGACUCUUUUAUAAUCAUUAAAGUGACUUUGCAACUCAACAACUAAGACUUUCCUGACUUGUGCCCAGUUAUCUUCACCAAUACCUAUUAGGUCAGCCACUGCCUGAAAACCACAAUUACCAUCUGCAACAACAUCUCUAACACCACAAAUAUAAGGCCUCAAACCAAAUGGAAAUGAAUCAAUAUAAGAAGCAUGCUUUGGUGCUUUUGUUUGAGAAACACUCAUUUUUCGUUGCCCUUUUGGUUUUUUUGUAGUUGUACUUGAAGACAUAAUGUCUGGAGAAUGAUUAUCCUGUGCGGAUACUACAUACUCAAAUCUUGAUGGAUCUCGGCGGGUAGAUUUAUCAAGCUUUUGGGAGGGUCGUCCUCGAGUCUUAGCUUUAACAGGUAGCUCAAUUAAAAAAGUUAAGAAUGGAUCAGCUAAUUCUUUCAGUUUUCUUUUUAUUUGCAUUUUUCCGAAACCAUCUGAAUCUUCAAAACGCUUGAUAAUCAUUUCCAUUUCAGGGGUACAACUCAACUCUGCUGAUUUUUCAUAGCUGGUGCAGACAAGGUCUAAUUUCCUCCAAUGCAAAUGUACAGAAUCUAAAGGUAUCGGUCGACCUUCACGCUUAUACUCUGCAAUUUCAUGUGCACACGGUAGCCCAUAAGUGUGUCGAACUACACAACCACAUGCUGAAAUAUCUAUACCAAUUAAAUCAGCUCUUUUUGACUCACUUAGUAUCAUAUCUAAUGCAUUUCUAGCAACUAACCCCCUUAAUUCUUUAAAAACUGAAGGUGUGAAACUAUGUUGCACAGUAGUCAAACUCUUCUCAAAUGAUGCCUUAAUUUUUGUAUGUUGCAACUCUACCAAAGAAUGAAGUUUUGUCCAUAAUGUUACAAAGUUUCCUUGGGAUGAACAUAGUUGCCUUUUUAAUUUUGAAUGUGCAGUCUCAGCCCUAAAAAUAAACCAACAAAAAAAUAAUAAAAAGAUAUAUAAAAAAAUGGUGUUGAGUUUAUUUAUAAAAUCAUUGAAAACUAAAUAUUGGUUACCUGUUGGUUGUCAUAUUUCCGAAAUGCAUAAUAAAGUCUGUCCAUGCUGCAAUAAAUUUUUCUUUAUACUUAUCAAGCCAUGUCUACUUCACAUAGACAAGUGCUUUCGGAUAUCUAGCAUAAUCACUCUAAAAAAUACUCAAGUGUUGUAUGUACUCUUGUUCAGUGGCUGAGAACACCAGUACAUUCCAGUUGCUGUUAAAGGCUUCCCAUCUUUCAUUAGUAUGAAAUAGCCUCUUAUAAUUAGCUAACACAUUUUUUGAAAUAUGCCAUCUACAAAGUAAAUUAGUUGCACUUGGAAAUAUCUUUUCAAUGGCAUUCAUCAGAGCUAAUUCCCUGUCUGUCACAAUCACAGCUGGUAACAUAUCAUCUUGCAUAAUGGUUUUCAAUCUUUCUAAUGCCCAAAUAUAGUUAUCUUCUCGUUCGGACUCAAGAUAUGCAAAACCAACAUUAAAUGUCUUUGCAGUCGAUGUGUCACCAACUAUUUCUAACAACGGAAACUUAUACUUAUUGACUUUAUAAGUGCAGUCCAUUAUCAGAACACUUGGAAAAGCUUUUAACAAAUCAAAAGUAAGAGGAUGUGCCUAAAAUAUGUCUUUCACACAAUUUGUAUCAUCAUCACUCCGAUGCCACUCAAUGUAAUUAUGAUCAUGCAAUUUACUCAUAAGCUGUUGCAUUUGUGACCGUCCGCCCAAUUCGCGAACCUUAUAUUUAUACCGAGCAUUAUAAACCGUCUUCAUUGUUGUAACAUUAAAUGUAUCCCUAGUCUUUAAAGUAUGUAAUAUCUCUUUUGGCCGAACAUUAUUUUUAGACAAAUCAACCAAUAUACUAACAUCUUCAUUAGUAAGUCUACCUGCAAAUGAGUGGCCCUCAAGAUAUUGUGCAAAAUGAUGGUUAUGCAAUCCACAGAUUACUUUUAACACCCAAUCUUGAUUAUUCACCAACAUUUGACCCUUUAAUAAAAAUGGACAGCCACACUUUUUUGUUCCAAUUGCAUUCGGUCUUUUCUUCUUUUCCAAGUCGCUAUUCUGCUUAGACAUGUUGGUACUUCUUUUCGGAUAUGCACCACUUCUUUCACAAGCAAAAAUUAUCCUUGGUCUCCUUCCAAUCACAUUCACGUCAGAUCUUUUAAUAAUAAUCACAAGUCCAUUUUUUUCCCAACAUCAUGCAUCCAUCGAAUCAACUUGUCUCUACUGGUGAAAACCUAUGAGAAAGACAAUAAUAUAUUAGUUAAUGAUACAAAGAAAAGAGAAUAUAUGUAUGAAAAUUUAUUUAGCAUUUUACCUCUUCAGUAGUGAAUGCAGCAGUGUAAUCCAUAACAUCUACUUUAUUAUCAAGAAUGACAACUAUGGUAGAACUUUCCUCCUUUACAAUCAUUGUAAGAUAUUACAUAAGUUAAUACAAGACACAAAACUAGAAUAAUAGCAAUUUAUUCAGCAAUAAUCAACCAAACAAUUGACAUUUGUUAAGGGAUAUUUGUUGAACAUUGUUCAACGCUCUCCCAGUCAUUAUAAUUCUAAAACAAUAAAUUAAUAGCAAACUUACUUUUUUAUUAUCAUCCCCAUCUAUUUGCAUGAUUAUUUUGCCCUAAAUUUGAAACUCUUAGAUUAGGGUUUAAGAAAGAAAAGAGAGUUUAUAUCGUAUGCCACACAAAGAAUUUAAAACUCUUAAACAAAAAUAUGCCAUAUAAGAAAUUUUUAAGGGGAAAAAAAUAUUUGAUUUUGAGUGGGGGUUUAAUUAGAAAUUGUCUUAUUAUGUAAUUUUAAUAAAGGUUAAAAUUGUAAAAUAACUAAAGGGGUGUUAAGAGGUAUUUAGAGGGGUGCCAAUAGUCCCACUCAAAUAAGUAAUGGUAACAAAAGACUAAUUUGUAAUAUUGAAGUGUACGGGCUUAACUAAAUCCAAAAAUUAGUAAGUUAGCUCAAGAGUUGAGAGUUGUCCAAAUCUUAAAUGUUGAACCCAAGUUCAAUACUCAAUUGAUGCGGGAUGUUAUUCCUAACACCUCCCGUCAUGUGUAGGAUUGGUAAAAAAACUCGGGUCAGUCCCGCCUAGACCUACGGGCUUUAUGCAUGGCCCGCAUGAUGAAGUUACGAAAUUAACCUAAAAAUUUGAAACUUACGAUGAAUGGCCUUGCUUAAAGAUUUUUGCAACUUUAAUUUAUAACGAGUAUGUAUAUAUACACACACAAAAGUUUAGAUUGCAUUUGGAUGACUUUUUUAAUCAAUUCAAACAAUCUGAAAUUUAUCAGAUUAAUCCGAAUUUGAUCUGUAUCUGAUUUUGCCCGCCCCUACUAUUUAUAAGCCCAAGUGACUCUCUUUUACUAAUUAAUAAGGGAAUUUUUUACCUUAUAUCCUUGCUGUGGCGUUAGACUACUGGUCAUUUUGAUUGUUUCCUACCUUCCAUUUACGCCAGUUGUAACAUUGUAUUAUUCACCACUUUAGCCAUUUAAAUGAAAUUUUAUUUUCAUAAAAAAUAAAAUGACACCCUUAAAAUUUAAAAAAUAGAUAUGUAGAUCUCAAAUUUUUAAUAAAGAAUGUCAAUACCCCUUUUAACUACAAGAUUCUUAGUAGAUGAUAACCAAAAACAUUAACUUCAAAUUUUUCACUAAAUGUAAAUCUGAUUGAAAUAGUUUAAUUUUUUUCUAGUAGACUAAUAUGUAUAACUUAUAUAAUUAAUUUCAUUAUUAAUUUUUAAAAUGUUAAUUAAUAUAUUUUUAAUUAUUAUAAAAAUUUUAAAUAAAUCUUGGAUUAGAUAGAUUUUACACUUAAUGUAAUACUUCUGAUUUAUUAAUAAUAUUAAAAUUAUUUUAUAUGAUAUUCAAAAUAAUUUAAACUUUUAUAUAUUUAUUUUAAUAUUAUGUCUAUUUAUUAUAGUUUGGUUUAAUAUAAUACGGGAUUGUAAAAUAUUAAAAUAUUUUUCAAUAUCAAAUUAUUUUAAUAUGUAUAUAUUAUUACAUUUAUUUUAAUAUCACAUUUAUAUUUAUUAUAAAAUAUAAAAUUAAUAAAAUUAAAGAGUAUUGCAGUAAAGUAAAAAAAAAAGUCUUAUUAUCCCAUAUUCACGGUAUGAGUUUCUACAAAAUUAUUUCCUCAAAUGGGUGACCUUUCCUCAUUUUCAAAAGAAAAAAUAAAGUAAGAAUAAGUCCAGGGUUUCAAAAACUUCUAGUCUUAUCCCAAGACCUCCAUUGUCUACCACUAUGACUAAUGGAAAUGACAUUGCAAUUGACAUUGCUUUUCGCAACAUGACAAAUUUUUGGUGGGAUAUGAGAGAAUUGUCAAAAGUUCAUGCCGCGUGAGAGUUUUUGGUGGGAUGUGGGAGAAUUGUCAAAAGAUCACACCACGUGAUAUAACCAUAAUUGCUACAAUUUUUUUUAAUAAUGAUGGGAGUUAUAAAUUAUUUAUAUAAAUUUGUGUAGAAACUAAUGUAACAUAAAAGAAGUAGCUGAAUAACAAUAUUUGGUGCUUUAGGUAAUUUUUAUAUGAGCCUUUCUUUUAUUUAGCGACUUUAGUGCUUAAACAAAUUUGUCCUCGAUCUUAAUUUACUUACCCCAUUUAAGCCUAUGAUGACAUAAACAUAUUCUUUUGUGACGAAAACAUCAAGAGAAGACAUCUCAUGUUUUAUUAUAACACAAAAGAAGUGGUCCAAACGUCUAUUCAUUCUUUUAUUUACUCAAUAUGAAUGGCCAACUUUAAAAAAUGAUAAAAAUCACACCACGCUCAACUGAAAAUUUAUAAUUACAUUUUUUAAUACUCUCUAUACUCUCUAGCCUCUCUCUCCUGCCCCCUUUUUUUUUUAAAAAAUAAACCUUAGUGUAAAAUUAGAAGAAUUUUAGAUAUAACAUUUGACAAUCGCUAAAUAGAAAAGUAGGGGAUUGAAAAUAGAGGAGCUCUGUUAUCAUUGGAAUAUUGAUUAUAGAUCAUAUAAUAACUUGUUGUGGUUCAUUGUAGCACUCUGAGUCAUAUUCUAAAAUUUAUAGGUUUCUUAAGGUUUUUAUUAUUGACAUUAUUGUGUCAAUACUAUUAUAAUUUAUUCAUUUUAUUGUAAUGAUAAUUUGUCUAGUCUUAGGUACUUAUUAUAUUAAAUUAUGUAAAUUAAUUGAGAAUACAUUUAGAGACAAAAGAAACACGUGUAUGUAGGAUUAAUAAUCGCAGAGUUGUAAAUGAAGGUGAUUGCUUCAUUGAGAGGCAUAUUAAAUAAUUAUGGAGAGUUGCACUAUUUCGGAAGCAUAUAUUUAUACUUCCCUAUCAGGAUUUGGGGUAAGCGAAGUGCUUUAUGUGUUGUAGUAAGCAAUGUGGGCAAUAUCGGAGGCGAAAUAUUAAAAGAUCAUAACGCAUAUAUUUGAGCCAUUUAUAUUGAAGACACGUAUUGAAGACACGUAUAGAGGAAAGAGUGCAUAUCCGGCGGUAACUAUUAUCAGGCUUUCCUAAAAUAUUCUCAUGCUUCCUCAACUGUUCUGAACUAUUCUUCAUAGUGGGCAGAUUUACUUAAAUACCCUUCUACCUAACAAAACUUGGUACUUCUAAUUGCACUCGCAGAGAAUCUAUAAAAUUAAAAAAAAAUUCAUCCAUGAAAAGCCUCGUAACAGAAAAACCAUCUUUCAAAAAAUAAUAAUAAAAUAAAAACAGAAAAACCGACUCAUUUAUCUGCCAAUGAACCAAUCGGGACUCAUUUAAAAAAGAUUACAAAGCAAAAGUAAAUGACACAAAUUGCAUAGAUAUCUAGGAGCCGCAUCAAAGGGCAAUGGUGUUAAUUUGUCCGAGUAAUAAUUAAUUUCAAUAUUAAUUUUUAAAAUGGAAAUUAAUUUAUUUAUAUUUAUAAAAUAUUUGUAAUUAUUUUAAAAUUUUAACUAAAUCCUUAGGUUAAAUAGAUUUUACAAUUAAUAUAAUAUUUCUCAUGUAUUAAUAAUAUUAAAAUUAUUUUAUAUGAUAUUGAAAAUAACCUAAAUUUUUAUAUAUUUAUUUGAAUAUUAUGUCUCUAUUUAUUAUAAUUGGGUUUAAUAGAAUACGAGAUUGUAAAAUAUUAAAAUUUUUAGAUAUUGAAAUUAUUUUAAUAUGUAUAUAUUAUUAUAUUUAUUUUAAUAUCCUAUUUAUAUUUAUCAUAAAUUAUUAGAGUUAAUUUUUUUAGUUAAUAAAUUUAAAAACUAUUCUAAUUUUAAAAAAAAGUCUUAUUGUCUAUUAUUCAUGAUAUGAGGUUCUACAAAAUUAUUUCUCCAGACGGAUGUCCUUUUCUUAUUUUCAAAAGGAAAAACAAGUUCAGGGUCUCAGGGGUUUCAAAAAUUCUGGUCCUAUCUACCACUAUGACUAAUGGGAAACAACAUUGUAAUUGACAUUGCUUUUCACAAUAUGACAAAUUAUUGGAGGGAUAUGGGAGAAUUGUCAAACAUUCACACCACGCGAGAGCUUUAGUGUGGGAUAGGGGAGGAUUGUCAAGAGUUCACACCACGAGAAACUAAUGAUAGGCCCAAUUUCAUUGUCAAUUCUUUAUUUAUUUCAUGCAUUAUUGUUUUUCUAAAGGUAUAAAAGCAAAGUAAAAUACUAGGGGCGCUUUUAAGUUACAAUUGAUGUAACUUACAAUUUUUUCAAAAAUAAUGUAAAAAAAUUAAUAGGUGGUGGGACCCACAUAUUUUUUAAGAGACUUAAGUUACGGCAGUUGUAACUUAACAAAAUUUAAAUAUUAGAUAAUAAUACAUAUUAAUAAUAUAUAAUUUGGGUUUGAUUUUUAAAAGAUUAUUUGAGUACCACCUAUCCUUAUGAUAUUAAUGUGACUAUAUCUUAAUAUUAAAUAAUCAAAAUUUGUUUAAUUGUUAUUUGUAUUUCAUACAUUACAUAUUAGAUUUGUUUGAAUUUUAAGUUGUUGCUAAUAAAUAUUUAUGUUGUCAAAGUCAAAUUCAAUAGCUACAAAAGCAGAGAUAAUGGUAUUGUAUAUAGUUUUUAAGAAUGCAAGGAUAAGCUGGAUAAUUGACAUAAAUUCUAAUGAUUAAAACAGCAACUAUCCCUUAAGUUAUAAUGUCAAUUUCUUUAAUUAGAUUUUUUUUUUUAUGUGAUAUAACCACAAUUGCUACAAAUUUUUUUUUUUAUAAUAAUAAUGGGAGUUAUAAAUUAUUUAUAUAAAAUUUGGGUUGAAACUAAUGUAACCUAAAAGUGGUUGCUGAAUAACAAUAUUUGAAACUUUAGGUAAUUUUCAUGAGUCCUUUUUAUAUUCAGCAACUUGAAUUGGGGGAAAUCCGACUUGAAUUGGCGGUUGAUUUUCGUGAUGUGGCUUUUGGUUUAUGGCGACCUUACAGUGGCAGAAGACUGGAUUUACGGUUGCCGACUGCUAGGGAUUAUGGUGGGGGUGUAAAUUGACGGAAAAAGAAGGUGUUUUGGUGGCGGCGCGUGUAGGAAGCACUCGUGGGUUGUCGUUUCGUGUGGUGGCGGGCGGCGAUCAAGGGCUGAAGUUGGUCGGUUUUUGGUCAACGGAGGCCGGCGAGUUUGUUGGUGGAGGUGGCUGGUGGAGAAAGUGACUGAAUGGUGGUGGGUUGCUUGGUGGAGCCGCGGGUUUGGGUUGGUGAUUUGUGGCUGUUCAAGCGGCGGUUGAGGCAGCGAUGACUGAGGCUUGGUCGACGGUGGCUAGUGAGGUUUGUGGUGGUGUUGGCUGACUGAUCGGCGGUGGUGGGCGGCCGUGGAGGUUGAUGUGACGGGUAGGGUUUUCAAAUUUGUAAAUUUUUUUUUUUGAUGGAUUUGGUUUGGAUGGGUAUCGUGUAUCUAGGAAAGAUGUGCGAUUCGCACAGAAUCCCUUUGACACCAAUUGAUGGAGCGAGGCGUAGCGGAAGCGGAAUUGAUAGGGUAAGAAACAUUAGAUAUUGUUCUAGUACUAGACCAAGCCAACGCAAUUAGCUUACGCUCUAAUCGAAGCGUGAUUAGAUAUCGUUCUAAUCCAAAUAACUCAAUACGAUUUUUAAUAAUGCGUAAUACGAGAUUAAAUGACACUCUAAUCCAAACGACUCUACAAGAGAGAUUUUGAUAAAUAAUCAUAGAGGGGUUUUAUUUAAUAAUUGAACCUGAAGUUAAUGAAAAUAAUGACAAGACAUCUUUAUUUUUUUUUAUUACAGACAUCUUUAUUUAUAAUAAAAGAAACCCGCUUUCCUAAGUUAACCUAAAAAGAAAAUUUAAAUCAUAAUUAUAAUGGAAAUAAAAGAUUAAGAUACAUAUCAUAAUUGACUCAAACUAAAAUAGAAAAUCAUAAAAUAAUAAAUAUUCUAAAAUUAUAAAUUAUCUAAAAUAACGUUAAUUAACUUCCUAAAUCACUUCUUUGGUGUAAACCAUUUUGCAUCCAAACUCGCUUUAAAGGUUUGAACUAACGUUACCAACAACAAUGUAUCAAAUUCCAAUCUAACUUAAGAUCUUGAUGCAUCUAUCGAUGUCCUUGUUUGAUUAGACAAUAAUGAGUCUAUCUCAUCACUUGUUACCUCUUUCUUGAAAGCUACAUCUGUUGAAGUGAUAGCCUCACUUAGAGUUUAAAGAUCUUCUUCCCUGUUAAAUAAAAUGGGCAUUUGAGUAAAAAGCUUUAUCUCUAUCUCCUUCUAUCAAAUAACGACAACUAUCCAAAGGGAAAAAAAAAAUUAGAAAAGUCCAUGGGUCACAAUAAUUUAUGGUCUGUCUCCGGACCCCAUUAUCUGCCACUAUCAAUGAUGAAAAUGAAAAUAAAUGGCAUCUUCCCUAAAUGGCAAAAGAUUUUUGGGGGAUAUAGGGGAAUUGUCAAAAGUUCAUACAACGCGAAAUAAGUGUUACAUCCAAUUUUAUUUCGUCAUAUAAUGAUAAUAUUAAAUAAUGACAACCAUCCAAAAGUAUGAUGGGUCUUCCAAAAUUUUGAAAAUGUCGUCAACAUUUAAUCUUCAAUGCUAAAGAAGAUGAAACGCCCAAAAAUGACACGCAGGACUCACUCAAAAACUAAAUGGCCCUCACCACAUGUAACAAACUUUGACCUUAUGUCCCUGCUGAGGCGUUAGACUGUUGGUCAUUUUGAUUGCUUUUUACCAUCCAUUUACGCCAUUGUAGAAUUGAACUAUUCACCAGUCUAGCUGUUUAAAUGAAAUUGUUAUUUUUUUUCCAAAAAUAAAAUGACACCCUUAAAAUUUUAGAAAAUAGUCAUGUAGACCCCAAAAUUUUAUUAAAGAACACUAAUAUCCUUUUUUACUAUAGUACUCUUAGUAGAUGGUAACAAAAAAAAAAUGAUUGCAAAAUAUUUUAGUAAAUGAAAAUAUGAUUUAAAUAGUUUAAAUUUUCUAGUAGACUAGUAUGUAUAAUUUAAAUAAUUAAUUUUUAAAAUGUAAUUUAAUAUAUUUAUUAUAAAAUUUUUAAACAAAUCCUUGGGUUAAAUAGAUUUUAUAAUUUAUAUAAUAUUUCUCAUGUUUUUAUGUUAUAGAAAUAUUAAAAUUAUUUGAUAUGAUAUUGAAAAUAAUUAAACAUUUUAUAUAUUUAUUUGAAUAUUAUGUCUCUAUUUAUUAUAAUUUGGUUUAAUAGAAUACGAGAUUGUAAAAUAUUAAAAUAUUUUUAGGUAUUGAAAUUAUUUUAAUAUAUAUAUACAUAUUAUUAUAUUUAUUUUAAUAUCCUACUUAUAUUUAUUAUAAAAUAUUAAAAUUAAUUUUUUUAGUUAAUAAAUUUAAAAAAUAUUAUAAUUAUAAAAAGAGUCUUAUUGUCUGCUAUUCACGAUAUGAGAUUCUACAAAAUUAUUUUGAAAAUGAAAAAUAAGUCCAGGGGUUUCAACAAAUUCUAGUCCUAUCUGCCACUAUGACUAAUGGAAACGACAUUGCAAUUGACAUUGGUUUUCAUAAUAUGACAAAUUUUUGGAGGGAUAUGGGAGAAUCGUCAAAUGUUCACACUACGCGGGAUUUUUGGAUGGGAUCAGGGAGGAUUGUCAACAGUUCACACCACGAGAAACCAAUGAUAGCCCUAAUUUCGCUGUUAGUUCUUUGUUUAUUUAUUUUAUUUAUUUCAUACAUUGUUGUCUUGUUGGCAUUGUUUUGUAAAGAUAUAAAAGUAAAGUAAACUAUUAGGGUGCUGCUAAGUUAAGCUGUUGUAACUUGCAGUCCCUUAAAAAAUAAUGUAAAAAAUCCACAUUUGUUUGAAGAGGCUGUAAGUUAUAGUAGUUGUGACUUAGCAAAAUCCAAAUAUUAGACAAUAACGCACAUUAACAAUGCAUAUAAUUUGGGUUUGAUUUUUAAAAAAAUUAUUUGAGUAUUAGCUAUCCUUAAGAUAUUAAUGUGAAUAUAAUUUAAUAUUUAAUAAUCAAAAUCUGUUUAAUCAUAAUAUAUAUUUCAUACAUUGCAUGUUUAAUCAAAAUCUGAUUGCUUUUUACCUUCCAUUUACGCCCACUGUAGCAUUGUACUAUUCACCAUUUUAGAUGUUUAAAUGAAAUUUUUAUUUUUUUUCCAAAAAUAAAAUGACACCCUUAAAAUUUUAGAAAAUAGCCAUGUAGACCCCAAAAUUUUAAUAAAGAACACUAAUAUCCUUUUUAACUACAGCACUCUUAGUAGAUGGUAACCAAAAAAAAAAAAUUGAUUGCAAAAUUUUUUAGUAAAUGUAAAUAUGAUUUAAAUAGUUUAAAUUUUCUAGUAGACUAGUAUGUAUAAUUUAAAUAAUUAAUUUUUAAAAUGUAAUUUAAUAUAUUUAUUUUAAUAUUAUAUUUAUUAUAAAAUUUUUAAACAAAUCAUUGGGUUAAAUAGAUUUUAUAAUUUAUAUAAUAUUUCUCAUGUUUUAAUAAUAUUAAAAUUAUUUUAUAUGAUAUUAAAAAUAAUUAAAAAUUUUAUAUAUUUAUUUGAAUAUUAUGUCUCUUUUUAUUAUAAUUUGGUUUAAUAGAAUACGAGAUUGUAAAAUAUUAAAAUAUUUUUAGGUAUUGAAAUUAUUUUAAUAUAUAUAUAUAUAUAUAUAUAUAUAUUAUAUUUAUUUUUAUAUCCUACUUAUAUUUAUUAUAAAAUAUUAAAAUUAAUUUUUUUAGUUAAUAAAUUUAAAAAUAUUAUAAUUAAAAAAAGAGUCUGAUUGUCUGUUAUUCACGAUAUGAGGUUCUACAAAAUUAUUUUGAAAAGGAAAAAUAAGUCCAGGGGUUUCAACAAAUUCUAGUGCUAUCUGCCACUAUGACUAAUAGAAACGACAUUGCAAUUGACAUUGCUUUUCUUAAUAUGACAAAUUUUUUUAGGGAUAUGGGAGAAUCGACAAAUGUUCACACUACGCGGGAGUUUUAGAUGGGAUCAGGGAGGAUUGUCAACAGUUCACACCACGAGAAACCAAUGAUAGCCCUAAUUUCGCUGUCAGUUCUUUGUUUAUUUAUUUUCAUUAUUUCAUACAUUGUUGUCUUGUUGGCAUUGUUUUGUAAAGAUAUAAAAGUAAAGUAAACUAUUAGGGUGCUGCUAAGUUAAGUUGUUGUAACUUACAAUCCCUUAAAAAAUAAUGUAAAAAAUCCACAUUUGUUUGAAGUGGCUGUAAGUUAUAGUAGUUGUGACUUAACAAAAUCCAAAUAUUAGACAAUAACGCACAUUAACAAUGCAUAUAAUUUGGGUUUGAUUUAAAAAAAAAAAAUUUUGAGUAUUACCUAUCCUUAAGAUAUUAAUGUAAAUAUAAUUUAAUAUUAAAUAAUCAAAAUCUGUUUAAUCAUAAUAUAUAUUUCAUACAUUGCAUGUUUCAUCAAAAUUUGAUUGCUUUUUACCUUCUAUUUACGCCCACUGUAGCAUUGUACUAUUCACCAUUUUAGAUGUUUAAAUGAAAUUUUUAUUUUUUUCCAAAAAUAAAAUGACACCCUUACAAUUUUAGAAAAUAGUCAUGUAGACCCCAAAAUUUUAAUAAAGAACACCAAUACCCUUUUUGACUAUAGUACUCUUAUGGUAGCCACAAAAAAAAAUUGACUUCAAAAUUUUUUAGUAAAUGUAAAUACGAUUUAAAUAGUUUAAAUUUUCUAGUAGACUCGUAUGUAUAAUUUAAAUAAUUAAUUUUUAAAAUGUAACUUAAUAUAUUUAUUUUAAUAAUAUAUUUAUUAUAAAAAUUUUAAACAAAUCCUUGGGUUAAAUAUUUUUAUAAUUAAUAUAAUAUUUCUCAUGUUUUAAUAAUAUUAAAGUUAUUUUAUAUGAUAUUGAAAAUAAUUUAAAGCUUUAUAUAUUUAUUUGAAUAUUAUGUCUCUAUUUAUUAUAAUUUGGUUUAAUAUAAUACGAGAUUGUAAAAUAUUAAAAUAUUUUUUGGUAUUGAAAUUAUUUUAAUAUAUAUAUAUAUAUUAUAUUUAUUUUAAUAUCCUACUUAUAUUAUUAUAAAAUAUUAAAAUUAAUUUUUUUAGUUAAAAAUUUAAAAAAAUAUUACAGUUAAAAAAAAAGAGUCUCAUUGUCCGUUAUUCACGAUAUGAGAUUCUAUAAAAUUAUUUUCAAAAGGAAAAAUAUGUCCAGGAGUUUCAACAAAUUCUAGUCCUAUCUGCCACUAUGACUAAUGGAGACGACAUUGAAUUGACAUUGCUUUUCGCAAUAUGACAAAUUUUUGGAGGGAUAUGGGAGAAUCAUCAAGCGUUCACACCACGCGAGAGCUUUAGGUGUGAUAUGGGAGAAUUGUUAAGAGUUCACACCACGAGAAAUUAAUGAUAGGCCUAAUUUCGUUGUCAGAUCUUUAUUUAUUUUUUAUUUAUUUCAUACACUAUUGUCUUGUUGGUAUUGUUUUGUAAAGAUAUAAAAGUACAAGUAAAAUAUUAGGGGAAGUAAAGUAAAAUAUUGGAGGUGCUACUAAGUUACAGCUGCUGUAACUUACAGUUCCUUAAAAAAUAAUGUAAAAAAUUUAACACGUGGUGGGACCCACAUUAUGUUUGAAGAGGUCGUAAGUUAUAGCAGUUGUAAAUUAGUAAAAUCCAAAUAUUAGACAAUAAUACAUAAUAACAAUGCAUAUAAUUUGAGUUUGAUUUUUAAAAAAAUUAUAUGAGUAUUACCUAUCCUUAAGAUAUUAAUGAGAAUAUAUUUUAAUAUUAAAUAAUCAAAAUCUGUUUAAUCAUAAUAUGUAAUUCAUACAUUGCAUGUUAGAUUUGUUUGGAUUUUAAGUUGUUGCUAAUAAAUAUUUAUGUUGUGAAAGUCGAAUUCAAUAGCUACAAAAGCAGAGAUAAUGGUAUUUUAUGUAGUUUUUAAGAAUACAAGGAUAAGUAGGGGUGGGCAAAUCGGGUUUCGAUUCGGGUUGUUCGGGUUUCGGAUUGGGUUUCAACCCGUUCGGGUUGGAGAAUUGAACCCAAUCGGGUUGAAAGCACCAACCCGAACCAAACCGAACCGAAUUUAAUUCGGUUCGGUUCGGUUUGGGUUGGCAAUUCGGAUCGGAUUGGGUUGAUAAUUCGGGUUAAAAUUUCGGUUCGGGUUAAUUCGGGUUAGAAUGGGUUGGAACAAUUUAAUCUAAAAAUUCUAACAACAACCACUUAAAAUCUAAAAAUUUAAAUUUCAAACAUUCUUAACAACAAAUAUCAAUUACAAAUCAUCCUUAAUAACAUUUCAACAAUUUAAAAAUCUCAAUUCCAAACAUUCCAAACAUCCUUAAGGAACGAUUUAAUCUAAAAAUUAUAACAACCUCUUAAAAUCCAAAAAUCUUAAUUCCAAAUAUCCUUAAUAACAAAUAUCAUCUACAAAUCAUCUUUAAUAACAUUUCAAUAAUUUAAAACUCUCAAUUCCAAACAUCCUUAAUAACAAAUAUCAACUACAAAUCAUCUUUAAUAACAUUUCAAUAAUUUAAAACUCUCAAUUCCAAAUAUUCCAAACAUCCUUAAGGAACAAUUUAAUUCAAAAAUUAUAACAACCACUUAAAAUCUAAAAAUCUCAAUUCCAAACAUCCUUAAUAUAUAUAUAUAUAUAUUUUUUUUUUUAAUUUAAAAGCUGAAUCUUAAAAAAAAAAAAAAGCUUCAACCCGAACGGGUUGAAACUUUGAAUCCGUUCGGGUUUCACCGGUUAACCCAAACCGAACCGAACGCCCACCCUAAGGAUAAGACCAUAACGCAUGAGAUAAUGGUAUUUUAUAUUAAAAGACCAUAACACAUGUAUUUGAGCCAUUUAUAUUGAGGACACAUAUAGAGCGAAGAGUGCAGAUCCGGCCGUAACUAUUGUGAAGCUUCCCUCAAGUAUUCCCAUGCACACAACCCUUAUCUGUUCAAGUUUUCUGAUUCAAUAUAAUCAAUUUCCGAGCAGUACUGACGACAGCUUCUCUGUAAAGCUCUUCAACCACAAGCAUUUCUACAAGGCAAAAGACUAGGACGUGUCGGAAUGAAUAUCAAUAAGGGAAUGUCUUAUGAAUUCAGUUUAUAUCCUAAUAUAAGACAAUCAGUAAAUAUUGGAUGCAAUCUUAGGCUAACAUUUGGUUGAUCAUUAUACAAAAAAAAAGGUACAAAAAUACAAAACAGAGCUGAUUGAUGGCCUCUCACAGUCAGUUAUAUGACAAAGUAGCCAUCACUACUUGAACUUGGCUGGAGGUCUCAUUAGCAGUAUACCUCAGAAAUUAAUACAGAGACUUUAAAAUGCAAACUUAUGGAGCAAUUUAAGCACUGAAACUAAUAACAGUACGGUAUUAGCAAUUGACCUCUGCUUUUUGCUUGGACAAAGGUUCUCAUCACAAGGGACUCAUUAGUUGCCCUUGCCUCACACUUUUGGAUGCUAAGGGGAAAAAGGAAGCUUGAAUUAGUCAAUCUCAUGUCUAAUGGCAUUCACAGAGAACCUAUAAAACCAAAUAAAUAAAUAAAGUUUUCAUCCAUGAAAAGCUUAGUAAUGGAAAAACCGACUCUUUUAUCUGCCACUGACGAAAAAAAAACUGAAGUAUUAAAUAGAUAAUGAAUUUAAUUUUUUUCUUGGAAAAACUAAUAAUAAAUUAACAAUUAGAUAGUACUAUUAAUUAGAGAUCUUUAAUAUUAAGGUUAUCAAAUAUAGAAUGUGUAUAAAAAUUCUUAAUUAUAAGAUAAUUACUAACUAAAAAGAGGCCUAAAAAAGAAGAUUUGCUAUUAUAAGUAAUACCAAAAAUAAAAAGGGAGACUUCCUAAUUGUUUAAUUGUUAAAAAAGAGGAUUUGUUAUUAUAGGCCUAAUUUGCCUAUGCUUAAAACCGUUCCCGGAUGUAAAAAAAUAAAAAUUAUUGUUAAAUUCCUGACUAAUAAGGUCAUUGAAAGUAUUCAAAGGACCUGAACUAUACCACGUUGCAAGUGAGCUCGUAUUUUUAUCCCUUGAUCUGCCAUCGGUAUUUCUCUUCCACUCACUAUACCAUCCUUUUCAAUCGAUUUUUAUUGAUCAUAAGAGACCAUGUGGCCCACCUUUUUUUUAUUUUGGAUCCAUAACCCAAUGCUGGCCCAAGUUAAACAGCAAAUCAUCAAACGCACUUCAAUGACUUUGAUUUUGAUUUUUUUUUUCAAAAGAAGUAAAAAAAUCCAUGGGUCGCAAUAACUGCUGGGAAAUUUAUAAAAAUAGUCAUAAAAUAUUUGUAUUUUUUAACUUUAAUCCCUUAAAGUUUUUUCUAUCAUAACUAGCCAAAUACCCUACUUUUGGACUAGAUUACCCUCAUCACUUUUAUCAAAUUUAUAAAGACAUGCCACUUUUUCAAUUCCAGCACAACUAAAUACGGUUCUUCUUCAAUAACUUAACAAACAUUUAUCACUCUCAACAAACUUCAUCACUCUCUAUAAAUCAAUUACAUAAUUGAAUAUAAUCAUCAAUGGGAGAGCUUCUUAAAAUUAGUUUAUGCUUUUACACAAUGUAAAUCUUUAAUCUAUUGAUUUUAUCAACUAAAUUUGAAAUUAAAGUGGGUUUUGUUACAAAUAUUGUUAUUUUUCAUUCAUAAAACAAUGUGAUUUGUUAAAGUACUUAGUUUGAGUUGAGAAAUGAAGAAAAAUCAUUGAAAAUAUAGAAAAAUCGGGCAAAAAACGAAGUUCAGAACAAGUGAGAUAGGCAAGUGGGACAGGUGCAUGUCUCACAUAAACGCACUGCAUUUAUGUGCGACAGGCACCUGUCCCACUGCUUGUCGCACAUAAACCCAUAAAUUUUAUAGAGUACAUGAUUUUGGAUUUGAUUUGUCUCGUCAUAAGCUUCGAAACAGUAUAUUAUACGCCUAAAACGAACAUAUGUAGCUCAAGUUAUAGCUUUUGCAAUAUAUAUGAAAUUUAGUGAGACAGGCACCUGUCCCACUUGCCUGUCUCACUAAAUUUCAUAUAUGUUUCAAAAAUCAUAACUUGAGCUAUAUAUGUCCGUUUUAGACGUAUAAUAUAUCAUUUCAAAGUUUAUGAUGAGACAAAUCAAAUUCAAAAUUAUGUACUCUAUAAAAUUUGUGGGUUUACGUGCGAUAGGCAAUGGGACAGGUAAAAUGAAUAAACUCUGAGCCUCUCUCUAUAACACUAUAUAGAACCCUAAGCCUAAGUCUCACAUUCGCAACCGCCCCACAUAUCAGAACCACAGCGAACUGCCUCCGACCCUACGGACCCAAAAAAAUUAUUGUAUUCCUGCUCUUUCACUUCAAUAAUUUUUUGUAUUAUUCCAUAUCUUUCACUUUAAUAACCCAAAAGCUUUCCUCUGUUUCAACCCAAAAGCUCAAAUUCCUUUUUUCAAUCGAAAUAAAACGUAGCCACAAAACCCUAAUUCACCACACCAAUUUAUCUCUGCCCGGUAUUCAUUUAAACCCUACCUCGCGGUUCAAUGUCAUUCAAUACGAUUGCAGAUGCCGUUUCAACUUGACAUUUAGUUAGCGCCAUCCCGUUCUCUAUGGUAAGCCUUAACCCUAACAACUAAUCGACUGUGGUAGCACGUUGCUUGUUAGGAGUGGGGAUACAUUAUUUGAAUAUAUGAAUUGGGUGAUGUUAGUGAUUCAUUCCCCUAUUUUUCGUGAAUUGAGAUUUGUGUAUAAUGCUAGUAAGAUUGCUAAAAAUUUCAUAUUUUGUAUUGUUCCAGUUGAAUUUCUUGCUUGUGGAAGAUAAAACAAAAGUUCAAUUUCAUGUUGAUUUAAUUCUUCUUUUUUUUUUCUUCUUUAUAGUCACGCUCUGGCUUUGGUGCUAUGCUUAGUGCAGUUUAUGGUUUCAAGAUUAAGUCACGUUUAUUUGAUGGCAUCGAUUCCAUCAUUAAGAAGCUCUUCUUAUUUUAUCUCAGUUUCAAUUUUCUUUUAUUAUCUGCCUCUACCUGAAAAUGGACGUGUUUUACUAGUAAGCAUAGACUUUGUUUAUUUAAUUGAUAUUAUAAUUUUAUGUAUAAGAAUGGAGGUUUAUUUUGAAAAAAAAAAAGAAAUAAAAAAAUAGACUCUGUUGAAGCUAAUUAGUACUGAAUUUUUUUUGGUGGUGCGACCAGAGGUGGAAACAGGGUAUGAAAAUGUGUUACUGGUGAGGUUGCUGCUUAAGAUGAGAAUGGCUAAAAAUCUGUCAUACGUUCAAAUUUUGUUUGUGUUUGGAAGAAUGGUGUUGACUGUAUAUUCGUUUGGAAGAAUGGUGUUGAUUGUAUAUUCAUUUGCUUAGCCUUUUGACAGAUGGAUUUGAAACUGACGACAAAUGUGAUUCAAUUUACAAGGUUUUCGAGGGGCUCACAGUGGAAGGGAUAUUGAAGAACUGGUCUAAGAUAAAGCCUAUGAUUGUGAAAGAUUGGAGUGAGAAUAUAGAUGCUCGUUUAAAUCUUUUUGGCAAGGUCAGAGAUGAAUGGAUAGAUAAGGAUUUAUUUGACUACUUCGUCUGGUGCUAAUAGGUAUUUUAGGCAAGCUUUUUGAGAUAACACUGAGCAAGUUAUACUACUAGUUUGCACAUGAUGAUCAAAACUCUCGAAAAGUAAAAUAAAAUAAAUUAUUAACUUUUACUUUCAUCUUUUGCAUAGCAAUCAAUGUGGUGCUUGUUCUGUGACAACUUUGAUAGUCUACUUAAUUAUUGGUUAGCAUUUGGACCAAAAAAGUUCUUAUGAUUUACAUGUUUUGUAGAAAUGCAUGAACCUUAAAUGUGCUGAUCAGGGAGUUUAAUUAUUGCACCUUGAAAUUCAUUUAUUGUUAACUAAUUGGCUUUCCUUUGCAUAAAGACGCUUAUAAGGCUUGAGUGGACGUCUUUAUGGGCAUAUUAUUUGUAUUUCUAUAUGCAUGCCUUUAUCAUUAAUUUAUGUGCUGCUUGUAUUUCUUUAUGCAUGCCUUUAUCAUUUAAUGGCCAGCUCCCUCUCCUCUUUUGUAAUUUGAAUGGUAGUAUGGGCCUCCAUUUUACAAAUCUUUAACAUUUUUUGCUGUAAAUUAAUUUUUCUUUCAAAUAUUUUGGAGGUCAUUGGAAUUCCUGUAGGUCUAUUUACCAGAUUUUAGUACGUUUAAGGUUUUAAUUUUGCUUAGACUUUAAUUUCUCUGAAAGAUUGUAGUAUUGAUCCUCAAAGAAAGAUCAUGCUACUUCAAAUUAUUUUGAAGUGUUGCUAGUUAUAGCCUUACAUAUCAAAUUCCAUUUGUCUGGAAAUUUAUUGAUAGUUGUUACAGCAGCAUAUUUUAUGACUCUACUUCUUAGUUAUGUAAGUUCAUUAUGUUUAGGUCAGAGGCAGUCAGCUGUGGGGAAUCGAUAUAUACACAGAUGACUUUGAUCUUGUUGCUGGUACGUGGUUCUAUGAAUAAUUGUUCACAAUAAUUGUGUUUGCCUCACUGUUUUUGUUUUAUGAGGUCUAUAAUUGAUCUUGAGAUAUUACUUUCUAGUUCUCAUGCAAGCAAGUUACUACCUUCCCACUGCAUCUCCUCCUUUAUCUGCUAUUCAAGAGUUGCGUGCCAUAAUCUGGUGUUACCUCUGCAAGAUUGUGAAUGAAUAUGAUGCCUCUAAAUUUAUUUUAUACAUAAUGCUGAUGCUGAAUAAUAUAUUGUAGCUCCUGUCAUAUUCUACUUUGACUUUUUAUAUUCUGUUUCAUAUAAAAAUCUUAUUCAACUUUAGUUGUUCAUGAGCAAAUGUCACAUGUAUAAGCCCAAAUGAUGCUUAAAGGUAGCGCGGCUACCUUUAGUUUGAGCCUACAAUGGAUGAAAAAGAAAUUGAAACUGAUAUUUUGCUGUUUUUCUGAUUUUUCAAAGUAUUUUAGAUCCUGACUUUUGUUUGGACUUGAUGGUUAUAGAUUGUGUCUAGAUUUGUUAAGUUGUUUCCAACACCUCGUGCCAAAUGAAAGCACAAUCUUUCUGAUUCAGAUGUCUUGUUAAUUAUGCUUCAUUUUUUUCGUUAAAGAAUGGAUGGUUGCAUGGAUUGAUGGAGUUGGAGUUCAACCAAUAAUUCUAAUUUUUUGGACUUAAAAUGCCUUUUUCUUCUGUAUAAAAACUUUAGUAAGUGCUAUUGAGUUGACAGAAGUUGAAUACUUACAGGUUGUUUCACACAUUUUAAUCGUUUUACAUAUAUGAAUUUCUGUUUUUUGAAUUGCAGAAAGGAGGUGGAACUAUUGAUUUGGAGCCUUAUCUUACUCAAUCAUCGACAGCGGAGCCUACCCUCGCUCCCAUGGCAGUGGAACGGACAACGACUACUAGGGCUGCAACAUCAGUUGGUUUGGGUCUGUUUUGAGUUUAUUGUCAUUUAUUUGGCAAUGUUUUGAUAGCGAAUUUUGAUAUGUCAAUAUAAUGUGUAAUUGUUUUGGGUUGAGCUGGUAAUUAUGCUGGAUUAGAUUGGUUUGGUUUUGGUGCUUCUCUGACGGAACACUGCUUUUUUUAGAAAUUUUGAAUGUAAUAUGAGACUACAUUUAGUUUAAUUGAACACUGCAUCUAGUCUAAUUACUAGACGUGUGGCAUUUGGUUUGGUUUAUCCGAUAUUCUCCAGAAUUUCACUUGCAUCUGGUUUUGUUGCAUAUGUUUGCUUGCAUUUGAUGGCAGUAGCAGACUGUUUGGUUUUGUGAGAUUUGAUGGCAGUUUGGUCUGUUCUUGGUGUUGAUUUAAGAUUGUUCCUGUUGUGCUGAUGUUAAUUGCAGGUGCUUGAAUCAGCUAGGGUUGCUGGUUUAUUCAGAUGGUUGACUCAGGCGUUGUUACUGGUUAAUUCAGGUGGCUGACUCAAGUUGUUCAUUUAAUGUUAGGAAGCAAAUUAAGAAUUAAUGAAGUAUUCAUUUAACUAUAAUUUUUGUAGUUAUAUUAUUUCAUAACUGAAUUAUAAUCUAUGAUACUUUUGAACAAAUUAGAGAAUUUUUAAAUAUGAAUUAAAUAUGUGUGUGUAUGUACAUUUUGCUAUUUAUAUAAUAAUUUAAAGAAUAUAUUUCAAUUCCCACAAAAAUAAUGGCUCCAAUUUCAAUAAUUCCCGCCAAAUAAUUAAAUUUUUUUAAUUUACCACCAAAGUAUAUCUUAAAGAAAUUUUAGUUAUUCUUGCUAGAUUUAACAAAAAUAAUUUGUAGGAUUAAAUUUAAUUAAAAUAAUUAAAUAAUUUUAUUAUUCCAAUUAAAAAUGUCAUGUUUAUACGACAGACAAUAGUCAUGAAUGGGAAGUAUUCGUUACAUGUUUUUCCUUGGGAUUUCAGGCAAAUGAAAAAAAGAUUGAGAAUGAUUUCAAGAGGACAGGUGGAUGAUAAGUAUUCAUUUUUGUAUAUUUGGCUAAUGUCCUCAUUAGUGGAUUUUUAUGGUAUUGAUCUUUUUUUUUUUUUAAUUUUCAAUUAGUUGCAGCCCUAGAGGAAGAGCAGGCUGAUCAAAUUGAUUUGUCUUGUUUUUGGGGCAAUCUACGACACGAUGACCGUGAUAAUGCUCGUGACUGCUGGAAACUUUCUGAUGUAAAUAACUUUAGAGUUCGUAGCAAGCAUUUUUGUUAUGACAAAACAAAGGUUCCCCCAUAUUUUGUUUAUUUGUUAUUUAUGGUACUUAUUUAUGGUAUUUAUAUAUCCUGCAUAGGCUAGGUAGACAGGUUAUGAUGUAGUUUGGUUGGCUCUUCUUGUGCUUUGUGCAAUUUGUAACUGCAGAUACCUGCGGGAAAACAUUUAAUGGAUCUUGUUGCUGUUGAUUGGUUCAAAGACACAAAGAGAAUGGACCAUGUAACUAGGCAUCAAAGCUGUGCUGCACAAGUAACUAUUCUUCUCUUUUUUAUUUUUCCUUUUCCAUUGACGGAUUAGAAGAAAAUACUGCCUGUGAGAUACUGUAAUGUAAAUAACUUCUCAUGGUUCAUUGAAUCUAUAACACACUGACCCUCUUCUAAAAAAUGUAGGUUGCUUCUGAAAAAGGGCUUUUCUCACUGAUCUUUAAUCUUCAAGUAAGUUUGUUUCAUUUCAGAAGGUAUUAAGUUUCAAACUUAUUGUAUUGGGAGGUUGUAUAGUUGUAACCUAAGCAUCUGCAGGUUCCUGGUUCAACACAUUAUAGUAUGGUAUUUUAUUUUGUCACAAGGCAAUUGGCUAUGGGAUCACUUUUGCAACGGUUUGUUGAUGGCGAUGAUGAGUUUCGCAAUAGUAGGUUGAAACUUAUUCCAUCUGUUCCUAAGGUAUCCAUCUUGGCCUUCAUGUAUUAGGACUAUAUUAAUGUAUACUUACCCUUUACUGCAUGGUACACUUCAAUUUGUCCAAAGAAGGCAUGCAUUUAGGUGAAAAUGUAUUGAUGGGUUGUACCUUCAAACUUCAUGUCCUUUUUACCCUCUUGAAUUUGUUUUGCACUUGUUCUUGAUUUUAAGCACUGAAUCAUGCAGGGGUCAUGGAUCGUGCGUCAGAGUGUUGGAAGCACCCCUUGUUCGUUAGGGAAAGCGGUUGAUUGUAACUAUAUUCGCAGUCCCAAGUACUUAGAAGUAAAUGCUCUUGGAAUUUCUAUAGUACAUGAGAUGUUCAUCUUUCAAAUAGCAUCCGAUACCAUUAACAUGGUUUAACAUUGUUCAUCUUUCUGUAGAUUGAUGUUGACAUUGGUUCUUCUACCGUUGCUAAUGGAGUUUUGGGCCUUGUAAUUGCUGUAAUUACGACAUUGGUGGUUGACAUGGCUUUCCUUGUACAGGUAUGUAUGAUUGUUUUUUUCCCCCACUUCUAAAUGGACACAAGGGAAAAGACAUGAUUUUGAGAUAUUGCACUGCAAUUUGCAUUUUUGCAUACUUGAAUGUUCUCAGAAUGGUAUAAUGCUUCGUGUGUGUCUUCUUUAUCUUGCUCUUCUGUAUGCAGGCAAAUACUGCAGAUGAAUUACCGGAGCGGCUGAUUGGUGCUGUAGGUGUUUCUCAUAUAGAACUCAAGUCUGCUGUUGUCCCAAAGUUGGAACCAGAGAUAUCAUGACUGUGGUUUCAUUUCACCUCAACUGUGUUUUUUUUUUAAUUAAAAAAAAUCAUUUGUUUUAGGUAUAUACAUACAUGUAUUUUGAUUCGAUUUUCAUUGUAAUUUCUCAUUUACUUCGAAUGAAAGUCAUUGGUGUUUUCGAAUGGGGAUUUUGCAUUAAAAAAUGAACAAUAGUGAAUAGGAAAUUUCCUGAUUCUUUAGUUACUAUUUUUGGUACGAGUGUAAUUAGUAGUAAAGUUGGUUUCUACUCGCAAACAAGUAAACUGCUCGAUUCCCGAGUGGUAUCAACCAGUUUCCAACUUUUUAAUAUACACUAAUUGUUCUUGUUUAAGAGAUACUACUAUUAAAACUCAACAGCUAACAAAAUUACUCAAAAAAGAUGAUUUUUCUUAUGAUGCUGUGAAGAAAAUUACGGGUUUACUUCUCUCCACGAGAUCUAUAACAUGGUUUUGACUUCACGAAAUUCUUUUAAUUUAAAGCAUGCUGGUGUGAGAAGGUCAGUUUGACUGAUUGAUUCUUCAAAAAUAUUCUUAUUCUGAUAUUGUCACAAAUGUUAUGCUGUUUCGGCUAAUGAUCUCCUAUUAGGAGAGGUUAGAAAUCAAAUGCUUAAAAGACCGAUUGAACGAAUAAUACAGAAAAUUUAAGCAGAAUCUAAUCGAAUAUUGCAUGAAACAUGAAACAUCAAUUCAAGUCCUUUCUUAAACGGAGAAUGCAUCAAACAAAAUCUAAAGUGUCUUGCACGUCUGUAGCAUGAGCAAAAAAUUGUAAAUAUGUAGAACCAAAUUAUUCAAGUACAGAAGAACGAGCAAGCUGAAUCAUGUAUUAGAGAUUGGCCUGGUUCGGGAUAGCUUCUUCACUAUACCUGAAUAAUUUGCUAAAUAGCACCAAAACUUAAUUGAUACUUACCAUUUCAUUGAACAAUUUUUUUAUGGUGUCAUUGAGGUUGCCUUCCCAACAUCCUUCAUCAUCAUCAUCUUUUUCUUCUUCGGUGACGUUCACUUUGUUUAGCAUUGGUGUGUCUAAGACUCCUUGAGAGAAGAUCUUCAUUUUUGGACACUGUCUCACAACUACUUGUUUCAAGGACGGGAAUUCAAGAGCGUAAUUACCCAAACAAAAGCUUGUUAGGCUUGGCAAACAAUCAAGUCCUAAGUACUCCAAUUCCUCGAAACCAUUGCAAUCUUUCGCUUCUUCUCCAACCUGCGAUUGUAUGAUUUCUUCUAUCAUUUUGCAAUCAGCUAUCUUCAUUCUUCCGAGAUUAACCAGAUUUUUAGAUGCUGAGAGCGUCAACACAUUUAUCAACCCGUGACACUUCGAUACUUCCAGUCCCCACAUAUUUUCCAAAUGCCACGAAGGUGGUACUAAUUUUUGCAACUUACUACAUUCCGAUAUUUCUAGACUUCCCAAGUUUGCAAACGCUUUGUUGGAUUCGUCAUUUUCCUUCCAGAUAUGCUGCACUUUGUGUAAUCCAGAUAGUGUUAACCAACUCAAUUUAGGGAAUGCAACCUGAAAAUCAACAAAAUUAAUUAAGUUGUAAAUGAAAAUAUGUAUCCAAUCUCUGGAGUCUUCCCCUGCAUAUUUUAUGGACAAGAUUAAUCACGGCAUUUUAUAUUUUUUUUCCAAAUUAGUAUGCUUUGCAGUAGGAUCCCAAAUAUAAGUAUCAAAUCGAUUACCCUUUGAAACACAUAAAUGAAAUCUGAUCCUAAAUCCAAUAUGAAUUAACACGCAUAAUUAAUAUAGUUCAUCACCUCAUGUCACUAGGCAUCUAAUUAAUUUGAGACAUUUUAAUAAUUUAUACUAUAAAGUUAGUUAAUAACUGCGGUUAUAUUGUUAAAUCAUAUAUAAAUUAAGACGACAUGCAAAAAGAUGAGUCAUUAAAUUUGAUUUGAUUCUAAUGAAAUUACAUCUAUGCGAACGAAAGUGAUGGGAAUAAUCAUCAUCAUCAUAAUAAUAAUAAUAAUAAUAAUAAUAAUAAUCACCUUUUCAUCGAAGAGAGGUUGUAGUUGAUGAGCCAGCAAGAAGUUCUCUUCUGAUGUUAAUUUCUGAGGUUCCUUGUUAUCUGUUGUCACGUGCACUACAGAUGUAGAAUUGGAUAUGAAUGUUUCCUUAUCAGGGCAAUUCUCAAUAGUUAGAUAGUCCAACUCAGGCAGUUCAAUUAUAUUCCCAGUGAAGUUGCAGAAUCUUUUGAGUUUUGGAAGAUCAAUGAGCCUUAGAUUGGAAAGCUUAGGAAACAUGGGGCCUAUAUGUUCUUCCUUGGCAUUUAGCUCUUCCAAAUGAAGCACCUCUUCUAGUGAAUCACAAUUCGUCACUGUCAGGUAUUGCAAAUUGUUCAAGCACCGUAGCAGAUUGGCAGGAAUAGCACUCGACAUAUUCGUGCAGUCAUCCACCACCAGGUCACUUAAAUUGUUGAAGAAGCUGACAGGCAGUGCUUGGCCAUGCCAUAUUUCUUGCAAACGUGGAAAAUGCGAGAGUUGCAAAUACUCUAUAUCACGGAAUCCAAUCUGCACAAACCAAAACUAUUGCACUGGAUAUAUACAAUUUUUUUUAAAGGCAUUAGAUAUAUAUAUAUAUACACACACACACACAUUAAACUUACAUGUUUUGUGUUUUAACUUCUAAAACUACAUAUACAAGGUAGGUGUAUAUGUUUAAAUGUGCAAGCGUAGGGGAGAUGCAUGAACAAUUUGGGUGAAUCGAUUAACACAGACCAUCUUUUUGUAACAUAUUUUUAAAUGUGCAAGUGCAAGGGAGAUGCAUAAGCAAUUUGGACGAAUCGAUUAACACAUACCAUUUCUUCGUAGCCCUUUUGUAUAAAGGAAUUAAGGUUAUCGCCUUCCCGAUGGUACAAUUCACCCUCUUCCUUUUUACUAACUUGCACUUUGCAUGGCUUUGGAAUGGAUAAGAUUCCGUGAGAAAAAGUCUUCAUGUUCGGACAAUGUGUCACAGAAACUCGUUCCAGUGAUGGGAAUUCAAGAGUAUAAUUCUCCAAACAAAAGCUGGUAAGCCUUGGUAAAUCAUCAAGUAUCAAAACUUUUAAUUUACUGAAAGCAAUAUGAUUCUCCUUCGCUUCUUCUCCAACAUGUCUUAUGAUUUCUUCUAAUUUUGUGCACUUCGAUACAUUAAGAUUCACCAGACUACUAGGAAUUCCAACCUGAAAAUAAGCAAAAGUGUGUGUAUAUUAAAAAAGUAAAAAUGUAAGAAUAUCAUUCAACUAGGUUCAAAGUAUGUUUAAUCAUACAAUUAUACGUUUUAUAAACAUAACAAACCAUGAAAUGUCUACUAGAUAAUUUUUUAUUAAACAAAAAAAGCAACAAGAUAAAUAAAUAAAUAAAAGCCAGAUAAACAAAGAUAAUAAAAAUGCAUUUACACUAUUUACUAUUGGGAACGUAGAAAGAAUUUAAGGCAAUUUCUAAAUAUUUUAGACUUAUUUUGCAUCUUGAUAUCAGUUUUUAAGCAUAAAUUUACAAAUUUCAACUAUUCCUUUUAGGGAAAAAAAAUUCAACCAAAAUGCCGCUUUUUCCCUUUUCCUUGGUCCCUUUUUUUAUGUACAUUUAAAAAUGGAAAAAAAAAAUUGGAAAAGACUUCCCAAUAUUGUCAAUAAGGGACUGCUGCUGUAAAGUGGAUCUUUAUUAAGUACUUCCAGACUCAAGGAAAUUUCUUUACAAUCACGGGUCAGUUGUAAAUAAUCAUGAAUUUGUGGUUAAUUAAUGGCAUAAUCAAUUCGUAACUAAACAAGAGAUAUUAAUUAAAUUUGAAGACUUUUAUUUUCUUUUUUUCUUUUUCCAAUCGAAAUGUGAAGAAUUAAGGAAAAGAGAAAUAUAUAGAUGAAUUUGUGAACCUAUAAGAUGAGUGACGAUCCUUUAAUUUUUGAAAAUCGUACUUAUUAAGAUAUGAGCAAAAACUAUUUAAUUGAAUUAUAUUAUGCUGUUGAAUCGUGUUUAAAAAAUUUAUAUUGUUGAUUCUAAUGCUGACGAACCUAAAAACUGGACCUAAAACGUAGAUUUCAGAGUGGUGGUUCGAAGUACGAUACUUGAAAUAAAUAAUCAGUGGCUGAAUAUCAUUUGUAAACAAAAAAUGGUUAAAAUAUUGUUGGAUGUAAUUUGAAAAAAAAAAAAAAAGAUUCGAAAUGAAUACACUCAAAUAUCUCCAAAUUCUUCAAUUUGCUGAAAGACUCCAAAGCAAGCUGGUGGUGCCAUAUUCUUCUCAAAUUAUCCAUCGACCUAAUACGUAAUACCUCCAAACUAGGAAGUCGUACCUGGCAGUUAAAGAUUAAAUAACUAAUUAAUCAAUUAAUGGCAUAAUCAAUUGAUAACUAAAUUAGAGGCGGAUAUUAACUAAAUUUGAAGAAGACUCACGGAAAAGACAAAUUAAAUAUUAUGACUAAAAUUAAUUUUUUUUAUUAAAAAAAAAACCUUUUCGUCAAAGAGAGGAGGAGGUUGCAUUUCAGAAUGAAUGGUGUCUUCUGGUGAGCUCGUAGAGAUGAAUCUUAACAUAUUACUGCAACUCUGAAUCUCGAGCUUUAGCAAAGAAGGGAAUUCAACGACUAAAUCUGAAUGAAUAUGUCCCGUAUUGGCAAAGCUUGUUAGUUCAUAAAGCGCUUCUAGCUGCAGGGAGUGUAGCUUAGGAAAAACCUUUAAUUCAAUCAACUUUCCUUCAUCUCUUUCUGACCACCCCGUGGUGUCGACUACCCCUUCCAUUGAAUCACAAAGCCUUAUCUCAAGAUGUUGGAGUUGCAUCAGACGAUUACAAUUCCCCACGUACAGCUUUGUUAAAUUUUGACAACAGUACAUUCCUUGAUUAUGAUCGGCCCAUAAUUUUUUCAUGUUUCUUAAGUCCCAGAGAUUCAAUUCCUCUAAGCUCGGAAGAAUAACCUGCAAAGAAAACCCGUACAUUUUUGUUCCUUCAAGUACAACCGUCUAGUAUAAUAUUCUUUUGAUGAUCGAAGAUUAAUCGUGAUAAUAAAUUAAUCAAUUAAUUAUUGAACAGAAAAUUAUCACCUUUGGAGCAGUAUCAUCAUCAGCAAUGAUUUCGUUGAAUCCCAAAGAAGUUGUUGGUUUCUCCCUGUCGGGUCCUAUAAACAAACAAAAACAAUAUACAUAAUUAAUCUUUGUCGUUGUCUUUUUUUUUUCAAAAUAAUUGAGGCGAAGUCCAUAAAUCCACCAACACUUAACUUCAACACUUACCAACCAUCAUUUCCAGAUCAUGGCAAAAAGCCACUUUGACCUUUUGAAGCCGCAGUAGGUUUUUGGCUAUGGAGAAUGAGAAAAGAUGCUUUAAUUUGUGACAGGAUUGUACUCCUAUAAUCCUUAAGUUGCUGAAAGAUUGAUCUUCUGUGAGUUGGCUGUCACAUAUUGUCUCCAAAUUGUUCAAAUUGCGAAGAGACAAUGACACCAGCAAGGGGAAGACUUUGCGACGAACCCGUCCAACUGAACCGACAAUAUGCAAAAUCUCAGAACAACUUUCUACAGAAAGAUGCUUCAAUCGUGGAAAACCUUCCCCAUCAUCUAAUUCAUGAACAACAUUCUGAACACCCUUCAGUUCGUUUAGAUGGAUCUCUUCGGCUUCCUUCAGCAACAUUUUCGUCCCAUAAUUCUCCAAAAGAGUGCUAACAUUUUCUAGCCCAUGGAGCCCCACCAAUCUUGAUGUUUCAGAAUUAACGGGCCAAAUGCGCCACCACGCUUCUCCUAUACAUAUCUUAUAGCUUUGCAAUUCCACAGAGACCCAAUCCUGCGGCAGAAUUUGGGCAUCCGGAACUUGUAUAUUCAAAGUAGUUAGCUUUGACAGCCCCUUCAAUUCAGCAAGACUGGCGUUACUUCCUCCUUCAACCUUAUCCCACUGCGAAAAGCUGUCACCCAUAUAUAGUUCUUCCAAUCGAGAAAAUUUUGAUAUGACAUUUGGUGCUAUCACUACAAGGCUCCUACAAUUGCUCAAAUCUAGCAAUUGUAACCGCGUCAAUUGUCCAAUUUCAAGCGGUAACUGCUUAAUGUCGGAACCUCGAAAGCUAAGAAUCUCUAAUUUCUUUAGCUGUCCAAUUGCCGCUAUAUCUUCUAGUUGGCACCAGUCUAAACACAAUGUUUGAAGGUUAAUGAGGCGACCAAGUGAUGAAGGUAAUGAAGAGAAAGGAAUUCUAGUAAGAGUUAAAACUUUGAGUUCUUCUGUCCCUUCAAAAAAGAGGUCUGAAAUUUGCAUUGAGCUAUAACGCUUUGAAAACAACAAAAGUAACUGGAGACGGGGACAUCCCAACCUUUCGGGAAGCUCUUGAAUAUCUCUCUGGGGUAAUGAAAUGGCAAUUGGAUCUUUCCGUAUUGUCUCUUCCAUCUUUUUCUCCACGUCAUCAACAUUUGGAAUAUUAAACAUGCGCUCCCCUGCAGCAAUUGAUACAGCAACAACAUGAAUGACGUCAUGCAUUUUAACUUCAUCUUCAGCAUCACCGUCCAACAAUAAGCAUGAAGAUUUGAGAUUGUCGAUCAACCGAUGCACUCUACUCCUUGCUUCUUCCAAUGUGUAAACAUUUUCAAACAAACCCCAACCCACGCCAUAUCUCAAUAAGCCAGAAACUUGUAUCGCAUGACCUUCACUGUACAGACCACAAAGACGGAACAGAGGUUUUGCCUCCGCACUUUCCAAAAAGUCGUAACUCAAUUUUAUGGAGGUGUACACAUUUGCUUUCAUGCCAUGAAUUUCUCUUGCAUGCGAUCUUCUUAGCUGAUUCAAUGCAUCUUGCCAAAAGUAACGCUCCUUAUUUUUCAGAGCAUUUGCAACUGUACUCAGUGCAACAGGCAAACCUCCGCAUUUUUCAACGAUCUCAUUUGCUGUACUUUGAAAAUCAGAUAUUUUAGUUGAAUCACCCACUAUCUUCUCAAAUAACUGCAAUGCUUCUUCUUUCGAUAAAGCAUCGAUCCAGAAAAUUUUCUGACAAUUCAUAUCAUUGCACAAUAAAUCUCCACUUCUAGACGUCAAUAUUAUUGUGCAUCUUCUCUGAUCAUCCUCUCUAUCUUUCUCAUCAACAUCCCCAGAAGGAAUUCCAACUUCAUCGAACUUCAGUUCUCUCCAAAUGUUAUCCAAUAUAAUCAGGACCCGCUUCUCUUUCUUCAAUACUCGACGUAGUCGAUUUGCUCUGUCGAAUAUAUUCUCAUUCAACUCAAACUUUAUGCCUAAAUCAGAAGCAAGUUUGUCUUGAAUUUUCUGAUGAUCUGGGUUCUCUGUUAUCUCAGCCAUAGCGACCUUAUCGAACCACUUAUCUUCCAUCACUUGCUUUGCAACUUGCUUUACGAGCGUGGUUUUACCCACGCCGCCCAUCCCGUAGACCCCAAUUAUGUUGAGCUUAUCAUCCCUCAACGCCUCCAUAACAUCUUGAAAUACUUUCAUUCUUGAGUCAAAGGCCUCGAAAUCUUUCACUUGCAUGUGUUCUACCAGCUUUGGAGUAGGACGGUGGGAAACAUUGGAGAAGUUGCCUUUUCCCAUGAGACUAGCUGCAGCUUCUGCGGCCUUUGCUGCUUGUCUACUGAGCUUGUAACGAGAGAUCAAGUUUGGGCACAAUCCUUUGAAACAGAACUUCUUAGCUCUAUCUUCAUCAUCUGUGAUGGAUUUUGCAGCGCCCUGAGUGAAUUCCUUGACGCUAUUAAGCCAGUCUGCAACAUCCUCAUAAAUCUCAUCUCCUUGUUGAGUAGCCUGAUGAACGGGUAUUUCCACCCUUUCUCUUUGAUGUCCCAGCUGCUUCACUUGAACUUUUAGGCCAUCUAUGUAGCUCUGGUACUUGAACACAUAAGAUAUCUGCCGUUUAAGCGGUUUGUACAGUGACUUUGCACCUUCUGAUACAACGCCGGUUAAAAAAGCCAGACACGCUUCUACAGCCAUUGCCUGUUGCUUAACGAUAUAUAUGUAGUUUUUGGCUGUUUAAAAAAAAAAAAUGGAUUCAAAUAAAUUAAAUGAACUAGAGGGGAAGAAAAAGAAAGAAACGACAACAAACAACCUUUUAGAGAAAGGUUUGACGGGCCUGAAUGGAAAACCAACAACUUUUUGAAGAAAGAAAGCUUUGGAAGAUAGAUGCAAAUUAACCGUUGAUAAUACUACAUAAGAACACAGAAGUUAACAAUAAACAGUAACUUAAAACUCAAGAAAAUUAAAUGACGAGAUUAAGACAAACAAGGGAUAGUUUUUGUUGGACAUUAAGAAACAACUGCUAUCAAGAUCAAGGAUUAGAAAUUAUGCUAUUAAAAGAAGUUAUUAAAGGAUUUAGAACAAGUUUACCUCUUUAAUUAUCUAGGAUCAGAGUUUAUGAGCUUCACUAUUGGCCUUGGAUGUAUAAGAAAAACUUUAAUGAGCAAAAGAUCACUCUUAACUGCGGAGGAAUGUGAGUAAAGAGUUUAUGGGAGUAAAGCAAUACAAUUGAAUUGUAAAAGAACCAAGACUUAAGCGUGCGUCCCGUGUUUUGUUUUAUUAUAUAAACAGAACAUAUGUUCAUUUUUAACAAAUUGAUCAAUAACUCUAUUCGCUAUUUAAUUAAUAAUGUAAUCAAUUUUAAGAGAAUAUAAUAAUAAUCCUUCAAUGCAUAAAUUUAGAAUUAGAUUUUUUUUUACUUUUUAUUUAAAUGUAAAUCUCAGUGGAAAAUUAUAAAAAUUUAGAGAUAAAAUUUUUCAAUCACCAAACGGAAAAACAGGGGAAUGAAAACAGAGGAAUCUUGUUUUACUUUUUUUUUCUUUUUAAACCUUAACUCUUGUUCUUAUAUAAAUAAUCUUGUUCUGAUGAUAGUGCUCUUGACUGCAGGAAAAUUUCUAAUGGAAACAACUCAAUUUCGGAAGAUUAGCUCAGUUUUGCAAGCGAUGAAUUUAUUCAAUUGACUCUGUACUUGAACUCGUUGGAUUGGUUGAUUUAUGAUUGACUGAAUUUCAAUUCGGCCUAAAAGAUCUUUAACCAAAGUUUAAUAGCUAUCAUCUACUCCUUAAAAACAAAUAUGUAUCUUUUUUAGAUUUGACUGAAUUUGAACUUGCUGGAUUGGUUUUUUUUUAGAUUAUUAAAAUUUGGAAUAUUUUUUUUUCCUUGCUUUCUUUUGUUGGAGGAUUAGAGAUUUUGGUAUUACCAGAAAGGUUUCAAGGGUCUGAGUAGAAACCUAUAAUCUUUUGAAAAACUUUGUUUUUUUUUUUUUUUAAUUUUUUGGGGAAAAGGAUGCAAAUUAACCAAAUGGAAAUAAUAAGAGCACAGGCUUUAACAAUGAACAAUAACUUAAAACUCAUGCAAAAUAAAUUCAAUAUUAAAACAAACCAGAGAAAUUUUUUUCUUGAAAAGUAGAUGGAAAUUAUGAAAGAACAGAUGUCAAGAUCAAGGAUCAGGGAUUCUACUACCCAAAAAAAAUAAAAAAUAAAAUUAAAGGAUUUAGAAAAUGUGCACCUAGAGUUGGUGAGCUUCUCUCUCUAUUCACUUGAAUAUUUAAGAACAACUUGAAAGAGGAAAAAGAUCACUGGUAACUGCUGAGGAAUGUGUGAGAAAAGAGUUGACGAGAGAAAUAACAAUGACUUGCAGAAGAAAAACCAUUAAUCAAGCACACCUUUUUAUAUCCUGUAUUUGGUUAUUGUUGCCCUCUUGACGCAUGUAUAGAAUAAUUACGUGCAUUUUUUUUAAUCCGCAUGCACUUUAAUGAUUAGUGCUCCUUUCAUAAAGCAGAUACCGGAAACACACAAAUAUCAUUUGAGAGAGAAACUAAACAGCAAAUCAUCAAAGUAAGAUCAAUAAUAUAUGACUUGGUUAAUGCAUAUUCAAGAACAAAAACAAAAACAAAUAAAUAAAUAAAUGGAGAAGGUUUGAUUUUGUACUGCCAACGCUGCUUUUUUGUUAUUUCAUUUGUUCUUUCCACAAAUGAUGCUUGGUUAUAAUUAAGUUCCACAUGGCCGUUACUUACAAACUGUGUUUGUGUUAACAGAAACGUGAAAUUCACAUCACACAAAAUUACACUAUCAAUUCUUAAGAGAACAUAAUAAUAAUCACUCAACGCAUAAGGGUAAAUUUAGAAUUACAUUUUGAAAUUGAUAAAAUGUUUUUUAUGGGAUUUCAGGCAAACCAAAACAAAAAAAAUUUCAAUAAAGAGCUAGUUGUUGAAAUUGAUUUAUCUUGUCUUUCAGGCUAUCUUGUGACGUGACGAUAUAUAAUGUUCGUGAAUGCUAGAAAAUUUCUAAUGCAAACAACUCAAUUUGGGAUGAUAAGCUUAAUUUUGCAAAUGACGAAUGUAAAUAACUUGUUUUGAUUAAUUGAAUUUGUAAUACUCUUACCCUAUUCUAAAAUUUGGAGGUUGCUUGAGAAAAAAAGGGUAUUUCUCACUCAUCUUCAAUCCUCAAGUAAAAUUAGGUAAAAAGCAAAUCUAAAAAAUCACAAACGAAUUAACAAAAAAAGAAAAAAAAAAACAACAUUGAUCUUGAGACAAGUGAUAUUUAAACAGAGAAUUCUUUAUUCUUUUUUACUUGCCCCCCCCCCCCCGGGGCUCGAGGAUUAAAGUCUUUGCUAUUAACAGAGAGGCUUUAAGAGUCUGAAUAAAAACCCGUGCUUUUUUUAAAAAACCACUUUUUUUUUCUUUUUUCUUUUUUUUUGGGAAGAUAUAUUCAAAUUAACCAAAGCUAGUAAUAAGAGCACAGACCUUACAAAUGAACAAUAACUUACAACUCAAGCAACAUAAAUGAUAAGAUUAAAACAAACCGGAGAUAUUUUUCUUGGAAAAUAGACGGAAAUUAAAUAAGAACUGCUGUUAAAAGAAGUUAUUAGAGGAUUUAGGAGCAUGUGUACCUCUUUAAUUAUUUGGGAUCAGAGAGUUGAUGAGCUCUCUAUUCGCCUUGAAUAUUGAGUAAGAACUGGUAUUAAAAGAAAUUAUUAAGAACAAUAUUUUAGUGAGCAAAAGAUCACUGUUAACUGCAGAGGAGUAAAAUGCUGAAAAGAGCAGUAACAAUGAAUUGCAAAAGAAGAAGACUUAACCAAGCACCCCUUUUAUACCCGAUUUUUAAGAUUUAAUUUUGAAGUUCCCAAUCAAGAACAAAGACGAAGCUUUAAUAAAGCAUGCAGUGAGAUACAAGAAAUGGAUCGGGCAAAAUACCUUACGAAGCGUUUCAUAUUUUCUAAUGAAAUAAUUUAGUUGAAUUCUUCGACGAAUAGAUACCUGUUGUGCUAGAAUAAUUUUGGCACACACAUUACUUGUGCCCUGUGAAAUUGAAAAGCACACUCAUUUACAGAGCUUGUUAGUGGGGAAAAGCUUCGUAAGAUGCCUGAUAAAAGAUAAAGCAAAAGCUUGAAUGAAGAAUGGCAUUUUAGAAAGAAACUAAAGUGCAAUCAUCAAAGUAGGAUCAAUAGUGAGUUGAUCAGUUAUGCUUUUUGUUAUUUCAAUUGUUCUCUCUUUUUUCAAUCUCUCUUUAUGUUAUAAUUGAAUAAUUGUAUAGAAAGUGUGACGGUUGCUGCAGCAUUAUGAAGUCAAAAUUGAGAACGACAUUAAAUAAUCAAUCUCUUUAUGUAUUUACUCGAAUGUCUGAUAGUGUUCAGACUUGGAUUUUCAAUAAACACAGAUUCGAAAUCCAAAUAAUUGAAUAAUUGUGUACGUUCAAAUUCAGCAUUUAAUUACUAUAUAAUUAGACAUAAAUGUGUAUAUAAUUUUACUUUCUAAGAAUUAACUUCUACCUUGAUUCUAAAAAAAUAUAUAUAUAUAAUUUUACAAAUAAUUUAGUACGGCGUUUGGUAAAUGAUAACUAUUUGAGAAUAAGUUUUAAAAUGGUUUACUAUACAAAUCUGGAAAAUGAAAAUUAAAAGUGUAAAAUGUUCACAUAAUGAAAAUUAAAAGUGUAACAUGUUCACAUACAAUGACAAAAAUAUAUUUAUUUACUUAUUUGUAAUUUAUUUUGAAUAUUAUUGUUUAAAUCAUUUUUUUACUUACUAGAUUUUUUAAGAGCAUUCUAUUUUCUUUAUUACAUAUUUAAAUAAUUUUUUAUUAACUAUUUUAAUUUGCAAUAAAAUUAACUUCAAUAUUUUUUUAACUGAAAAUUUUGUUAUGUAGUUCGUGAUAUAACAAAUACUAACAUAUUAUUAAAUUGAUUAAUAAAUUACGUGCAAAAAAGAAAAUGCAAAAAUUUAAUCUUUAUAUAAACUUUUAUGUACAAAAACCGUUGUAAUCAAACUAGUUCAUAGAAAUAUAAUAUUUUAUACAUGUGUUUAAGAAAAACAUAUAACUAUAAUAUUAUCCACUCAUUAAACUUGCAGCACUAUUAUUUCUAAUUCUCUCCAUCACUCGACCUACAGGAACAUUACUACCAUAAUUUUCUUCUUGAAUUCAACCUCCAUUUCCACAUCAUCAACAAAGCGAUCAAUUUGCCUUGAUAGCCUUUCAACUCCUCCCACUUUCCUCCCUUUUGCAGACACUCUUUUUCUUUUUCUUUCUUUAAUAGCUUCAAUGGGAACAACCUCAUCUAUCGACAAGUCCAUUCUUCAACUAGAAUAGAGUUGGUAGUAGAUAUUUUAGUACUCUCAAACGAUGCCCAAACCGUGUCACCAGUGAUUGUUGUAUUAAAAAACAUUCCAUGUAAUUUUUCCUCUGACUCUGGGUCGAUACCUUUUAUGCAAAAUCUAUUUACUUCAGGAAUUUUAUACAUAUGUCGAUAUCAUAUUAAAGUGAAUUCAGAUCCUAUAUUAUUGACAUUUAGCCAAAGGUAAAAAAUUUUCCUUUUUGUUUGUCCCCCAACUAUAUAGUCCCAUUUUUGGUUAUAAGCUCGCAAUAUGCAAGGGAAAUGAAGAUCUACUAAAAACUUCCCCAUAAUAUUAAACAUUAAACAAUAUCAACAUUUUGUGCAUAUGGUGCCUCUCCAACAACUUGAUGUACAUUAUGUUGCUCGGUGGAAUAUGACUACUUAUUAAUUAAUUAGCAAGACUUGCGUUGCGAGUCCAUGCUUUUGUUGUUUGGAUGGAGGAUCUGCCAUCCUUAUUGUGAAAUAUGAACUAAAUAUACACUCACGACAUGUCAUAUGUUGAGUCUGUAGUAGCACGACAUGUCAUCUGAUAAGCAUUUGGAACAAAACCGACAUGAGCCAAAAUGUCGUUCUUUGUUUAAGUAGCUCACGUGUUUGGCAUGUGAGCUGAACAAGACUCUUACUCUCAGAAACGACUGAACCAGAAGCCGUUUUGAGCAUGCUUAUUCAAGACACGUUGCAAGCACGUGGCUGAGGCUGAAUCUGUUAUGUUAGCGGGAAAAGCCGCUGAGGAAGGCAUCCAGAAUCAGUUAAUAAAGAACUGGAGUUCUGGGUUUUUCACAACAGGGCCAGAAAACAGAGAGAGAGCAGAGAAAGAGGGAAUGCGAGAGAGAGAGAGUUCUGAAUAGGCUUGUAAUCUCCAUUUGUGUUUGCUCUCUGUAAACUCUUGAACAAGCAAUAAAGUGAAAUCACAGAGUUUGUUUCCAGUGGAUGUAGGCAUCAUUCAUUUGGUGCUGAACCACUUUAAUUCGUGUGUGUUUUGUUCUUGAUCUAUUUGUUAUUCUUGAUUCUUAGUAGGUUGACUUCUUCUUGGUUGAAUCUUGAGUAUAAACCAGUGAGUGAAGUGUUCUUGGGGUGGGUUUAGUCUUGAUAGUUAGGGCUUAAACCAAAACACUUUUAUUUUAGAUGCUUUGUAAGACUUCUGAUUUAAUGAUUGAAUGCAGCCAAUUAACGAAAGCUUACAUAUAGUAUUAUGUAGGUGCUGAGAUGUCUGUUCUUGAUAAAGUAGAUAUAUUUACACCCAAGCCAACGGAAUCAAAGCCUUUUCGUUAAUAAUAUACACGGUAAUUGUUUUUGUUAAAUUGAUUUCUGGCUAACAAGAUCUUUUUUUUUUUUUGAAAGGGCUAAAAAGAUCUUUGAAAGCAUUCAAAGAAGCCGCCGAACUCAUAGGAAAGCCAUGAUUAAAUAUACGGUGAAGCAAGCGAGCUCGUUUGUUAAUCUCUUGAUCACUCAUAAGCUUUUCUAUACGGCUCACGAUAUCAUCCUUUUGAAUCGAUUUUGAUUGAUCAUCGGAUAUCAUGUCCCCACCUUGAGAUGAUUGAUCACCAAUUUGGCAUUGUAAUGUUGAUCACCUCUAAUUGGCCAUGCUAAAAUUGGGAGCCCACAACUAAUUGCUUCCAUAGUUGAAUUCCAUCUACAAUCAAAUAAAAAUCCACCCAUUGAUUGAUGACUUAGUAUCAAUAAUUGUGGCGCCCACCCAUCUAUUAUCAAUCCCCUUUUAACCAAUAAAGUGUUGGCUCCACUGGCAAUGGAGUCCCCUUAAGUGGUUUGACUGGGUUUGCUCCCCAGUUCGAGUCGCAGGGAAGUCGCCUUUGUUGGGAGAACCUGUGCCUCUCGGUUCGAGCGGGGACUUCUAGUCUGGGUUGUGGUACGGGCUUAAAGGUGCCUCCCACAGUUGGGGCCCUCCCCAGGAUACCUCGUGGUCAAAACCAAAAAAAAAAUCAAUCCCCUUUUACCGACUUUACUCUCCAAACCACUGGAAAAAUAACUGCCUUCUACUGGUCUGUCUAAACCGGUUAAAUGACGCGGAGGAUCCAAUCUACCUGCACUAGUUUGAAUUACCCAAAUAAACUGUUGAUUUGAUGCUUCUAAACAUUGGCAAGGCUGAAUACUCCUCUAAGGUGGGACGCACUUUGGUACCAAAUUAUAUGUAUAGCACAGAUCUACGUGAUUUCAAAUCCAACCAUUAAGCGAUCUCAUCUUCAGUCAUGUUAGAACUCUGCUGGUUGGUCUCGUCUCACGAUCAUGAAACGCUGAACCGACCAAUUUGUAAAAUUGUUUAGGUAACAAUGAGCCCACUCCCCACACCGGCUUUCCCAUUUGAUUGGCUAAAUAAUUAAUAAAUGGUCCCUCAAGAUCAUUACAUGUGUUAGAACAUCAACGCCAUCGAUCCCUUCACUUCCUUCAUGCAGUGUGGUUGAUCAUCGGGUUCUAGUGGACCUAUUUUCCCUGAACCGGGUGCACUCUGCAGAAGUGGUGGACCACUAGGAGGGGGCCCACAAGGCCUACGUCUAAGAUUCGAUUCAAAUAAAGCCGUAUCCUCAGGUACCCCAGGAAGUAAAUAGGCCUCCCCUGAUUUGACAUCUUUGAUGCGAGCCUACCACAUGGCACACUCUACAAUUGUUCAACUAAAAUUAAUAAUAUUGUUCUAAUUAAUUACUCGAUAAGCAAAUAGUCAUAGACAAAUCUAUCCCUAAUCCCACAUUUACAAAAUAAAGAAUUGAAAUGAGUUUAUGUGGCUUUGAACCCAAGCCCUCAAGCCUAGUGGCUGGAUCUUGACCACUUUGACAUAAUUAUUAUAACAAUUUUUUUUUUCAUAUUUCACUAAGCAUCUUUUGUUAUAUAAUGAGGAAGAUAAGUUGACGGAGAAGGGUUCUACUUUUACUAGUAGAUGAGAUUUAAAUUAAGAAGGUUAGUUUUAGAUUGUUAAAUUUCCUUAGACGAUUAUUCAUGUGAGAUGUUUAACAUAUACUUGAGUUAGUCGGUGCCUAACAAUUCUUGUGAUACAUGAAACCAACCAAUAUGAAAACCAUAUGAAGUUGGUAGGAUUAGAUUAAUUUAAAUGAAAAUAAAAAUUAGUUUAUGCUAUUUAUUAAUCUUAUACUGUUGAAAAUUGAAAGUUAAUUCUUUAGCCUGUCAAUUGGUUCAUGACAUAAUUAAAAUAUUCAAGUAAAUACAUUUAUCGUUUAACAUUAAUUUUUCAUGCGGUAAAACCAAUACUAAUUAUAGAGUGGAGAGAAUAAUCUGUAGGGUAUACCCCCACCUUUUAUUUCAUUUCAUUUAAAAAAAAAAGAGAGAGAGAGAAAAGUAAAGGCUUGUUCAACAUUCAAGUAAAAUUAACAAAUCUAUGAUAAAAUUACUUCAGAAUAAAAAUUAAAAUGUUUAAAAAAAAAACGGCAACUCGAAAACGACAUACAAAUACCGCAUAGAAGGUUUUCGUCACGAGAUAUUUUUGGGCUGAGACAACACUUGUAUAACUUAGCAUAUAGCUUGGAUGACGGUGAGAAUAAGAAGGAAAACGGCACCGCAGACCGAAAUGCCAGCCCAUGGAGUAUUGAAGUAAUUUUUUUUCACAAUUCAAAGGAGGUUUUGGAACUUACCACAAGGCUGAGUAUUUCAACAGUUAUGGAUGACAUAAUCCAGCUAAGCAGAAGCUGAUCUUGGCGUUUCCACACAGCAUAUUCUGGAUUUUCAUGACCUUCAGAGAUUGACGAAGUGCCUUCAAAUCCAGGUGAAAGAAAUUGAUCAGGACAUAGCUUUGAUCCAUCGAUAUAAGACUCAAGUCCAUUGCCUCGAACUGAAGAGAGCACCUGAUGUUUCCAGAUCGUGUAAUUUGUACGAUCUAAUUUGACUGGUGUAGUGAAGGUGAAAGAAGCUAUGGCACUGGUAUUAGAUUGUGAAUUUGAGUUCGUUAGAGCCAUUGGAUCUAGCUCUGAUACCAAGUUAAAGAAGCUUUUCCUGUUUGUUUACUCAGAAAGUGAAGGAAAAAUACAGAGAAAAUUAUGUAGCUAGAAUGAAUCUAAAACCAUCUUAUUAAUCUAUAUUUGGUUCAAUAUACAACAAUAUUUAUGCUACUCACUGGAACCUUCUAUAUGAAACAAACACGUGAACUCAAUACAAUUCAGCUUAACAAACUUUUAACGGGAAAUAACUAAACAGAGCAACGGCUUGCCAGCGUGGCUGCUGACUCAGCAGCCGACUAAUCAUACUCUGAAAAAAAAUCACCAAACAGAAAAACAGGGGAAUGAAAAGAUAGCCUCCGUUUAUCCUCUGUUCUGUUUUCAUUGUUAUUAAACAAGGGAAUGAGAAAAGAGAGCCCCUGUUUCUUCUCUUUUUUGAUUUUUUUAAUUACUAAACUGGGGAACGCACGGAUCACCUCUUGUUGCAAGCGCAAAUUCUUGUUUCUACUUUAGUACCUUCUAAAUGCUGCAUGCAUUAAAAUUAUUCUUACAUAUGCUAACAUAAUAGCUACUGUACAUGUAAGUUCUUGAUAAAUCCAAAUAACAUAAUAAUUUUAAGAGUUCAAAUUUAGAAUUUAAUUAUAUAUAUUUAUAUAAAUCCAAUGUGCAUAUCGGAUAUUGCAUGCUGCAAUGAUCUCAUAUGUUUCCUCAAUAUGACUUAAAUAUAUAGGCCACAACUUGGUUUUGAAGUUAGUCUAAAGCCUUCCCCUUGAUUCUAACAAAUUCACUAGGGAAGGUUCAUAUGGAUUUUGGGGGAGCUCUAUGGCCAAUUUUAAAAGUUCAGGGGGGAUCAAAUGAAUUUCAAAACUGCAUGGGUUAUCUAUUUCAGUCAGAGGAUAGUGGAAUUCCCUGAAAUUUAUCCUUUUUAUUAAAUUAAUCUUCCUCCUUUCCUCUGUGGACCUUUGCUAUGUGUGUUAUUGGCGUCCAAAUGACGAUGGGAAUUAUGGUAAGGUUCUUGCUUCCCCACUUCUUGAAAUUAAAUAUAUCUUUUCUGGCACUAGAAAUUUCCACAUGCUGUGUUUUGUUAUUGUUUGGGAGAAAUACGUCAACGAGACCAGGCGUGGUGAGCAGAUAUCUGAUAGCAGAGUUCCGCGAACCGGUGUGUUCCGUAAAAGCCUGGUGCGCGGAGGAACAGGAGCAGAAGUAUCCCGCUCGUCCACGAACACGUCAUCCGCGAGGCCAAUUUCCCGUAAGAGGCAUAAGGUCAUUCCGGCUAGAGGUCGAGAGGCGAGGAGACCCGGUCGACGGCAGUUGGCAAGACAUGCUCCCCAGCCCGAGAAUCUAGGCACGACAGCCACGCUUUCCCCAGAACUGUGGCGUAACACGCAAAAUCUCACGGAACCACGACAACCACGCUUUCCCCAGAACCGUGGCGUAACACGCAAGAUCUCACAGAACCACGACAGCCACGCUUUCCCCAGAACCGUGGCGUAACACGCGAGAUCCCACGUUUGCCCAUAACGCAGCAGUCAGAGUCCCAUACCGUCUCGAAAAAAGCGGAAAACUGGGAUUCAGGGGAGGCCUAUAAAAAGGUAGCCAACGAAGGUAAAAGGGUUAGCAUUUUUAAGAUUAGAAAAGAAAUAAAAAAAGCCAUAAGACCUGUGGCAAGCGUUCCCCGAACCUUGAUAUCUGAAUUGAGCGUCGGAGGGUUUGCGCCGGGAAAACAACCGGCGUACUCUGACUUGUCUGUGUGCGCAGGAACCUCUGGAGAAGAAGCCUCACGAGGAGACCUCCUGGUCGUGAAGAAGUUGAUCGGGCAGAGAUCCUGGUCGUAGAACGAGGAGACCCGGAAUCCCGCAUCAACAUUUUGGCGCCGUCUGUGGGGAACAGAGCAAAAAGCUUCUGUUGAUAGCAAGAGGAGGGGCGAAGCAAGUGAAAAGCAAUGGAGACAUGAGGAAGUAGUGGACAAGGGGGUGAUAGGAGGCCUAACGAUUCCGUGACGCUGAGGGAGAUAGUCAGUGAAGCACGGGAAAAAGUCAUGUUCGACCGGAUGGAACGGGUGGAAAAGCAGAUGGAGACCUUGACAACCAUCCUAGAUGAGCUGCGGAGCGAGCGAAGUAUAAUCCAAGAGGGAAGGGGGAGAGGCGGUGGAGUGGCACCAGGUCCCGAUAGUGCGGGGAGAAGUCAAACCACCGGGAGAUUUGGUGGUGAGAGAGGUAACGUACCUCUGCGGGGAGAAUUUCAUAGAGAAAGAGAGCGGUCCCCGGCAAGGCAGACUGGCGACGAGGACGAUGGAGUGGUGAAUGCAGAGGAAACGAAGUUGAGACAACACUUGCAUGAUGUAGAGCAAGAGCGGGAUCAAGUUGCAGCACGUGACCCUGGUCGUGCAGUGCAGCUGGAGGAGGAAGUGCGCAGACUAGCGCAGAUAAUCGACGACAUGCAAGGAAGGAACAGAGCCCCUGGUUGGAGGAUAAUGCUAGACGGAGAAUCACCGCUCGCAGCAGAGAUCAUGAGGGCAGUUAUUCCGAGAGAUUUCCGCCUCCCAGACCUCAGAUACUCGGGAAGAACUGAUCCGUUGGUGCACAUAGAGCGCUUCAACGACAUAACUGGGGUACAAGGAUUAUCUCAAUCCCAAAGGUGCAGAGUGUUCCCACUAUCCCUUGAGGGACGUGCACGAGAAUGGUACAGGAAACUUCCUCGGGGCAACAUUAAAACCUUCGAGCAGAUGUGCCAGGAAUUCGCGGAGCAGUUCAGUGGGGCAAUGGCGCCGGAAGAUGACAUGAUGGAGCUGAAAAGCAUGAAACAGGGGGAGCAAGAAACCCUUCGGGAAUUCAUCAAGAGGUUUCAUCGGGCUGUCCUCGACUUGGGAGCCUUCAACCACCCUCAGGCGUUAAGGGGAUUGAAAGAAGGGGUGAAGAUAGGAAGGCUGUGGUACAAUUUGAGAAGCCCAGCUAUUCAAACGUAUGCAGCCGCAUACGAACAGGCUAAGAGAGACAUCGAGAUUGAAGAGGAGAAGGCUGCACGGAUUAAGACAGACCAGUUACAAGGGUUGGGGAGGAAAGAGAAGAAAGCAUUACCGGGGAAUGGGCCGAUCAGGAGGAGGGACCACCAGGCCUCCGGUAGCGGAGCAGGAGGUCGGGUAGCCGCUUACCAUUCUCAUCAAAGGCCACCACAGUAUCAGCGCAGCAGGGCGCAACCUCCUCGUUCCCCAGUUAGGGAGCCUUGGAGAAGACAUGAGUCGGCAUCUGGUGGUCUCCAUCAACACCCCCACGGUAGCAGAGCGAGCAGACCAGAAGUACUUCCACCGCCCCCAACUCAGAGCGGGGCAAACGGAGAAAGAGUAGUGCACCUGAUCGACCAGAACCCGGACUAUGGGCGGUACACUUCCUUGAAGAUGUCCCUGGAUGAGGUGUACGAGGCCAUAAAGGAUCGAGGGCUGUUGCACCUCCCUACACCAAUAACAAAGCUACCCAACAGGAGGGAUAGAGGGCGUUAUUGUAAGUUCCAUGGCACCCAUGGCCAUACCACAGCAGAGUGUAGAGAUCUCAAGACCCAGGUCGAAGAUUUGGUGAGAAAUCGGUACCUGGACGAGUUUAUGGAUGGGACUUUCCCGAUGGGGGCCGCAACAGGUGAAGGGGAGCAGAGUGGCGGAAACGUGAGGCACGAGCAGCCUGCAGUAAGGGUGAUCGCCGGGGGCCCGACAUUGGCCGGAGAUUCCAACAGAUCGAGAAAAAAUUAUGCUAGGUACGCCAUGACCAGUAAAGAGGUACUCCUCAACACCCCAGCAGCCAAACGAGCAAGGGUCAGGCAAGUGCCAAUCAUGUGGACGGAUGAGGAUGAGGAAGGGAUUCUAUACCCCCACGAGGACGCUUUAGUCAUCAAGGCUACUAUCGCUAGCAAGAAGUUUGACCGGAUACUGAUUGAUACAGGGAGCUCAGUUGAUGUGUUAUUUAAGUCAACCCUGGAAGAGAUGGGAAUAGCCGACCGGAAGUUGGAAUACACCAAUACCUCCUUGAAGGGGUUCGGAGGAGGGAAGCUGGUCCCUCUGGGCGUGGUCGAGCUGCCUAUCACAAUUGGGAGCUCCCCGACAGAAAGAACAAUGAUACUGGACUUUGUCGUAGUGGAUGAGGAAGGUCCUUACCAGAUGAUCUUAGGUCGGCCAUUUUUAAGGAUGAGCAAAGCGGUGUUGUCCAACCAUUAUCUGGCCCUGAAGUACCGGGUGAAUGGGGUAGUAGGAGUGGUACGAGGAGACCAGAGGAUCGCAAGAAGCUGCUACUCCUCGGCAGCAAGGGAAGCAAUGCAGAUAACAUCCCUCGAUACCCGAGUGGAAAGCAGGAAGGGCAGACAAGAACCUGUAGAGGAUCUGGAAACAGUAAGCCUGGGACCAAAGAACCCGGAAAAGACGAUCAGAAUCGGGUCGAGACUUAGGGGAGGGCAAAAGCAGGAGUUGGUGAAAUGCUUACAGGCUCAUGCUGAUGUGUUUGCUUGGACACAUGAAGACAUGCCAGGGAUUGACCCUGAGGUAGCAUGUCAUAAGCUGGCAAUAAAGAAAGGUGCUCGGGCAGUAAGGCAGAAGAGGAGGUGCUUCAACCAGGAGAGGUAUGAGGCUAUAAAUGGCGAGGUGGAGAAGCUCCUGAGAGCAGGGUUCAUUCGGGAAGUCAGUUACCCUGAGUGAAUAUCGAAUGUGGUGUUGGUAAAGAAGGCAAACGGCGAGUGGAGGAUGUGUGUGGAUUUCACAGACCUCAAUAAGGCGUGCCCAAAAGACAGCUUCCCUUUACCAAAGAUCGAUCAGCUGGUAGAUUCAACGGCUGGACAUGAUCUGCUCAGCUUCAUGGACGCGUUCUCGGGAUACAACCAGAUCCCCAUGUACGGGCAGGAUGAGGAGAGCACGGCUUUCAUCACUAACCAAGGUUUGUUCUGUUACAGGGUAAUGCCAUUCGGUCUCAAAAAUGCGGGGGCCACCUAUCAAAGGCUGGUGAACAAAGUCUUUAAGCCGUUGAUUGGGAAAACCAUGGAGGUGUACGUGGAUGACAUGAUCACCAAGUCCAAAAUCCCGGAGGAACAUGUCAGACACCUCGAGGAGACAUUCGAGCUUUUGAGGAAGUAUAAGAUGAAGCUCAACCCGGAGAAGUGUGCUUUUGGGGUCGAGUCAGGGAAAUUCCUUGGAUUCAUGGUGAGCCAUAGGGGGAUUGAAGCAAAUCCCGAGAAAAUCCAGGCGAUUGUGCAAAUGACGUCUCCUCAUAACCUGAAGGAGAUGCAGAGCCUCACGGGGAGGUUGGCGGCGUUGAGCAGAUUCAUAUCCAAGGCUACAGAUAAGUGUCAGCCAUUCUUUCAAGUAAUAAGGAGGGGAAAGAAAACAGAAUGGACCCCAGAAUGCGAGGAAGCCUUGCGGAACUUGAAGCAAUACUUGCAGCAAGCUCCGCUGCUGUCCACACCGAGGGAUGGGGACAUGUUGUAUCUGUAUUUGGCGGUAUCGGAUCGGGCCGUCAGUUCUAUUCUGGUGAGAGAGGAAGAAGGAGUUCAGUAUCCGAUAUACUACACCAGCAAAGCCCUGCUCGACGCUGAGACCAGAUACCCACCGUUGGAAAAAUGGGCACUUGCCCUUGUGGUUGCUGCUCGGAAGUUGAGGCCAUAUUUUCAAGCAUUCCCGGUUUCGGUAGUAACAAACCAGCCAUUGCGUCAAACUCUGCACAAGCCAGAUGCCUCUGGUCGGCUCGUCAAGUGGGCUGUAGAGCUGAGCGAGUUCGACAUAGACUAUAAACCCCGCGCAGCGAUAAAAGCCCAGGCAAUGGCUGAUUUCGUAGCCGAAUUCACAGAGCCCGAAGUAUGCUUAGAUCAACAAGAUGCAGAUAUAGGCAAUGACGAAACUCAAGUAUGGCAGAUGUCUGUGGAUAGGUCAUCAGGGGAGCGGGGUUCAGGAGCAGGGAUUGUCUUGGAAGGCCCAGAGGGGGAGGAGAUCUCUUAUGCUGUAAAGUUGGAGUUUGCAGCCACGAAUAACCAGGCAGAGUAUGAAGCCUUGAUAGCAGGUCUGGAAUUAGCUAAGGCCGUGAAAGCAAACAGAGUUAAGAUCAGAACUGAUUCCUAGCUGGUUGCAAAUCAUGUCAGUGAAAGAUUCCAACCAAGAGAGGAGAAGAUGGAGCAGUACCUGAAGAUAGUCAGGCAGAUGAUGGGGAAGUUUGAAGCAGUGGAGGUAAUACAAAUCCCCAGGGAGCAGAAUAGUCGAGCAGACAUUUUGGCUAGGAUGGCAGCAGUAGCCGACCCAAAAAUGCCAAAGUCGGUUCCUCUGGAGGUGAAGUCCAGCCCAAGUAUUGGUCAGAAUUUGGGGGUGUUGCGGAUAGAACAAAAAUGCUCGUGGAGGGAUCCGAUAGUUUCAUACCUUAGGGACGGGGUAUUACCACCAGAUAAGGUGCGAGCUCGCAAGCUUAGAGCCCAGGCCUCGAGAUACACGAUGAUUGAUGGGGUACUGUAUCGGCGAGGAUAUACACUAUCGAUUACUUCACGAAGUGGAUAGAGGUAGAAGCCCUUAGCAGGAUCACAGAGUCGAGCAGACAUUUUGGCUAGGAUGGCAGCAGUAGCCGACCCAAAAAUGCCAAAGUCGGUUCCUCUGGAGGUGAAGUCCAGCCCAAGUAUUGGUCAGAAUUUGGGGGUGUUGCGGAUAGAACAAAAAUGCUCGUGGAGGGAUCCGAUAGUUUCAUACCUUAGGGACGGGGUAUUACCACCAGAUAAGGUGCGAGCUCGCAAGCUUAGAGCCCAGGCCUCGAGAUACACGAUGAUUGAUGGGGUACUGUAUCGGCGAGGAUAUACACUAUCGAUUACUUCACGAAGUGGAUAGAGGUAGAAGCCCUUAGCAGGAUCACAGAGAAGAAAACAACGGACUUCGUGUGGAGAAACCUGGUCUGUCGAUACGGGAUCCCUUAUGCCUUGGUAACGGAUAAUGGCAGGCAGUUCGAUAAUCACAGCUUCAGGGAUUUCUGCCAGAACCUCGGGAUAGAGCUGAAGUAUUGCUCGCCUGCUCACCCUCAAUCGAACGGACAAGUAGAAGCAGCCAACAAGACCAUCAAGAGGCUUUUGAAAACCAGGCUUGGAGCAAAAAAGGGUGCGUGGGUUGACGAGCUGUCAGGUGUGCUAUGGGCAUACAGAACAACCCACAAAACAGCAACUGGGGAGACACCGUUCGCUUUGGCUUUCGGACAUGAAGCGGUCGUGCCGGCCGAGAUAGGAACGACCACACACCGGACAAAUCAUUUCAAUGAGCAGGAGAACGACGAGCAGAUAUGUUUGAAUCUUGAUCUGCUAACGGAAAGGAGGGAGCAAGCAGCCGAGCGAUCGGUCAUUUACCAACAGAGGGUUGCUCGGUAUUAUAACCAGAAGGUGAACAUACGGCAAUUCAGGGUCGGAGACUGGGUACUGAGAAGAGUGAAUCAGAGCACCAAAGACUCGACUCAAGGAGUGCUGGGACCGAAUUGGGAAGGGCCAUAUAGAGUCAAGCAGAUAGCGGGACCUGGAGCUUACAAGCUGGUACGCACGGACGGCCACGAGGUGAAACGCCCAUGGAACGCAGCACACCUCCGAAAAUACUUCCAGUAAGACUUGUUCACAUGUGAAAACUAUUUUUGCUCAUGUUCAUUACCGUUUAUCUUUCACACUUAUUGUCCAAACAAUCUCAUGUAAGUCGAAUCUUGCCAUUAAUGGAACGUCGAAGAAUUUCUUUCGCUUGAAACCGAGAAAGUUGCCUAAGGCAUGCAAAGGCUCGACAAAGUCUCAAAGCCUGUCUUAUGGCGAGACAGAAGCCAAGCAUGCCAGGAUCUGCUCGGCCACGAGAAGGCGAACAGAAUCCCAAUCCUUGAAGAAAUGCCUAAGGCAUGCAAAGGCUCGACAAAGUCUCAAAGCCUGUCUUAUGGCGAGACAGAAGCCAAGCAUGCCAGGAUCUGCUCGGCCACGAGAAGGCGAGCAGAAUCCCAAUCCUUGAAGAAAUGCCUAAGGCAUGCAAAGGCUCGACAAAGUCUCAAAGCCUGUCUUAUGGCGAGACAGAAGCCAAGCAUGCCAGGAUCUGCUCGGCCACGAGAAGGCGAGCAGAAUCCCAAUCCUUGAAGAAUCCAAGGCAUGCAAAGGCUCGACAAAGUCUCAAAGCCUGUCUUAUGGCGAGACAGAAGCCGAGCGUGCCAGGAUCUGCUCGACCGUGCGAAGGCGAGCCGAAUCCCAGGCAUUGAAGAAUCUCCAAAGGCAUGUGGCGAAACCAUGAGCCAAGCCGGAACCUGCUCGUCUAGACAGACACAAGCAGAUUCUCAACCGAAAAUUAAUUCAUAAUUACAACACAAGAAAGUAAUCAAAAACCAUUUUUAUUAAUUUGUUAAUAAUUAACAGAGGGGACAAUCUCAAUGAACAUUGUUCAUUACAAUACAAGAAAUAUAUCAAGAAGAUGAUGGACCAGUAAGCCCGGCAGCAUCGGUUGGCUGGACCUCCUCAGGUGCUGGAGGGGUAUCACCAGUUGCGUCCGGGGGGGUACUUGCCUCGCCGACAUCAGCAGGGACUGCAUGAGCAGGAGAGUCUUCCUCCUCAAUCACGAUCGGCUCUACCCCAUCAGUAUCUUCCUUAGCCGCCUCCUCGUCCAUGUGUUGAGCAACACCAGCUGCAAGGUCAUCCAUCUUCAGAUCAGGGUGUUGCUUCCCGAGGACGGCCAUGAUGCAACGAUAGGAAUGCCGAAGGCCCUGGUCGUACUGGUUGUCAGCCUCCCUCUCCAAGUUCUCGACCUGAGCUCGGUGGGAGUCGCGGAGAGAUUCGAGCUGAGCCUCAUACGUAGCCUUCUGCCUUUGCAGAUCCUCCUUGACCUUGGUAAGCUCCUCCUCGAGGGAAAUGGCUUUUGCUUGAGCAAGUGAUUCUUGCUCUAUCAGCUUCAGAUUCUCGAGAUUCAGCUCCCCUGCUUUCUUCUCGGCAACGUCAGCCCUGGUCGUCGCCAAUUGAAUAUCCUCCUUCAUCUUCCGGUCGUAGCGGCCAACCUUAGCCUUGUAAUAGGUGGUCAGGCAGCUGAGGUGGAAAGCGUUAUGCUGCAUGGCCCCCACCAGCUCACCCAAGGUGCGGCCGUCAAAGUCCUCCAGGUCCUUCUUGCUCACGAGUUUAGUUAACUCAUUGAGGUAAGGGACCAGAUGUUCUGCUCGGCUGUCAGGUAAGCGAGACCAAGGCCCGACAGGAGGAGAAGAAGAAGCAGGAUCUGUGGCUGCUCCACUAGCUUCCCCGACUUUCACAGAAGCAGGAGGUAAAGUCUUCAAGGGUGGGACCUGCUGCACGAUGUUGGCCCGCUUUGCAGCAGGGGCAUCCUUACUCUGGUCCCUCUUCGUGGUUGGAGGUCGGGAACGUUUUCGGGUCAAAGCCCCAAUCACAGCGUCCUCCAUCCUAUAGCCAGGAAGUAUCAAGCGAGACUCGAGCAAGUUGUAUGUAGUUAACAGUUCUCGGCUCGAGCAGGAAUUGGCUGGUCAGGUUCAAGCGGGAAGUGGACACCCCAAGAAACUACAACACAAACAGACACUUGGUUAGAGACAAGCCAAUAAAGCAAGAACAAUUAUGAACGCAAGACAUCUAGAGCGAGCAGGCAACCUGGGACCGUGAAACGGGGUGGGACGCGACAAUCCUUCCCGUCUAUUUGUGCAAUUUGACCCCAAGGACCCCCAGCAAAAAAGAAUUUCCUCUUCCAAGCCCCACCACCACCGGUUGGAAGAUCGGUUAUGGGUUUCCGGCUCUUGGUGCUAGAUUGGAAGUAGUACCAGCCGGCAUCUUUGGGGCUGCUCUUUAGCUGGUACAAGUGCUUCACCUCAUCAACCGUGGACUCGCUUCCGAAAAAGGACUUUUCUCAUUAAUUUUUGAUCUUCAAGUUAAGUUUGUUUCAUUUCAAAAGGUAUUAAGUUUCAAACUUGUCGUGUUGGGAGGUUGGAUAGUUGUAACGUAAGACAUCUGCAGGCUUCCGGUUCAAAACAUUACAGUAUGGCAUUUUAUUUUGUCACAAGGGAAUUAGUUAUGGGAUCCCUUCUGCAACGAUUUGUUGAUGGCGAUGAUGAACUCCGCAAUAGUAGGCUGAAGCUUAUUCCAUCCGUUCCUAAGAUAUCCAUCUUGGUCUGCAUCUAUUAGGACUUUGUUAACAUGUCGUAACCUUCACUGCAUGGUACACUUCAAUUUGUUCAAAGAAGGCAUACAUUUAGGUAUAAAUGUAUUGAUGGGUUGUACCUUCUAACUUAAUGACCUUUUUUCACUCUGUUGAAUUUGUUUUGCACCUGCUCUUGAUUUUAAGCGCUAAAUCAUGCAGGGGUCAUGGAUCGUGCACCAGAGUGUUGGAAGCACCCCUUGUUUAUUAGGAAAAGCAGUUGAUCGUAAUUUUAUCCGCGGUCCCAAGUUCGUAGAAGUAAACGCUCUUGGAAUUUCUAUAAUACAUGAGAUGUUCCCCUUUCAAAUAGCUCGUCCGAUACCAUUAACAUGGUUUAACAUUGUUCCUCUGUCUUUAGAUUGAUGUUGACAUCGGUUCUUCUAAUAUUGCUCUUCUUUAUCUUACACGUGUCUCUUCUUUAUCUUACUCUUUAGUAUGCAGUCAAACACUACAGAUGAAUUACCAGAACGGCUGAUUGGAACCAGAAACAUCAUGACUGUGGUUUCAUUGCACCUCAACUUUUUUUAAUACCCGAAAAAAAAAAAUCAUUUGUUUUAGGUAUACGCACAUGUAUUUUGAUCCCAUUUUCAUUGUUUUCUUUGGAUGAAAGUCAUUGAUGUUUCCAAAUGAGACUUUUGCAUAAGUAUAGCUAGUAGGAAAUUUUCUGAUUCUUUAUUUACUAUUUUUGGAAUCUGAGUGUAAUAGUUUUAAAAUUGUUUAAUCGGUCUCUAAAUGUCGUACUCACAAGCAAACAAGUGAACUGAUUGAUUCCCAACCGUCACUCAACCGGUUUCCAACUUUUUAAUAUACACAAUAACUGUGUUUGUUGAAUAGCUAAUACUAUUAAAGCUCAACAUUAACAUAGAUACUAAUGGAAAAAUUGAUUUUCCUAUGAUGCUGUGUAAAGAAUAUGGGUUUACCUACUUCCAUAAGAUCGAAAACAUGAUCUUGACUUCACGUGAUUCUUUUAAUUUAGAGAGUGCUGGUUUGAGAAGGUCAGCUUGACGGAUUACUUCCUUUUAAUAAAUGUCAAUACACUAUAUUUGAUAAUACUAUAAAAAUGUAAUAAACAUUGUCUUGUGCUGUUUUCUUCAACUACAGAUCCUCAAUUGAAUCAGUCAAUCAGGUUAGAAAUCAAAUGCUUAAAAUACCAAUUGGAGAAACAAUAUAGAAGUUGAAUAUUGCAUGCAUAUGAAACAUCAAUUCAAGCCCUCACUUAACCAGUGUGCACCAAGCAAAUCCAAAGUGUCUUGCAAUUAUGUAGCAUGACCAAAAUGCUAUAAAUGCAUCUGGGAACAAAUUUUUGAAGUAGAGGAAAACGUGCAAGUUGAAUCAUGUAUAAGAGAUCGGCUUGGGUCGAGAUAGCUUCUUCUUUAUACUUGAAGGGUGGGCUCAAUCUUGUCUUUAGAAUUCUGCAUGUUUGUAAUUAUACAUGUGUAAGCAAGCAUACAUUACCAUAAUAAUAACAAUAAGAAAAAAGAAGCAAAUGUUAUGAUACGACUAUAAACUCCAUCAGACAAACAAUAAUGUAUAAAUUAAUGUGACAUAAUAUGAUUGAUUAAACAAAAACAUCACAUGGACCACUUGAUUUAUUUUUUAUUAUUAUAUAUUUUCAGUCGACCAAUCAUAUUAUACCAUAUCAAUUUCUACAAAAUAAUUUGGUAGUUAGCGCCAAUACUUAGUUAAUUAAUACUGACCAUUUCAUUGAACAAUUUAUGUAUGGUGUCAUUGAGGUUGCCUUCCCAGCAUCCUUCUUAUUUUUCGGUGAGUUUCACUUUAUUUAGCGUUGGCGUGCCUAUGAUUCCUUGAGAGAAAAUCUUCAUCUUUGGGCACUGUCUCACAAGUACUUGUUUCAAGGACGGGAACUCAAGAGUGUAAUUACCUGAAUAAAAGCUUGUUAGGCUUGGCAAACAGUCAAGUCCCAAGUACUCCAAUUUCCCGAAAACAAUGCAAUCUUUCGCUUCUUCAUUUAAUAAUUAUAGAAGAAUAUUGGCUUAUAGAGCAUUUUAGUAGGGAUAAGAUUUGUGGACAGAAUAAAUGAAAUAAUAAAAAGCAUAGCUGAUCAAGUCAUUAUUGAUCUUAUUUUGAUUAUUACAUUGCACAUUAGUUUCUUUUUAAAAAUGCUAUUCUUCAUUCAAGCUUUCGCUUUAUCUUUUAUCAGGCAUCCUACAAAUCUUAUCCCUACUAAUAUGCUCUAUAAGCCAAUAUUCUUCUAAAAUUAUUAAAUUCCAUUCUUCAUUCAAGCCUUCAUGGACACUAUUUACAAAUUGUUCUUGUAUUUGACAGAAAAAUGAAAACUCCUCAUCAUACAAAACUGCAUGAACAAAUCUUCAAUUUAAUUAUGAUAAAAUAAUAAAUUCCAUUAAUAGAUUAUGUUGUAUUUUUUUUUUUUUUGACCACGAGAUAUCCUGAGGAGGGCCCCAAUUGUGGGAGGCACCUUUAAGCUCGUACCACAACCCAUACUAGAAGUCCCCACGGGAACCGGGAGGCACAAUUUCUCCCAACAAAGACGAUUUUCCUGCGACUCGAACUGGGGAGCAAACCCAGUCAAGCCACUUAGAGCCAACACUUUGUUGGUUAUGUUGUAUGUUAAUGUGAGGGAUUUGAUCAGGUGAUCAUAUAAUUUAGUAAACGCUUUAAGAAGAACAAGAAUUAAUAAGUUAAAAAUUAAAAAAAUAAAUAAAUAAAGAGUAGAUGGAAAGAAUGUUAUUUGCAAUCACUAAACCAAAGAACAGGGGAAUGAUAAGAGAGGACGGUUACUGCAACAAUAUGAAGUCAACAAUAUAAAGUGUUUACCAACUUAAAACCAGGGCUAUAAAGUGUUUGAUGAAUUAUUUUUUAAUUAAAAAAAAAAAACUGAUUUAGCGGGAUAAAACAAUGCUCCAUUCCGUUUAGUAUGUGAAGUCCAGAGUAUUACCUACUACUAACUAAAUCCGCUUGAUUCACAAGACUACCAAGAGAUAACUGAAUCAUUAUUUAAUUUUACUAUUAGGAAACCUACUUAUAUAAGGCGCAAACCACAAAUUCUAAAUUAAAUACCUAACCAUAAAUUAAGAUCAACCCUAACAGUCAUCCACCAGGUGCCGUGUAGGCUGCAUCAUAAAUUCUGAUUUAAAUAUUUGCAAUCACCGAACAGAAAAACAGGGGAACGAAAACAGAGGAGCCCUAUUUUUCCAUUUUUUUAACCCUUAACUCUUGCUCUUCUAAUUAUAUUUUUCCUUGGAAUUUCAAGUAUGAGAUGAAUUUGGAGAAAGUAAAUAAAUUUGAAUUACGUGAAAAAUUCUAAUUUUUUUAACCCUUAACAGUUGGUAUAUUUUUUUUAGGUCAUAGAUUAAUAAAUUUCUUUUAAAAAAAUUUAUAAUAUCAAUUAAUAUUAUAACCUAUAGAUUAAUACAGAUAAAAAUAUGAUUGAUUUAUCUCCACCACCUAAGUCUUAGCCAAAUUUAAUUAAAGAUUAAUUUAAUAAAUUACCGAAAAUAAUAAAGUAAACGAAAAAUAAAGCACGCAAUUAAGUAAUCAUGCUUCUAAAGGGCUAAUUAACCAUAAUAGGCAUAGGUAUUAAUUUGACUUCUAUGAAAGUCCCUUCUAGUUUCUCAAAAUUCAAAAAUUACAAUAAAAAGCCAAAGAAAAAGUCAAUGCUUCUAAAGUAGAAAAGUUUGAGUACUAGAUAGGCUGCCCAAAAUACAUUUUCAUUACUCACAUAUCUCUAUAGAAAGUAAUUUUUUUAAUAAAAACAACCUAUUUGGCUAAUAUUCAGUAGUCUUUUUUGUUGAUGGAAUUAUCCUCUUAACAAUAUUUUAAAAAGUUUACAUGAAUAUUCCUUUUUUAAAAAAAAAAAGAAUAAUAACGUGUAUUGUUAGGAUAAAAAUGAUCAUCAAUACGUAUGUAUAUAGGCACAAAUAUAUGAAAAAAAAUCAAGUUUAAGUACAAUGUAUAGGUCAAUGCCUAAGAGUCAAGCCUAAAUUAGGGGUAUAAAAAACUACAAAAUACAAUUUCGUACACUACAAAAUUUUGAUAUCAGCAGUAGGGGUAUAAAAAAAUCAUUGUUGCCAAAAAUCCAAAAGCUAACUAGAGGUUUGGUUUUGUUUCAAAAAUUAAAAAAACAAGUCAAUUCGUAAAAUCAAAAACAGAAAAAGAAAAACAAAAUAUAGAGGAAUUUACAGUUUAAAAAGAAAAACCAAGCCAAAACGAAAUUGAAUCGAAAGUCGAACCAACUCAGUUCAGUUUGAUUUGAAUUUUAUUUUAUAAAAAAAAAUGAUCGGAACCAACUAAACUGUAUUAUGUUAUAAAUUAUUAUAUAACAUAAAUUUUUGAAUACCUUUGUGACGAGCACAAUUUAAAAUUUUAUGAUUUUAAAUUUUAACAUUAAUGGAGAGUUAAUACUCCACCAUUUUCCAAUUUUUACAAUACAUAUUACCAGUUUAGAUAUGCUGUAUAUUAUUGUUAUAAUUUUUCGAGCAAGAUAAUAUUUGUCAAUUGGUGUUAUGACAUCAAAAUACUUGGUAUUAGUUAGUGCUAAGUGCUUCUUUUUCUUAAAAAAAGCGGUUCCUUAGUUUUAAAACAAAAAUCAUUAUCCUGAAAUUCUCCAUUUGCUUUGUUAACAGAUAUAACAAAAUAAAGUGAUAAAAGUUUAAUUUAUAAAACUUCGGCAUUUAUAUCUAUCAGAUUCAACACUUUAGUGUCAUAGAUUUAUUUCGGUGGAGCACGAUGUGGGUUGGGCCAGGCUUAGAAUUUUAAGCACGAGAGCCUUAAAAAUAUGAUAUGAUUAGAGAUGGACUGAGCACAGCACGAUGAAAAUGCCCACAAUAAGCACAUUAUAUUUUUUUAUUGAAAAUAAACUUAAAAUUUUAUGUUUUAUAAAUAACUUGAAGUUGAAUUUUUUAAAUUCAUUUAAUUCUUAGUUUAAAAAAAUAUUAUAAUUAAUUUAUAUUUAUAAUUUAUUAAAUAAAUAAUUGAUAUCAUGAUUUUAAUGAAUAAAAUUAUAAAUAUAAUGAUUUUAUAAAUAUGCAUUAAUAUUAUUGUGAACUAUGAUCUAUGACUCUAUGUAACUCUAAGUUAACAAUUAAGUUAACCCUUAAGAAAAUAUUAUUAUUAUUAUUAUUAUUGUUGUUGUUGUUGAGUAUUAAAAAAAUUAUAAUACUAAGAGGUCAAACUUAGAUCUAUUAAAUAUUACAUUUUCUUACUAUUAUUAGUUUAUUAUUAUUGAAUAUAAACUUGAGUUUUGAUUUUUUGAUUCUAUUAAAUUUGAAUAAAAGUAUAGACCUAAGAAAAAUAUAUAGACUUGAAAAAAAUACGCCAACAGUUUAGUAUGCCCUUUAAAAAUUAAAAAAAAAAAAAAACUUAGUGAGCUUUUUUUCUUAGGCAUAGCACGGCAUGUAUCGGCAUGUGUGUUAGGCCGGACCUAAACAAAAAAAAUAAAAUAAAUCUCGACACGACACAACACAAGCAUAAGCACGCAUGGGCCUUACUUACUGGCCCGACCCAUUGAGCAUCUCUAACUGUAUCUAUCUCCGCCAUAAUAAAUUAAACAUCGGGUAACUACUAGACUAGGCAUUAGCAUAUAAACUAACUAACUAUAGUACCAAAAAGAAUGAUGCGACAUUGUAAAAGAGAUGGGGCAAAGGGCAGAAUGGGAAACGAAUGAACCAAAUAAUAGUAUAUAAUAAUAUGGAUUUGGUAAAAAUAAAAAAUAAAUAAAAUAAAGUGGUGACACGUACCUCCUUUUAUUUCUCGAUCGAGUAGUGCAGAAAGUGGAGUGUGUGUGUGUGUGUUAAUUGUGAAAUGUCAGCCAAUUUUUUCUCUCUCAUUCUGAAACAGCUCAGCAGGAAUAGUGUACACUAGAGACGUCUGUCUGUCAGUCAGAACUGCCAAAAGAGCAAAACGGGUGCACGUACAAAUUAAAUCAGCCAAUCAGCGAUAUAUUUCAGUUACUAAAAGCUAGCACAGAGGGAACAAGCAAUAUGCAGGGCCAAAAGAGAUGAGACCCCUGAACCCGAACCCUCCUGAAUGAUCUGAUCACAUCUGAUUCGAUGUCUCGAGUCAUUAGAUUUAACAUAUUUUAACAAUAUUUCUCAGUUAAUAUGUGAUUUAAUUAAAGGUCAAGUUUACAUCUGAAAAUGAACUUAUUAAAAAUUAAUUUGAAAUAACAUCUAAGAUAUCUAUUUGUUUAUAAUAAAAUUUAAUUGUCAUAUCAGAAUUAUUUUCCGUUAGACUUUACAAUAAGUUAAUCCCAAAUAAAUUGACAAUUUCAAUUUUAAAGUUAGUUUGUAACUUUAAAAUAAUUUUCUAAUAAAAAUUUAAUCUGAAACAUUUGCAAUAAUAUCAAGUAUUUUGAUGUAAUAACACCAAUGUUUCACAUGCACACACAAGUCAUAUAUAAGUUAACAAAAACAUCAUUUGUUAUUAACAAAAUCAUGUUAAUUUUUAAUUCUUAAAUUAACUCCCUAUUAAAUUUUGGCUAAAUGUUAGAGUGCAAUUUAUGCACUAGUUUUGCAUUGUUUACUUCCCUUAAUAUCGAUGUUUUGCACUUAAUAAUAAUGUUUUACUUGUGUUUUACUUUUGUAGGUGCAAUUCUAUUGAUUGAUGAUAAAAUUGAGCUAAAAGAUGAUGUUUAAGGAGGAUUGUUCUCUUGGAGAAAUUAUGAGCGUCAGAAGAACUUUGUUGAUAAGGCGUGGGCGCGUGCUGUCAACUGCGGACCUGCAGUUUUUAGUUUAACGUGUUUUGUAUUUUUGGUUAUUUUUGUAAUUACGAAUUUAAUAUUUCAGAUAUUAGUAUUUUAUUUUAAAUAGAAUUCUAAAAGAGAAGAGAGAGAGAGUAUUUAAGGGAGGAAUCUAUUGUGAAAAAGAGGAUUUGGAUUGGAGAAAAAGAAAGAAACCCUAGAUCUAAUUUUUCUCUUCUCUCUAUGAAGAACUAAACCUAUUUUUCUGGUUGAAGGAUAAUGAAGCUUUGAUUCAUCACUACUGUGAGAUCUUUCUUAUGCUUUAAUUGUUUUAUUACUUUUUGGGUAUUUGUUUAUUCUCUGAAUUAGUUUCAUGAUUAUGUUUGUUAAUUAGGUAAUUGGCCACUAUUUAAUUAUUAACUUAAUCUAUUGUUAAUUAAAGGAUUCAUCGUAUGAAGAAUUUAAUGUUUGUGACAAAUAACAUAGCAGAGAGUUGUGUUGUGAGAAUAAACAAUCUAAUUUAAAUGAAUCAUCAUAUGUGUUGAUUAGGAUUUGGGUCUCUCUAGUUUUUCAGGCUGUCAAUUGAUUAAAUCCUAUGAUCGUAUCUAGGGUUGUCUAUUGAUUAGGGAAAUAUCCAACGGUCGUACCUUGGUUAUCGACUAGUUAAGGAGAGAUUGGCUAUUAGAGGGUCUCAAUAGCUAUAACCGGUCUAUUCAUAAGUAAUGAUAAUCUAUAUUUGAAUCAAUGAUCAGUAGUCGAAUCAAGCUGAGUUAAUUCCUUCAAUCAGAGCUUUCUCCAAUUUGAAUUACAACUUUAAUUUGCAUUCUUGUUACUUUAAUUUGAUUUUUAUUAUUGUCAACAAUUCCCCCAUUUUACGUUUUACGUUUCAAAAUGAUUUAAAUAAUUACCGAUCUCUGUGGACACGACCCUGCUCAAUCACUAUACACAAUUUAUUUAGAGUAGGAAUUUAUUUUUGUUGGCUUCGACACCCAUCACUAAAUCAUUAUUGCAAUUUAUAAAUUAAUAUUUAUAAAAAAUUAUGAAUCAUCCAAAAAGCUGCUUGAUAUAGAUUAAUUUCAUGGUCAUCAAUUUUUUUUUAUUUAUAUACCUUUAAAUUAUCACUUGUAUCAUAUGAAAAGACCAUAUUACCCCUCUAACGUCAUCAUAUUUAAACGGCAACUAAGCUAUGGUGAACGACAUUAUAUUUUGUCAACUUAAGAUGAAUGACUGAUAUACCCUAAAAGUAUUGUAGUAAAUUUGAUAAUAAAGUAUACAAUUGAUAAUUUUCCUAUUUAUAAUUUAUCCCCUUAAUUAUGAGUAAUUUUGUUUUUGUCUUCAUUUGUCCCUUUCCUACAAAACCGUACAAGUUACAUAUAUAAAACAUUCUUCUUUAAUCAAGUUUGGAAUAUUUUCAUCCUUAUGUAAAAUUAUGCAUAUAUCUUUUGAGUUUCUCAAUUGUACUUGAAAAAAAAAAUUACAUUUAAUCACGGUUGGUUAUCCAUAAAAAAUUUUAGGUGGAAAGUUCACGCGUUUUAAAAUUUAAUUGUGGAAUUAUAUUACAUUUAUUAUUUAGUUUCAAUUUAAUCAUGUAUCAAAUUCAUAUUUUAAAACAUGUGGAAAUUUAUAAUAUAUAAUGAUUCUAUGUAAAUAUAUUAUCUCAUUUCUUCAUUCUUUUGUUAUUAGUUCUCCUCCACCACAUUAGAUAUAUUUUGAAGUUUUCUAAUGUAAAUGUUACUAACAAAUACGCAUUGAAUAAUUAUCGGGUAGUUUAUAUUAUAAUUUAAUAAUAGCCACAACAUAAAUGUACAAUUUGGUGAUAGUAAAUGCCAUUACAUGAAAAUGAAAUCAUCAUGUUGCAAACAAGAUGCAACCAAGGGAUUGCAAACAAUGUUAAGUUACUAUUGGGUCACUUGAACUCCUGGGCUCUCUCCUGUGUAAUUUAUAUUAGACUGUCGCGUACAAAACGCAGACAUAUAUAUACAUACAAGUAGUGCUUUGGCAACAGACACAAUAGCCAAGAAGCAGCCCUUGUUUUCAAAUUCAUUCAAAUGCCAGCCUGCAGUUUUGAAUCCUUCAAAUUGUGCUCCACCUUUUGAGGGGACGAUGAAGAGUGAAAGAAGAGACAAAUGGCAGAAAUAUCAUCCAUUGCAAUGCCUCGUUUCUUAUAUUUCCAUGCCCGAACAGCACAUUCCACCAAUCUUUUUGCUGCCUUUUCCCUAUCCACUACUGAAGAAACAAUCUCCACCGCCUCUUGGUUCGAAAUCACAUCCCAAACCUGAAGAACAAUCCAUAAUUGAUCUUUCAAACAUUGACGUUAGUUCAGAUCAAAAGAUAAUUCCAAUAUGUGGAUACGUAUCCCGUCUGAUGCCAGAAUGAUAAAUUGGUCUCGUGUUGUUAUGUUUCUUUGCGUUACAUGGGGCACGGAGAUUAGGCCAUAGUCCUUGACACAGUAAUCACCCAAGGCUCUUGAUAUGGCUAGUCCCGGAGUCUCACCAUUCGGCAUCCAGACUCUGUAUACGCCUGGCUCAUCAUUUAAGCAAAACACAAGCCCUUUGGACUGCGUUAUUCGCUCCGCUUCCUCUGUAUAGGCCAGUGAAGACAAGAACCCGUACGCAGACCUUAAAACACACCCAUAUAUACACCUACACGAGGCAGAAAUAUUUAAGAGACAAUGAGAUAAUUGAGAUCUGAUUGGUAAAAUAUUGUUAAUUAAUAAAAAAUAAUUAAUAUACUUGCUAUUUAAGUAUUUUACUAAUACUUUAAACAUCAGUAUUCAAUGAUGUUAAUAUGUGAUUUUAAUAUUAAAUUUAUGUUCUCAUUUAUAACAGUAUGGUCAUCAGUAUUCACAACACAUCAUAUAUUAAUGUAUGGGUUUAUUAAUAUUAACAAACAUUUAUUUCCAAAUAAAUAUGGUAGCCUUAGUAUUUAAGAAUAUUCUUUAUUGUCUAGUCGUCUGUCCAAGGAAGAACGGGCCAUCAUCAAAUUUAUCAACGGCCUUCUCUAAGUAAUCAAAAGCAGGACCUGUGACAAAUUAAAACUUUUUCCGUGAGUUCAGCACAUAUAUAUACAUAUUCAAAAUGCAUUCCAUUAUAAACAAGUAAGCAAGUUUCAAAUCCUACCAGCUUGUUUUGCUGGGUCUCCUUUGAAUGAAGUAUACACAUCGUUGGUGAAGGUAUCGAUGUGGGAAAACAGUUCAUCAGCAAACUUUCGUUUCUCAGGAUCCUACAAUAUUUUCACAACAUUACUUUACUCAAAGUUGAGAGAGAGAGAGAGAGAGAGAGAGAGAGAGAGAGAAGCUUUUAUUAAAAGCAACAAUGUAAUCAGCAAAAUCUUACAUCAGGUAAAAGUGAAGGCCCUUCAAAAUUGCUGUCAACAUAUUUAAUCAAAUCAAGAGAUUCUCCAAUAACUUUGCCAUUGUGCUCCAGUGCUGGAACCUGUAAAGAACUCUAAUAGGUAAAUAUACUUCAUAACUCCAGCAAUGAUCUCUAAUCUUGCACGAAAGUGUAACAAUCAGUUUAACUCUUUCGUUGUGUUUUCUUGCAAGCAAGCAACUUGCUCAAAUCAGAAUAUGUUAAGAUUUUACUAGGCACACAAAGCACAAAGACACCAUUCCAAUUUUAUUCAGGAACUCCUCCGCACAGAUUACAAGCAUUUCAAUUUCAAAGAUGGGGCAUAAGGACACAGAGUCACAUAAUUAGGCUAUUUGGUAUUGAGGUGCUGUGGUUUUUUUAGCUACAGCUGCCACACGUACCCAAAAAAAAAAAAAAAACUGUAACUAUAAAAUAAAAAUUAAAAAUGCGUAAUAAAUAUGAAUUUUAAAUUAAGAUUUUGACAAAAAUAGUAGAAAUAUUAUAAUUUUACAAAACACUUUAACUCUGUACCUUUUAAUCCAUAGCCGCCCUACCUCAAUACCAAACACAACUAAUCUCUUCCUUUUCUAUAUCUGAAUUGGUCUAUCAACACCUUGAUUAGAAAAAUUCCUAAUUAUUAUUCAGAAACUUUCUAAUACUAUUCAAAAUCUUCCCAGCAGAUUCUAAGCUCCAUGUUAACCAAAAGAAUGCACAUAUUGUUGAUCUAUCAAAUUACUUAAAUGAUCAAUCAAAUAAAAUCAAAUAUUAUUAUUGAUCACACAUCAGCAUCAGCAUCAGCAUCACCUUGUUAACAGGAUAAACCUUCUCCUUGUACCAAGCGGGCCUAUCUUGGAGGUUCAGUGGAACUAACUUAAUCUUGUCUUGUAAUCCCUGCAGCAGCACACCAAAAGUUGUCAAAUUCAAAGAGAGUAUUACGACAAAGGCGAAACGAAUAAACCAUAAAUUACUGUUAUUGUUAUUAUUAUUAUUUUAAUUAAACCUAGAAAGCAGAGACGGGUCAACAGUGAUAAAAAAAAUAUAAUAAAAAUAGUAAAUAAAAAUAAAACCUUGUAGUUCCUGGUGAUCCACACACGCUGAGCAAAUGGGCACGAGUAAGAAAUGUACAACCUGGGAGUUCCAUCGAACAGAGGUGGUAGCUCGGCCUUCGAAUCCAACGGUGGAGGAAGAUUCUCUUGCGCUCUAUCAAAGAUGACACAUGAUCGUUAAAAUAAUGAUCAUAAUUAAUUAUGAAAUUCCAAAAAAAAAAAAAAACCAAAUUCUUGUUGUGGCCAUCGAGGAAGGUAAGACUCUAGAGGUUUCCUGAAUGCUUUUCUUUUGCUUUGAAGAAGAAAGUCAUAUGAUACCGAAAUGUGUCUCUACGCAGAAUGAGUGCGCUUAUAUAUAGAAGCUUUAAAGUAACCUUCUGAAGCCAGCAGUGACGCAAUGCGCACGUGUUAGGGUGUCAUGAUAAUAAUGCAUGUUGCCAAAAAAAAGGGCAAAAUUCUUAUCAGUUUUAGGCAAUUGCCAUGCAUAUUAGUUGGAUUCAAUGGCUGCAAGGGAGAAGCAGUGAGAAUAUCGCUGAUUAAUUAAAUUUGUAUAAUAGAAAAAAUUUGGUAUAUUUUUUUAUGACAUAUUGCUAAAAAUGUGGAGGCUUUGAUAUUAAAAAAGAGUUAUUUAUAAAUAAUGUUAUUAUGUUAUUGUUGAUUAUUAACAAUAAAUUUUUAGGAGAUAUCAUUUGGUUUACAAGUAGUUCAUCAACCGUGUUUAUUAAAAUGUUACAAACAGGAUUACAAAAUAUUAAAUUAUCCUAAACCCAAUUAAUAUCUGCAGGGAUCAGACGACUGUUAGAACAUAUGUUCUAUAAUUUUUCUCUGGAAAAAUAUUAUUUCUUGUACAAACAUAAUAAAUAGCUAUUUAUAACUUAAUAAUUCAAAAAUAGUUAAUUUAUAAAAAGACUAUUCUUGGUGUUAACUAAUGCAGUGGAACUGAUAUAAAUUAACUUAUUGUAAAGAAUUCACUGUAAAGAUAUCAUUUGUUAAUUGUUAAUUAUAAAUAUCCAAUAUUAAAAUUAAUUUCUGAUUUAAUCCAUGAUUGUCAAGCUAUUGUUUUCAUGGUUUACAAUUUUUUAAAAUAGAAGAGGUAAAACAUUAAGUAAAAAGUUUUCAAUCUCGUAUAAAACAAUGUAGAAUGUUUUAACCAAUUCAAAAUUUUUUAUAAUAAAGCAGUUAUUUUCAAAAUUCACAUUAUGUUUCUAUUACUCAUAAAAAAAAAUCCCUUCAAUGAAUGCAGACAUCCUUGAAAGAAACUUCACUACUCUAACAAAAAGGCCAAAAUUUUAGAAAAUGACAGGAAAAGAGAACACCAAUUGUCAACUAGAGUACCCUUUGUGAAAAACACAAUAAUAAAUAGCUGAUAUAUGAUUAGGUUAAUUAAUUGAUUGGAUUGGAAUCAACUUCGGACUGUUUUGCCCUUCCCUGCAGUGCAGCGUAUUAGGUGGCGAAUGAAGUAACUGGCCUCACUAAUUUUAAGUAAAAAGAUUGUUAAUAUUUAACCGCGUCUUAUCAACAUUCUUUGUUUUGAUUAAAAUAUACGACAUCGUUUGCAGAAGAGGCAGCAAGGGCAACAACGUGCCAAGUAUAAUAGACAAAUUUUUUAUCAUAUUAAUUGAGAAGGCUUGAGUUCUGGCCGAUGUUAAUAAAAUUUAAAACACAAAAAAACUGAUAAUGUCACGGCUGGUGAGAUGAUAUAUAAAUAUUAAAAAGAAAAAAAAGAAUUAUCAAUAUUUAAUUUUUGAAGAUUAAACUCAUUAAUUAAAGUGAAUCGUGCAUGCUUUGCUAGCUGAUAUCGCGCGCGCGUGUGUAUGUAUAAAUAUGUUAGAUCAAAUCCAAAGCUAAUUCCAAGUAUUAUAUUAUAUAUAUGUUACUAUUAUUAAUUAGAAUUCCCAAGCUCAAGCUAAUUAAUUGAUGGUAAUCUUUUGGAUGCACUUAAUUGUAAUUAACCGGAUCAAAUUUUGAAACCAAAAUAAUUCACGGGGCAUUCUAGCUUCUAGCUAAUUCAUCCAAAAAAAUAUAAAAUUAUAUAAAAAUAAUAAAAAUACGUGUGAUGUCAGCUUGAUGCGUACAUUCAAAGUUCCAAUUGAAAACAAAUAGAUAUUCAUUUUUCUUGUCAAAUUAUUGAAAGAGACAUCUCUUAAUUUCUUCCAUCACCAGCAACGGUUGAGUGACCUUGUCUUACAUUGUGCAGCAGCCUCCUCGAAGUAAAAAAAAAAAAAAAAUAUAGCCCAUUAUCUUGGCUUUUGGCUGGAUCCAAAUUUUUGUUAAAUACAAAUAAAUAUAAUAUCAAAUUAAAUAUUCCAAUAAACCUUCUAAUAUCUUCUUUGAACAGUUUUAUUUUUAUUUUAUGAGGGAAGAGUAAACCAUUAAAACUAUAAUUCAUCAUAAAUUUAUUGUGCCAAUUUUUUUUUAAAUCCAUAAUUUUGUGAAAUAUAAAUUUUAAGAAUUGAAAAAUAUCAUUAUAGCUUUCAUAUCCAAAGUUAAUUUUGAUAUUUUUGUACAAAUACAUAAUCUUCAAAUGUGGAUAAUGUAAAAGAUGAAAAUUGUCAAAUUAUUAGAUAAUUGUUUUUACAAAAUUUUAACGAUCAGAAAAAUCUUAAUUUAUAUGUCUUAGUUUAAAGAAUUGGUAUUAUCAAAUGUUACUUAAAUGUAAAUAUAAUAUAAAUAUUUUAUGUAUUUAUAUGUUACGUUUAUGAUUUGGUCACUGUUUAUCUAAAUUUUAAUAAAAUCAGACAUAUUUAUGUAAUUUACUCAUUAAAAAAAAAAUCCAUGAUUUAAUUUGCAAUGAUCAAAUUGUUGUAUUUUGUCAUAUCAAAAUACAUAUUUUUGUACAAUUACCCAUUAAGUUUAUGCUACAAUCAAGCUAUUUAUAAUAUAAGUGUGAUUUUUGAAUUUAAUAUUGAUAUUAGUAUUAAAUAUGAUAAUAAAAAAAUAUUUUAUUAGAUAUUAAUUGGGUCAUUUGUGUUAUUGUUUUUAAAAAUUAAUGACCUGCAACAUUAAUUGUCAAUAAUGGGUUUUUUUAAAACAUGCUGGUGCCCGGAUGUAAAUGCCGGUACCUCCCAAGUCAGUAGCCUUAUUAUAAUCCCGUCAGCAUAUUGGCCUGCCCCUGUACCAUUACUCCAAUUGAUGCUGAAAAUAUAACAACAUCAGUGACCGCGUUGUCGUUUCCCGUGAUGUUUAUUCCGAUGCCGGAGAAAUCCUUUUCGCGAUCAUCCCCGCCGAUGUUGAUGUGUUGGCCGAUGAAGGAAUUUCUUAUAUACGUUUCGUGGCCAUCUUGGAUGGAAAUGCCAGCGGUAGUGAAAUGCGAAACGUAACAAUUGUCCACUGUGGUUCUUAUUGAAUUUAUAAUGGCAAUGCCGCCACCCCUAAAAUUGGAGUCCAACAUAAGCUCCUUCAAAGUAAUGUAUUCGUAUAAUGACGAUGAUGAUGACGAUCUUAACUCUAUGAGAUGUCCGUUGCCCGAAAAAUCAUCCGAUGCUCGGAGGGACCCACCGUGUAUCUAUGUAUACAUAUAUAGAUGUUAAAAGUAAGAAUUAAAAGUAAGAAUUAAAUUUUAAAUUAAUAUGUGAUUUGGUAUGAUUCCUGGCAUUUUGUAUUCGGUUUUGUAGUCCUUCAUAAGACUGGCAAAAAUCAUUAUCAAUUAAACAUUAUGUUGUUAUAUUUUUUUAUUAUAUUUUUUUAAUGAUCUUUAUUUUAUUUGCUUUAAACAAUAUCUAUUUUUCAAAAACAAUACUUUUGACAAACAAACCCUAAAGUGAUGAAAGAGAAAGCAUGCAUUUUGCACAUGUUUAUAAAAACAAGAGAGUAUAUUUAAUCUCAAUCUGUAAUUCUGUAUAAUGUAUUAUUCUUAAGUUUGAAUCAAAUUAUUCUUGAUUCCAUCCGCCAAUCCAUCUCGGGCCAUUGAAUUAUGCAUAGCUAUUAUGGUAAUGGUCUCUUUAUUCUCCUCACAAUCAAUUAAUUGUGAUGACCAUACUGUUCUCACGAUUCUCAACCGCAAAAAAUUUAAAUAUUGUAUUGUACAUUUUUAUAAACAAAUUUUAUGUCAUCUCCAUUAUUGUGGAAUUUUAAUAUCCUAAUACAAUAUUAUGAUAGUAAUUGGGUCAAUAUGGGUAUUGGAUCAUAUUAUCGUUAUAAAUAUUAAUUUAUUAUAACUGAGUGUGUAAAGUAUCUUUUUUUAUUGUUGUACCAUAUUUAACUUUUGGCUGCAAAUAUAUAUAUAUUUAGCAUUAUUUAUAUCAAUAAGUUAAUAUAUAUAUCCUUUUCUUUAACAUCAAAUUUAAGUUUUUAAAAAGUUAUGAUAAUUCACUAAUUUGGUAUUUAGGAAAUUAAAUCCAUAUCAAUUUAUUAGAUAUCUUAAACCGUAUGUAAAAAUAGAAUAUUGACCAUUAUUCUAUUAGUAAUAUAUCCAUUAAAGAUUUUGACGUGCUAUGGUCUAAAAAAAUUAACUUGGCGGGAUGUUAUGAUUAUAUUCAAGGUGAUAGGGAAGAAAGUUAUGAGGAGACCCCAUUGAAGCCUAUAUAUUAUAGUAUGCAUAAAGACUCAAAAUGUGCACUUGAAAUAACAGUUGUCACUGACAGGUUAAGAUAAACUACCAAAUUGGCACUUAAAGGAAGAAAUUCUAGUAUUAGUGUCAUAUUUUAUGCCAUAUUAUGUAAUGCAUAUUAGUAAUGAUUUCUUCAUAAUAUCGCAGAUAUAUAAAAGUUCAUCUAGCUAGAUGCAUUGUAGAUUUUGUGAGAAUUAUUUUAUUCCGUCCAAAUGAGUUCACAUUAUUAUCCAAUUUUCCUUUUUUUAAGUUGAUUUAUGAAAGAAAAAAAAAAUGACACCAAUGUUUUCCACGUCGCCGCAAGUCUCAUCGAUAAAAGUCCAUCUACAAAUUAGUUCAUAAUUCUUUUUGUAACUUCGCUAAAAGCUAGUCAAGUCAUUGCUAGCAAGCCUCAAAAGCACGAAGUACGCGAAUCACGGCGAUAACUGAUAAUAACUUGGUUGUCCGGUUUCGCAUACUAAUUAGCUUGAUUGAAAAUCGUGAAGUAUGGGGCACGACUAACGCAACGCAUACGUCUCAUGCAUUAGGCAAAUAUUGUACGCGACCCAUGUUGAGAGCACAAAUCCACUAUCUACAAGUACUAUAUAUAGAGCUGCAAUGCGUGCUUCAAGUAUUCACAACUUACCCCCAGCUGGCUAGCCAGCCUCUAUAAUUUGAAGGGAAAAAAAAAAAAAAAACAACAACCUUGUUCAACUUGCAAAUACCUACCAAUUAUUAUGGAGAAAAGCUUUGAUAUCAUUGCCCUGUCUAUGAUCAUUCUGGUGACUUAUUCAUCUAAAAUGGUGUCGGUCGCCGGCCGGUCGCUGCAUGAACCAUCCAUUGUUGAGAAGCAUGAAAAAUGGAUGGCUGAGCAUGGGCGCACUUACAAGGACGACCUGGAGAAGGAAAAGCGGUUUAAGAUAUUCAAAGAAAACCUUGAAUACAUUGAGAAAGCCAAUGAGGAGGCGAAUCGGACGUACAAGUUAGGCACCAAUGAAUUUUCAGACUUAACUAAUGAGGAGUUUCGUGCUUCAUAUACAGGAUACAGGGUGCCAAGCCAGUCAUCUUCAUCACGGCAAUCCACAACAGCAUCCUUCAAGUAUCAAAACCUGACUGACGUUCCAACUAGCAUGGACUGGAGAGAGAAAGGAGCUGUCACUCCUAUUAAGAACCAAGGUCAAUGUGGUAAGUAAAUCGUAUACUAAAUAUUUAUGAAGUAACUAUAAUAGAUUAUUUAGCCUCCAACCUCUUUCAGAACUCAAACUCAGUUGACCAUCAGCUAAUUAAUAAAAACAGCUUGACAACCGUCUGCCAAACCCCUGCUGGGGCAUGUUUCAUGUAACUUAAUCAAGCCUUUUUUUUUUUUUUCCUUAAUAUGUACGAUGCAGGAGACUGUUGGGCAUUUUCAACUGUGGCGGCGGUGGAAGGGGUGACUGAGAUUAGUAGUGGUAAUCUUAUUCCACUUUCGGAGCAGCAAAUACUAGACUGCUCAAUAGAUGGUAACCGUGGAUGCGGUGGCGGUUGGAUGGACAAUGCCUUUAAAUAUAUUAUAAAAAACCAGGGUAUUGCCUCAGAAGCGGAUUAUCCAUACAAGGAAGUCCAAGGGACUUGUGAAGACGCACAGGUCAAGGCAGCUGCUAAAAUUAGUAACUUUGAAGAUGUAAAACCCAAUGAUGAGCAGGCUUUACUCCAAGCUGUAGCCAUGCAGCCAGUAUCAAUUUGCAUUGAAGGAAGUGGACCAGACUUCCAGAGUUACAAAGGCGGUAUUUUUAACGGAGGAUGUGGAACUCAGUGUUCUCAUGCUGUUGCUAUCGUUGGAUUUGGGGCAACUGAAGAUGGAAUGAAGUAUUGGUUAAUUAAGAAUUCAUGGGGGGAGAGCUGGGGUGAGGCCGGCUACAUGAGGAUUCUCAGAGAUGUUGAAGCACCUGAAGGUCUCUGUGGCAUUGCCACUAAACCUUCCUACCCAGUUGCAUGAGUAGCAGUAUUUUAUAUUAUAAAUAGCCGCCUCUUAAUAAUGAUGUCUUCAAGCCUACACAUGCAUUAGCCUCGAAAGGCUUAUACGAACCGUAUGAAUCGUAUGAUUCUGUGGUUUUACCUAUGUUGAGUAUUUCAUAAGUUGUAAUUGAACGCCAAUAUUUGGUAUUAGUUAAUGUUAAAUCUCUCGUUUAAAUAUAAGUUUGAUCUUUGCAGUAAUUAGUCAUUUACAUUUAAUGCCACGGAUACUCAAUUCGACCAAGAAAUACAUAGUUUAUAUCUUAGUUACUCUGAUAUUUUAUGUGGCAUGUUAUAUGUCGUUCAUUGAUUAAGUUGUAAGAAUAGUAUGUAAAUAAUUAAUAAUAAAUUUAUUUAUUAUCAUUUAUGAGACAAUAAAUGAUUAGUGGAACAUUAAUUAAAAUACAAACUAUUAUUAUUUAUUUAAGAAAUAUAUAUUGGUCAAUGAAAUUAAUGCAAGACAAAAAGUAACUGAAUUUUGAUUACACGCUUGAUGUCUGGAAGUACAAUGAUUAUGAAUUUGUGUUAAAUUAGGUCAAAGUUUUAAGUUAAAAUAAUCAAACCUAUAUACUCACACUAACUUUUAAAGUUUGAGUGGAAUUUGCCCGCUUUAAUUGGGGUCUCAUACAGCAAAAAAAUUUUGGCCAUCUUGAAUUUCUUUUUCUAAUUACUUAUAAAAAUUUAAAGGCUUGGUAAUUUCCCUCCCCCAAAUUCUGUCUUUAUUCCUAAGUAAAUUAGUUAGUCAUUAUUUCAAUAAUUAAAAUUAUUCUAAGUUCUAAAUUUUGGGCGUGGAGGGAAAGUUAAGCGCAAGUAGCCGUGACUGAUUAAUAUUAAACAAUAUAAUUUAAUGCAUUUUUAUUCUUCAUCUAUUUUUUUAAUAUUAGUUUUUGAACAAAAUAGUAGAACGAUAGUUAUAAUUUAUUAAUCAAAUUUUUUUACUUUCAUAUCCAUAUUAUAUUGUCAGUAAUAGUGUCAUGUAAUGAUAAUUAAAAGUAUUAGGAGAUACUUUUAAAAGUCGACCGCCUCAUCAAAAAAUCAGGAUGGCCAAGUGGUCUAAGGCGCCAGACUCAAGUUCUGGUCUUCGAAAGAGGGCGUGGGUUCAAAUCCCACUUCUAAGUAAUUUUUUAUUUUUUAUUCAUUUUUUUACAACGUUACGACUAAACGACGUCAUUUUCAUUAAACGGCAAGUCGUUUCAGUCGUCUUCUUUAACGGAAUAAAAAAUAUCUAAACCGAAGACCAAUGUUUCCAAACCCGCUGUAAACCCUACAGAUAACCCUCAUUGCCACUCGCAUCACUGAGUUCUUAACCUGAGUUAAAAUGGCCGAGUCCGCAUCCGAACUCAGUGAGUUCCGGAUUUUUCCGGCGGACUCACCGCCACCACAACCGAAUUCAACCGGAGUUCCGGUUCAUAAUCUAACACCAGAGGAGCUCGUGGCCAAAGCCAUAGCUCCAGUUAAGAAACAGUUUCUUCGUCAUUAAAUUCCAAAAUAAAUUUUAACAUAAUAAUUAAUUCUUUUAAUAGAUAAAAUUGUCUAUAUGCACGAUUGAAUUCAGCCCCAAAAUGUUAAUUAAAAAACAAUUAUCCAAUAUUCAAGAUAGUUUGAAUCGUCAUUCUCAUAUCGUUAUAAUGUCAUGAAAUAAUUGUACAAAAACAAAUGACCAAUAAAUUCACAAACGUAUAAUAUUGCCUAAUGUAAAUAACUUAUUAAUUAAUAUUGAUAUAUUAUUAAUUACUUAAUGUUUUACCUUUUUAUAAAACAUAAAAUUAUGUUUACUUCCAUUCAAGAUAUCCCAAAAAAAUUAAUCUUUUUGGAUGAUUCAUAAUUUUCAAGAGGAUGUUUUUACACCAUACCAUCGUCAAAUUGAUAAGGGCCAUGUUAUUUUUUAUUUAAUUAAUUUAAAUUUCAACUAGAGAGCUAUUGGAAUCGAUCACUGUAAAAGUUAAGUUGUGAUGUAAUCACACAAUCUUGAGAUCUGCUAUUAGAAAAAUAAUUGAAGAACCAAAUCCCAAUGAAAAUACAUCCAAAAUGAUGUCGUUUUGAAUUUGUUCCAAAAAAAUAAAAUAAAAUCAAACUCACUAAAAAACAACAUGUGUGUUUUUGUUAACCUUUUAUCGAGUUUUAAUUUAAAUAUUUAUCAUGUACUUUUAUAUUCUAUUCAGGACCGGCUCAACCAUAUUUGAGGCCUUAGGCAAAUGGUUUUAAUUAGUUUUUCUUAAAAUUUAAGACAAAAAAUAUGUAUAUUAGUUAUGAGUGAUGAUACAGCCACAAACUCUUGUACAAAUUGACGUGGUAUUAAUUUAUUGGUUGAAUAAAAAUAUAAAAUAAUAAAAACAAAAUCACGUGAGCCAAGUGAUAUUUAAUUCAACCAAUCUUAUCAUGCCACAUCAGUUUAUACAAGAGUUUGUGGUUAUAUCAUUACUCAUAAGUUAUAUAAUAUUUAUUGAAAAUCAAUUCUUCAAACACUCUCUAAAAUGUAAAAUUAUUAAAUAAAAUUAUAUUACACUAUUGUCAAUCCUUGAAAUUUUAAUUCAAUUAUAAUAUUUUUACUUUUUUUUAACUCAAAUUACAUCUUUUAUACUACUUCUUUUCUACAUUAAAUUAAUUUUUUUAUUCUUCUAUUUUCUAAAGUUUUUUUAUAUAGUUAUUUAUUUCACAAUAGAAAAAAAAGCACACAAAAAUAGUAGAUGAAUAAAAGAAUGUAUUAAAAAGAAAUAAGAACACAUAAAUAAUACAAUUAAUUAAGAGAAUAAUAAAAAAUAAAAUCUGAAAUUUGAAAUUUGAGAUGAAAUCAUAAAUUAACUUUAUCUUUAUAUUAAUUAUUUGAAGAUUUGAGUAAUGACUAAUAGCCAUAGAGAAUAGAAAAAAACUAUUAGAUUUUUUCUUUUUUUUCUUGAGUGGAAAGUAGAGGAAGCAAGAUUUUUUUUCCCCUCUCUCUCUUUCUUUCUCUCAAAAACGAAGAACAUAUGGUGUCUUCAUUGUUAGAAGAAAAAUUUAAUGGAUAAGUAAUAAAAUGUGGGGCUUUUAUAGAGGUUUAAAAUGAAUAUAAAACUUUUUAAUUAUAAGUUGUUAAUUCUAACAAUGAAAUAUCAAAUUUAUAGGAUUGAAACUAUUAAUUUAUCGGUUUUGUAGGAAUUAAAACUACUAAGUACUACAUUAAAUAAACUUUAUAGGAACUCGGUAGUUUAUUUGAGAAAAGAUAAUUACAAAAUAAUAAUAAAUUAGAUGCAUAAUAAUGAUUUUUAAAUUCACUUUCCUCUUUUAUAUACAAAAUAAUCAUCUUAUAGGAUCUUCAUGUAAAGUAGGGCCCUAAGCAACCGCCUAAGUUGUCUAGAGAUCGAACCGCUACUGAUUCUAUUACUAAUUUUGAAAUUUUCAGACAUAUUUAAGCUCCACUAUUUUAUUUUUUUAAUCAAAAUAGUAUGUUUAUUAAUAAUGAUUAUAAAAAAAAGAUAAUGAUUCAAUAAUGUUGUUUAUAUAUAUUGAAUCAACUUUAAAAGUCAACAUUUACUUUACACACUCAUAUAAAUGCUAAAAUAACCCUUUAUUUAUUUAUUUUUUUAAGGCUGUAGAAUGUAUUCAUUACAAAGAUAGAGUAAAUUUAAUUUGUGGUAUUCAAAAUUUGAUGAUUACAAUUUUUGAGUUGAUGGUCUUAUGCUUCAUAUUUGCAUUAAUUUUAUGUUUAAUGGUAGAAUUAUCAAGCUCAAUGACAGUGAUUUCAUGUAAAGCUUUAUUUCCUAAUUACAAUUUUAAGUUAAUGGUCCUAGAUUUCAUAUUAACAUUAGUUUCAUAUAUCUUUUAGGUUCAAUAUUAAUGAUUUCAUGUAAUACUCAAUGAUUUCUAGUUUAAUGAUUACAAUUGUAAGUUGAUGGUCAUAUAUUUCAUGCUUAAUAGUAGAAUUAUAUUAAUGGAUGAAGCUGUUGCUAUCAUUUACAUUAAUAUUUAUUUCCUGGAACUCAUUUAUAGCACAUCUCAAUGUCAUUAUUUAAAAAUUUAAAUUGAUGGUUGGUUUUGUAUUCAUUACAUCGGAUGAUUUAUAUUUAAAUAAAUUAUUUCAAUCUCAUAUCGUUUUAUUAUGGGUGAUUUUAUAUCCACAUUAAAAUUUUUAAAGUUGUUAUCAUAACUUUUUAAAAUCAGAGUUGUGUUUAUUUAUCAAUUUAAAACGUCAAUAAUCUACUAUUGGCUUAACAAUUGAUAUUCUCAUUUGGGAAUCAUCAAGAUUUUAAAAUUUUUCAAAGCCCCCAUGCUCAAUUUAUACGCAAAAAAGAGGGGGGGGGGGGUGGGUGGUAAGAUGCAUGAUCAGAAAUGAAUUUGGCAAGUAUUUGAUUGAGUUGAGAGGUCACUAAUCUCACUUAAUUUGCGAAUCACAAUAUGAUUGUUUUCAAUCGGCACCAAAACGAAGGGCUGGUUUUGGUUAUUAUAGUGCCUUGUUCUAUGAAGGAUUUUGGUUACCCACAUAUGGGAUUGAUCUUUGCUUCUACUCAGUAUAAAUUCUUGAAUUAUACUAUAUAUGGGAUUGAGACUUUCGUUAAAUUUUAAUUUAUAAUAUUUUUCCGGAGAAAAGUAAUUAGCAUGAAACACAACAGCGGUGAAUCAUCUCAUUUUUCAAGAAAUAAUAUUUGUCAGAGCUUUUUUUUUAUAUUAGUUUAUAAUUAACUUUUUUUUUUAUAUUAAUCACGAGGUAUCCUGGGGAGGGCCCCAACUGUGGGAGGCACCUUUAAGCCCGUACCACAACCCAGACUAGAAGUCCCCGCUCGAACCGGGAGGCACAGGUUCUCCCAACAAAGGCGACUUCCCUGCGACUCGAACUGGGGAGCAAACCCAGUCAAGCCACUUAAGGGGACUCCAUUGCCAGUGGAGCCAACACUUUGUUGGUUGUUUAUAAUUAACUUUAAUAUGUAAUAAUAUAGCAUAUUCUGGGAAACCUGUUGGGAUAAUUGUUUUUAAUAUUAUUAUGAUAUUACGCAUGAUUGGCAGUCGCAACUCAUCAUCAUCAUCAUCUGAAACCAUAUUAACAAACAUUUAUUUAACAAUAUUCUUUAUGUAAACAGGAUUACCCUAAACCCAAUUAAUAUCUGCAGGGAUCAGAUGACUGUUAGAACAUAUGUUAAAUUUGUAUAAUAUAUGAUUUAAAAAUUUAAAAAAUAAAUUUUUCUUUUUUGGAGAUAACAGUUGGUAUAUUUAUGAUUAGUAAAACUAAAAGUUUUAUUUUUAUUCUAUGUGCUCCAUCAUGGCAGUAGUUAUUUUUUUUGCGAUUAAACAUACUAUUUUGAUUUAAAUGGAUUACAAAAUGGCACAUUUUUUUAACCCUUAACAGUUGGUAUUUUUUUUUAAUAAGAUUAUUAAUGCAUCAAGUAAUCUUGUUUUGAUGAUUGUAACUCGUGACUGCGGGACAAUUUCUAAUGGAAACAACUCAAUUUCGGAAGAAAACUUAAUUUUGCAAGUGAUGAAUUUGAACUCGUUGGAUUGGUUGAUUUAUGAUCGACUGAAUUUCACUUUUCCUCAUAAGAUCUUUAACCAAAGUUUAAUAGCUAUCAUGUACUCCUUAAAAGCAAUUUUUUUUUAGAUUUGACUGAAUUUGAACUUGUUGGAUUGGUUGCUUUUAGAUUAUUAAUAUGAGAUAUUACAACGUAAAUAUUUUCAUGUGGUUGAGCCCUAUUCUAAAAUCUGUAUAGUUAGCUUUAGAAAGAGGGCUUUUCCUGCUGAUCUGUAAUCUUGAAAUAAACUUAGAUAUAAAUAAUGAAAUAAAAGACAACAAACAAGCAAUACUGAUACAAAGCCAACAGAUCAGAGUUUUUGGUACAAAUCCAAUAAAAGACAAUAAACUUAGGACCUUUUUUUCUUGCUUUCUUUUGUUGAAGGAUUAGAGUUUUUGGUAUUAUCAGUAAAGGUUUCAAGGAGUAAAGCCUAUAAACUUUUUUUUUGGGGGGGGCGCCGCCGCGGGGAUUUUACACCAUACCAUCGUCAAAUUGAUAAGGGCCAUGUUAUUUUUUAUUUAAUUAAUUUAAAUUUCAACUAGAGAGCUAUUGGAAUCGAUCACUGUAAAAGUUAAGUUGUGAGGUAAUCACACAAUCUUGAGAUNNNNNNNNNNNNNNNNNNNNNNNNNNNNNNNNNNNNNNNNNNNNNNNNNNNNNNNNNNNNNNNNNNNNNNNNNNNNNNNNNNNNNNNNNNNNNNNNNNNNGAAAAAUUAAGUUUUCAUAGAAUAAAAUGGUACGAUUUUUAAUUGAACAAUUGAGUGCAAUCAGUAACAAAGGCUUUACAUAUGCAAGUAAAAUUUGUAGGUUGCUUCAGAAAAAAAGGGCAUUUCUCACUCAUCUUUAAUCUGCAAGUAAAAUUAGCUACAAAGCAAAUCUAAUAAAAUGACAAACAAAAGAACAAAACAAAGAAAAGACAGGAGGCAAACAACAUUGAUCUUAAGCCAACUGAUAAUUAAACAGAGAAUUCUUUUUUUUUUUUUUUUUAACCUGUUGCUCAAGGAUUAGAGUUUUUAUAUUAACAGAAAGGUUUAAGGGGUCUGAAUAAAAGCCCACAAUUUCUCUAUUUUAUUUUUAUUUUUAUUUUUUGAAAGGAGCUUCACUAUUGGCCUUGAAUAUAAAAGAAUGAGCAAAAGAUCAAUGUCAACUGCCGAGGAAUGUGAGUAAAGAUUUCAUCAGAGUAAGUAAUACAAAUGAAUUGUAAAAGAACAAGACUUAAGCGUGCACCCCGUGUUUUGUUUUAUUGUACGUAUAAACAUAACAUGUUCAUUUUUAACAAAGUGGUCAAUAACUCUUUUUUUUUGGUACAAAGACGUGCCUAGCAUAGACUAGGGCAAAACAAAACGGGGGUGUGAAACCCCAAUACAAUCAUGACGAAUCCAAAACCCAGCCCCUAAAGGAAGAGAAUUGAAAAGGUGCAAUUCAACAGGUAGUGAAAGAGCAGAGUUUGCAGGAAAGUCAGCUGCAAAAUUUGAUUCUCUGUAAACAUGCUUGACCUGCACUUGCCAGGUUCUGUUAAGCAAUUCCUUAAUACCCCUGACAAGAGAAGCAUGUGCAUUUGGCCUAAUCUCGUCAUCCGCCACCAAACGAGUAACACAAAGGCUGUCAACCUCCACCUGAAGCUGCCGAAUUCCAUUAUCCCAAGCCAUACAUAACCCUUGAUAAAGGCCCCAUAACUCAGCACCAAUGAUGGUAACCACACCAACAUUCAUUCCAAAACCAAUUAUCCACUCUCCAUAACAGUUUCUAAUCAAGCCACCCGUACUAGACAGACCAGAACUUUUACGAGCUCCAUCUGUGUUGAGUUUAAAACAAGGCCAAGUAGGUGCCACCCAUCCAAAAUAUUUCUAAAUCUUCAUGGCAGCAGGAACCAAACAACUCUGAUUAACCUUUUGAAUUUCUUCUGUACGGAUCUUAAUAUCCAUUACAACAGUACUCUUGCUGGUAAAAACACCAUUAUGCAGAUUUUGGUAACGCCAAAACCAAAGCCUCCAAACUGUGACCCCAAAAAGACACGGCCAGUCAAACAUACCAUCAUACUUCCACAAGUUCCUCAAAUUAUAUAACGCCCAAUCUCGGAGAUUCAAACUAAAAAAUUGAUGACUAAUCCCAUGGGGUAUCAAUGACGACCAUACAUGCUUAGCACUGGGGCAAUCCCGCAGCACAUUAAGAGUAUUUUCAACAACACAGCCACACCUUGCACAACUCAUAUCAUCAACAAUAUGUCUCCGGAAAAGUUCUGCUUUAGUUUUAAGUCUAUUUUGACCCACCACCCACAGAAAGGUUUUGAUAUGUUGGGGACCUCUCCACUGCCAAAGAAUGCGCCAAAAGGAUUCUUCAUUGUGAACCUCCAUUUUUGACAAAGCCCUAUAUGCUGAAUUAGUAGUGAAAUCUUCUGACUUAGAAUAUGCCCAGUACAUGUAAUCAUCCUCAUCAUUUACACUGGGAGGCUUGGUGGCUGCAAUUUUGAGAAGUAAAUGAUGGGGAAAUAAAUUCUCAAAAAGCCGCCAAUUCCAAGUACCCUCAACAGUGAUAAACCUCGCCACACACUCCUCAAGCUGCUGUAAACGUAUCGGCUGCAAAGCGAAAGUAUACAAAGGGUAUUCCUCUGUUACCCAAUUAUCCCACCAAAAUCUAACUCGGUUGCCAUUUCCAAUGUCCCAUUUGAUCCCUUUUAAAACCUCAUGCCAAAUGCCUCCCACAGCCUUCCACAUGUAAGAGCCAUAUUUCGUAGGUAAUGUGCCGGGGAGGGCUUUAGGAGCCAGCCCAUACUUAGACAAGAGAACCUUCACCCAUAAACUAUUUGGAGAAGCAAUUAAAACCCACCCAAUCUUCAUGAGCAGAGCAUCAUUCAUUAAAUUAAGCUGCUUAAGACCAAGGCCUCCGCUAGGUUUCAGUUGACAUAUUGUAUCCCAUUUCACCAAACUGAUUUUCUUCUUGUCUGCUGCCCCGCUCCAAAUAAACCUCCUACAAGCCUGAUCAAUUUUCUCCCGAAUACCAAACGGAAUCUUCGUGGUCUGCAUUGCAUAAAUAGGAAUUGCCUGGAUUACCGAUUGAGUGAGAGUGAUCCUACCCGCCAAGGACAAAUGUAUCGCAUUCCACCCCGACAAACGUUGGUUCACUUUGUCCAAAAUUCCCUGAUAAGUCAGCUUAUUAACCCGUGAAUGAAUAAUUGGCAUUCCUCAAUAUUUCCCUAGGUUUUUUGUGACAGAAAAACCCAAGGAAUCACCAAUUUCCUUAGCCUCAGCAGACUUUAUGUUGUGGGAGAAAAAAACUUGUGUCUUUGUUUUACUAACUUUCUCUCUAGAGCUCAUACAACAAACAUUCAACACUUCAUUAUAACCAUUGCUUGCCUACAGGAAGCCUCUGCAAGCAAGAUAAGAUCGUCAGCAAAAAAUAAGUGAGAUAAAGAGGUACCUCCACGAGACAGUUUAAUAGGUUUCCAGUGCCCUCUCUUCACAGCGUCAUUUAUUCCAUGGCUUAACCUUUCUAUACAUAACACAAAGAUAUAUGGGGAAAUGGGGUCUCCCUGUCUAAUACCCCUAGAAGGGGUAAAAAUCUCUGUAAUUUCUCCAUUCCAUAGAAGUUGCAUAGUCGCCGUUGUAAUACAUUCCAUAAUAAGCCGAACCAAAAUAGUAGGCAAUCCAAACUCCCUCAAGGUUUCAUAAAUAAAAUCCCAGCUUAAACGAUCAUACGCCUUUUCCAAAUCCACCUUAAUGGCCAUCUGCCCAAUCCUCCCUUUCUUACGUCUCAUCAAAUGAAUAACUUCCUGAGCAACCACUAUGUUUUCCGUUAUGUGUCUCCCCCGGAUAAAACUAGUCUGGGUAGGUCCAAUGAGGUCAGGCAAGAUAGAUUUCAGCCGGUUAGCUAAUAACUUAGUGAUAGUUUUAUAGAUAACCGGGCAAAGACUAAUCGGACGAAAAAGCUUAAGGCUAAUAGGAUUAUCCGACUUAGGAACCAACACAAUCAGAGUUUUGUUCAACUCCUUAGGGAUCUCGUUGCCAUUAAAAAUACCUUUUAUAAGACUACAGACAGAUUUUCCCACUACAUGCCACUGGGUCUGGUAAAAGAGAGCAUGCAACCCGCCUAUUCCAGGGGCUUUCAAAGCCUUCAUGCCGAAGAUCACAUUCUUAAUUUCCUCAUCCUCCACUGCUUGUCCCAAAGCUUGCAUUCGACUUUCCUCAAGGACUGGGAAGGCGUUAACAACAUGGUAUGGAUGAUAGAUUGCAUCCUCUUUGGAAUAGAGCUUUGAAAAGAAGGACACAGCAUAAUCUCUAAUCUCAUCAUUAUUCAACAACCAAUAACUCUAUUCGUUAUGAAAUUGAUAUUGUACCCAAUUUUAAGAGAGCAUAAUAAUAACCAUUCAAUGCAUAAAUUUAGAAUUAGGAUUUUUUUGUAAUUCUUUAUUUAAAUAUAAGCUUCAAUGGAAAAUUAUAAAAAUUUAGAUAUAAAAUUUUAAAUCACCAGACCAAAAAAAAAAAAAAAAAAAAAUAGGGGAACGGAAAUAGAGGAAUCUUGCUUUACCUUUUUUCCCUUUAACUCUUGUUCUUAUAUAAAUAAUUUUGUUUUGAUGAUUGUAACUCGUGACUGCGGGAAAAUUUCUAAUGGAAACAACUCAAAUUCGGAAGAUAAGCUUAAUUAUGCAAGUGAUGAAUUUGUUCAAUUGACUCUGUACUUGAACUAGUUGGAUUGAUUGAUUGAUGAUUGACUAAAUUUGAAUUAAGUUUAAUUGCUUAGCUAUCAUUUACUCCUUAAACGCAAACGUAAAUAUUUUCUUGUGGUUGAGCCCUAUUCUCAAAUCAGUAGGUUGCCUUUGAAAAAGGGCUUUUCUCACUGAUCUUUUUUUUUUUUCUUUAAUUCACACGCACUUGAUUAUUGAAUUCUUUCAUGAAGAAAUAAACUUGUAAUGACUUAAAGAUUUAAUUUCAAGUUAGAAUCAAUACCAAAAGACGGAGGUUUAACAAAGCCGUUUAGUGUGAUAAAAGUACUUUAAAAAAUGUUGUUCGACCCAAUUAAGUUGAAGAAAUAAUAAAGUUUUCAUGGAAUAAAUACCGGUUGUGCCUUAAUGAUUUUGGCAUAGACGUUGCUUGUGUACUGUGAAAUUGAAAUGAAUAUUAAGUGACUGCGCGAUGUAUAUGCCUAAUAAAAGAUCAGCAAAAGCUUGGAUGAAUGUUUGAGGACCAAAACUUUUAUAAAAGCAUUUUUGAGAGAAACUAAACACCAAAUUAUCAAAGUAAGAUCAACAGUAUAUGAUUUGAUUUAUACAUAUUCAAAAACAAAAUAAUGAUUAAUAAUAAAGUUUGAUUUUGUAUUGCCAACGAUGCUUUUUUGUUGUUUCAUUUGUUCGACGUGGCCUUAUUUACAAAUUGGUUUAUGUUAACAGAAACAUGAAAUUCACAUUACACAAAAUUGCAAGAACAAAUAUUAAGAGAACGUAAUAAUAAUUACUCAAUGCGUAAGGAUAAAUUUAGAAUUACAUAUUCUUUUUUAUUUAAUAAAGUCCCAACGGGAAAUCAUAAAAAUUUAUAUAUAAAAGCUUUCAACCACCAAACAAAAAACAGGGGGAAUGAAAACACAGGAACUUGUUUUAACUUUUUUUCAUCUAACUCUUGUUCUUAUAUAAUAUUUUCCCUAGUAUUUCAGGCAAAAAAAAAAAAAAAAAAAUCAAUAAAGAGCAAGUUGCUCAAAUUGAUUUAUCUUGUUUUUCAGGCAAUCUUGUGAUAUGAUGAUAAAGCUCAUGAAUGCUAGAAAACUUCUAAUGCAAACAACUCUAUUUGGGAUGAUAAGCUUAAUUUUACAAGCGAUAAAUAUAAAUAACUUUUUGUGGUUAAUUGAAUUUGUAAUUACUCUUAGCCCUAUUCUAAAAUUUGUAGGCUGCCUCAAAAAAGAAUAAAAAAAAAUUUCUUACUCAUCUUUAAUCUUCAAGUAAAAAAAAAAUCUAAUAAAAUGAAAAACAAACAAACAAGUAAAAGACAGCAAACAAACAACAUUUAACCAACUGAUAUUUAAACAGGGAAUUCUUUCUUCUUCUUCCCCCCCCCCCCCCCCCCCCCCGGGCUCAUGGAUUAGAGUUUUUGCUAUUAACUGAAAGGUUUCAAGGGUCUGAAUAAAAUCCCAGACUUUUUUUUUUUAAUUAACCAAAGCCAUAUAAUAAGAUCACAGACUUUUAACAAUGAACAAUAAUUUGAAACUCAAGCAAAACCAAUGACAAGAUUAAAACAAACCAGAGAAAUUUUUUCUUGGAAAGUAGAUGAAAACUAAGUAAGAACUGCUAUUAAAGGAUAUUAUUAAAGGAUUUAGAACAUGUAUACCUCUUUAUUUAUAUGGGAUCAGAGAGUCGAUGACCUCCUCUAUUCGCUUCGGAUAUUAAGUAAGAAUUGCUAUCAAAAGAAUGAAUUGAUGAGAGUAAUAACAAUGAAUUGCAAAAGAGGAAGACUUAAUCACGUACCCCUAUUAUACCCGAUUUUUAAGAUUUAAUUUUGAAGUCCAGAAUCAAGACAAAAGACGAAGCCUUAACAAAUAUGCAGUGAGAAUAAUUAAGUUGAAGAAAGCACUAGUUUAUGGCUCAGUGUUAAGUUGAAGUUUAUGAAAUAAUUAACUAGUUUAUUAUGCUCAAGUCAGUUUUUGGGCCUUUGCCAAAAAACUUGUGCCACCACUCAUAUGGCUUAAUAAACAUUGUCUUAAAAACCAAAAGCUUUUUGAGUAAUUUGCAGAAAAAUGAAAUAGAGUGUAAAAGAAAGGAUUUUCCAUGAGAAGAAGAGAGAAAAAGAUGCCUUGCAGACCCCGAAAAAAUAAAUAAAUCCUCCUUUUAAGGUCACGCCCCACUCUCCUCUUUUCCCCUUUGUUCUCCUCCACUUACGGGAGUUAAGGAUGAGAUAAAAGUAAUGCCUCCACUCUCCAUUUUUUUCUCCUUUUUCCGUUACCAAACAUCAGUCCCCCAGUUUCUAGUGUUGAGAGUUUUAACGAAUCAAGACUGGAAACUAUAUGAAUUUUAAAGUGACAUCGAUGUGGUUGGCAUAAAUCGGCUCGGGAUUGCUAAAAUUAACCUUACUAUUAGCAAAAAAUUUCAAGUUUUAAACUUUUACUUGCCUUUAAAUAUACCAUUUUCCUACUCGCAUAAUCAUGUAAAGCAGGUUUCAUAAGUUCACGUAUUUAUCUCACCUGAAGUAAGUUUUGAGACUUAGUCAUUUAUCUGCUUUAGAAUAUUUUUCACUCAUAUAACUCUUGCUCGCCUAAUCUUGGUCGGGCAAGAGCAGGCAAACUUUGACUUCGUCUCACUACGAGGAGGUUUAGAGACUGUAAGCCUUUCACUUGAAGUACCCUUUUUUUUUUUUUUUUACUUUCUGCUUGCCUUCACAUGGUUGAGCAGAUUCUGGCAAGCUUGACUUCUUGUCUCGCCAUCGAGCAAACUUUGAGACUUUGAAGUCUUUUAUGUGCCUUAGAAACUUUCUUGGGAUUUUUGUUCUCUGCUCGCCUUUACAUGGUCGAGUAGAUUCUGGCGAGCUUGGCUUCCUAUCUCGCCAUCAAGGAGGCUUUGAGACUUUGGAGCCUUUGCUUGCCUUAGAAACUUUUUUGGAACUUUUGUGGUUUGCUCGCCUUCGCUUGGUCCAGCAGAUCCUGGCAUACUUGGCUUUCUGUCUCGCCAUAAAUAGGCUUUGAGACUUUGGAGCCUUUGCUUGCCUUAGAAACUUUUUUGGAAUUCUCAUUGUUUGUUCGCCUUCACAUGGUCGAGCAGCUUCUAGAGAGCUUGGCUUCCUGUCUCGCCAUCGAGGAGGCUUUGAGACUUUGGAGCCUUUGCUUGCCUUAGAAACUUUUUUGGAACUUUUGUGGUCUGCUCGCCUUCGCUUGAUCCAGCAGAUCCUGGCAUGCUUGGCUUCCUGUCUUGCUAUAAAAUAAGCUUUGAGACUUUGGAGCCUUUGCUUGCCUUAGAAGCUUUUUUGGAACUUUUGUGGUCUGCUCGCCUUCGCUUGGUCGAGCAGAUCCUGGCUCCUGUCUCACCAUAAAAUAGGCUUUGAGACUUUGGAGCCUUUGCGUGCCUUAGAAGAUUUUUGAAACUUUUUUGGUCUGCUCGCCUUCGCUUGGUCGAGCAGAUCCUGGCAUGCUUGGCUUCCUGUCUCACCAUAAAACAGGCUUGGAGACUUUGGAGCCUUUGCGUGCCUUAGAAGAUUUUUGAAACUUUUUUUGUCUGCUUGCCUUCGCUUGGUCGAGCAGAUCCUGGCAUGUUUGGCUUCUUGUCUCGCCAUAAAACAGGCUUUGAGACUUUAGAGCCUUUGCGUGCCUUCAAUGUGCUCUUAUUUGAGGUUUUUGCUUUAAAUCCUAAAAUAUGGACAACCAUCAAAAAUUUAAUUUCGGACUUGUAACUUAUAACUUGUCCAGAAAAUAGCUCACAUUUACAACUUGCGCUUUAGCUAUUUAUAUAUGUUUGGGCCUUUGAUGGAUAAACAUCCUUGGUGUUUUUAUUACCAUCUAUAAUAUUUGGUUAGCAAUAUUAUUAAAGACCUUUGCUAAAGGUGCGGAGCACCAUUUCCCAACACUAAAGAUAUUAAAAUUUAUAUAUAAAAUAAAUCAUAUUAUAUAAAAUAUGUAAUCAACAAAUAAAUGGUACCAUAAAAGUUUAAGCAAAGUCAUAUCACUGUAUCAAGGAAAUACGAUCUCAUGCUAACCCAAGUUCCAUCAAUCCUUCGGUCAAGCAUGUUGUGUGCUAAUAUAUGACUAUGCUAUAUAUUCUAUAAUAUGUAAUCCUUCGGUCAAGCAUGUUGUGUGCUAAUAUAUGACUAUGCUAUAUAUUCUAUAAUAUGUAAUCUUAACUAUUUUCUAUUAACGACUUAAUAAGUCAAAACCUCAUCCAUCAGAUUUUUGAAGUCAGGUAGUGGAUUUAAAGGAUAAAUAUAAAACUGGGGUUUUAGAACAAGUGCACCUGAGAUUGUGCUCUGCAUUAUUUCAUUAGUACUUCAUCAAACAAAUCCCGAGCUUGACUCUGCUUUGCUCCCUUCUUAGAAUUAUUCUUGCAAUAUUUUAACACGGGCACAAAAUGAAUAAAAUAUGAAGGAAACAAAAAUCCAACUUCAUCAAUUCUUUGAAGCUUGAAGACAUGCCUAUCAAUUCUCAUCAUCAAUAAAAAUUUGUUUUGUUUUAAAACCAUUAUUAAGGUUAGCCAAAAUACCAAUACUCGGCCUCAUCCAGAUUAUGCUAAUUAUACUUCUUCCAACACUCAUUAACGAUUAUGAGAAUUUGUGCAAUGUGGAUGACAGGUACUAUCAAAAGACAGCGAAUAUAUGCAUAAUUUCUAAUGUUCUCUUUGCGAAAAUAUAAUAAAGCUAUGGUUAAGAAUAACUCAUGCUCUCAAUCAGUUUGAUACUUAUAUUAAAUAAACUGAAACAGAACCUGGGUUUAGAUCUUGGCUCCUGGGCAACAUUCUCUCAAGCAUAUAUGUAGUGUAUGUAGUGUAAUCAGCAACAAACUCACUUUUGAACUUUCAUAUCCCUUGAGGCGAUUUAACGAACAGCUCCUGAUUUGAAUUUUAACAAUUCUGCCUCAACUUGUAAUGAACCGAGUUUUAUACCAGAAUUGUCUAUAUACUUUCCCUGCAUAGUCUUCACAUGAAAACUAGCUGCAUGAUUGAUUGAUGGGGUGUAAAACCAGUAGGAAAUAUCUUGAAGAAACCAAAGAUCCGUGGAUUUUUAUGCUUACCACCAAAUGAAUUUAACAAUUUGUGUAAUCUUUAUUUUAAGAAAUUGAACAUUGAUAAUACCGCAAAUCGAUUGCUCUUUUGAACAGACUUUAUAUCUUGAGUUCGAUGAAAAGAGAACAAUCAAUCAAGAAAUAUAAAUACAUCAGCAAAAUAAUGAUGGUAGUAGCAUUACACAUCUAAUUAGCCAUAACGAAGCCGAAUAAUUAGCCAUAAUAAAUCUGAACUGUUAACAUUAUGUCAAGCAUGUUGUUGGAAAAUAUUAAAUUAAUUCAUUUGCAAGUAUAAUAGCAUGUAAUCUUGAAUUAUGAAUGAAGCCCAUUCUAACAAGCUAAUUUUGUAAAGGAACAUUAUCAACGAAUUCCAAGGGAUAAUAUUCAAUUUCAGCAAAUAUAUCAUGCACGGUAUUGAAACAUGCAUGUUAUUAAAGAAUUUCCAAGCAUCUCUCAUUUGAUAAAUCAAUAAUCAUAGCAAUUGGAAAUUGAAUUUUAAUGACAAUAUACUUAAAGCAAUAAAUAAGCCAAAACCUUUACAGGUAAGCAUUCCAUCCAGCCUUGAUUGGCUUCCGUGUUUGAGCCAGCUUAUCAAUUUGUGCAUGAUAAUAUUCUGCCUUUGGCUUGGCCGGAUGAAAAAUUGGUAGAGACAAGAAGUUGGCUUUUUGUACCGAUUCCCCACAGACAGUGCCAAAUGUUGAUGCCCAAAUCUGAUCUAGUCUAUUAGCGACUUAAUAUCAAACUUCUACACCAGCAUUAGAUUUAUUUGGUAGAGAAUCGAUUGGUCAAUCGUCAAGAUGUCCUGCAACCACUAGCGAUUAACUUGCGAAUACUUAAAAUCAUAGAAGACGGUCAGAGGCGCUGAAAGUUUUUCCGACGUGAACCCUCCGACACUCAAGUCAGUUUCUGGGCCUUUGCCAAAAAACUUGUGCCACCACUCAUAUGGCUUAAUAAACAUUGCCUUAAAAACCAAAAGCUUUUUGAGUAAUUUGCAGAAAACUGAAAGAGUAUAAAAGAAAGGAUUUUCCAUGAGUGGAAGAGAGAAAAAGAUGCCCUGCAGACCCCGAAAACAUAAAUAAAUCCUCCUUUUAAGGUCAUGCCCCACUCCCCUCUUUUCCCCUUUGUUCUCCUCCACUUACGGAAGUUAAGGAUGAGAUAAAAGUAAUGCCUCCACUCUCCAUUUUUUUUUCUCCUUUUUCCGUUACCAAACACCUACAAAUCUUAUCCCUACUAAUAUGCUCUAUAAGCCAUUAUUCUUCUAAAAUUAUUAAAUGCCAUUCUUCAUUCAAGCUUUCAUGGACAUUAUUUACAAAUUGUUCUUGUAUUUGACAGAAAAAUGAAAACUCCUCGUCAUACAAAACUGCAUGAACAAAUCUUCUGUUUAAUUAUGAUAAAAUAAUAAAUUCCAUUAACAGAUUCUGCUGUAUGUUAAUGUGAGGGAUUUGAUCAGAUGAUCAUAUAAUUUACUACACGCUUUAAGAAGAACAAAAAUUGAUGACUUAAAAAUUAAAAAAUAAACAUAUAAAGAGUAGAUACAAAGAAUGUUAUUUGCAAUCAACAAACUGAAGAACAGGGGAAUGAUAACAGAGGACGGUUGCUGCAACAUUAUGAAGUCAAAAUUAAGAAAGGCAUUUUUUUCUUUUUUUUUUACAUUAUUCUAUUUAAUCUUAAAUUUUUACAAUCACCAAAUGGAAAAACAGGGGACUGAAAACAAAGAAGCCCUGUUUGCAGAAACAGGGGAGUUUCCGGGUUUCUGGAAACAAACUCAGAAACGAAUGAACUGGCUGCCGGCGGUACUUUCUAGAUAAAUCUCUUGGUGUAUAUAAGCUUUCAUGAUCUGGUUUUAGUCUGGUUAGGUUCAGCCACUGUGACUGUUAGGGAUUCUCGUAAACUGAAUUUAAAGUUGCGGCUUAAAGUGUUUACCAACUUAAAACCAGAGCUAUAAAGUGUUUGAUGAAUUAUUUUUUAAUUUAAAAAAAUAAAAAACUGAUUUAGCGGGAUAAAAUAAUGCUCCAUUCUGUUUAGUAUGUGAAGUCCAGAGUAUUACAAAGAGAUAACUGAAUCUUCAAUGUAAUAAAAUAAUGAUCAGCCUCAGAGGAUACAUAAAAAGCUCAUUUAUCACAACCAUAUCCUAGUGCAUCAUAAACUUGAUUAUUUAAUUUUACUAUUAGGAAACCUACUUAUAUAAGGCGCACACCACAAAUUCUAAAUUAAAUUUCUAACUAAGAAUAAAAGGUAAAGCCUAGCAAUUUUCCACCAGGUGCCGUGUAGCCUGCAUCAUAAAUUUUGAUUUAAAUCUUUGUAAUCACCGAACAGAAAAACCGGGGAAUGAAAACAGAGGAGCCCUAUUUUUCCAUUUUUUUAACCCUUAACUCUUGUUCUUCUAAUUAUAUUUUUGCUUGGAAUUUCAAGCAAACGAAAAAAAAAAAAGUGACAACUAUUUAGAGAGAGCAGGUGGAUGAUAGCAAAAAUAUUUUUAAUUAAUAUGCAUGAUUAACUCUUGUUCUUCUAAUGUAGUGGCUUGAUUAAUAUUUUUAAUCAAGCCACUACAUUAUUGGUAGUCUCUGUGGGCUCAUUUCGUCUCCAGACCUGAUAUUGUAUAUCUCUUUUUGAAUAUGUUUAAUUAAUAUGCAUGCUGCUGAAUAAAGACGAUGAUUUCCAAAUUUUUGUUGCUUUUUUUUUUUCUUUUUCUGCUUUGGUACAUGAAGAAUGUGGAAAUAGAAAUAGCUUUCGAAGUUUAAUGGCUUGCUUCAUUAGUAAAGAAAGACUAGGAUAUCUGUCCCUUUUUGUUACUGAAUUAUUGAUCAAUUGACGGUUGAAGUGUCAAAUGUGUUCUUUCCUUACAAUUGUAUAUGCUAUUAUUAAUAGAAAUUAUUAAAGGAUUUAGAACAAGUUCGCCUUUUUAAUUAUCUGGGAUGAUGAGUUUCUUUAUUCACCUUGAAUAUGUAAUAACAAUUUUAGUGAGCAAAAGAUCACUGGUAACUGCAGAGGAAUGUGUGAGUUAAGAGCUUAUUAGAGUAAGCAAUACAAAUGAAUUUUCAAAUUAUGUACUUGGUCACUGUUGUCCUACUGUCGCACGUAUUUUUUCAUGAAUAAUUGCCAGAUCAGAAAAGAAUAAAUUCGGUUGGCUGAAGUAAGUAAAACAAUCUUCAUAUCGAACAUGAUUCCAAUUAAAUUAAGCUUUUUGUAAGAUGACUAAUAAAAGAUAAAAGUAGAAGCUUUGAUGAAUGAACGAGGACCAAAACUUUUGUAAAAGCGGAUGCCGAUAAAAUAAACAAAAGGCACUUUAAAAAGAAACUAAAGUGCGAUCAUCAAAGUAAGAUCACUAAUGAUGCUUCGCUAUUACAAGGUCCGCAUGGACAUUAUUGAGUUCUGCUAUUUGAACUACGCGAAGACAAAACAAAGACAGAAAAAUUGACACUGUUACUUCAACGGCUGUUUAUUACUUUUUGAAUUUAAAAAAUAAAAUAAUCAAAAGAAAAAGGAAAAGGAAAAGUAACGAAAAAAAAGAAAUAAAAUAAUCAAAAGAAAAAAAAAAGAUUACUUUUUGAGUUAAUCUUUCUCCAUCUCUCAUCUCUGCUAUCUGCGUUCACGCACAAAGAAAAAACUCUUCAUCUCACCAUUUUCAUCUCUUUGCAUCUCACCAGUUCCGCAUCUCAGUUACCAUAAGGAAGAAGUUAGAUCUAGAUCUAUAAACAGAGAUUUUGAUAAAAUUAGUACUGAUUAAUUAGUAAGUUAGUGACUCUCACUAUAUUCAAAUAAAAUUUUUAUUGUGUUCUAUAUAUUUAAAUGAUUAGAAUAUUUAAUUUAAAUUGUAAAAAUUCGUAAAUUUUUAUUUUUUAUAUAUUUAAAUUGUUAUGAAUUGUUAUGAUUUUUUUAAUUUAAAUGGUUGUUAAAUAAUGGAAUAGAUUAUAACAAUUUCUGAAUGUGUUUUAUGAACUUUAAAUUUUUAAAAUUAUGUUAGAUUUGACUUUAAAUCUUUGAAAUUGUAGUGAUGGAAUAAUAUUUUGUGUUAAAUUAAAUUUUUAAUUUUUGAAAUUAUGUUAGAUUUGUUUAAUUUUGUCCGCUUGCAAUUUAUUUGUUCACGCUAUCAUGAAGUGAUAUUAUAUAGGCAUCGAUGGUUUUUUAAUUAUUACAAAAUAUUAUUUUUUAAUUAUUUAACAAAAAUUGAUACAAAAUAUUAAUUUUGUAUGACUGAGAGAUACAUAGGGUUAAACAGGACGAGUAGAGAAAGGAACGAAUGAAAAAUAAGUGGAAUGAACAAAGUAAUUAACGAGAAUGAAUAGAGGGGACAAAGUGGAGAACGAGUAGUUGAGGAUGAGAAUAAGUGGAUCAGAUUUUAAAUAAUAAAGAUAUUUAAAAAAUUUUCAUUUUUUAUUAUAAUAUUUGUUGUUGGUCCCACCAAAAAAUUGGAUGAGAGCAGGCGUGAAAGAGCAUUUUUUUUCAUUUUUAUUCUUUAUUUUAAUAAUUGUUAUCGGUCCCACAAAAAAAGAAAAUUGAAUGAGGAAAGGCGUGAAACGGCAGCCAAUUUCUGUCGUCCCAUCGUCGUGCUUUCGUCUAUUUACCAUUUCUCGACAUUAUUUACAAAUUGUUCUUAUGUUUCACAGAAAAAUGAAACACUGUUCAUCAUACAAAAUUGCAUGACCGAAUCUUCAAUUUUUAUAAUUAUAAAAUAAUGGAUUAUGUGUAUGUUAAUGUUACGGAUAUGAUCAGAUCAUCAUAUAAGUUACUAGACGCAUUAACAAGAACAAGAUCUAAUGAGCUAAAAGUUUUUUUUUUAAAUUAAAUAAAUAAAGAGUAAAAGUAAAAAAAAAUGUUAUUUGCAAUCACUAAAAUGAAAACAGAGGAGCCCUGUUUUUCCUCUCGUUUCUCUUUCUCUCUUUUUCAAGUAGUAGAAAAUGAUAACAGAGUUUGAGAGCUCACUGCUUUCAUUAGUUGGAAAGUGUCGCCUAAAACACUUCCUCUGCUAGGUGGAAUUGUUGGCUUGAAGAGAAGAGUUCUUGUUACAAGCACAAAUUUUAGCUGUACAUUAUUUCCUUUUAAAUGCACCAUUGUUGCACAGAUUUGAACCCUAUGAUCAUUAGUUUUUUGUUUUGAUUUGGUUAGUUCGUGAUGACAAAUAAAUUAUUUUCAUCACAUUAUGGUAAAAAGUUGCCCUCUUUGUUACUUCCACAGCUAUUUAGUUUAAUAUUUUGUAAUAAGAUCACAAAGUGCAUGGGACCUAUUGUUCGGGUACUUAGCCUAAAAUGAAGAUCUAUUAAAAAUUUCCCUGAUGUCAUGAUAUAAAACAAUAAAAGGUACCAACUUCAGCUUAAAUUCAUAUAAAAUUAAACCUUACCACAUACUGUAUUGAAACAAAUUACUCAUCUUUAUUGGUAACAUCAUCACCUUCAUAAAAUAUAUGGUAUCGUACAAAGUUCUUGCGCUGGGUUCGGGCAUCUAACAACGAGGACACAGCAACCUAUUCGCUAGGUUAGAGACCAAAGAGCCAACAGCAAAUGUGCACGACGCAUGUCACUAUCAUGAAAACAACAUUCUUUUUCUUUUUUUUUUCUCCUCAAUAAUUUCAGAUAUAAUAUUUUAACUAAGUUUGUAACACUGUUGAUUGAAAUUAUCAAGUACGAAUGUGUGUAGAUUUUAACAUGUGCACUCAUAAUUAUUAUUGUGCAGUUUUAGACUUAGUUGGGUAUUGAGGUGCUAAAACUUUUGCCGUAAGAAAAAAAAGUUUUAAGUAUAAAAUAAAAUUUAAUAGUAUCUAAUAAAUUUAGUUUUUUAAUAAUAUGUUGAGUACAUAAAAGCCCCAGGUCGGCCAUGCUACUAUUUUCACCCCGGCAUGGAUCACCUUAGCCAAAUGGUAUGAGCAGAACGCAGGAUAAACACGAGCCAACCAGAGACGAGUACCGGCCAGGGUAAUGUACCGACCAGAAUCAUAUACCGAGCCGACACCAAUUCCCCAAAAAAGCGGGAACACGAUCCCACAGAAUCACGGUAGUUGCGCUUUUCCCAGAACCGUUGUGGGAGAUGCGAGAUCCCACGUUUGCCCACAAUGUAGCAGUUAAAAUCCCAUGAGAGGCUACCACUACCCGAGAAAGGGGGGGAUGAAGGGUGAGUGAAAACGUGGGACAGCGGCUAUAAAAGAAGAAGAAACCGAUUAAGAAGGGGAGAGAAAAAUUGAGAGAGGGAAAACGCUGCCAAAUUGCAAUCAUGCCAUUUUCUGACAAGACUCCGAAUAAUUUAGAAACCAUUUUUAGAUCUAAAUUGCACUGUUUUCCCGUAAACACCUUGAGCUAACUUAGGCAUUGGAGGGUUUUCGCCGGCAAAACCACCGGCGACUCUGAUCCGUUUUUGGUGAACGCAGGUCUAGUAAGAGAAAGGAGGGUGAUUCCAACCUCAGAGGUUCGAGCAACAGUCGAUAACGUAAACGUUGGUGAAAGAAUCUGGUCGGUCAAAAGGCGAGCAGAUUUAAGCAUCAACAUUUUGGCGCCGUCUGUGGGGAGCUGGAUAAAAAGCUACCACCGAAUUAGUAGUUACCGGAGAAACAACGAACGAUUAGACAUGGAUUUGCCAAGGAAGGACGCUUUGAGGGAGGAUAACGAAUCGGGGGAGACAAGCACCCUUCGGGAAAUUGCAAAUGAAGCCCGAGAGAGGGUGAUGCAAGAUCGAUUGGAAUAGAUGGAGAAGCAAAUGGAGACUCUCGCUACCAUACUGAAUGAGCUGAGAGAUGAGCGGAGAAGGGAUUGCGAAAUCCCCGUGGGGAGAGAUGAUGUGGGAGCAGAACCCAACCUCCGGAGGCGUAGAGUCGAGGAGAUCCCUCCGCCGGUGGACCAACCUUAUGGGGUGCAUCCCCACAGAAGCACUGGUUGAGUUCCUGGAGAACAAAUAGAUGAAGGGAGGAACUAACCUCGCCCCAGGCGAGCACUGGAAGCUGAUGGCCGAGGAGCCAGUGCUGAUGAAGGAGAGUUAAGACAGCGGUUGCAGAAUGUCGAGCAGGAGCGAGAUCAGAUAGCUGCACGUGAUCCUGACCGUGAUGUAGAAUUGGAGGGAGAGGUGCGCAGAUUAGCGCAAGUGAUAAAGGAGAUACAGGGUAAGAGGAAGCCCCCGAGCUGGAGGAUAAUGCUAGAUGAAGAAUCUCCACUAUCAACUGAGAUCGUGGGUACCAUAAUCCCAAGAGAUUUCCGCUUCCCCGACCUCAAAUACUCCGAGCGAAGUGACCCGCUGGUGCACAUUGAGCGUUUCAACGACAUGAUAGGUGUGCAGGGGCUGACACCAGCUCAGAGGUGCAGGGUGUUCCCGUUGACAUUAGAGGGACGAGCCCGAGAAUGGUACCGCAAGCUGCCCCGAGGAAGUAUAAAGGGGUAUGAGCAGAUGUGCCAGGAGUUGGCCGAGUAGUUCCGAGGGGCAGUGGCCCCAGAGGACGACAUGAUGGAACUGAUGAGGAUGAAACAGGAGGAGCAUGAAUCCCUUCGAGAUUUUGUAAAACGAUAUCACCGAGCCGUGCUAGAUCUGGGGGCUUUUAAUCACCCGCAGGCGUUGAGGGGAUUAAAAGAAGGUGUAAGAAUCGGCCGACUGUGGUAUAACUUAAGAAGCCCCCUUGUACAGAAUUACUCGUCGGGGUAUGAGCAGGCGAGGCGAGAUAUAGAAAUCGAAGAGGAGAAAUCAGCAAGAAUAAAAAGUGAACAGCUGGACGAGCUGAGGCGAAAGGAACGGAGAGCCCCAACAGGGAGCGGGUCGGGAAAACGAGCUGGAGAAUCUUCAGUGAUGGGCGGAAUAUCGGCUCGGUCCCGCCCUUACCCCAUAGCUCCGAGAUCGCAGCAGUUCCAGCACAACCGGGCUCAACCUCCGCGUCCCCCAUUUCCGGAUCGGCAACGAGAAUUCCGGCAGAUGGCUGCCCACCCCUAUCACAACACUCCCAGAGCAUUACAUGCAACCAAUUCCAGGGCUAGUCGACCAGAUCAGUUAGCAACUGGGCCAGCCUGAGGUGACAUUCAUGAUAGCCGAGCAGUUCAGCUGGUAGACCAGAGCUUGGCGUAUAGACAGUACACUCCAUUAAAGAUCUCCAUGGAGGAAUUGUAUGAGAGGAUCGAGGGACGAGGCUUGUUAUACCCUCCAGCCCCUAUAACAAAACCGGCUCACCGACGGGAUAAGAGCAAAUUCUGCAAAUUCCACGACACUCAUGGUCACACUAUCAGCCAAUGUCGUGACCUGAAAAUUCAGGUGGAAGAUUUGGUGAGAAACCGUUAUUUGGACGAAUAUGUAGAUGGAAUGUCCCCCGUCACUGAAUCACAGUACACGCGGGAUGAAGGAGCUGAGAUGGGCCUGGAACGUGAACAGCCGACUAUCCGUAUAAUAGCAGGGGGGCCAACAUUGGCUGGGGAUUCGAACAGGGCACGGGAGAACUAUGGGAGAUAUGCCCUGACUAGCAAAGAAGUGCUUUUCAAUUUUCCGGCAACCAAGAAGGCAAAAGUGCGGCAAGUUCCCAUUAUGUGGACAGAUGACGAUGAAGAGGGUAUCUUAUAUCCGCAUGAGGAUGCAUUGGUGAUCAAGGCAAUGGUGGCUGGUACAGAAUUGCGACGAAUACUAAUAGACACAGGCAGCUCGGUUGACAUCCUGUUUAAGUCGGCUCUAGAUGAUAUGGGGAUUGCAGACUUGAAAUUGGAGCGGACAAAUACAUCCUUAAAGGGAUUUGGAGGGGGAUGGUUAACUCCCAUGGGGAUCACCGAACUCCCAAUUACUAUGGGGACAAAGCCAUUUGAAAGAACAAUGAUGCUGGAUUUUGUCGUGGUAGAGAAAAGAAGCCCUUACCAGAUGAUACUGGAGAGACCGUUCAUGAGGAUAAGCCAAUGUGUUGUAUCCACGCAUUACUUGGCACUGAAAUACAGAGUAAAUGGGGUGGUUGGCGUAGUAAAAAGCGACCAGAGGAUGGCAAGGAGUUGUUAUGCUACAGCAGCCAAGGAGACACUGCAGGUUACUUCUCUAGAUAAUCGAGGAAAGUCUAAAAAGGGCCGCCAAGAGCCUGUUGAGAAGCUGGAGGAAGUUGCGGUAAGCAAAAGCAACCCGAGCAGAGUAGUGAAGAUCGGGUCAGGAUUGGUUGGGGCAGUAAAAGGCGAGCUGAUAAAUUACCUACAGUCUCAUGCGGAUAUAUUCGCCUGGUCUCAUGAAGAUAUGCCCGGAAUUGAUCGCGGGGUAGCUUGCCACAAGUUGGCAAUCAAGAAGGGGGUAAGGCCGGUGAGACAGAAGAGGAGAUGCUUCAACCAGGAAAGGUACGAGGCCAUAAACGCCGAGGUGGAGAAGCUGUUGAAAGCAGGAUUUAUAAGGGAAGCCAAGUACCCAGAAUGGAUUUCAAAUGUCGUCCUGGUAAAAAAGGCCAACGGGAAGUGGAGAAUGUGUGUGGACUUCACGGACCUCAAUAAGGCAUGCCCAAAGGACAACUUUCCCCUACCCAAAAUAGAUCAGCUGGUGGACUCAACAGCAGGUCACAGUCUGCUCAGUUUCAUUGAUGCCUUUUUCUGGAUACAACCAGAUACCCAUGGACGAGCAGGAUGAGGAGAGCACUGCCUUUAUAACUAACAUGGGUUUGUUUUGCUACAGGGUAAUGCCUUUCGGCCUAAAAAAUGCAGGAGCCACCUAUCAAAGGUUGGUAAACAAGAUCUUCAAACCGUUGAUUGGACACACUAUGGAGGUAUAUGUGGAUGAUAUGAUUACGAAGUCCAAAGAGCCGAGGGAUCAUGUGAAGCAUCUAGAAGAGACCUUUGAAUUGCUGAGGAAGUAUGAGAUGAAACUAAACCCGGAGAAAUGCGCAUUUGGGGUAAGCUCGGGCAAAUUUCUGGGAUUCCUGGUAAGCCACCAAGGGAUUAAGGCCAACCCCGAAAAAAUACGAGCGGUUACAGAUAUGAGAUCUCCGCGGACAGUUAAAGAGGUGCAGAGCCUUACAGAGAAGUUGGCAGCAUUGAACCGAUUCAUCUCGCGGGCCACAGAUAAAUGCCACCCUUUCUUCCAAAUCAUAAAGAAAGGGAGAAAGAUGGAAUGGACAUUAGAGUGCGAGGAAGCAUUUGGGCAACUGAAGGAAUAUCUGGCCCGUGCACCGUUACUGUCAACUCCGAGAGAGGGUGACCAGCUGUUUUUGUACUUGGCAAUCUCCAAGCAAGCUACCAGCUCAGUCUUAGUCAGGGAAGAAGAAGGGAAGCAACACCCGGUAUACUACACGAGCAAGGCCCUGGUGGACGCAGAAACCAGAUAUCCACUAAUGGAGAAGUGGGCGCUGGCUCUGAUAACGGCAGCACGCAAACUCCGACCAUAUUUCCAAGCCCACCAGAUCGUUGUGAUGACUGACCAGCCCCUUCGGCAAGUGCUUCAAAAACCAGAUGCGUCUGGUCGGUUAGUAAAAUGGUCAGUGGAGCUGAGCGAAUUUGACCUGACCUACAGGCCCCGAGGAGCAAUCAAGGCCCAAGCCCUGGUAGAAUUUAUGGUAGACCGAGCUGAGCCAGGGGAAGGAGAUCGGGAGUAGCAACCGUUAGAGCAGGAGAAAACAGAGGGGAUGUGGUUGGUAAUGGUUGACGGAUCAUGUAGUGAGCAAGGAUCCGGAGCAGGAGUUGUAAUACGGAGCCUAGAAGGAUCCGAAAUAACGUAUGCAGUAAAGUUUGAAUUUCAGCUCGCAAACAACCAAGCUGAAUAUGAAGCCUUUAUCACCGGGCUCGGACUCGCACAUGCCUUAAAAGCAAAAAGGGUAAAAAUUCGAGCAGAUUCCCAAUUGGUAUGUAAUCAGCUCAAUGAUCAGUUCCAAGCAAGGGGAGAGAAGAUGGGCCUUUAUUUGAAGAAGGCGAAGUAGAUGGUCGGGCUUUUCCAAGAGGUGGAGGUGAAGCAGAUAUCUCGGAAUGAGAAUUACCGAGCAGAUAUUUUGGCUAGGAUGGCUGCAGUUGCAGAUCCGAAAUUACCUAAGUCGGUUCCACUAGAGGUAAGGACCUCGCCAAGUAUAGGAGAGGAGGUAGAGGUGAUGAGAGUAUGCAUUGGAGAAUCAUGGAUGGACCCGAUUCGCGCAUAUAUCCGGGAUGGAAUCUUACCAGAGGACAAACAGCAAGCCAGGAGAUUAAAAUGCCGAGCAGCGAGGUACACUCUACUAGAUGGAGUGCUGUAUCGCCGAGGGUUCACCUUACCCCUUUUGAGAUGUGUGGAUGAUGAGGAGGCAGAUUAUGUACUGAGGGAGAUUCAUGAAGGAAUAUACGGCAAUCACUCGGGAGCAAGAACUUUAGCCUUCAAGGCACUCCGGCAAGGAUACUUUUGGCCAACUAUGCACCAGGAUGCGAAAAGGAUGGCAAAGAACUGUAAAACCUGCCAAAGCUUCUCUAAGGUUCCUGCACAACCCCCAGAGAAGCUGACCACUAUGACAUCCCCGUGGCCUUUCGCUCAAUGGGGAAUCGACUUGAUUGGUCCGUUACCUAAGGGCCGAGGAGCGGCGACACAUGCAAUUGUGGCAAUAGACUACUUCACCAAGUGGGUAGAAGCGGGAGUCCUCAGCCAAAUCACCGAGAGGAAGACAACAGAUUUUAUUUGGAGAAAUAUCAUUUGCAGAUACGGGAUCCCCUAUGCCAUCAUUACAGAUAAUGGGAGACAAUUUGACAACAGCAACUUCAGGGAAUUUUGCCGAAAUUUGGGGGUGGACCUGAAGUUCUGCACCCUCGCACACCCCCAGGCAAACGGACAAGUGGAAGCAGCCAACAAAGUAAUAAAAAAGCUUUUGAAAACUAGAUUGGGAGAGAAGAAGGGAGCCUGGGUUGACGAACUACCAGGAGUAUUAUGGGCCUACCGGACAACUCACAAAACCGCCACAGGGGAAACCCCGUUCGCUUUAGCCUUUGGUCAUGAGGCGGUAAUCCCAGCAGAAAUCGGAGUAGGAACACAUCGAACAGAAUAUUUCGCUGAGGAGAAAAACGACGAGCAGAUCUGCUUAAACCUGGACCUGCUGGAGGAGAAAAGGGAAGGGGCCUCGCAGAGAGUGGCCCAGUGUCAGCAACGGGUCAUGCGCUAUUACAACAAGAACGUACGCGUGAGGCAGUUCCGAGCAGGAGAUUGGGUACUUAGGAAGGUGAACCAAAACACCAGGAAUCCUAACCAUGGCGCUCUUGGCCCAAAGUGGGAAGGCCCGUAUAGGGUGGUACGAGCCACUGGACCAGGAGCUUAUAAGUUAGCGUACCUAGAUGGACGAGACGUGAGGAGGUCAUGGAACGCCGAGCACUUGAAGAAGUAUUUCCAGUAAGCAAAGUGCUCUACCAAAUCUUCAUUUUGACAAAUUGUUUGUGUUAACUGCAUGAUGGCUUGAUGCAUAUGUAUGUAUUCAGUAUUUUUGUAACACAUUCAUGUUUCAAAUAAAGAUGAAUUCAGCAUGAAAUCCCCCUACUAGCAAAGCCAAAUAAAAAUUCUACGAAGGCAAGCAAAUGCCUACUUCUGCUUGGUCAACGAAAGACCAGCAGCUAAUUUUACGAGAAAUUCACUAAGGAAAGUGAGUGCCUGUUUCUGCUCGGUCAACGAAAGACCAGCAGCUAAUUCCGCAAAAAUUCUAUUAAGGCAAAUAAGUGCCUAUUUCUGCUCGGACAACGAUAGACCAGCAGCUAAUCUACGAAAAUUCUACUAAGGCAAGUAAAUGUCUGAUUCUGCUCGAUCAAUGAAAGACCAGCAGCUAAUCUACGAAAAUUCUACUAAGGCAAGUAAAUGCCUGAUUCUGCUCGGUCAAUGAAAGACCAGCGGCUAAUCUACGAAAAUUCUACUAAGGCAAGAAAAUGCCUGCCUCUGCUCGGUCAACGAAAGACCAGCAGCUAAUCUACUAAGGCAAGUAAAUGCCUGCCUCUGCUCGGUCAAACGAAAGACCAGCAGCUAAUCUACUAAGGCAAGAAAGUGCCUGCCUCUGCUCGGUCAGCGAAAGACCAGCAGCUAAUCUACGAAGGCAAGUGAGUGCCUGCUUCUGCUCGGUCAACAAAAGACCAGCAACUAAUCCUACGAAAAUCCUACUAAGGCAUGAAAGUGUCUACUUCUGCUCGGUCAACGAAGGACCAGCAGCUAAAUUUAUGAGACUUUUACUAAGGCAAAUAUGUGUCUGCUCCUGCUCAGUCACCGAAGACCAGCAGGCGAUUUUGCGAAAAUUUUUACCAAGGCAAACGGAUGCCUAUUCCUGUUCGAUGCACUAAAGAACCAACAGGCGAAACCAGACAAAAAAGCCAAUAGAGAGCAUUUAAAAAAUUUUAUAAACGUUCAAAUGUUUACAAAGCAAAUGAAAAACUAGAGUCUUUACAAAAAUAGACCUAAGGAUUAGGAGGAUCAACGGCCUCAGCAGGUGAAGGGUCAGCUAUCUCGGGAGGUGGAAGGUCAGCAAUAUCGGGAGGAGGAGGCACGGACCCCUGCCCCACUUCAAAAACACGCUGCCCAGCUUCUCCCUCCUGCACCCCAUUCAAAGGAACCUCCACCUGCUCCUGCUCAUCCUGCUCCUUAUCUCCUUGGCCGGCCCCAGCCAUAUACCUCUCCACCCCAGAUUCCAGCUUGCUCAUGUCGAGCUCGGGGUAUUCUUCCUUGAGUACAGACAUGAUGCACUUAUAGCUGAAAGCAACCCCGGAGUUAUACUCAGCAUCCAACCGAUCAUCCACAUCAGCGGAUUUGCCUUUCUCUUCAGCCAGCUGGUCACUCAGGGAUUUGAUCUCUCCCUCAAGGGCGGUCCUCAGAGUAUCUCUUUCACUUUGAGUAGCCUGAAGAUCGGACUUCAGAUCACCCAGCUCACCCUCAAGCUUGGAGGAAGUAGACUCAGCAACCGCAACUUUCUCCUCAAGCUCCGUAAGCUGCUUGUUCAGCUCGGCCAGCUUCUCUUUGGACCGAUCAGCAGAUUCGGCUUUCUUUUUCAACUCCUGGUUAUCAGCUUGAAGCUUCCUCUCAUGACGCGCGGACCCGGUCUUGUAGCACGAGACCAUUGUGGCCAGCCUGAAAGAGACUCUUUGAACAGAAGCAGCUAACUCGGAGAGGUCCAUGCUCUCGAUGUCCUUCACCAUCUUGGGCCCAACCGAUUUUUUGUAAUCUUUCUGGUAUAGGCUCAGGUAGUCACCUUGAUCCCGAGAUGGAAGAGGAGCAGAUCGGUCCCCAGACUGCAAGCUGACCUCAGGACUCUUGUCGGAGGUUUUCUCCCCACCACUCUUACAGGGUGGGGGAGGGGGCAGAGCAGGGACAGGAGCCUUGGAGGGGCCGACACUAUUCUUCUUUGGAGGAGGAGGAAGGUUGCUGGAGCUGCUUGGAGCCCGACCACGCUUCCUGCUCAUUGCGCUGAGGAUCUUGUUAUCCAUUCCAGCGGCUAUGUCCACUAGGCCCGAACCGACCAGGUUUGUUGGUGACAGGAGGUCUUGGCAGGUAGACGCGUUCACCAGAGCAGUUUCCACCUGAAGCAAAGGCCGAUCUUCAAGCCCCUUUAUCAAACCCCACGACUCUGAAAGAACAAACAAGGUUAAAGAACCCAAUAAGUAACAAGUCGAGAAAGAGUAUAGGCAAAAAAUAAACGACCUGGGGUGACAAAAUGUGUUGGAAGGUAAAUAUCACCACCCAACGAAUGAGCUGCUGGACACUAAGCUCCUCCAGCAAAGAAGAAUUUGUUCUUCCAAUUUUUGCACGAGGAGGGGAAGCCGGUGAUUGGUUUCCUCUUCGCAGAGCUUGACAUGAAGUAAUACCAGCUUGCUUCCUUCGGGCUACUCCUCAGCUGGUAUAGAUGCUUCACUUCAACGAGGGAGGGCUCCUCUGAUCCACACCUCUUCCACAACACAUAUAUAGCCGAGAGAACCCUCCACCCAUUGGGAUAUAGCUGACCUAGGGCCAGAUGCAUACCACCCAAUAUCUUAGCGAAAUAACGUUAAAGGGGCAGCCGAGCUCCUAAUUUGAAGCUCUCCAGGUGCAUCGUCACAUACCCCCGCGGAGGCCGACUAGGGACGUCACCUUUUCCUGGAACUACCAGGAGAAUCUCCGCAGGAAUGUCGUAAAGGUUCCUCAGCUUGAACAGAUCAGUUUGGGUGGUGACACAAGCUGUGUAGUCAAUAGGGUAAAAAUCCGCCUCUACCCUAUGACCAAGGUGCCUUCUCUGAGGAGGUCCGCUCGGUCCAGAGCUGCUCCCCUCACCAUCACCAACUCCUUCAAGGAUCCCAACCCCAUCAAAGCUGUGCUUCUCACCAGAGCCCGACGCAGGUCCACCUCUAUUCCCUACAAGCUCUAGUUCGGGGGAGGGAGAGACAACCAAAGGGCGUGGGUACUCAAGGGUAUCCCUGCCAUGGGAAGGACCUACACUACUGGAGGGACCUAAGAAAUCGGUGGGUAUUGGCACGUUGAGGCCCGAAUCCCCUGAUUCUUCCUCGCCCUCAUCAACAAUUAACUUUCUUUUCCGGUUUGACAUAUCGGAAUCCCAAAAGAAAGCAAAGAAAACUCGAAUGUACGGAUACAAAAGGGGGCAACACGGAACCCAAUCAACAACAACAAGAGAAGAGAUUAAAAGCAGUACCUGAGAUUAACUGGCCCUGAUAGCGCUGCCGUGACAGAGAAAAAACCAGCAAGUAGAAACUCCGGACGCAGGAAGUGUGAGUAAAGUUCAGAGAGGGGGCUGGUUAACGGUGGAGAAACGGAUAAACAAAGCAAUGAGGAUUUCAACCUAGGGAUUUGAAGUGAAAAGGGGAAAGAUAGAAGCAUUUAAGUGAUGAGGAUGCCAGCUCACUCACCACAUAUCGAGGGUGGAUAGCCCGUCGUUUCAAAUUUCAAAUACGAAGAGUCUGGUGAUGCCACGUCACUAACCGUUACAAGAGGCCAGGAUAGAUGUAAGCCCAGAUAUGCAAUGGACAUGUUCACUUAGGCCCAUGCUCAGGUCGGAGUCUCCCCAGAAGAAAAAUGGUACAUCAGGUCAGGCCCAUCCCAAUAAACAGAGGACCAGAUGAGAAGCUCCCCGGGUUGGUGAGAUUUGACCAUCAGUUUCUACUCUUAACUCAUUUCACUCGCCAGACCAGAAACUGGGGGACUGGUGUUGAGUACAUAAAAGCCCCAGGUCGGCCAUGCUACUAUUUCCACCCCGGCAUGGAUCACCUCAGCCAAAUGGUAUAAGCAGAACGCGGGAUAAACACGAGCCAACCAGAGACGAGUACCGGCCAGGGUAAUGUACCGACCAGAAUCAUAUACCGAGCCGACACCAAUUCCCCAAAAAAGCGGGAACAUGAUCCCACAGAAUCACUGUAGUUGCGCUUUUCCCAGAACCGUUGUGGGAGAUGCGAGAUCCCACGUUUGCCCACAAUGUAGCAGUUAAAAUCCCAUGAGAGGCUACCACUACCCGAGAAAGGGGGGGAUGAAGGGUGAGUGAAAACGUGGGACAGCGGCUAUAAAAGAAGAAGAAACCGAUUAAGAAGGGGAGAGAAAAAUUGAGAGAGGGAAAACGCUGCCAAAUUGCAAUCAGGCCAUUUUCUGACAAGACUCCGAAUAAUUUAGAAACCAUUUUUAGAUCUAAAUUGCACUGUUUUCCCGUAAACACCUUGAGCUAACUUAGGCAUCGGAGGGUUUUCGCCGGAAAAACCACCGUCGACUCUGAUCCGUUUUUGGUGAACGCAGGUUUAGUAAGAGAAAGGAGGGUGAUUCCAACCUCAGAGGUUCGAGCAACAGUCGAUAACGUAAACGUUGGUGAAAGAAUCUGGUCGGUCAAAAGGCGAGCAGAUUUAAGCAUCAACAUAAUAAUUUUGAUAAAAUUAGAAAAGAUAUAAUAAUUUUUUUAUUAUAUAAGUGUAAAAUCAAAUCAUCUUAACUUCUAAACUACAACAACUAUAACAUUUGAACUAUUCAAUCUCAAUUCCUAAUAGACUCUUAAUUUAUAAUUAGAUUGUCACUAAAAGAUUUUAAGUAUGUAUUUUAGAAUUUAACGAAUACACUUUUAAACUACCUUUGCCGGAUGAAAUGUUGGGAAAUUUUUAUUAAGAUCCAAAAGUAUUUGAAAUAAAUUUAUGUUUUUAUGAUGCCAAAAAAAAUAAAAAAUUAUGAACAUUUUUGUGAAGCUUAGGCGAAAAUUUUUGUUAGGCUCUAUUGGGCUAGAUGAGCAGCUCGGGCAGUUAAUUGUCGCCCAAGAAGCCCAACCCAGAUUACAACAAGCUGGGAUUUAGUUAGCUCGUUGACGGCCAUUUGGGUAUGCAUGAAUUGGGUGGAUGAUUAAUAAAUACGUUUUAUUAAUUAUUUCGCCGAUUGGGAUAUUCUCCUAAUUUAAUCUUUUCUAAUAUUAUAAUAAAGAGAUUUUGACAUGUGUAAUACAUGUGUUAUUUUAAUAAUCCAAUAGAUAAUAUCUACUUUAUUUUUAUCUUUCGUUAUUAAAUACAAAAACACUAAUAAAAAAAAAAUGACUUAACUCUUUUUAUAUUUUUAAUUUUUAUUUAUUUCCUUUUAUUGCUUUCCUAGCAAUGUUCAUCUUUUUACUAUACAACAUCCAUAACCUUAACUUUGGAAAUAAAAGAGAAUAUGUGAAAGUAUAAGUAGGAGAAAGACUUCAUUGAAAUCAAACAAAUUGGGCAACGUUAGAUUUUUCUUUAAAAUUCUCAUGAGAUAUUAAUUAGUAGUAUUAUCACUGCUGCCUGCCUAUUUCUAACCUCAACCAAUAUAUGAUCAAUGCUUGAUUUGGUCAAUCUAAAUAAUUAUGAUCGAUGAUUGGAUAUUGUUGAAGGGCGGCCCUAAGGAUGAGAGAGGGGAAUGCGUGUGCAAGCCACAUGUGUGAAGAAAAAGAAAAAGGCAAGAGUGAAGAUGACGACGAUUAAAAUCUUGUUUGAUUUCUUUUUCUGAUAAUUUUGUUAAUCUGCUGUUGUUAGUUCCAAAAUUUUAGUUAGCAACAAAAUGACAUGUUUUUGUGUUUAAUAAGGAAAAAGUAAAUAAUAUAUUUUCUAUAGGAUUCUUAGAAUGGAUUAGAUUAGACUACGGAGAGAAAUAUAUUUGAGAAUAUUAGUGUUGAGUUAUUCUAAUGUCUUUAAUAGUAAAUUCAAUUAAGACUAUUUUAGUAAUAUAUUUUUUUUAUUGAAAUUAGAGUGUUCAAAGUUAUAAAUAAAAAAUUCAAUAAUUUUUUAUUGAAUUUAUAUAACUCUGGAUUCUUUUUUUUUUUUUCCAACACUGAUAUGGUUCUGUUCUGUGUAUUUAUAUACAAUUUAAUGUUUACAUACAAAUUAAAUAAGAUCAAUUUAAUGUUUAUAUACAAUCCUUCAAGUCGUAACUCAAUUUUAUGGAGGUUUAUACAUCUGCACGCAUUCCUUGAAUUUCUCCUAGAUUGGAACUUCUUAAUUGAUCCAAUGCAUUUUUCCAACAGUCAAGAUCCUUAGUUGUCAGAGCAUUUGCAAUCGUACUCAGUGCACCAGGCAAACCUCCGCAUCUUUCAACGAUCGAGGAGUAUUUUUGUUGAAUCACCGACUAUAUUCUCAAAUAACUGCAAUGCUUCUUUUUUUGAUAACGCAUCGAUCGAGGAAUUUUUCUGAGAUUUCAUAUCAUUGCACAAUAAUAAAUCUCGACUUCUAGACGUCAAUAUUAUUUUGCAUUGUCUCUGAUCGUCAACAUCCCCGGAAGUUAAUGAACGGAAUUCUUUUAUCCUUUCUAUCUUUCUCAUCAACAUCCCCGGAAGUAACCACAUCGAACAACUUAUCUUCCCUCACUUGCUUUGCAACAUCUUGGAAUACUUUCAUUCUGGAAUCAAAGGCUACGUAAUCUUUCACUUGCACGUACUCUGUACUCUCUGGAGCAGGACGGUAGGAAACAUGAUUACAGAUGUUAAAUUCGCCUUUUUUCACAAGUUUAUCAGCUUCGUUUGCGGCCUCUGCUGCUUGUUUACCAAGCUUGUAACGAGAAAUCAAAUUUGGGCACAACCCUUUGAAGCAGAACAUCUUAGCUCUAUCUUUAUCAUCAAUCAUGGAUUUUGCAACCCCUUCACUGAAUUCAGCAACUCUAUUUAGCCAGUCUCAGACACCCUUAUAAAUCUCAUCUCCUUGUAGAGUAGCCUCUCUAACCAGCGUUUUCACCCUUUCUCUUAUAUAUUCCAGCUCCUUCACUCAAUCUUUUAGCCCAUCUAUGUAGCUUUGGUAUUCGAACACAUAAGAUAUGUGCCGCAUAAUCGGUUCGAAUAAUGCUUUUGAACCUUGUGAUACAAUGCUGGAAAAAGCAGGGAGACACCCUUCAACAGCCAUUGCCUGUUGCUUAACAAUAUAUAUAUAUAAAUACAAGUGUCAAAGAAAGGAAUGCAAAUAAAUUAAAAUGAACUAGAGGGAAAGAUAGAGAAUGAAAAGAUCACAAACAAUAUGGCUAUAUUGAUCUUGAACCAACUAAUAACUAAAUAGAGAAUUUCUUUUUCUUUCUUAAGGAUAAGAGGUUUUACUAUUAACAAAAAGUUAUUUUGAGGGUCUGAAUAAAAAACCAACCAUAAAUUAUCAAAAGCUAGUAAAAACACAGACAUAAAUAAUGAACAAUUACUUAAGCAAAACAAACUAUGAAACAAAGAAAAUCUAAUAAAAUGACAAAGAAAGAAAGAAAGAAAAUACAACAAAAAGUAUUGAAGUAUUGAUCAUGAGCCAACUGAUAUUUAAACAGAUUUUUUUUUUAAUUUUUAGUCUUUUGCUAAAGGAUUAGAGUUUUUGCUAUUAACAGAAAUGUUUCAAAAAUCUAACACUACUAGAAAAGUAUUAAAUAAUGACAGAAAUUUGAUGACAUAUAUCGUUGUGUCACGAAUGUGUCAUAAAAAUAUGAUAGAUUCAUAAUAUAUAUUCAUAUGUCCAGAAUAUAUGACAUAUUCAUGACUUAUAAUUUAACCGUCCUAGAUAAAUGAUACAUAUAAGUCAUGCUUAGGUUUUGUGAACUUAUAAGAUUGUAAAACAGUGUUGUUUAAAUUAACGACACCGUUCUGUAUAACUUAAAACACAUCAACACUUACAGCCAAAUUUUGGCUAAGCGUUGAAUGAAUCCCUCUCUCUCCACUGGCCACUGCAACCUAAAAUGAAUGUUUAAAUUAACGACACCGUUGAAUUAAAGCCUAGCUCAAAUUCCUUUUUUCAAUCGAAAUAAAACGUAGCCACAAAACCCUAAUUCACCACACCAAAUUAUCUCUGCUCGGUAUUCAUUUAAACCCUACCUCGCGGUUCAAUGUCAUUCAAUACGAUUGCAGAUGCCGUUUCAACUUGUCAUUUAGUUAGCGCCAUCCAGUUCCCUAUGGUAAGCCUUAACCCUAACGCUAGUAAGAUUUGCUAAAAAUUUCAUAUUUUGUAUUGUUCCAGUUGAAUUUCAUGUUAAUUUAAUUCUUCUUUGCCUUCUUUUUUCUUCUUCUUUAUAGUCACGCUCUGGCUUUGGUGCUAUGCUUAGUGCAGUUUGUGGUUUCAAGAUUAAGUCAUGUUUAUUUGAUGGCAUCGAUUCCAUCGUUGAGGAUUGGAUUGUUGAUCAAAUGCACCUAGUAAGCUCUUCUUAUUUUAUCUCAGUUUCAAUUUUCUUUUAUUAUCUGCCUCUACCUAAAAAUGGACGUGUUUUACUAGUAAGCAUAGACUUUGUUUAUUUAAUUGAUAUUUUAAUUUUAUGUAUAAGAAUGGAGGUUUAUUUUGAAAAAAAAAAAAGGAAAUUAAAAAAUAGAUUCUGUUGAAGCUAAUUAGUACUGAAUUUUUUUGGUGGUGCGACCAGAGGUGGAAACAGGGUAUGAAAAUGUGUUACUGGUGAGGUUGCUGCUUAAGAUGAGAAUGCAUUCUUUUCAAAAAUCCUUGGUAGGUGUUAUCUAAUUAUCUUUGAUGGAAUAUCAAAUGGCUAAAAAUCUGUCAUACGUUCAAACUUUGUUUGUGUUUAGAAGAAUGGUGUUGACUGUAUAUUCGUUUGGAAGAAUGGUGUUGAUUGUAUAUUCAUUUGCUUAGCCUUUUGACAGAUGGAUUGUAUAAUUGUGUUUGCCUCACUGUUUUUUUUUUAUGAGAUCUAUAAUUGAUCUGGGGAUAUUACUUUCUAGUUCUCAUGCAAGCAAGUUACUACCUUCCCACUGCAUCUCGUCCUUUAUCUGCUAUUCAAGAGAUGCGUGCCAUAAUCUGGUGUUACCUCUGCAAGAUUGUGAAUGAAUAUAAUGCCUCUAAAUUUAUUUUAUACAUAAUGCUGAUGCUGAAUAAUAUAUUGUAGCUCCUGUCAUAUUCUACUUUGACUUUUUAUAUUCUGUUUCAUAUAAAAAUCUUAUUCAACUUUAGUUGUUCAUGAGCAAAUGUCGCAUGUAUAAGCCCAAAUGAUGUUUAAAGGUAGCGCGGCUACCUUUAGUUUGAGCUUACAAUGGAUGAAAAAGAAAUUGAAACUGUUUUUCUGAUUUUUCAAAGUAUUUUAGAUCCUGACUUUUGUUUGGACUUGAUGGUUAUAGAUUGUGUCUAGAUUUGUUAAGUUGUUUCCAACACCUCGUGCCAAAUGAAAGCACAAUCUUUCUGAUUCAGAUGUUUGGUUAAUUAUGCUUCAUUUUUUUGUUAAAGAUUGGAUGGUUGCAUGGAUUGAUGGAGUUGGAGUUCAACCAAUAAUUCUAAUUUUUUGGACUUAAAAUGCCUUUUUCUUCUGUAUAAAAACUUUAGUAAGUGCUAUUGAGUUGACAGAAGUUGAAUACUUACAGGUUGUUUCACACUUUUUAAUAGUUUUACAUAUAUGAAUUUCUGUUUUUUGAAUUGCAGAAAGGAGGUGGAACUAUUGAUUUGGAGCCUUAUCUUACUCACUCAUCGACAACGGAGCCUACCCUCGCUCCCAUGGCAGUGGAACGGACAACGACUACUAGGGCUGCAACAUCAGUUGGUUUGGGUCUGUUUUGAGUUUAUUUUCAUUUAUUUGGCUAUGUUUUGAUAGCGAAUUUUGAUAUGUCAAUAUAAUGUGUAAUUGUUUUGGGUUGAGCUGGUAUUUAUGCUGGAUUAGAUUGGUUUGGUUUUGGUGCUUCUCUGAUGGAACACUGCUUCUUUUAGAAAUUUUGAAUGUAAUAUGAGACUACAUUUAGUUUAAUUGAACACUGCAUCUAGUCUAAUUACUAGAAGUGUGGCAUUUGGUUUGGUUUAUCCGAUAUUCUCCAGAAUUUCACUUGCAUCUGGUUUUGUUGCAUAUGUUUGCUUGCAUUUGAUGGCAGUAGCAGACUGUUUGGUUUUGUGACAUUUGACGGCAGUUUGGUCUGUUCUUGGUGUUGAUUUAAGAUUGUUCCUGUUGUGCUGAUGUUAAUUGCAGGUGCUGGAAUCAGCUAGGGUUGCUGGUUUAUUCAGAUAGUUGACUCAGGCGUUGUUACUGGUUAAUUCAGGUGGCUGACUCAAGUUGUUCAUUUAAUGUUAGGAAGCAAAUUAAGAAUUAAUGAAGUAUUCAUUUAACUAUAAUUAUUGUAGUUAUUUUAUUUCAUAACUGAAUUAUAAUCUAUGGUACUUGUGAACAAAUUAGAGAAUUUUUAUAUAUGAAUUAUAUAUAUGUGUGUGUAUGUACAUUUUGCUAUUUAUGUAAUAAUUUAAAGAAUAUAUUUCAAUUCCCACAAAAAAAAUGGCUCCAAUUUCAAUAAUUCCCGCCAAAUAAUUAAUUUUUUUUUAAUUUACCACUAAAAUAUAUCUUAAAGAAAUUUUAGUUAUUCUUGCUAGAUUUAACAAAAAUAAUUUGUAGGAUUAACAUUUAAUUAAAAUAAUUAAAAAAUUUUAUUAUUCCAAUUAAAAAUGUCAUGUUUAUACGAUAGACAAUAUUCAUGAAUGGGAAGUAUUAGUUACAUAUUUUUCCUUGGGAUUUCAGGCAAAUGAAAAAAAGAUUGAGAAUGAUUUCAAGAGGACAGGUGGAUGAUAAGUAUUCAUUUUUGUAUAUUUGGCUAGUGGAUUUUUAUGGUAUUGAUCUUUUUUUAAAAAAAAAAAAAAAUUUCAAUUAGUUGCAGCCCUAGAGGAAGAGCAGGCUGAUCAAAUUGAUUUGUCUUGUUUUUCGGGCAAUCUACGACACGAUGACUGUGAUAAUGCUCGUGACUGCUGGAAACUUUCUGAUGGAAAUAACUUUAGAGUUCGUAGCAAGCAUUUUUGUUAUGACAAAACAAAGGUUCCCCCAUAUUUUGUUUGUUUGUUAUGGUAUUUAUAUAUCCUGCAUAGGCUAGGUAGACAGGUUAUGAUGUAGUUUGGUUGGCUCUUCUUGUGCUUGUGCAAUUUGUAACUGCAGAUACCUGCGGGAAAACAUUUAAUGGAUCUUGUUGCUGUUGAUUGGUUCAAAGACACAAAGAGAAUGGACCAUGUAGCUAGGCGUCAAGGCUGUGCUGCACAAGUAACUAUUCUUUUCUUUUUAUUUUUCCUUUUCCAUUGAUGCAUUAGGAGAAAAUACUGCCUGUGAGAUACUACAAUGUAAAUAACUUCUCAUGGUUCAUUGAAUCUAUAACACACUGACCCUCUUCUAAAAAAUGUAGGUUGCUUCUGAAAAAGGGCUUUUCUCACUGAUCUUUAAUCUUCAAGUAAGUUUGUUUCAUUUCAGAAGGUAUUAAGUUUCAAACUUAUUGUAUUGGGAGGUUGUAUAGUUGUAACCUAAGCAUCUGCAGGUUCCUGGAUCAACACAUUAUAGUAUGGUAUUUUAAUUAGUCGCAAGGCAAUUGGUUGUGGGAUCACUUUUGCAACGGUUUGUUGAUGGCGAUGAUGAGUUUCGCAAUAGUAGGUUGAAAUUUAUUCCAUCUGUUCCUAAGGUAUCCAUCUUGGCCUUCAUGUAUUAGGACUAUAUUAACGUAUACUAACCCUUUACUGCAUGGUACACUUCAAUUUGUCCAAAGAAGGCAUGCAUUUAGGUGUAAAUGUAUUGAUGGGUUGUACCUUCAAACUUCGUGUCCAUUUUUACCCUCUUGAAUUUGUUUUGCACUUGUUCUUGAUUUUAAGCACUGAAUCAUGCAGGGGUCAUGGAUGGUGCGCCAAGAGUGUUGGAAGCACCCCUUGUUCAUUAGUGAAAGUGGUUGAUUGUAACUACAGAUGAAUUGUUCCCCUUUCAAAUAGCGUCCGAUACCAUUAACAUGGUUUAACAUUGUUCAUCUUUCUGUAGAUUAAUGUUGACAUCGGUUCUUCUACUGUUGCUAAUGGAGUUUUGGGCCUUGUAAUUGGUGUAAUUGCGACAUUGGUGGUUGACAUGGCUUUCCUUGUACAGGUAUGUAUGAUUGUUUUUUUCCCCCACUUCUAAAUGGACACAAGGGAAAAGACAUGAUUUUGAGAUAUUGCACUGCAAUUUGCAUUUUUGCAUACUUGAAUGUUCUCAGAAUGGUAUAAUGCUUCGUGUGUGUCUUCUUUAUCUUGCUCUUCUGUAUGCAGGCAAAUACUACAGAUGAAUUACCGGAGCGGCUGAUUGGUGCUGUACGUGUUUCUCAUAUAGAACUCAAGUCUGCUGUUGUCCCAAAGUUGGAACCAGAGAUAUCAUGACUCUGGUUUCAUUUCACCUCAACUGUGUUUUUUUUUUAAUUAAAAAAAUCAUUUGUUUUAGGUAUACAUACAUGUAUUUUGAUUCUAUUUUCAUUGUAAUUUCUCAUUUACUUUGAAUGAAAGUCAUUGGUGUUUUCGAAUGGGAAUUUUGCAUUAAAAAAUGAAGAAUAGUGAUUUUUGGAGUGUAAUUAGUAGUAAAGUUGGUUUCUACUCGCAAACAAGUGAACUGCUCGAUUCCCGAGUGGUAUCAACCAGUUUCCAACUUUUUAAUAUACACUAAUUGUUAUUGUUUAAUAGCUACUACUAUUAAAACUCGACAGCUAACAAAAAUACUUAAAAAAAACGAUUUUUCUUAUGAUGCUGUGAAAAAAAUUACGGGUUUACUUCUUUCCACGAGAUCUAUAACAUGGUCUUGACUUCACGAAAUUCUUUUAAUUUAAAGCGUGCUGGUGUGAGAAGGUCAGUUUGACUGAUUAAUUCUUUUUAACAGUGGUCGAGAUAAUUUUACUAUACUCAAAAAUAUUCUUAUUCUGAUAAUGCCACAAAUGUUAUGUUGUUUUCUUAGGCUAAGGAUCUUCUAUCAGGAGAGGUUAGAAAUUAAAUGCUUAAAAGAGAAUAAUACAGAAAUUUAGACAGAAUCUAAUCGAAUAUUGCAUGAAACAUGAAACAUCAAUUCAAGUCCUUUCUUUAAACAGAGAAUGCAUCAAACAAAAUCCAAAGUGUCUUGCACGUCUGUAGCAUGAGCAAAAAAUUGUAAAUAUGUAGAACCAAAUUAUUCAAGUAUAGAAGAACGAGCAAGCUAAAUCAUGUAUAAGAGAUUGGCCUGGUUCGAGAUAGCUUCUUCACUGUACCUGAAGGGUUGGCUCAAUAUCUUCUUUAGAAUUCUGCACAUUUUGUAAUUACUCGUGUAAGCAAGCAUACAUUGCCACCAUAAGAAUAAUAAAGCUAGAGUAAUGAUAGGACCACCACCUCUUGUGCACAAACAAUAUUGUAUAAACUAAUGCGAGAUAAUAUGAUUGGUUAAAUAAAAACAUUAUAUGGUCCUCAUAAUUUAUUUAUUUAUUUAUUAUUAUUAUUAUUAUUAUUAUUAUUAUUAUUAUUAUUAUUAUUAUUAUUAUUAUUAUAUAUUUUCAGUCAACCAAUCAUAUUAUAUCACAUUAGUUUCUAUAAAAUAAUUUACUAAAUAGCACCAAAACUUAAUUGAUACUCACCAUUUCAUUGAACAAUUUUUUUAUGGUGUCAUUGAGGUUGCCUUCCCAACAUGCUUCAUCAUCAUCAUCUUCUUCAUCCUGAUCAUCCUUUUCUUCUUCGGUGACGUUCACUUUGUUUAGCAUUGGUGUGUCUAAGACUCCUUGAGAGAAGAUCUUCAUUUUUGGACACUGUCUCACAACUACUUGUUUCAAGGACGGGAAUUCAAGAGCGUAAUUACCCAAACUAAAGCUUGUUAGGCUUGGCAAACAAUCAAGUGUCAAGUACUCCAAUUCCCUGAAAACAAUGCAGUCUUUCGCUUCUUCUCCAACCUGCGAUUGUAUGAUUUCUUCUAUCAUUUUGCAAUCAGCUAUCUUCAUUCUUUGAAGAUUCACUAGACUUUCAGAUGUCGAGAAUGUCAACACAUUUAUCAACCCGUGACAUUUUGAUACUUUCAAAGCCUCAAGAUUUUCCAAAUGCCACGAAGGUGGUACUAAUUUUUGCAACUUACUACAUUCCGAUAUUUUUAGACUUUCCAAAUUUGCAAAUACUUUGUUGGAUUCGGCAUUUUCCUUCCAGAGAUGCUGCACUUUGUGUAAUCUAGACAGCCUUAACUUCCUCAAUUUAGGGAAUGCAACCUGAAAAUCAACAAAAUUAAGUUGUAAAUGAAAAUAUGUAUCCAAUCUCUGGAGUCUUCCCCUGCAUAUUUUAUGGACAAGAUUAAUCACGGCAUUUUAUAUUUUAUCUCCAAAUUAGUAUGCUUUGUAGUAGGAUCCCAAAUAUAAGUAUCAAAUCGAUUACCCUUUGAAACACAUAAAUGAAAUCUGAUGCUAAAUCCAAUAUGAAUUAGCUAGGAAAACAGAGAUGUUACACACAUAAUUAAUAUAGUUCAUCACCUCGUGUUACUAGGCAUCCAAUUAAUUUCAGACAUUUUUAUAAUUCAUACUAUAAAGAUAGUUAAUAACUGCGGUUAUAUUGUUAAAUCAGAUAUAAAUUAAGAUGACAUGCAAAAAGAUGAGUCAUUAAAUUUGACUUGAUUCUAAUGAAAUUACAUCUAUGCGAACGAAAGUGAAGGGAAAAAUAAUAAUAAUAAUAAUAAUAAUAAUAAUCACCUUUUCAUCAAAGAGGGGUUGUACUUGAUGAGCCAGCAAGAAGUUCUCUUCUGAUGUUAAUUUUUCAGGUUUCUUGUUAUCUGUUGUCACGUGCACUACAGAGUUGGAUAUGAAUGUUUCCAUAUCAGGGCAAUUCUCAAUAGUUAGAUUCUCCAACUUAGGCGGUUCAAUUAUAUUCCCAGUGAAGUUGCAGAAUCUUUUGAGUUUUGGAAGAUCAAUGAGCCUUAGCUCGGAAAGCUUAGGAAACGGGGGGCCUAUAUGUUCUUUGUCAGCAUUUAGCUCUUCGAAAUGAAACACCUCUUCUAUUGAAUCACAAUUCCUCACUUCCAGCCAUUCCAAAUUGUUCAAGCACCGUAGCAGAUUGGCAGGAAUAGCACUCGACAUAUUCGUGCAGUCAUCCACCACCAGCUGUGCUAAAUUGUUGAAGAAGCUGACAGGCAGUGCUUGGCCAUGCCAUAUUUCUUGCAAGCGUGGAAAAUGCGAGAGUUGCAAACGGUUUAUAUCAAGGAAUCCAAUCUGCACAAACCAAAACAAUUUUGUUUUUGAAAGGCAUUAUAUAUACACACAUUAAACUUACAUGUUUUGUGUUUUAACUUCUAAAAAUAUAUAUACAAGGGAGGUGUAUAUGCUUAAAUGUGCAAGUGCAGGGGAGAUGCAUGAACAAUUUGGUUGAAUCGAUUAACACAUACCAUUUCGUCAUAGCACUUUUGUAUAGUGGAACUAAGGUUAUUGCCUUCCCAAUGGUGCAGUUCACCCUCUUCCUUUUCAGUCACUUGUACUUUGCAUGGCUUUGGAAUGGAUAAGAUUCCGUGAGAAAAAUUCUUCAUGUUCGGACAAUGUGUCAUAGAAACUCGUUCCAGUGAU
rnacentral:lncRNA from 1 species